rnacentral:lncRNA from 1 species
GAAUAUAGCUAUGAGGAUUGUAGAGCUAGCCAUGAUUUAACACACAAGAAAAGGCUAGUCCAAAUAUAAUUUUGAACUAUGGAACCAAAUUUACACCCCUAACCAAUUAAUUACUUCGUAAUUGGUGGAUCUUCAUGGAAACUUUUUCUUUUUCUUUUGGCUAGUCAUAAGUAUACAACUUUCCAUUUCUAAUUGUAGGCACAUUCAAGCUAACGGUGGAUCAUGGCAAGACCUAUCUACUUCGCAUAAUCAAUGCUGCCUUGCAGGAGGCUCUCUUCUUCUCCAUUGCCAAGCAUAAAAUGACAGUGGUUGGAACAGAUGGUAGCUACACGAAACCAUUGACACGAGAUUAUAUUAUAAUAUCACCUGGCCAAACCUUUGAUGUCAUAUUAGAAGCUAACCAACGCCCGAAUCACUAUUAUAUGGCAGCUAGAGUUUAUUCCGUUGCUCCACUAGGUAAUUAUGAUAACACGACCACCACAGCUAUUGUACAGUACAAGGGAUACUACACUUCAUCUUUACCUCCCUCCUUGCCUCAUCUUCCUGGAUACAAUGACACAAAUGCAACGGUUCACUUCACGGGCCGCCUCCGAAGCUUAGGGGAUGCGGAACAUCCUUGUAAUGUCCCAUUGAGCAUGAGCACUAAAUUGAUUUACAUCAUUUCUAUGAACACAUUCCCAUGCGCCGAUAAUUCAUGUACAGGGCCCAAUGGGACGCAAUUCUCUGCAAGUAUAAACAACAUAAGCUUCCAAUCCCCUACAAUUGACAUACUGAAAGCUUACUAUUAUAACAUUAGUGGUGUAUAUGGAGAUAAAUUUCCUAGCAUUCCAAAAAUGGUGUACGAUUUUACAUCUGAGUAUCCUCCAUUGGAGUAUCAGAUGUCGAGAAAGGGAACAGAAGUAAGGGUGCUUGAGUAUAACUCUACAGUGGAGAUUGUUUUUCAAGGGACAAACUUGGUUGCAGGGACACACCACCCCAUGCAUCUCCAUGGAUACGAUUUCUAUGUUGUUGGAUGGGGAUUUGGGAAUUUCGAUAAAAAAAGGGACCCUUUACGCUAUAAUCUGGUGGAUCCUCCUAUUCAGAAUACCAUCUUUGUUCCUAUGAAUGGUUGGGUUGCAGUUAGAUUCAAGGCGUCUAACCCUGGUAUGUUGCAAGCACUCAUGUCCUCUAUUUAAAAAAAGAAAAGAAAAAACAAUUGCUUGAAACUGCCAACCUACAUACCAAGGAAAUAUUUUUUCUUAAUAUUACAAUAAGUUAGGUGUAAUGUUGGUAUAUUUUCUCUGUUGCAGGAGUGUGGUUCAUGCACUGUCAUUUAGAGCGCCAUCUGACUUGGGGCAUGGACACUGUGUUCAUAGUGAAAAAUGGUAAACACCCAGAAGCUCAAAUGCUGCCUCCUCCAUCGGACAUGCCACCAUGUUGAAGCUACAAAGCAAUAACAUGCCCAAGAUUUCAUUAAAUAUUUCAACUUUCAUUAUUUAUUAUGUUUAAAAAAAUGUUGACUAAGUUAGUAUUACUUUUCAAUUGAGAUAAGAAGAAAAAUGUAAAGUUGUAGAAUAUUAUGUCUAGGAUUAUUAAUUUGUCAAUUUCUUGGAUUGUUAAAAGUCUAUAAAGAUAAUGGACUUUGAAUAAUCUUUGAGACACUGUAUGGUGGAAUUUGCCUCGGAAACCUUUGAUUAUGAAAAGAGAAAUUGAGUCUAACCCCACUGGAAGAACUUCAAGUCUAUUUCUUAGUGAUUUAAUUACUUUUCAAAUCCUAUUUUUAAAUUUAAAUUUUUAUUUUACAUUAAAGUAAACCCUUUCCUGCUUCCUUAAAUUAACAUAUCCAGUAAAAACAAAUCACUUUUGUAAAUUAAAUUGAUUCAAACACUUUUUAUUUGCAUAUGUUAUUUUGCAUUUAUUUAUUUAUUUUAAAUUACAAUGUAGGACUUGAUCAUUUGUAUUUAUGGUUUAGAGAAAAGACACUUAACAACCAACUAAGCUGUUGUAAUUGACCAAAGUCUCCAAGUCCAAGUCAAUAAAGUUGGCAGAAAAGUUGUAAAGUCAGGAGUGGUGUGCUAAAAAGAUUAAAUAAUUAAACUUUUGAUUUAUAGACUUGGAAUAUUCCAGCUAAGAUUCCAAUGCUGUUGAAUUAAGAAAUAAAAUAAUAAUUAUUCAUUCACCGUUGUCUCAUUUUUUUUGGUAGUUGUGGCUAGAAUAGACGAAGUAGUGCAUGACAAUGUUGGGAGCGAAGAAAGGUGGAGAGAGACCAAACUUUUGUUUUAUGGUGAAAAUAUUGAUAAUUAUGGAUAUAUCGGUAUUUUGUUUUUAUAAAUAUAUCGAAGGUAUAUUGAUGGAUAUUUUUACAUAAAAUAUCGAUAAGUCAAAAAUUGAUCAAAGUUCAUGAAAAUAUUAUUAAAAAUUUAAAAAUGAUAUAAAAAAUAAUAAUAGAAAUAUUAAAAUUAUUUUGUUAAAAAAAUUGAUAUAUGUAUAAUAUAAGUUGUGAUAUUUAACAAUAAUAUUCAUAACUUAAAAACAUAUUUUAUGAAUAUUCAUCUAAUUUGGAAGUAUUUAAUGAUAUAGAUGAAAUGAUAAUAAUUUAUAUAAGUAUUUUUUAUUUUAAAAUUUUGAUAAUUUUAUUCAUAAAUUUAUAUUUAUUUUGUAUUUAGUUAUUAUACAAAAAGACAUAAUAACCAAAAUCAAUUUAUUUAUAAUAAUUUUAUUCUAAUUAAUUUAUAAUAUAUAUAUAUAUAUAUAUAUAUAUAUAUAUAUAUAUAUAUAUAUAAUUUUCAAUUCAUACCAUUGCGCUUGGGCUGGCAGUUCGGCUGUGUGGGGCAGGACCCAUUUUAUGAUUUUUGAACCAAAAAAAGAAAUUUUCCCAUAAAUAUCGCCCGGAAAUUCGGUGAAAUAUUCCCUAAAAAUCAGGGAACAAUUCACGAUGUUUCCAAUAUAUAUAUGAAGGAAUGAAUUUGGGCAUAACCUAAUUGUACUUUAUAAAAGCUCAAAAAUAAUUGUAAAGAAAUAAAUCCUAAAAAAAUAAAAAACAAUAAAUGAAAUUGCAUGAAUUAAAAAAUAAAUUAAGAAUGCUUUGAUAUUGAUAGUGAUUAAAAUGUUUUUAUUUUUAAUUUUUUAUCCAUAAAAAAAUAUUUUGACAUUAUAAAUGAUUUUAAAAAGAAUCACUUAAUUAAAAAAAUGUUUAGAAUUAUUUUUAACUGAUUUUUUUUUUAUUUCUACAAAUGAUUUUCAAAUAUAUUUAAAGUUUAUUUGGAUUGAAUUUUAAGAGUUAAAAAAAAUUAAGUUCAAUAAAAGUUUUUAUACUUAUUUAAUUAUUUUUUUUUAAAAAAACUUAUAACUUAAGAAAAAGGCUUCAUAUAGAAGUCAUAAAAAUGUUAUUUCUUAUAAUUAUUUUAUAAUUCUAUUUUUGUUUAUAUAAAAUGUUUUUUUUUUUCAUGUUUAAUAAAACUUUUAUAACAUCAACAUUACCCCUUAAAAAUUAUUAUUUUAAUUUUCAGUUAAAGCAAAAAAUAUGAAGCUAUCUUGAAUUUGACCUUACCAUCUCGCCUAAUUAAUUUCUAUAAGAAAAUGCUUUUUUUUUAAUAUUUAGAAUAACUUUUAUUUAUUUAUUUUUAAAUCAUUACCAAAUGAAAUUUAUAAGAAAGAAACAAAAAGUUCACUCCCAUAUUAGAAAGAAAUACAAUUUUUUAAACAUGGAUUGAAGUGAUUAUAGAACUUUGUUACAUAUUUAAAAUUAGGAUAUCCUAAUUUCUUACAACUCCAAUCUUCAAUAUUCUUUUUUUAUCUAAAAUCUAACAUAAGGAAUAGUUGUCCACUCAUAAUAGAGGACAUGAAAUAUAAUUUUGUUUUAGGUAACAUCAAAUUCAAUGCAUUAAAAGGAGUAAGUAAGGAUCCAAAUUUCUCUCUGUGCAUGGUAUUUGACAGUGUUCCAUAUGAAAUUUGUUUAUAGUCAAAACAUUUUUAUUAUCUAAAAUUUUAGAUGGUAUUUAUUUUUUUUUUGGUUGAAUAGAAAAAGGUAAAAUAUUUUAUUUUUUCCAUUUAGUUAAAAAUAACUUUUUGAUAUCAACAAACAUAACUAUACUAAACCUAUUGAUAACAAGUUCACUUUAGUUAUGUUGGUUGAUAUCAACAGAUUAUUUUAAUUGAAAAAAAAAUCAAAUCUUUUAAUUUUUUCUAUUCAAUCAAAAAAUAAAGUUAGAAAUACUUGUGUAUCUCAUAUCAAAAUUAGAUGACAAUAACUUUUUUUAUCUCAAUAAUACAAUAAUGCAAUUAUUAUUAUUAUGACUAAAAAUUAGCCUAUCGAAUACAUACACACACAUAUAUAAUGCCAAUAUCAUUAUUUUAGGCUAUUGAAUAAAUCUUUCAUGCAAUCAUUUCAAUGUUUCCUUUAAAUAACAUAUAAAGAUAUUUAAUUUACAAAUUUUGUGUAGAGAUAGGAUAAAAAAAACUAAUAUAUCUAAACUGCUCUAGCAAGCCCAAUGAUUAGACCUAAAUAAUAAUAUUUUUAAUACUUAAACCAUAUUCAUAUUUAAUAUUUGGUUUUAAUUUUACCUUUUUACUUUAUUUUAUUAUUGAGUCCUGACUUUUUGGUUUAAUAUGUUUUUUUUUUCUUUUUAAUAUUUUCCUCUUAAAUUUUUACAGAUUUAUAUCAAAUGUUGGAAGAUGUCUUUCUAUAUAAUUGGAUACCAUUUUUAUUUUUAUUUUUAUUUGCAUAAUUACCAUAUAUUCCCCAUCCUAUGAUUAUUGUAUUGUUGACACAUCAUCAAUAAGAGAGCAUAACAUGUUCUAGCCAUUUUCUUGCUAAAGAGGGGUUCAUAAGUUGCUGCCCAUGCCAAAAAUGUUGAGCAAAAGUUGACUUCUAGCCUUGACUAGUUGCCACCAACUGUCCAACCUUGCCCCAAGGUUCAUUCAUCUUUCUUAUCUUACAAAUUGGUGUGAAGAUAACUCUAUAUAAAGAGAGGAAUGCUAAUUGAACAAGGAAGUAAAAUAGGAUGUAAAAUAGAGUAGUAGAUGUGGAAAUGCAGGAAUAAAGAGGAAGAAUAUAUAGUGUUGUUGUAGUUCUUAAUUUUUAUUUAUAAAGGUUGUGGUUGGUUUUCAGAAAAUGCAAAGGGAAAAAAAAUAAAGGGGAAAGUUAUUUUCCUUAGUUUGGGUGACAUGAAAAAUAUGAUGGAAAAAGAAUAUAAAGGAAAAAUACUAAAGAAAAUACUGUAAUAUUUUUCCUACUAUUUUUCUUAAUAAUUAAUGAAGAAAAUAAGGAAGAAAGAGAAGGGAAAAGUUAGAGGAAAUUUUAUCAAGCUUACAUUAUCUUCUUCACCGAGCCUCCAGUUCACCUAACUUCCUCUUCACUAGUGGCUAUGGGUUCCCACCACCAUCGACCCUAUCAACAGCCACCACCAUUACUCCAAACACCUUCCAUUGCCUCCAAAAAAUCAACCCUCAUCGAGUACACAAAUUUCCAUGGAUGAAUUGCAUUCUUCAAAUCUAGUCAAUGUGUUCGAAUCAGUGUCUUCAUAUCAGGUAUGGAUUGAAUUCCUCUCUCUUAAACUCACACCUUGAUGUUUGGUAGAUGUAGGUCUUCUCUCAAUGGACUUUUUUUUUUCCAUUUUUGGAAAUCUAAACACUCAAAUUUUGUAGAUAUGGAAAAUUUGAUGCUACUCUUUGUAAUUGGAUUUCAGUGUUUCUCUUCUAUUUGCAUUUUUUUAAUUCUUAUGCUUCCAUUUUAUUUUGAGUACAAGAAUUUUAAUUUUUUGUUUUGAUUACUACUUAAAAAGUACUCUUCUAUAGCUUGAAACUAACUGUUUUAAAGACUUUUGAGUAGUAGUUAAUACAUUUUAACUCAAUUGGCACAUUAAGGAAACUAGCAUAGGUUACUAAUAAGUUUUUGGCAAGUUUUGGUGUUUUUGGUAGCUUUUUGAUCAUUGAAACAAGCCAAGAAUGAGGGAGAAGUUGGUGAAAUCCAUGGCAAUGCAAGUUGAAGCUCAAAUGCAUGAAGAAUCCAAGCUUUGGAGCACUUCAUAGCCCUUUGCCAAGCUAAUCAGAGAUGCAAGGAGGAAAGCCAGAGGAAGAAAUCCAACAACAAGUAGUUUCGCAUGGUUGUGUGAAAUUUCGCACACCAUGUGAAACCUCUUGAGGCAGCCAGAGGAUUUCACUCUUCUUAUUGGAUGAUCAUGAUACUUCCCAAAAAUCGAAAUUUUUGAUCAAUGUUUUUAGCUCCUUAUCGCCGUGGAGGAAAAAUUGGACUAUUCGGGGGAGCUGGAGUGGGUAAAACACAGGUGGUGCAUGACUGUCGUCAGCUCGUGCCAUAAGGUGUUAGGUUAAGUCCCGAAACGAGCGCAACCCUCGUGUUUAGUUGCCACCGUUGAGUUUCACACCAUGCCAAAUUUCGUAUGGUAUGUGAAAUCUUCUUGUGCACUGACUCCGUUAGAUUUUUAUUUUCAGAUAUUUUGUGUAAUUUCCUACUUUCUCCUUGUAACCAACCUAGAUAUUUUCUUUUAUAUCUUUUUAUAUAUCUUUUAGGUAGCAGAUAUAUAAGGAGAGAGAUAUAUGUGAUAUUAUUAUGUAUGUUUUUCAUAAAAAAACACUUGUAAAUUCCCAUACUAAGAAAUAUACAGAGCUUUUGCUCUGCCUUUCCUUCUCAUUUUUGUUUUCACUUUUCUUGCUAGCCAAACAACCUCUGAUGAUGAUUUCUCAAGGGAUGAGUGGCUAGGUUUUACGUUUCUUGGAGUGAUGGAAGUUAGGUGAAGGACCUGAAUGGAAAGGUGGGAGUUGUCCUUGCUUUAAAUGACAGUAGUUGUUAACCAUCAAUGGUUUUUAUUCCACGGUUUAGCCUUAAAUCCCUUAAAAUCACCUUGAAUGACCAAUACUUGGUAAGCUUUUCGAAUUCCAUGGAUGCUUAUUGCUAGAUCCAUGGAUGUCUAUUAGUUAUCAUUUACGAGCCAUUGGAAGGUGGUUCAAGGUGAGAGUCUUUAGUGUUUGAAGCCAUUAAUGGGAAGCAACUAUCAUUUUCCAUGAAACCUUUGGAUCAAAUCUUAAUUGCUAAAUAUAAAACCGGUUCGGGAGAUGGAGAAGAUCUGGAAUCUUCCCCUUUGCCUAAGGAACCCGAUCCUAGUGACCUACAGCUCUAAGAGACCUUUUCUUUAUAGUUAAUUUCACUUAUUGUUUUUGCUUAACUUAAAAUCAAUCUUUGCAACCACAAUUCCAUUUUCUUUUAAAGCUAACUUUCAUAAGAAAAAACACCACAUUAUUUCCUUCAAUUAAGUCAACUGUACAAUGAAAACCCAUCCAUGUGGACGAUCUUAGAGCCACUAUACUAUGUUAGCUAUGCUACCCUAGUGUGAGGUGAUUUAGGUUUUAUAAAUUUUGUUGAUAACACCCGUUUGAGCCAGAAUCAAAUGGCAUGAUUGCAAUGGGGACGAAUCAAAUGACGUCGUUGUUAGGGAUGGUGCCACAGUACAUUGACAAUACUUUUGGUGAAUACUUGUGAUCUUCAUCACAAGUUUGGUGAUUUUUCUUUUUACUAAUUCUUUUUCUUUGUCUAUAUUUAGCUUAUCUUUUAUUUAGUUUUUAGCUAACCUUAACUUUUUCCUAGUAUUGUAUUUAUUUUGUUUUCUUUGUUUUUGUUUUAGUGAUCUCUAGUUGUGCACGCCCUAUUGGAUAAGAGAUAUUGGGAGAAGACUUGUGAAGAUUGAAACUCCUCAAGAAACUGAGUUGGAAGUGUGCUUGAACAUCAUGGAUGUUCCACCUGAAGAUCAGAAUAGCCAACAUGGUCAAGAGGAUAAUUUCAACGCAUACUGAUCCAUGAGGGACCGCAUACAUCCACCUUGUAUGAGUGCACCAUCAUGCAUAGUGCCUCCCAUUGAGCAACUAGUAAUUUGACCUCACAUUGGGCCACUCCUACCUACUUUCCAUGGGAUGGAAAGUGAGAAUCCCUACUCGCAUAUUAAGGAAUUCGAGGAGGUUUGUAAUACAUUCCAAGAAGGAGGAGCUUCAAUUGACUUGAUGAGGCUCAAGCUAUUUCCUUUCACUUUGAAGGAUAAGGCCAAGAUUUGGCUUAAUUCUCUAAGGCCAGGGAGUAUUCGAACUUGGAUUGAUUUCCAAGCCGAGUUUCUUAAGAAGUUCUUCCCUACUCAUAGGACCAAUGGUCUAAAAAGGCAAAUUUCAAAUUUCUCAGCUAAAGAGAAUGAGAAAUUCUAUGAGUGUUGGGAGAGGUACAUGGAAACUAUUAAUGCUUGUCCUCACCAUGGCUUUGACACAUGGCUCGUAGUGAGCUAUUUUUACUAUGGUAUGUCUUCUUCAAUGAAGCAACUCCUAGAAACUAUGUGUGGAGGAGACUUCAUGAGUAAGAAUCCGGAGGAAGCCAUGGAAUUUUUGAAUUAUGUGGCUGAAGUUUCAAGAGGAUGGGAUGAACCAAAUGUUAGAGAGGUGGGAAGAAUGAAGUCUCAGCCUAAUGUAAAGGGUGGGAUGUAUCUUUUGAACGAAGACAUUGACAUGAAGGCAAAAGUUGCAGCUAUGGCAAGGAGAUUGGAAGAGCUAGAAAUGAAGAAGGUACAAGAAGUGCAAGCCAUUUCUGAGACAUCAGUGCAAGCUAUGCCUUGGUUCAUUUUUCAAUCUUAUGAGCACUUGGUGGAGGAGUGUCCUACAAUUCCAGUAGUGAGAGAGAUGUUUGGUGAUCAAGCCAAUGUUAUUGGUCAAUUCAAACCCAAUAACAAUGCUUCAUAUGGCAACACCUACAAUUCGAAUUGAAGGAACCAUCCAAAUUUCUCUUGGAAACCAAAGCCACCUCAGUACACACAACCUGCUCAAGCACCUCAGCAAGCUUCAAAUCUUGAAUAAGCUAUUGUGAACCUUAGCAAGGUUGUGGGAGACUUUCUGGGAGAUCAGAAGUCCAUCAAUGCUCAAUUGAAUAAGAGAAUUGACACAAAAGGAUGGAUGUGAGGCAAAAUGAUCUGUCUCAGAAGAUAGACAAUAUUUAAUGUGCAAUCUCAAGGCUUACUAACCAUAAUACAGUGCAAGAGAAAGGAAAGUUUCCUUCUCAACCUCAUCAAAAUCCCAAGGGUAUCCAUGAAGUGGAGGCUUAAGAGGGAGAAUCUUCAAAGGUGAGGGAAGUUAAAGCAGUUAUCACCUUGAGGAGUGGUAAAGAGGUUGAUCAACCCACAUCCAAGCCAAAGCAUGAUGAAGAUAGUGUAAUGGAAAAAUAAAAGAGUGAGAAAAUGAAAGGAAAGAGAAAAGGGAAAAGUACAGAGAAAGAUUACCGUGAUUCUAAUGUGGAUGAAGAACCUGAGAGGAUAGUGAUCAAGGAAGAUAUGGUGAAGAAACAAAUGCCUCCACGUUUCCCCCAAGCUUUGCAUGGCAAAAAGGGAACCAAUAAUGCAUUGAAAACUUUUGAAGUGUUGAGGCAAGUGAAGGUCAAUAUUCCUUUGCUAGACAUGAUCAAACAAGUGUCGACGUAUGCAAAAUUCUUGAAGGACUUGUGCACUAUAAAGAAAGGGUUAAAUGUGAACAAGAAAGCCUUUUUGACUGAGCAAGUGAGUGUAAUAAUACAGUGCAAGUCUCCAGUGAAGUACAAAGAUCCGGGCUGCCCUACCAUCUUAGUGAGUAUUGGAGGGACUUGUGUGGAGAAAGCUUUGUUGGACUUGGGAGCAAGUGUGAAUUUGCUACCCUACUCUGUCUAUAAGCAAUUGGGACUUAGAGAGUUGAAGCCAACAUCCAUCACUUUAUCUCUGGCAGAUAGAUCAGUGAAGAUUCCAAGAGGGAUGAUUGAAGAUGUCUUGGUUCAAGUUGACAAAUUCUACUAUCCAGUGGAUUUUGUUGUUCUUGAUACGGAUCCAGUUGUCAAAGGAACUAAUUAUGUUCCUAUCAUACUUGGAAGACCAUUCCGAGCUACAUCAAAUGCGAUCAUCAAUUGUAGGAAUGGAGUAAUGCAACUCACAUUUGGUAACAUGACAUUGGAGCUCAACAUCUUCCAUUUGUACAAGAAGAAUAUCCAUCUGGAAGAAGAAGAAGACCUAGAAGAAGUGUGCAUGAUUGACACUUUAGUGGAUGAGCAUUGUGACCAGAGAAUGCACGAGGAUUUGAUUGAGAGUUUUGGGGAUCUUGUUGAAGGGUUACCUGAACCAUCAGAUUUGCUUGCUACCCUGCUCCCAUGGAGGAGGAGAGAAGAAAUUCUACCCUUAUUCACUGAGGAGGAGAUACAAAGACUUGUUUAAGGAGGAACCCCCAAAGCUUAUUCUUAAGCCACUACUUACAGAGUUGAAGUAUGCAUACUUGGAAGACAACAAGAAAUGCCAUGUUGUUAUAUCUUCAACUCUUACCAUUCAUCAGCAGGAUUGUCUACUUGAAGUCCUUAAAACAUGUAAGAAGACAAUAGGGUGGCAAAUUUCUGAUUUGAAAGGGAUCAACCCUUUAGUCUGCACCCAUCAUAUUUACAUGGAGGACGAAGCUAAGCCAUUUCGUCAACCUCAGAGAAAGUUGAACCCUCACAUGCAAGAGGUGGUGCGAGCUGAAGUUCUUAAGCUACUUCAAGCCGGUAUUAUCUACCCCAUAUCAGAUAGCCCAUGGGUAAGUCCUACUCAAGUUGUGCCAAAGAAGUCUGGGAUCACGGUGGUGCAAAAUGAUAAAGGAGAAGAGGUCUCUACACGCCUCACUACAAGUUGGAGGGUGUGUAUCGAUUAUAGGAGGUUGAAUGCGGGGACAAGGAAGGACCAUUUCCCGUUGCCCCCUAUUGAUCAGGUUCUUGAGAGGGUCUCUGGGCAUUCUUUCUAUUGUUUUUUGGAUGGCUACUCCGGGUACUUUUAGAUAGAAAUUGAUAUUGAAGACCAGGAGAAGACCACUUUUACAUGCCCAUUUGGAACCUAUGCAUAUAGGAGAAUGCCUUUUGGCUUAUGCAAUGCACCCACAACUUUCCAAAGAUGCAUGUUAAGCAUUUUCAGUGAUAUGGUGGAGUGUAUUAUGGAAGUCUUUAUGGAUGAUAUCACCAUAUAUGGAAGUACAUUUGAUGAAUGCUUGGUCAACUUAGAAGCUAUUCUGAACUGAUGCAUUGAGAAAGUCUUAGUGCUUAACUGGGAGAAGUGCCAUUUCAUGGUACACCAAGGGAUUGUCCUUGGGCACAUCAUCUCCAAGAAAGGUAUUGAAGUUGACAAAGCAAAGGUUGAACUCAUUAUUACGUUGCCAUCCCCAAAAAAUGUCAAAGGAGUAAGGCAAUUUUUUCGCCAUGCCAGGUUCUAUAAAAGGUUUAUCAAGGCUUUCUCUAAGCUUGCAAGACCUCUUUGUAAACUAUUGGUCAAGGAUGCUAAAUUCAUAUGGGAUGAUAGAUGCCAAAGAAGUUUUGAAGAAUUGAAGUUAUUUCUGACAACUGCACCAAUAGUGAGGGCUCUUAACUGGCAACUGCCCUUUGAGGUAAUAUGUGAUGGCAGUGACUUUGCUAUAGGAGCUGUUCUUGGGAAAAGAGAAGAUGGAAAACCCUAUGUGAUCUACUAUGCGAGUAAGACAUUGAAUGAGGCGCAAAGAAACUACACAACCAUCGAGAAAGAAUUGUUAGCUGUAGUUUUUGCCUUGGAUAAGUUCCGUGCAUACUUGGUGGGGUUUUUCAUCGUGGUUUUCACUGAUCACUUUGCUUUGAAGUAUCUGUUGACUAAGCAAGAUGCUAAAGUAAGGCUGAUUAGAUGGAUUCUCUUGCUUCAAGAGUUCAAUCUCCAAAUCAAAGACAAGAAAGGAGUGGAGAAUGUGGUAGCAGACCACCUUUCAAGGCUAGCUAUCGCACAUAAUUCCCAUGGAAUGCCCAUUAAUGAUGAUUUUCUAGAGGAGUCUCUCAUGUUGGUGGAAGUUGCCCCUUGGUAUGCUCACAUUGUGAACUACCUAGUCACAUGAGAAGUUCCAAGUGAGUGGAGAACACAAGAUAAGAAACACUUCUUUGCAAAAAUUCAUGCCUACUAUUAGGAAGAGCCAUUUCUAUUCAAGUAUUGUGCAGAUCAAAUAAUAAGGAAGUGUGUUCCUGAAGAAGAGCAACAGGAGAUCCUCAGUCAUUGCCAUGAAAAUGCAUGUGGAGGCCACUUUGCUUCUUAGAAGACAACCAUGUGGGUAUUGGAAUUGGGUUUCUAUUGGCCAUCACUUUUCAAAGAUGCCCACACCAUGUGCAAGAGUUGUGAUCGAUGCCAGAGGCUUGGGAAGUUAACACGUAGGAACAUGAUUCCUUUGAACCCCAUUUUGAUAGUUGAUCUUUUUUAUGUUUGGGGCAUUGACUUCAUGGGACCAUUCCCUAUGCCUUUUGGCUACUCUUACAUCUUGGUAGGAGUAGAUUAUGUUUCUAAGUGGGUUGAGGCAAUCCCAUGUAAGCAUAAUGACCAUAGAGUGGUUCUCAAGAUUCUCAAGGAGAACAUCUUCUCAAGAUUUGGGGUGCCCAAAGCCAUAAUUAGUGACAGAGGUACUCAUUUUUACAACAAGCCUUUUGAAACUCUCCUAGCCAAGUAUGGGGUGAAGCAUAAGGUAGCUACACCUUACCACCCUCAAACUAUUGGGCAAGUUAAGUUAGCAAACAGGGAGAUUAAAAACAUAUUGAUGAAGGUGGUAAACACAAACAGGAAAUAUUGGUCAGUCAAGCUCCUUGAUUCACUAUAGGCAUAUAGAACAACUUACAAGACCAUUCUUGGGAUGUCUCCUUAUUGCCUAGUCUAUGGCAAAGCAUGCCAUCUCCCUGUGGAAUUGGAAUACAAAGCUUGGUGGGCAAUCAAGCAGCUCAACAUGGAUCUGAGCAGAGUUGGGUUAAAGAGGUUCUUAGACCUCAAUGAGAUGGAUGAAUUGAGAAACGAUGCCUACAUCAAUUCAAAAAUUGCAAAAGAGAAAUUGAAGAGGUGGCAUGAUCAGUUGAUUUCCCGUAAGGAAUUUCGAAAUAGACAGAGUCUUACUCUAUGACUCUAAGCUCCACAUCUUUCUGGGCAAGUUGAAAUCAAGGUGGAUAGGUCCAUUUACCAUUCACCAAGUGCAUUCAAAUGGAGUAGUGGAACUACUCAACUCCAACAGCACCAGGAGCUUCAAAGUGAAUGGCCACCAUCUCAAGCCCUUUGUGGAGUCAUUUUCUCAUGACAAGGAGGAAUUCAUCAUCCUUGAUCCACAUCAAGCUUGACAACACCAGUUUUUUGAUGGACUUAGUCUUUCUAAAGACUAAUCGAGUCCAUAUAUUUUUAUGUUAUUUAUGAUUUAAGAGUUUUCCUGUAUUAUUACUUGUUUUGAUUUCGAUUUCUUGUUUUAAUUUUAUUUUGGUUUGAUUUAACAUAGGUUUUUUAUGAUCGAUUGUAGGGGGAUUUCAAACAAAGGAACAAGAAAAACAAUUCACACACUUUGCGAAAUUUCUGCAGGGCAUGCGAAAUCAAGGAAUCAAUUCGCAUGGGGUGUGAAGUUUCGCACACCCUGCGAAAUUUUCGCAGACCAUACAAAAAAUUUCACACACCCAAACCAAUUUCGCACACUAUGCGAAACCUAAAGGGGUAUGCGAAGUAAUUUCACACCCCUAAAGUCAUUUCGCACACUGUGCGAAACCUAAGAGGUGUCUGCGAACAUGAAGAGCCACCCACCCAUUUCUUUUUAAACCCCCCCCCCCUCUCCCACCCCUGAUCGCCCAUUUAUUCAUUUUCUCAUUUUGCAAACACCAAGCACCCUGCGAAUCCCUCAUUUUCCUCUGCCACCUUGCGAUCUCACCCCCCUCCAUUCGAUUCCGAGUCCUACGAGCAUCUCAUUUAAAGGAUUCGAUACUGCGCCCCCUCAGAGCACAGACCUGAGGCUCGUCUUUCAUUUCUAACAUGGUGCGGAGCCGAGGAGCCCCUCCUACCCCUUCACCGAGAUGCACCACGAGGCAGAGAGCCUCCUUGGCUCAAGUGCCGAGUGAUUCCUCCUCUCAGGCCAUAGAGGCCUCGAGGAUUCCACCUUCCGAAGGUGGAAAGGCCAUUAGACCUUCCUCACCUGCUUCUCAGCGCAGGUACGAGACGAGGAGACCACCUACUACCCUAGGGGAGACUACUUCGCGCCCCGAGAGUUCAGUAAGGCGCCCUCCGGCCAAGAAGGCCAAGACUUCAGGUCCCGGGGAAUCAUAUAGAGCUUCUGAGCCUCCGAAAGAUUCUGAGUUACCUUCUACCUUGUCAUCGGAGUCGAUUAUCAGACGUCCAAUAGUCACAACACCGCCCAUUGAGGACAACUUAGAUUGUAGAGCCAGACUUUUCCACUAAGAGCUACAUUUUGAUUAGGAGGCCAUGCGACAACAGCCUGAGCUCUGAGAUUCGUACGACCUACUCCAGAGGUACCACUUUGAGCACCUCAUGACUCCUCCUAAGUUUUUCUAUCCCAGAGUAGCGCUAGACUUUUACUAGCCUAUGACUACUCGUGGCGUCCAGAGUCCUACCGCGAUUCACUUCAGUAUUGAUGGACGUCCUAGUGUUCUCGAGGCGAGACAUAUUGCAGAGGCUCUACAGAUUCCUUAUGAGCUGGAGGGUUAAUCUGUUUUCCGACAGUGGUCCCCUGUAUCUCAAAGGGACAUGGUCCACAUAUUAUCCAGGGGGACCUCUAGUGAUUCGGUCCUUCUAUGGAAGGAGCUUCCACAUGGGAUGCUCCUUGUAGACGUGGUGAUGCGCUCCAACCUUUUUCCCUUACAACAUUCAAUAUAGAGGAUAUGAGCUAUUUUGGACGCGUUAUUCCGUAUAUCCGAGGGCUUCUACUUUGGCCGGCACCACUUGAUUAUGGCCUCCCUCAUCCACUUUGAGGAGAAGGUCCAUAGAAAGAAGCUCUAGAGGGCCGACACCAUUCCACUGCUAUUCCUGAGAUUGCUGUGUCAGAUCUUAGAGUAUUUGGGCUUUCCUAUACUAAGCCUCGGCUUGAACGUCAUUGCCUUUGUCGAGAGUGAUUCACUCUUAACAAAUGGAAUCAGUUGGCAGGCUAUUCUGCACAUCCUGGAGCCCCUCCCAUGGUAGCACCACCAGUGCCUCCACAGCCAGAGCAUGGCGAGCUCCCGACAGAGACCACACCACCAAUGCCCACACCUGAGGCUACUUCUAUUGCUCCGCCUACUACUCCUACUGUUCCACUAGUCGCGCCGACUACAUCUGAGUCGUCCAUUACCAUAUGGACUUCGAAGUUUCGUGUCCUGGUGCAUACCUUUUAGACACUCACCACCACCCAUUCUGCUCUCUUUCAGUAGAUGGCUGAGAUGCGUGCCCAUAAGGACCAACAGACUGCUAUUCUCCGCUAGAUUCAGUAGCACUUGGGACUCCUGCCUCCGCCUCAGCCUGACCUUCCCACAUCCUCAGCGCCUAUAGCUCUACCUGAGGAUACUACACCAACAGAGGUCCGGAUUCCACCACCUUAGGAUGAGCCUCCCACAAUCACAGCUACGCCUGAGGAUGCAUCAUCUCCACCUGAGGCUCCCACCGUUUGAUCAUAGGACAUCUCUUUAUUUUAUUGUAUUUACAUGUUAUAUAACUAGAGAUUUGUCCUUGUUUUGAUACUUUAUAUUUUAGGAUUGGAUGUAUUACAUGAUCAUAUCUCAUAUUGUACUUUCUCAUAUUAAAUAUAGACAUCAUGUUUUUUACUAUACUUAGCAUUUUCCUAUUCCCUCUACUCAUUACCCUUUUGUUUUUUGACUCAUGUGGUUUCUCUUAUACGACUCAGACUCCAUUUCACUCAGGAGGUACCACUUCUUCCUUUUAUUUUCAAUUGCUCUGGAAACAUUGAGGACAAUGUUGAUCUCGGUUGGGGGGAGAGUUAAGGAAGGAAGUUUUGUUAAAUAAUGCUAGGUUAAUUUGUUAAAUUAGUUACUUUUUGCUUAAUUUUAAAAUUUUUCAUUCUGUUUUUCAUGGUUAUCAAGGAAUUCUCAAAAUAAAAUGGGAGAAAUUGAGUUCUUGUUUUUUUACUUGAAUCUUAGAAUUUGUAUUAUGCUUAUUGAAGUUGAUGAAGUAUUGAAACUCCUAUUGAAUUCAACCUUAUUUCUUCCACUUUAAUCUUACCACACAUUGUGCACAUUAGGUUCCAGUUAUAAGAUGAAAAACUAUCUCACCCCCUGAACUUAGGAAAAUUUCGACUUGGUACCUUUGACCUCGUUUUAAUAGUGUUAGGACACCUUAUAAAAGGCCAAUAAGCCUUCGAAAAAAAGAAGAAAGAACAAAGUGUUUCACUUGCCUUGAAACCCGAGCAAGGUCCGAGGGGUAUAUGACGAAAGUCUUUAAAACCCAGUGCCCUAAACCUUUAUUGGUUGGGAGUCACCGACCUCAAUGCUCGUUACAAGGAUGAAUAGGUAGAGUUUAACAUAUUGUAAGUGCUUGGGUAUUGAAUUUCAAUCUCAAAAGUCCGGGGAAAAAUCUGAGGAGUUAGUGGUUGAAAGAUCCUUAAAGCUUGAUGCCCUAAACCAUGAUUGGUUGGGAGUCAUCGAUGGAUCCCCGUUACAUGGACACUUUAGAAAACAAUACCUUUAGCAUUGCACUCCUACAAUGAAAAAAAAAAUUGAAAUAAAAGAGGUGUGUUCUUAGCCUAUGGGAAGUUGGUCAGUUUGCUAAAGUUUGAGAAAGAACUAGGUUGGGGGGAGAGAAUAGUUUGACAUCCUAUAAUCGAAAACUAAUAAGCUUAACACUUAUAUUGUUGUGGAAAAAUAAUGAUUGGACCUUUGGGAGUGGAAAUUCUUUUGAUGCUUAAAAUUGCAUAAUGCCUACUCUUUAUAAAUUGUGGUAGGGCAAGUGAUUUGAUGACUCUUGUUGAAGGUUGGGUUUUGCCUCUUUGAUAUUCCAUGAGAGAGUAUAAUCUGUAUCAUACCACUUGAGAAUUUUUUGGAGUGAUUAGCAUGAUUUUGUAAAUUAUUUUACUGUCUAUUCUUCUUUAUCUCUCCUUCAUUGCUAAGGGACUAGCAAUAUGUCAGUUGGGGGGAGUGAUCACUACUAAAAAAGUACUCUUCUAUAGCUUGAAACUAACUGUUUUAAAGACUUCUGAGUAGUAGUUCAUACCUUUUGACUCAAUGGGCACAUUAAGGAACCUAGAAAAGGUUACUAAUAAGUUUUUGGCAAGUUUUGGUAUUUUUGGUAGCUAUUUGAUCAUUGAAACAAGCCAAGAAUGAGGAAGAAGUUGGUGAAAUCCAUGGCAAUGCAAGUUAAAGCUCAAAUGCAAGAAGAAUCCAAGCUUUGGAGAACUUCAUAGCCCUUUGCCAAGCCAAUCAAAGAUGCAAGGAGGAAAGCUAGAGGAAGAAAUCCAACAACAAGCAGUUUCGCAUGGCUGUGCAAAAUUUCACACACCAUGCGAAACCUCUUGAGGCAGCCAAAGGAUUACGCACACCAUGCCAAAUUUCGCAUGGUAUGCAAAGUCUUCUUAUGCACCAACUCCGUUAGAUUUUUAUCUUCAGAUAUUUUGUGUAAUUUCCUAGUCUCUCAUUAUAACCAACCUAGAUAUUUUCUUUUAUAUCUUUUUAUAUAUCUUUUAGGUAGCAGAUAUAUAAGGAGGGAGAUAUGUUUGAUAUUACUAUGUAUGUUUUUCAUUAAAAAAACACUUGUAAAUUCCCGUACUAAGAAAUAUACAGAGCUUUUGCUCUGCUUUUCCUUCUCAUUUUUGUUUUCACUUUUCUUGCUAGCCAAACAACCUCUGAGGAUGAUUUCUCAGGGGAUGAGUGGCUAGGUUUUACGUUUCUUGGAGAGAUGAAUGUUAGGUGAAGGACUUGAAUGCAAAAGUGAGAGUUGUCCUUGCUUUAAAUGACAGUAGUUGUUAACCCUCAAUGGUUUUUAUUCCAAGGUUUAGCCUUAAAUCCUUUAAAAUCACCUUGAAUGGCCAAUACUUGGUAAGCUUUUCGAAUUCCAUGGAUGCUUAUUGCUAGAUCCAUGGAUGUCUAUUAGUUAUCAUUUACGAUCCAUUGGAAGGUGGUUCAAGGUAAGAGUCUUUAGUGUUUGAAGCCAUUAAUGGGAAGCAACUAUCAUUUUCCAUGAAACCUUUGGAUCAAAUCUUAAUUGCUAAAUAUAAAACCGGUUCGGGAGACAACUAUCCUUUAUGUUAUUAUCCCCAACGCGAGGAGAAGAUCCGGAAUCUUCCCCUUUGCCUAAGGAUCCCGAUCUUAAUGACCUAUAGCUUCAAGAGACCUUUUCUUUAUAGUUAAUUUCACUUAUUGUUUUUGCUUAACUUAAAAUCAAUCUUUGCAACCACAAUUCUAUUUUCUUUUAAAGCUAACUUUCAUAAGAAAAAGCACCAUGUUAUUUCCUUCAGUUAAGUCAACUAUAUGAUGAAAACCCAUCCGUGUGGACGAUCCUAGAGCCACUAUACUAUGUUAGCUAUGCUACCCUAGUGUGAGGUGAUUUAGGUUUUAUAAAUUUUGUUGAUAACACCCGUCUGAGCUAGAAUCAAAUGGCAUGACUGCAAUGGGGACGAAUCAUGUUUCAUAUUGAAAAACUUGAUAGCAACAAUGAGGACAUUAAUUACAUGUUUGAGAAAUUACCUAUAAGAGAAUUUAAAAUACCAAUGAAGCUAUUGCCAUAACCAAAUAAAAAUUAACUUAGAAAGCCAAAAAAAAAAAAAACAUGCAAAACUACUAUAAUAACAGUGUUUUAGAUUGGGUAUGAGAAAAUUACAGAAGAUGGAGUAUUCUUGAUGUGGUAGAUUUGCAAUUGAAUGGGAUUUUCAACAAGAAAAAAAAUGUCCCUUCUAUGUAGCCUUUUAUUUGACCUCAUGGGGAUCUAUCUUGUUAUAGCUUUUGAUGUUAGCUUGGGCAGUGAAAACACACUUGUGCUCUAGCACUAGAUAGUUUCUUUCUUAAUAGAAAUGUAGUAAGUAUUCUUAGUGAAUACAACUUGGUUUUGGUGGUAUAGUUUUUCUUCAAUACUUUAUUAUCAUGAUAAAACAUGGUAAACAUCUCUUAUAUCAAUUCUAUGAUGUUUAUGAAUUCCCUCUUAAAAAUUCUAAACAACUUAUCCAACUUUAAAAGCCUUCUUACUUAAUUAAUGCACAAUUGAUUACAUUUAUUUAGAAGACCAUUCUCUUUUGCAGUAGCUCUCUAUAUUAUUCUUCCAAAAUUUCUUUAAUUUGUUAUGGAAGUCUUUAGUGCAUGCAUGCAGUCAAUCCACUUGAAGCAUUGUACUAAGAAGGUGCUUGAGAUAAGCCUUUGUAAUAAGCUAAUAAGAAAUUUCAUCAACUUCAAACUUGGUUACUUUCAUUUGGCCCCCAAAUAUUCAAUUUGCAUUGCUUGACAGAUAAACUUGACUAGCCUUGGAUAAUAGUUCAUAGGCAACCUCACUAGCAACUGUCUCAAAUUAUACUGGAAAAAUAUCUCCACAGACUAUUUGUAAACCUCCUCAACAACAAAACUUGUCAUGCAUGCGCCAUUGGUUUUUUCUACUUGAAUUGCAUUAUUUUGGUAGUGCAGUGAAACUAGGGAUCAAACUAGUUUAAGUAUUUGGCUUAUGGAAGCUUCAACCUAUAUCACUUACCAAAAGUGGACUAGAAAACAAACCCAAGUAGUAGAAGAGUGGGACAAAUAUAAUUGCUUGUAUUUUGGAGUGUCGUGGAGAAUCUUGAGACUUUGUGAGUCAGACCAUGCUCAUCCAAAGCCAACUCAAUUGGGCUACAGUUUAGUGUUGGAGGCCUAGAGCCUAACUCCCGUGGCUUUAUUACAAAUUAAAAGUUGCUUAUGGUAUAAGCAUGAUCUAAAAAUAUUUAAAAUCCUUGAACUUUGGGACUUAAUAAUGAUGAUGAUAUAAUUUCAAGUUACAAACAGCCAAUAUGACAAUAAUAGUACUCAUUGACUUACUCUUAAUAAGCAAAUAACCCACCUGUCUACUCAUACACAUUAUUUUUAAAAUUUUUAUUUGUAUUAUUUUUAAAAGUUUUAUUUUUAUCUAAAAAAAUUUAAUUAUUUUGGUUGUGUGGUCAAUGUAGAGAAGAAAACAUAUAGACUCAAUAUUUUGGUCUAAAUUGAGUUAACUAAAUUGAAUCAAACUAAUAUUAAGUUGGAUUAGUUUGAGUCAAUAAAUAAAUUUGUUAUACUUUAGGUAAAAUCAAUCAACUCCUAUUUGAUUCUUGGAUUGGUUAAAAACCAACCUAGCUAAAUGUAUCUAUCCCUAACUUUGUGUUCUUGUAAUAGAACAAUAAAUCCUUUAGGUUGCCCCAUAUACUAUUAAAUUAUAUAACCAUUCAAAGAAAGAUAAUCUUAACAUCGAUUUGAUAGAUUUCUAAACCCAGUAUGGAAACUAAUAAUAUCAAAUUUAUGUUUGAUGUUAUCUAACUAAAGCAUAAAUAUUGCUUAAAUCCCUUUUAUCUACUUAAUCCAUUGAUGUAUGCAAUAUUUCUUUUCAAUUUUUUUCUACUAAAUAAACUAUAAAUUCAUGGAUAAAAGAUUUCUCUAUUUUACUCCUAUCAUAUCACCUUGUUUCAUUGUCAUUUUAUUUAGAUUUUCCAUUUUAAAGUUUUUUUUUCCUUUUGAAAACUAUUUGUUCCAUUGUACUUUGAAUCUUUUACCAUUAAAGAUUUAAAAACUUACAAAAACAUUCAUUGAUUUAGUAAUUGUAUUAUAUUUUAAGUCUUAGAAAUACAAUUGUGAACUUGCAAUUUUUCAUGUGCAUCUCCACUUGAUGGUGAGACUUGUUUUUAUUGUAAAAAACUAAUUUUCUUUUUAAAGUUGGAGUCAUCACUUAUUAUUUUUAAAAGAAAAAAAAAUAAGAAAUAAAGCCUUAAUGUAACUCCUUUUCUAAAAAAAAAAAAAAAAAACGUGUCGACAAAAAUCGAGUUCGAAUCUAGAGGUCAGGUUACCUAUUAGGAAGGUACCAUAGGGUAGCACCCCCUUUAAGCCUUAAAAAGGUUUAUACUAAGCACGUAAAAAGGAAUUAUGACAAUUAAUUAAUUAAUCAUUUAUAUAUAUAUAUAUAUAAAGAAUAAUGCAGGUACAUGGAAUAAUGAAAAAGAAAAUUAUAAGGAUAUGUAGAAAUGAUACAUGAGAAAUGCACAAAAUAAUUUAUUAGAAAGAUUUUGUUAUUUCAAAUAUCAUAAUACAAUUUCAAGAAAUUUUCAAAGAAUUCAUUUAUAUUAACAACAAUUUCAAAUCAGUGAUUUGAAUUCAUUUAUUCACAAGGCUUCAAUUUAUUACAAAAGAUUUGAUUUGAUUUACUAGAAAUAAUUUUUGUUUACCUUAUUAAGAAGAGAGGUGAAUUUUACUAAUUUAUUUUAAAAAGUGUUUUGAUUCAAUCUUUAUUUAUUUUUAAAAAAUGUCUACAAAAUUAAAGAAAGAUAUUUACAAAUUUAUAAGAAGGAAUUUCAACCCAAUUUUAUUAUUAUUAUUUUACCCAGAAAAAGAUUCUUUAUUACUAAUUUAUUUAGAGAGAAUUUCACAAAUUUGUUCCCAAGCAUUCCAAUUUUAUUAAGAAAGAAUUUUUGGAUUUCAUCUAGAAAGAUAUUAGUUUACCAAUUUAUUAAAAAUAGGUCUUUCAGUUUGAUUUAAAGGUUUACUCAUCUUAUUCUUAUUAAACAAAUUCUUUAAGACUCCUAUUUAUAAAAAUUACUUUUAAUCUCAUUCUUAUGAGGAAAGAGAGUUUUACUUAAAAAUCAAUUUUCUAGAAAAUUUUGUUAAACAAAUGAAUUUCUAGAUAGUUUGUUAUUACAACAAUUUUUUGAAUUUUUAUUAAAAUUUUCUUUUCUAGAUUCCUCUAAAAAUAUUUAUCUAAAUUUUCUAUUAAGAAAACUUUCUUUUAUUAAAAAGAAUAUUAUUUGAAAAAAGAUUUAUGAACCUUUUAUUUGUUUAUUUAUUUUAAAAUUCUGGACUGUUUUUUUUUUUUAUUAAAACAAAAUUUUUGGACUAUUUUAUCUAAAAAAGAUGUCUAAAACUUAUUUUUACUAAAAGAAAUAUUUUGGUUCCUUUUUCCUAUUUAAUGAAAAUGUUUUAUUGGACCAGUUUUAUUUUAUUUUUUAAAAAAUAAUCUUUGGAUAACUUAAUUUAUUAAAAUCUAAAAUUAUGGACAACCUUAGUAAAUAAAUAAACAACAUGAAUAUAUCCAUAACAAAAUGAACAAAAAAUUAUGAAAUGAUGUAUGAUAAAUAUAAACAAAAAUAAACAACAUGUACAAAUAUUAACAUGAAUAGAUAACUUAAAACAAAUUAAUAAAUGUAUGGAAUAUUUACAAAGAACAGAAAACAUAAAGAAAUAUAAAUAUUUAUACUGAACAUAAAACUCUAAACAAAUACAUAUGGAUAAAGAAAUUAUGAGUAGAAAACUACAAAUAAAUAAUAUAUGAACAUAAUAUGUACAAAGCUAAAAAGAAGAUGAAAAUAAAUCAAAUAUUUAACUUCGUAUACAACUAAUAAAUAUAUAUAAAACAAUAUUUACAGAAGCCAAUAGAAAUUAAACUAAAUAGAAGUGGGGAAAGAAAAUGUGUACCAAAACAAUCCUAUAAUAAGUUCAAUACCCUCCUUUUGCCUGAGGUUUCAUGCCCUAUUUAUAGCCUUCCUGAACCUUUUUUCUCCAUGAAAUUCAUCUUUCCACAUGUCAUGAAUCCAUGCUUAGCCAAAAAAAAGUCUAAAAAAGUGGCCCAUGCAUGAAGGAAAACAAAGCCCAAAGUAAAUAUCCAGAAAUACGUAAAGCCAAAAAAAAAAAAAAUGUAAGACCAAAUUCAACAAGCCCAAAGAUGAAAUAAUGAUACUGACCCAAUUAAAAAAUCCUAACUCAAAUAUCAACAAUCUAAAAUCAUAAGGCCCAAACUCAAUUAAAAUCAAACCCAAAACAAAAUAUCCAAGAACCAACAUGACCAAGUCUAAUGUCCACAAACAAAAUCCAAAAUUCAAAUAUCAAUAAAUCUAAAUUAAACAAAUUAAAACCAAAAUUAUAGAGCAAUCUUAAGAUCAACAUCUAAUGUGCAAAUUCCAAGCAAAGCAAAUAUCUAAAGCCCGAACAAGCAAACUCAACAAUGAAGAACAAUUAUUGUAGGAAUAAAAAAUAAAAAAGACUAAAGAAAUAAGAAAAUGAAAAAGAGCUUCUAACCCAUUUCUUGAAUGCAAUGUGGAAUGAAAGAUAAAGGGAAAGAAUGAGAAAAUAAUAAUAUUAAAAAUAUUAAUAAAAAAAAUUAAAUGGGUGAGAUAAGAGAAAGAGAUGGAAAAUAAAAAAGAGAAGUAAAUGGAGAAAAGGGAUCCCCAACCAACAAUGACUCAUCGAUAGUGACUAUUUGGUGGUGAGUAUAUAUAGGGCAGCCAUGGUUAUGGAUCUUCAAGGUGAGAGAGAGAAAUGGGUAAGAAGAAGAAAAACGAAAGAUGAAGAAAGAAGAAGAGGGAAAGAGAAGGGAGGUAGGUGAAAGCUGGAGAUGGGUUUGGGUGAGAGGGUAGGUAGAGAGAAAAAAAAAAUCAAAAAGGAAGGAGAAAGAAAUAAACAAAGAAAAAUGAAGGAAAGGGGAAAAAUAAGAAGAGGAAAGGGGGCUCUACAAUUGCAUGUGAGUGAGAGAAAAAAAAAUGUGAAAAACAAGGAAGGGAAAAAAUGAGAAAAAAAUAAAAUAAAAAUAAAAUAAAAUAAAUAAUUAUAAUAAUAAAAAAUAAUAAAAUAAAAGAAAAAAGUGAGAAUGGGCUUGGGACAAAUUUUGGGACUUACAAAUAUGCCUCUCUUCAGAAGAGUUUUGGGACUUACAAAUAUGCCUCUCUUCAGAAGAGUUCACAAGUGAAGUAAGUGUAUAAACCAACUAAACGAAGUGGGCUCUACCAAAGUACAAGAAAGAUCACUGAAUUUGUCGUAGUAAGACAUAAGCUCUCUAAGGUUAUGAAAUGUGCUUAUUGAUCAUCAGUAGAGAAACAUGCAAUAUCCAUGUGGAUCUUAAGGAAGACUCUUCUGAAUAGGGUAGUGACAAUAUGUAUGUGAAACACUAGAGACCUUACUAUCCAAAGGGGGAAUGAAUGGGUGAACAAGAGAGAGGACAAGAAAAGAGAGAAAACUAAUGAUUAGAGAAAAGACUCUAGGCUAAUAUAUAAAAAAUAAAAAUGGAAAGAGGUUGGGUAGUCAAGACGUGGACAUUAGAAGAAACACAAAAAAGAUUGAACAAUCGGGAUAGAACUCUUGGAAAACAUAAAAAAAGUUGGAAAGAACAUACCUGACUCCAGGAAAACAUGAAAAGGUAGGACAGUCAAAGCAUAACACUAAUAGAGACAAAAAGAGGUUGAAUAGUCUGGGCGUGACACUGAGAAAACAUAACAGAGGUCGGAUAGUUGGGGUGCAACAUCAAUAGAAAAACAUAAAUAAAAAAGUUGGAUAAUUAGGGUGUGACACUAACAAAGACAUAAACAAGUCAAACAAUCAGGGCACAACACUAAGAAAACAUAAAUAGGCCAGACAACUAAGGUUGACACUAAAUAAAAACACAAAGAAGUCGAAUUGUCAAGGUGCAACACUAAAAGAAACUUAAAAAAGGCUAGACAGUUGGGGCACAACACUAAAAAAAAAGAUAUAGAAAUACCGGACAAUCAAAGCGCAAUAAUGGAAGAAGCAUAAAAAGGUUAGAUAGUUAGGGUGUGACACUAAAAAAAGACAUAGAAAGGCUAGAGAGUGGGGGUGCAACAAUAGAAGAAGCAUAAGAAGACCUGAUAGUUUAGGCACAACAGUAAAAAAGAAACAUAAAGAAGUUGGACAUAGAGUGCAACACUAAGAGGAACAUAAAAAGAAGGUCUAACAGUCAUGGUACAAUACUAAAAAAAGACAUGAAAGCCAGAUAGUCAGGGUGUGACAAUAGGAGAAGUGUAAGAAGGUUGGAUAGUCAAGGCUUGACACUAAAAAUGACAUAGAAAGGCUAGACAAUUGAGGCAUGACAAUGGGAGAAGCAUAAAAAGGUCAAACAAUCUAAAUGUGACACAAAAGAGACAUAGAAAUGUUGAAUAGUCAGGGCACGACAUUGAAAAAAGACAUGAAAGGCCAGAUAGUCGAGGCGUAGCAUUAAAAAAUAUAUAAAAAGGUUGGAUCGUUAGGAUGUAACACUAAAAAAAGACAUAAAAGAUCAAGCAAUUGAAGCACGAUAAUGGAAGAAAUAUAAGAAGGUCGGAUAGUCAGGGCGUGACUCUAAAAAAAGACAUAGAAAAGUUAGAUAGUUCAAGGCACAAUGAUAAGAAAAGACAUGAAAGUUAGACAAUCAAGGCACAACUCUAAUAGAAGACAUAAAAAGGUCGGAUAGUGGUAGCAUGGCAUUAAUAAGAGACAUAAAAAGGCCAGCUAGUCAUGACGCAACUCUAGGAAAACAUAAAAGAUGUUAAAUAGUGAAGGUGCAACACUAGAAAAAAUAUAAAAAGGUUGAAUAGUCAAGGUGAGGCUUUAAUAGGAGACAUAAAAAGAGGUCAAAUAGUUAGGGCGCAGUAUUUAGAAAACAUAAAAGAUGUUGGACAAUCGGGGCAUGACACUAAUAGAAAAACAUAAAAAGGUUAGACAAUUAGGGUGUUGUAUUAAUAGAGACAUAAGAGGCUAAACAGUAGGGUGCAACACUAACAAAAACUUAAAAAUGGGUUAGAAUUUGAUAGUAAGGCACAAUCAUGAUGAAUGAAAAAGUGACUUGGAUAAUACUCAAAAUGUGGUUCUUAGCCAAAUAAUGAUCUAAAAGCAUAACUCGGGGCUAAAGGGUGACCGAGAAGAGGAUUUAACCAUAAAGUUCAAGGCUUAUCUAAAAUGAUAAAGAGAUGAUCUAACAAUAAAGCUUAGGCUAGUCGGUGAGCAAGAUAGAUAAGGAAAGAGGAGAAAACCUAAAGUUACAUGAAGUUUCAGCUGAGGGUUGAAUAAUGACUUAAAAGUGUGGCUUGAGGUUGAUCGAGGGUGAGACAAAAAUGAACUAAUAGUACGACUGAGGGUUUGAAUGAUGACUAAGAAAAUGCCAAGGAUGUGGUUGCAAAGACUGAAAGACAACUAACAUAAGACUAAAAAGAGAAAAGACAAAAGAUAGAAACAAAAUAACACAACCAAACAUAAAAUAACAUAACCAAGAUGAAUGAGAAUAAAACUCUAAAUAAAAAGUGUAACUAAGUACAAGAGAAACAAAAUGUCAUAGUAUAAGGAUCCUAAGGCAACCUAUACAAAUCUCGAUAUAUAUACUAGAAGACUAACCCAUAUGUACAUAUAUGAAUUCAUAAUGAUAGAAUAAUGAACAAUGGCUCAAAUGGGUACAACAAGUAUUGAAAGAGGUAUGGAUGAAAGAAUACAAAUGACCAAGACGAACAUAAUGAAUACAAACGAUGAAUCACCUGAGGAACCCACAACCUAGGUGAUCCUAUCUAUAAAGCAGAGAUGUGCCAAGAGGCCCUAACCCUAGGUAUGAGAAACGAGGUAAGCAAGGUGAUGAAUCAAAAGGCUAAAUGUGCAUGACUCAAUUGGCUAGCAAAGGGUAACUUUAUACACAAAGGUGAUUAGAUAAAUAGGCUCAUGAAAUGAUGACCACCCAUACUUUGAUCAUAACCUCAAACAUCAUGGUGUUAAACUCUCACAUGUUCAACACUAAAGAUUGGAGUCCAUAAAAAUGUAGGCAUUCCAUCCCUUUGAAAUCAUGCAUAAAUAUCCCAUUUUGGAUUCUCUAUAACAACCUCAAGAUUCUCCUUUCAACCAUAGAAUAGUCAAUGAUCUUGUGCAAUUGACCACCUUGCUCAUCAUAAGCCACCAUUCUCGUCUCAUAAAAUCAACCUCAAGUAACAAAUAAAUAGAUUGGAACAAUGUCCAUGUAGAUGAUGUGCUAUAAGCUAUGACAAGAAGGGAUGUAAAGGUCAUGUGAUGGUGUCAAGGGGUAAAUGUUGUACAAUGUUCAAGAUAUAUAGGAUGUAAAGGUCAAGGUGUGAAUGGAAGUGGAUAAGGUACAACUUUGAUCACAAGACAAAUGAACCAUAGUCUUAAGCUCCCUAAUUUGAUCCUUUAGCCUUAGGUUAAUGGGCUUAGUAUCCUCUAUGAUGGGUCAAGCCCAAUUAUCGUGACAUGCAAGUGAAUAAUGCAUCAUAUCGAAAGUUUAACAUGUGCACCAUAAGGCACGAACAUAUGUUCAAUGAAGAAGGUUGAGUCUAAUGAUCAAUGUAUAUCCAUAGUAGAAACAAAUACUAAUAGGUCAAAACACUCCACAAGGAAUAUAAACUCUAGCUACACUACAAGACUAACGCAAACUCGAUAACCAAGAUGAUUAGCUUUGAUGCAACAAAAUAAAUAGUCUCACCAACUUUGACAAGCGUCUCACCAUCUCACCUAGAAUAAGCUAGCUAGGUUCCCAAAACUCUAACUAACAUGACUUACCUAAAGAAGCCAUCAAUGACCCAUGGAACACAAAACCCUAGACUUAGGUCUAAAAAAGUCAAAUAAACAUAUCCCAAAAUGUUACACCUAAUGUACAACCUAAAAGACUGACAAUACAUUUAAAAAAAGUAAAUCCUUUCUAUAUACAACAUCUUAAGGUUGAUAAAAUUUUAAGGGGAAGAAGAGUACAAGAUCAAAAAAUGUAUAACCUAGAAGAUUGACUACCUAAAUCCAACCAAUGAAGAGUGAAGAGGAUGAUAAUAUAACUAAUCUAUGCUAAUGAAACUCUAAUGUUGAUGCAAAAUUGUUGUUAUCAAAUUCCUAUACAUGAAUACACCUACGUGUGGGUAGGUAUCCUAGGUCUAAGAAUCUAAUUCUCAUUCUACAAUGGUGAGUGGCUCUAAAUGAUGACUAAAUGAGCUGGCCACAAAACUUGGUAACCAAUUGUAGCCCCAACAGUAGUAGUUUUUCUAAGAAUAGGAAUGGGAAGGGUUUCACUUGAAUCAUAAGGAGCAUAAACUACUACUAGAUAGUUGGGACCACAUUCAAGUAUAAUUGUGCCACCGGCCAUUAUAUUUUCUUUGGUCUCCAUGGCCAACUCACAUUUUCUAACCUACAAAAUGAAGUUAUAUUAUUAGAUAUGAGCCAAUAUUUCUCUAUUUCAUUCUUUCAAGUCUACAUCUUCAAAUUAACAUUGGUGAAUAUUGAAAACCAUUUAUAAGGUACAGGUAAAAAUUUGAGAUAUGAAGUAAUUUUAGAUAACAUUGAAAAGAUUGAAUUAAGGCAUGUGAAUUAUUUUGUGGUUAUAUAAAGAAUAGUUAUUCUUAAAAUAAAAGAGGUUAGUAAUGCAUAAUAAAUCAAAAUAAUUACUGACUAUUAAAAAGUUUCAUACUAUAUGAAAUAAAAAUCCCAUAUGAUCUAAUUAUGUAGACAACAAAAUUGUAUUAUCUAUUUUGUGAAUGCACAAAAUGCUAAAAUAUUUUUUUGACAACUUUUUGAUUUUUCUUAUAUUACACCACAUAAAAGAAGACCAUAUAUGUGCCACCAACAAUUGAACUAAAUUCAAACAACAAAAUUUACAUAAAUUAUAUCUCCUAUUACAACAAACAUUAUCAUGAAAUUAGCUUAACUAGAUAAAUACCUUGUUCUUUGGUUCUAUUGGCAAUUGACUUCUCCACUACUUCUGGUAGGACAAACUGUUUUUGUUUCAUGUUCGAACUGCUAACAUCAUAUUAGGGAGUGACUGCUCCCACUUAAGGUAGUUUUGCUAGCACUUUUGCCCAAAAGUUCUUUGUUCUUCUUUAGAUGCUGCUAUAAAAUCCCUGACAACAAGAUCUACAACACUAUUAAAAUAUUGAUGAGGUGUGUGGUGCUUCCCUUUGGCCCUAACUCAACCCCUAUACUUAGGAGUACCCAAUUCUUCUACAAGUAUAUCAUUACUCCCACUGACACUCCUACCAUUCUCUUGAGACUCUUUCAAUGGCUUAUCCUUAAAAAAAAUGUUAAUUAUGAAGUUCAAUUACAAAUUUGUUAUCAUAAAUCAACUAUUAUAAAUAAAUGAAAUUAAGGUUGAAAAUAUCCACUUACUAUUUUCUCAAUCACUGGUAUGACCACUUCAUCAAAGGUGUCAUCCUUUUUUUCUCUUGCUUUCUUCCAUAAUAAGCUUCAAUCAAUAGUUUCAGCUGACCCACUUGCAACCAUCUUUUAAAAGGAGACAAUGUAUAAUGUAAUAAGCACAUAACACUAUUAUGUAUUAUGUAUAAAAUAAAUCAAAAAACUAUAAAUUAGUAUAAACUUACCAUCUCUUCCUCAAGACUAACAUAUCAUUUCCUACUUAGAUGGUGAUUAUAAAUGUGUUUCUUUCUUCUUUCUUUUUGAACUUCUCGAUAUUCCUAUAAAUUAAAAAUGUAUAAUUAAUGAAUGUGAAUACAAGAUAUGUAAAGAGUUGUAAUUAUACCUUAAAGAUAUCAAACAAUCGAUCUUUAACAAACAUUGUCUAAUCUGCAUCCUCAAUAAAAAUAUAUUGAAUUGGCAGUUUUUUAAGGAGAUCCGAUUGGUCUUUGAAAGGAAGAAUGUACUUUACUGUUAGCAUGUUCUUAAAUGAUCGAAAACAUUUUCCAAUUGUUAGCAUACAAUUCCUCCUACUUUUGUGAUUUAAUAAAAAAACAUGCUACACAUUAAUAGUAUAUGUGUUAGUAACUUCAUGUGGUUAGGAAUGAUUGAUGUUUUGCAUAAGGGUGAUGAAGGCAAGAAUGUGUUACCUCAAUGCUAUCCCAUAACUUAUCCUUCAACUGUUUAGAUACAACGUGCCAAGUUUGAUAUCUUAUUGGCACCAUAGUGCAUGUUAAUAUGCUUAAAUAACUUGUUAGAUGAACUGUUGAUUCUCCUAUGAAAAUGCCAUCGAGAUUGUACUUAACUUGCAACUUGAUCCUUUUGCUCCUGUUCUUGGUAAUCAUGGACUUUCGUGUCAUUCCUCUAUACUUUCUUUUGUUGGUUUUUCUCCUUUCUCUGGAUCCAUUCUUGUAACAAAAAAAAAAAAAAAAAAACAAAAACAAAAACAAAAAAAAACUAAUAAAGAUUAGUUAACAUUAUAUUAGAUAUAACCUUGUUAGAGAAAAGUUGUAAAAAAAAUAGACAAAACAAUCCCUCAUUAUUGCAUAAUUAAAUGCCACCAAUGAAAGGGCCUAAUCUAUUCUUAGUUUCUUAUUCACUUGUGCCAUAAAAGUGAGACAAUGACAAUCUUUAAUUAGCUUCAUUUAGUUGUGUGCUUCCAUUAUUGUAGACCCCAAAAUUUGUCCCAAUUUUAAAUCCCGAUUACAUGUGUUAUUUUAGCCCCACUCACCCUUUAAUUUUUAGUCUUUAUUAUUUUGUAAAUUUUUAUUUUUUAUUUAUUUUAUUAUUAUUAUUAUGCUUAUUUUAUUUUUAUUUUUUCAUUUUAUUAUUAUUAUUAUUAUUAUUAUGAUAUUAUAUUAUAUUUUUAUAUUUUAUAUUUUUAUUUUAUUAAUUUUCUUUUAUUAUUUUAUUUUUCUCUCUCUCCUCUCUCUUCCUUUUUUUUCUCCCUCACCUACCUUCAUCUACCCACUCAUUCUCUCUCUCCUCUCACACCACCGGCCACCAUCAAAACAUCUCAUUUUUUUAUUUUAUUUUUUAUUUUCUUUUCAUUUCCCCCCCCCCCAAUUUUCCCCCCAUUCUCCAUUCCCACAUGGGGGACCCCCCUGAUUCCCAUUUCCCCCUCCCCCCUCCCUCCCUCCAUUUUUGAAAUGCGCCCGGGAACAGUAGAGAGCCCCAUUUUUUUUUUCUUUUUUCUUUUCUUUCUUCUUGCUUUUGCUUUUUCUUUUCUUUCGGGGAGUUUUUUUAGGUUUUUUGCCCAGCCCCCCUCUCCAUUCACUCUCACGCGGUCGACACCCCACCUUGGCUUCUGGGCAUUUUUUUCUUUUCUUCUCCCCCCAGAACGCCCACAGAAGCAGCCCCCAAAUUUUUUUUCUUUCAUUUUCCAUCUUCUUCCUCCUUCACCCCAGUCCACCACAUCUCUCUUCCAGUAGCAUGACCCUAACCCCCACUCCCUUUUGCGCCUUUUCCGGCUUCCUUCCAUCCCCACUUUUUUUUUUCUCCCAUUUUAUUUUAGUUUUUAUUUUAUUUUAUUUUGCUUCCCGAAAACCCGUCCAUCCUCAGAGUCGCCACCGGCGACCCCCUUCCCAUCCCAUCCCAUCCGUUUUCCCGUUAUUAUUAUUAUUAUUAUUAUUAUUAUUAUUAUUGUUAAUUAUCAUUAUUAUUAUUGUUGUUGUUAUUUUAUUCUAUUUUAAUGGUAAUUGUUGUUUAUGAAAUUUGGUUAUUAUCAUUUGUUAUUGUUAUUAUUAUUAUUGUUAAUUGUCAUUAUUAUUAUUAUUAUUAUUAUUAUUAUUAUUGUUAUUUUAUUUUAUUUUAUUUUAAUGGUAAUUGUUGUUUAUGAAAUUUGCAUUGUUGAAUUAAUAUGAAACUUGGGGUUAAUUUGUUGUUGGUAGAUUAAUACAUAAUUUGAUUUAAUUUAUUGUUAGUAAAUUAAUUUGAAAUUUGUUAAUUUGGGUUUGUGGGCAUAUUGUUUUUGGUGAUUAAUUUGAGGAUAUUUAUAUUAUAUCAAUUGCAUAUUGUUUAUUUAAACUUGGGCCUAUUGUUAAGUUGUUAUUUGUUUGGGCUUGAAAUAUUAUUUCUCCUGACCAUGUAAUUGUUUUUUUUUUUUUAGUGGGUUUGUUAAUUGAUGUGGAUUUUGGGGCCCAUAAUGUGGGUGAGAUUUGUUAGAUUAUUUGAAUAUUUGAUAUGGGCUUAGCCAAUUUGAAUUGUUUAAUUUGGGCAUGGGACAAUUGUGGUGUAUAUUGAACUAGGCUUAAAUUAUGGAGUAUUAAAUUUAGGUCUAGUAGAAUUUAUUUUAAUUUAUCCAAUUUUAGGUUUGGUUGAUUGUGUUUGUAUUUCUUUUGUUAUUAAUUUGGAUGUUCUGGGUUAAGACCUAUAGUAAUUUGGGCUCAUUUUAAUUGAUGAAAUUUAUGGGACUAAUUUGAAAUUGGAAUUUGGGUUUGAAUAUUUGUUUGGGAUUUUAUACAUCUCUGGAUAUUUACAUCUAUGCUAUUCUUGUUUUUUGCAUGGACCCACUUUGCAAUCUUGUCAACUGAGUACGAAUUGAUGACACGUGGAACUUAUUGUAAGUUUAUUUGGGUACAUAUUUUAUUUCUCACUUUUUAUUUGGUUUUAUUUUUAUUAGUUUGUAUAAAUAUUCGUUCGCAUGUAUUUAUUGAGUGUGUACAGAAUUGAACAUCAAACAAACUAGAAAUUUUGUUUAAAUGAGAAGAGGAAGUCAGCAAAUGUGUUUUAAUAAAACAACAAUUUUAAAAUAUUAUUUUUAAUAAAGGAAAGUUUUUAUUUUAUUUUAUUUUAUUUUUUAUUUAUAAAAAUUAAAAAAAAUGCAUUUAGAAAAAUCCCAAAAGAAAUGUUUUUAAUGGAAUUUGAAAAUUUGUUUUUAAAUAAUAUUUGUCCAAAAAUUUCUUUGUUUAACAAAAAUUUUCCAAAUAUUGUUUUGUAAAUAAAGUUGUCCCAAAAAUUAAUUUUUAAUAAAAUCGUCCAAAAAAAUGUUUUUUUUAAUAAAUUCUUUUUACUUAAUUAAAAUUGGAUUAAAAGUCAUUUUUAGAAAUAGAUGAUUUAUUUAUUUAUUUUAUUUUUAGUUUUACUUUUAUUUUUAUUUUUUCCUUUUAAUUAAAAAUUAUUUUGUAAAUAAAGUUAUGUCAUUUUAAAUAAUUUAUAAAAAUCACUCUUUUAAAUGAAAAUGAAUCUAUAUACUUUUGUAAAUAAAAUUGUAAACAUUCAUUAUUUUCUACUAAAAGCAAGUAAAAAUAAUUUUUGUGCCCAAAUUGAAAUUUUGUAAUAAAUUCUUUUGAUACAAUCAGUGUAAAUAACUUUUUUGAAAAUUGAACACAACUGAAAUUGAGAAAAUAAAUUGAUUCUUUUUUUAUAAGUAAAUAAAUGGAAAUCACUAAUUCAAAAUCAUUUCUAAUAGAAUCCUUUUAAAUUUCUUUAAAACUUUUUUUUAAAUAUCUUUUAUUUAUUUAAUUCAAUAAAUCAUUUUGCAUAAUCCUCUUAUUAUUUAUUUUGUGUAUUCUUGUAAUUAGAUUUCAUCAUCGUUUUUGUGCAUAUUAAUUUUCACCAUGACUUGUAUAUUGAUUAUUUUUCUUGGUAUCCAUAAUUAAUUAAUUAAUUGCCACAAUUUCCUCAAUUCGUUUAGUAGAGGUCGUACAUAUAUGGGCUUAGAGAGGUGCUACGGCUCACCACCAUUCCUUCCCAAUGAGUAACCUGACCCCCGGACCCAAACUCGGUUUUUCACUGACCCGUUUUUUCCUUCAGGAGUCACACUUAGGGUUUUUCUUUCUUAUUUUGUUUUUCCCUUUAAAAAUAAGUGGCGACUCCAAGUCUUUUUCUAAAAAUUGAAUUUUCACCAAACAAAAUAAAAAGCGAGUUUCGCCAUCGAGUGGGAACGCAUCGAGAAAAUGAGAGGUCCACAGUUAUUUAUACCUUUUGUUGUUUCAAAUAUAUAUAUAUAUAUAUAUAUAUAUAUAUAUAUAUAUACAUACAUAUAUAUUUAGUGAAUUGUAUGUAUUCAUAUCAUAAAUUUCAUGGACCUUUUUUUGGAAUGGUUCAUCACAUAACGAAGUUGACAUUUCAGUUUAGCUAUUUUUUCUCCCUCUUUCUUGCUCAUUUGAUUUAUUUUAAUUUAAAUUUGUUUUAUUUUAUGAAUUUGUAUAUUCUAGUAUGUGUUUCUCUUAUUAUUUUUUCUAAUCCAUUGUCAUUUUCUUUUGUCUUUUCCUAUGAGAGGCUUUUAGAAUUUCAUAUUUAACUUACUGAAUUGUUAACUUGUUCAUAUCAAAACUAAAAAUUGCAUAUAAUUGAAUGAUUACAUUUUAUUUUUUACAAACAAGAAUUUUACAAGAAUCAUACUUGAUAUUUGCUUUAGUAUAUUGAAUUUUAAUGACAAGAAAUGUCAAAUGUAGAAGCAAAAUAAUAAUAAUAAUAAUAAUAAUAACCUCAAAAUGGCAUCAACUUAGGCAAUCAACUUGAUGUUCUUUGGAAACAAAAAAAAAAAAAAAAAAAUUACUUGUUUUGUGGGAUCUGCAACCCACUCGACAUCAUUUAUUUGUACAUCAUUAUUAGAAUUUUACAAUUCAACUACAUAAAGGAUUUGUUCUCAAUCCAAAUCCCCUCGUAAUGACCUCUUAUAUAUAUUGCAUUUGAGUCAUCCAUUGCAUCAAACGCUUCAAUUUCUAGCAAUGUCCCUAUAAAGGGAUGACGUUCAAUAGAAUUGUCCACAAGGUCAUCACCUUCUUCCUUAUCCAAGAAAUAUUUUUGAGGAGUUGACAAAACAACUAACCAUCUUGGAUCAAUUUGGUCUUGCACAUAAAAUACUUGCUUGGCUUGAGAUGCCAAAAGGAAAAUAUUUGAUUUAUGAGAAAUUUUGUUAAAGUCAACUAAUGCAAAGCUAAGAUCAUCAACUUUUAUGCCAUUCUUAUUAUCAACCUAAUCACACUUGAAAACUAGUACCCUAGACAUGGUAUAGUCAAGGUCCCAGAUCUCGUUAAAAAUCCUGUAGAAAUAAAGCUCACCAAACACUAGCUUUUGAUUCUUGGUACUUGCAAUUUGCAUUGUUGAAGCUACAAUACUAACUCCACUAUUUUGGGUUGCUCGUAAGUCAUCACACUCCUUGUUAUGGUAUCGACAUCCUUUAAUGACAUAUCCAUGAUAUUUCGAGACAUAGUGGCUAGGACCAUGAGCUAUCCACUUAAAGGUUUCAGAUAUAGGUUCAUUGUUACCAAUUGCAGCUUCAAUUUAUAAUUAUAAAUAAUAGUUACUAUGUAUGUUCAACAUUAGUAAAAGGAAUAUUUCAAAUUUUAGCACCAAUUCGAUACCUUUUUUCAAAACCAAUAGGUAAAUAUUUGCAUGUGUUCAUCUUGGAGCCACUUUUAUCUUUUAUGUUGACAAGGAUUUUUCAAUUUCAAACAUUCCAUGUGCUCUCUAUGCAAUUAUUUAUAAGAAAUUCAAAGUUACUGUCCUAUAGUUAAUUUAAGUAUAAUAGAUAAAUAUUAAGUGUUAGUAGUUCUUACUCGAUGUAGGGUUGGACAAUAGUUUUAUUCUCUAAAACAUAAUGAUGUGCAUGCAACCAAAAAUUAGAAUUAACGAUCACAACUUGACCUCCAGGUCUGGGUGCCCCAACUUUUUGGUUAAUGUUUACACUAACAGGAAUCCUAAUUGCAUCUAUAUUUGAUAAGUACUCUGUACAAAAUUUCAAUAGCUUCUUCCGCAAUAUAUCAUUUGAUGAUGCAACCUUCGGGCCAGUUACUAUUUCGUACAUACCCUAUCAAAACUUUCGUGAAUAUUUCAAAAUGGUACAUCCACCGUAGGUAAACUGGUCCACAAAGUCUGACCUCUCUUACAAAAUGCACAGUAAGAUGAAGCAUGAUAUCAAAGAAGGAAGGUGGGAAGUACUUCUCAAGUAAGCAUAAUGUCACCACUACAUCAUUUUGUAACUUAUCCAAUGCAGGCACAUCAAACACUUUGCUACAAAGAGCAUUGAAAAAAAAAACUCAAUCUACAAAUAGCAUGUCUUACAUGCUUUCGCAAAAUUGAUCGUAAUGACAUUGACAAUAACUCUUGCAUUAAUGCAUGAUAGUCAUGGGAUUUAAGACUAUAAAGCUUCAAGUCUUCCAUUGACACAAGGUUUCUCAUGUUAGAGCAAUAACCUUUGCGAACCCUUAAUUGUGAUAAAGUUUAGCCAAAAAGCUUCUUCUCCAGUUUAGAUAGUGUGUAACAUCCAGGUGGGAGAUAAGUUUGAUUUGAUUCAAACCUUGGCCCUAAUUCACACCUUAAGCCCAUCUCCAUAAGGUCUAAAUGAGAAUUAAGUUCAUCAUUUGUCUUACCUGGAAUGUUAAGGUACUGAUGAUGUUUUCACAAGCAUUUUUCUCUAUGUGCAUUACAUCUAAGUUAUGACAAACAUGUAGGUAUCUCCAAUACUCAGGAUUAAAGAAUAUGAAUUUUUUCUUCCAACAAUUUCUAGUUUUUACAUUCAACUUACCUCGAGUGAUCUUUUUUUUCCCCAUGAAUUACAAAUGACAUUAGUUUUCCUUAGAAUUUCCUCUCCACUCAAUGGUUUCGGAGGUGACCGAAACUCUUGUUCCCCAUUAAAUGCCUUUUUCUAUUUCCUAAAAGGAUGAUUGCAAUGAAGAAAUUGUCUAUGACUUGUAUAUGAGUUCUUUUUCCCAUGAUUCAAUCUAUGAGAGUAUGUAUCUUCCCUAUAGAUGGGGCAUGCAAAAUAUCCUUUAACUAUGCAACCGGAUAAGUUUCCAUACAUAGGAAAAUCAUUGAUUGUCCAUAGUAGAACAUCUCUUAAUGUAAAGAGCUCUUGUUGAUGUGCAUCAUAAGAUUCAACCCCCACCUCCUACAACAUUUUUAGGUCAUCUAAUAAUGGUGCUAAACAAACAUCAAUGUAAUUUCCAGGUUGUUAUGGACCCGAUAUUAACAAAUACAACAUCCUAAACUUCAUUUUCAUUCAUAACCAAGGAGGAAGGUUAUAAAUGACCAUUAUAAUAGGCUAACAACUAUGUCUACUACUUAUUGAACUGUGAGGAAUUAUACCAUCAACUGAAAUGGCAAGUCUAAGGUUUCUAGGUUCUAAAGCAAAAUUAGGCCAUCUGUGAUCAACUAGCUUCCAUGAUGAGGAGUCGGAUGGAUAACACAAUUUGCCAUCAAAUUCUCUUUCUUGGGCAUGCCAUAUGAGGUCUUUUGCAACUUUUAGGGACCGAAAAAUCUUCUAAAUCUUGGAAUAUAAGGAAAAUACCACAUUACUUUUGCAGGGACUCCCUUCCUCUUUUUAGUUUUUGUUCUAUCUAACUUCCAUCAUGAAGUUCCACAAGUUGGACAUGAAUAUGCAUCCUUCAAAUCAUUCCUAUACAAUAUGCAAUCAUUUGGACAAGCAUGUAUUUUCUUAGAUUCCAUUCCCAAUGCAUUCAAUGUCUUUUUUUCUUCACACAUAGACAAGGGCAACUCAUUGUUUAGAGGUAACAUAUCUCCAACAAUUCCUAAAAGCUUUGAAAAACUUUUAUCAGACCAUCCAUAUCAUGCUUUUAGGUUGUAUAAUUUCACCAAAGUAUGUAACUUUGUAAAGUUUCUACAACCAGGAUAUAAAUGUUUUUGGGCAUCUUCAAGUAAUGUUUCAAAAAAGUCUGGGUCAUUCUUACAAUCAUCAUCUGCAGCUAGCAUUAAUUCUACUAUACUAUCCACAUCAAUAAAUUGAACCUUAUGAUGACAUUCUGCCCUACUAGUUGGUGGUCCACUUGAAGUAGCAUCUCCAUGCCAAUACCAUGUAUGGUAACUCUGAUCAAUUCCAUAGAAAAAUAAAUGAUCUCUAAUAUUUUGAGAAGUAUGGAAUAUCAUAUCACCACAUUGAAGGCAUGGGCAUUUAAUGGAGUUUUUAUAUGUGGAAUGUUUUAAUGCAAAUGCGAUAAAGCUUUCUACCCUAUCCGCAUAAUCCUUUGAUCUCAUAUCCUUUGACAUCCAAGAACGAUCCAUUUGUUGUAUAAGAGAGAAACAAAGCUCCUAGAUACCACCAACCACUAAAGUUAUUAAUAACUAUCCUAUUAAUAGCCUCAAAAUAUAUGAUCCACCAAUUUUAAAUUCCAAACAUUGUCACAAAAACUUUUACCAAUCCAAAAAACAACAAUGGGUAAGUCAUCUAACUAUAAGCAAUAUGACAACAAAUAUAAUUAGUUUAUUAGGUUAUUAAAAAGUUAGAAUAAAAAAUGGAUAUGAAUUCCAUCAUUAUGUUUCGUUUGUGCAUGAAUAGGAAUCAAAAGUUAGAUGUAACUCUCAAUCUUGUGUUCUAUUCUCAAGUACACCAAGUUUGAAAAAUACAAAAACACAUCAUUUCUACAAUGCCACAAGAUGAGUAAGACAUAUGGAUGGAAAUAUCUUUUUAACUAUGGGUUGAAAAUCAUUUCUUUUAAAUCUAAGUAUCUUCUUAACAUCAUCUUGAUUGUUGAAUAGUAUCAAACAUAGACAUAUGAAAGAGUAAUAAUUGAGAUAAUACCAACUAAUACAUAAAUAUCACUAUGGAAAAAAAAAAAAAGUUUCCAAAUGUUUCAAUUAAUAGGAAAAAAUGGGCUUCCUCCAUCAAAAUUUGAUAGAGUACUUAAAAUGAGACUUAAAAGUUCACUUGUUCGAUGAAGCACAAAAUAAGGAAGGUAAGUAGAGGAUGAUACUCAAUGAUUAAGCUUUCAAUAGUUUCAUUGAAUUUGCUCCCAGAUGAGACAAUGAUACCAUGAACUAAAAAAGUGAACCAAUGUGGCUAAGCUUUCAAUGAGUAGAAGCAAGUAGUUUAUGCAUGAUUUAUGCAUUCUAACAUCUCCAACAUCCUUAAUUAGGUAGUGGUUCCUAUCCCAUAUAGGAAUACAUAAUUCCUAUGUAUCAAUUACCAAUGUACUCAAUUUAAUUUUAAAGAAAUUUCAGUAACAUUUUCCUAAAGUUCUCCAAGUACACAAAUUAGGUAGUGGUUCCUAUCCCAUAUAGGAAUACAUAAUUCCUAUGUAUCAAUUACCAAUGUACUCAAUUUAAUUUUAAAGAAAUUUCAGUAACAUUUUCCUAAAGUUCUCCAAGUACACAAAAUGGACAAGGCACAAUAUGUAACCUUGUUCAAAUAUGCACCAAGAGAACAAGAGGAAAGACUACCAAACUUUCUAAAAAUUGAAUUAAGAACAAACAAUUAACUUCAUAGAUAUUAUGUUUUCCUAUACUAUCCAAUUGGAUAAUUCAAGCAUCAUUUGUAGAGAAAAGAUCGUUAUCACAUGCUAGACAAAUUUAAAAGUUGUUAACUUGAAAAUGGCCUAGAUAGACCAUUUUCACCAUUUUACAACUUAAAUGUCUUUAUUAUGUAAUAAGAGAAAAUUUUGUCUUCCAAUGAUACUUGAAUGGGAACUUUAAGGUUUUAUGCAUGCAUGUUUGAUUAAAAUUAAAACAUUAUAAUGAUUUAUUGAAUUAUUAUAACAUAGCAACAUAACUCUCAUUCUAUCAUCUUUAUCUCAAAUAUAUAAUGUUUAAGAUGAAGCCACAAAAACCUUUUCACAACUUAGACCAACAUCUUCUACAAAAAGGGUUCACACUAAAUAUAAUCAAAUUAAUAUUAUUUGACAAUUUUAAAUGCACAAUAAGUAAUUAUCUUACAAAACAAAUAAUAAGGCAACUAAAAGAAAACCAUAGUGACAUGAUCAUGCAAAUGAAUUUCACCUACAAAACAAGUAAUGUGAAUGCCACUAAUUAUAAUAGAAUAUAAGGCUCAAGAGGAGGUGGAUAAGCAUGCAAAGGAAAAGUCAUGACUGAUAACACACUUGUUGGUUUUAGUACCUGUGGACCCGCAUUUCUCACAUGCGCCCCCACUCGAUCGGCGAGACUUGCCUUUUAUUUGGUGACAAAUUUUGUUUUUGGAAAAAGUUGGAGUAGCCACUUAUUUCAUUUUAUUUUAAAAAGGAAAAUCAAACAAGAAAGAAAACCCUAAAAAAAGUGAUUCCAUAGUUUUUGGAAAAGCAUGUCUUUGAAAAACUCGAGUCUAGGUCUAGGGAUCAGGUUACCUAUUGGGAAGGUACCUUUAAAAAGGUAGCACCCCUCUAAGCCCUAAAGAGGUCUCUACUGACUAAGUCAAGGGGAAUGUGACAAUUAAUUAAUUGAAGGUACUGUGGACCCUCACCCGAUCCACCAGACCGACGCGACUCGCUUUUAAAAGAAAAGAAAGAAAUGAAAAAGUUUGUGUUUUCUAGUAUUGAAAAACCCGCCCCCGGUGAGGAACGGUGUUGUUUGGAGUCGCCACUUACUUUUUAUUUUUGUUUUUAAAAUGGGGAAAAAUUAAGUAAGAACAAAAACCCCUAAUGGCCCCAGUAUGGAAAAAACGGUCUACGAAAACUAGAUUCUGGGUGCGGGGAUCAGGUUACCCGUUGGGAAGGUACCUCAUGCGAGGUAGCACCUCUCUAGGCCCGAAACUCGGUCUCUACUAAUGAAUUGGGUAUGUGGGAGCAUAUGGGUCAAAGGUCAAAUGAAACCCUAGGCUAAAUAGAUGUCAUGAAUCACACAAUCCUAAUUGGUAUUUGGCAUGCAUAUGAAUUCAACCAAACAAAACAAUGGGUGCGUACCUGUGGUCCCUAGCCAGGCGCUGCAUAAAAGGUCAGCCAAACACAGAUAAACACAUAACAAACAUUCAAGAUUAAGCACCAUGCAUGCAUAUGAAUUCAACAACCAAAGCCAACGAUGCGUACUUGUGGUCCCUAGCCAAGCGCUGCAACAGAGGGUGAGUCAGUCACGCAACAUGUAUUCAAAAUCAAGCAUCAAAGCUUGUGCCAAAAAGGAAGAUAGCUUGUUGAAAUGAGGUAAGGGACUCCCCAAAUGUCAUACGAAUUGAACUAGACUCAUCUAGACCACACCACCCAUAACUUCAAAAUUGCCCAUACUAACUGAAAUCAAACACUGACUUAAACCUUCAAGAUGGCUCACAAGUGCCCUAUAGCAAAUGGGUUUGAGCCCCCAUGGAUAAGGGCUCGAAAAAUGACAAAAUCGAGGGCUACCUAAAGUCCUCCAGCAGAACAGGUUGAACUAGUUCUCAACUGGUACAACCUAUUGAGAAGAAUUCCCAAAUUUUUCUAGAAAACUCUUAAAUGAGUGAGGAUUCAAACAAAAGAAACGACACUCAAUCCCGAGCCUGGAUGAGUGAGAACCAGACAAAGAAAGGCAGGUGUUCCUCAUGGCUGACAGAGGCAGCCAACUAUGGUGUUGAACCGGUUCCCAACCAGUCCAUCCGGUUGAUAAAAAAUCCCAUAUUCGGUCAGAAAGUUCCUAAGUGAUUAAGGAAGCAAACAAAAGAAAUGGUUCUCAAUUCCGAGCCCUGAUGAGUGAGAACCAGACAAAGAAAGGCAGGUGUUCCUCAUGGCUGACAGAGGCUGCCAGCCAUGGUGCUGAACCGGUUCAGCCGGUUGAUAAAAAAUCCCAAAUUCGGUCAGAAAGUUCCUAAAUGAUUAAUAACCAAUCAACAACAAUCAUGUGUGGCCUUUAUUAUCCACACCCAAGAAAUACAAUCUUCAUAUCAAAGGGAAGAAAAGAUGAUGCGGAAUGAGAAAAAGCAUAUGAAGACGAGGAAGAUAAACUGUAAGUAAAGAAAAUUCAGCAUGCUUACCUCAAAAUCUCCACCAAAUAUGAUCCAUGUAUGCAGAUGAUGACUUCCAAAACUGAGAUGCUGUCACUCUCCUCUUCAAAAAAGCCACAGUGCUGAAGCUUUCCCCCACGCUCUCAACUCAGAAGAUGCUACUGACCUUUUGUUUUUCUCACUAGCAAAAUUUCUCCUCUCCAAAAUGUCCCCUCCUAUCCUUUGCUCUCCUAUCCUCUCACCUUUUAUACUCAUACCCCUCUUAGCAUUUGAGCCUCCUGGAUUCUUUCCCCUUCAGCACCAAAAUCCCCUUCAUCAGCAUGGGAACCACACCCCUCAUUACUUCUCUUAAACUUACGAGGCCAACUCACUCCUUCAGUUUUCAGCUUGCUUCACCACCAAGAAUCCAUAUGGAUUCGUGGUGGGCUGGAAGGAACCCAAACCAAGGCCCAAAAUGGACCCACAACAUUGCCCAAAACCGAUCUGGAGCUUAUGGGCCAGAGCCAUGUAGGAUUUGGGCCUCAAAAUUACUAGAAUUAGUGUUUUACCUCAGCUGACUCAAUGAACCGGCUGAACCGGCCGAACAGGAUGCCAACUGGUCGAACCGAUGGAAAAAAAUUCUGAAAAUUUUACAGAAUGUUCCUAGUAGAGUAAGGAAUCCAUUAAAAAAAACGGUGCGUGAUUCCAAGUUCGGAAGAGGGAGAUAUGGUCAAAACAAUUACCAAAAAUCAGUGUUCUACACCGGCUGACUAGAUGAACCGGCUGAACCAGCUGCCAACCAGUCGACCGGUUGUAAAAAAUUUUGAAAAUUUUACAGAAUGUUCCUGGAAGAAUAAAGAAUCCAUAAAAAGAAACGGUUCUUGAUUCUAAGUUUGGAUGAGGGAGAUACGAUCAAAACAAGCCCGAGUGCUCCAAACCUCAACAUGCCCCUAUAAACUCCAACUAAGCUAAAACAUCGGGAUGACCCCACUUCCUUCCUAUAGCGUGAUAUGAACGACUAGGAAAAUGGCCAUGGUGACCCUCCAAAAUGAACCAAAUAUGCAUCACAAUGGACCACAGACAAACCCACACGAGGCUCGGACACCGACUAAGCCCAAAGGGGGCCCUAGUGGUGCCAUAUGCGAACGAUGGGUGGAUGUGACACCCGAAGGAUAAAUUCCAGUGUCGAGGGACAAAAUUGAGGGUCUACAAAUAUGCCCCUCUUUGGUAGAGUGAAUGAACGAGUGAAUUGUGAGUGCGAAGUGCAUGUAAUGCAAGAGUGAAAUGAACUCUAGUGAAGAACCCAAAUGACCAACAAUUUUGUCCCCACCCAACAAUAAAGAAGGCUAAGGGAAAUAAGUCAUGCUGACCGAAUGGACUAUGGGAUCUAGGCACAAUGCCAGAGAAAGAUAAAAGGAGACCCGAUCACGAUGUCGGGAAAGAUUAGGGAUUUGAUCUGGGCAAGUACCGGAGAAGGGUUCGGGCAAGUACCGAAAAAUGGUGGAAUCUGGGCGAGUACCGGAAAAGGGUUAGGGCAAGUACCGAAAAAUGGUGGAAUCCGAGCUAGUACCGAAAACGGGUAAAAUUCGGGCGAGUACCGGAGAAGGGUCCGGGCGAGUACCGAAAAAGCUCCGGGCUAGUACCGGAGAAGGGUCCGGGCGAGUACCAGAAAAGCUCCGAGCACGUACCGAAAAAUGGUGGAAUCCGGGCAAGUACCGAAAACGGGUAAAAUUCGGGCGAGUACCAAAAACGGGUAAAAUUUGGGCGAGUACCGGAGAAGGGUCCAGGCGAGUACCGGAGAAGGGUCUGGGCGAGUACUGGAAAAGCUCCGGGCAAGUACCGGAGAAGGGUCCGGGCAAGUACCGAAAAAUGGUGGAAUUCGGGCGAGUACCGGAGAAGGGUCCGGGCGAGUACCAGAAAAUGGUGGAAUCCGGGCGAGUACCGGAGAAGGGUCCGGGCGAGUACCGAAAAAUGGUGGAAUUCGGGCGAUCAAACUCAGGCACGAUGCCGAGGAACCACCGAACUAAAAGGGGGUAGGGAUGCCAUUACUAAGGUUCAAAACACCUAAACAGACAGGGGAUGCCUUAAAGCAAAACUCAUAGCAAAAUAGGGGGACUCAAGAUGCAACCGCUGAUAUACUAACCAUGAUAACAAAGGGGUAUGCCCCAGUAUGACGUCCAGGGACUGCCAACAAAUGACUCGAAGAAGCCAGAAAUCAAACACCUUCAUCAUGACAAAAGAAAGGGGUAUGCCCCGGUGUAACACCAGAAAAUGCCGAUAAAUGACAAGUGAGAAAUCACAAUCACCACUAACAAAUGGAAAGAAAGGGGUAUGCCCCUAUAGGACAAACUCACAAAUGUGACCAAGGGUGAAAGGAAGGAGUUAUGCCCCAGUCUAAGAUAUCAAUAUCAUGUCAGAAUCCCAUAACCGCACAUAUGGUUAAAGUCAGAGAGCUGAAAAUAUCACAAUCAUCCAUUUCUAAGGGAAAAACCCUCUACUCUAAUCCACAACAUCCAAUAUCCACAAAAACUGAUAAGGGAUAUGCCCCAGUGUGUACAUCUGAAACUCAAAUAUCUUAAUGAAAAAUCUGGAAUACAUCACUGAAGACCCACUCAUUUGAACUAAUGAACAAGAUAAUGAAUGGGGUAUGCAGCCCUGCUGGGUCAAUGAAUACCGUGAAUCUGAUAUCGGGUCAGACCCCAGAAACACUCUGCUAUAUGAAGAAACUGAGCUGAAUGCGGGUCUUACUCAAACUUUGAUGUCCAUAACAUUGCUAGGCGAAACGGAAUGCCUGCGUACAUGUAUAAAGAGCCAAAGCCAGCAUGCAAGGAUAGGGGCAUGCCCUAGUAUAAACGUGUCAAAACAUCAAGCAAAGGUGCCCUCAACGGUCCCAACUCUCUGUAUCAUCUAUCUCUGAUCAUGGACCUGAGGCAAGUAAACUGAAUGGAAAGACAAUAUGUGACCCUCGAUAUCCCCCGAAGUAAUGGAGACCUGUCAACAUCCCAUACUCAAUCAGUAGACGAAGCCUGUAUGAAUGAACCGCAUCGAAGCAAACACGAGAUCUCAUGGCCUCAGGGUGGUCUUACGACUCGGACCGUAAUGUAGGCUAGGGGUAAAAGGUGAAUGAAAUGAUGGGAAACAAAGGCCCAAAUCUCCCAAUAGAUAAUGCCAAACCCCUGUGUGCGCAGUGUCAAAUAUCGCAGAACCAUGUGAGCAAGGUGACUCAACCCUGCAUCCAAAUAAAAUACAAACAAUAGGUGAUACGCACCAAAGAACUCAUCGUUCAUGAAGUGAAACAACGAUCGACGAGGAUAGAAGCAGACGAAAAGGGAUAAGAUGAUUGAUGAAUGGGUGAUUACUACUCAAAAAGGGCUAUUUGAUAGCUUGUAAUUAACUUUUUUAAACACUUUUGAGUAGUAGUUGUUACCUUUUAACCCAAUUAACAUAUUAAGGACCUUUGCAAUCACUUCUAAUCACUUUGUGUAAGUUUUGGUGUUUUUGUUAGUAAUUUGAUCACCAAAGCAAUCCAAGUUUGAGGAGAGUUAUUUGGAAUCCAUGGAAAAGCAAUGGAAAGUUUAGAAACAUAAAGAGCCAAAGUUGUGAAGCUUUAAAGUCCUUUUCCAUAAGCAAUCCGGAAUGCAAGGAGGGGAAGUAAAGAGAAUAUCUGUCAUGAAGCAUUCUUGAUGACAGUCAUUUCAGCCACUUUUGGAGCACUUCCUGAAGUCCAAUUUAUACAUGCUAUAUGUCGUUUCGAAGAUCAGGAAGUCAACAAUCUAAUGCUUCAAACGGUUUACGAAUCGGAGUUGAAAUGAAGAAGUUAGAGCCAUUGGAAGCAGAUCACUCCAAGCUGAAGGCCAAUUUCGCAGGGUUGCGAAAUCAUCCUUUGGCUGCGAAAUGAUUUCGCAGCCAUCUUGUUUGUCUGCGAAAUUUCGCAGCCAUUUUGUGCUCCUGCGAAAUUCUCCUGAGUGCUUCCAGAUAUUUGCGACUGACAUUUUUUGAUAUUUUGCUUCAGAUAUUUGAUGUAUAAAUCCCAAUUCUCUCCUUGUAAUCCACCAAUUAUAGGAUUCCUUAGUUGUUAAGCAAGAACACAAGGGUAAACAACCUCAUAUAUAUUGUUUUGUAAUUUUCAUUUUAUCAAUCUCGGGAGCUUGUUCUUAGAGAACCAACUUUUUGUAUAGUUUGAAAGGAAGUAAAAUACAGAGCUUUGCUCUACCUUACCUUCUCACUUUGAUUGUAUUUUUCAUUCACUAGCCAAGCAAGCUCUGAGGAUGUUUCUUCAGAGGAUGGGUGGCUAGGCUUUUUGUUUCUUGGAGCUAAGGUAGCCGGGGAAAGGGCCGAAUGCAAGAAUUGGUAGUUUUGUUGUUUCAGCUGUUAAUGAAGAGAAAGUGUAACCCGUUUAUGAUUUCUAUGUUUUUAGUUAACUUAAAACGCCUUCAAUUCACCUGAGCCAACACUUGGUAAGGCAAGUAAUCUCCAUCCAUGGAGAUGCACUAGUUUACCUCUUUCGAGCUUUUGGGAGGUGACCUGAAGGUAGGAUUUUCUAGAAUUGCCAACACUUGGUAAGCUUUUGGACUCUAAGGAGGCAUCCAUUAGUUAUCUCUUGCGAGCUUGAGAAGGGAAGUCCAAAGUUAAUGAUCACCUUGAAUGGAAAAUGCUAGAUGAGAGGCACGAGUCAUUGCAAGUUGCAUUAGUGAGAGGGAAUUAAAGCUGAAAUCCAUUUAAGGGAUGCAUCUGUACAACACCGAUUAGAGAAUUGACUAUAUGUUAAUUCUCUAAUGCGAGGAAAUGAACCAAGUGACCGAAGCUCUAUUUUUGCAUGAGGAACCUCCCCUGUGAACCUAAACCUCCAAGGAACGUUUUUCUUUAUAAAGUAAUUCCCAUUACUUUCUUUUUAGUUAGCUUGAAACCAAACCUUUUUCAACCAAAGUUUAUGUUUUCUUUUGAAACUAACCUUGAAAUGAAAAGGCACCAAUUCAACUUUGAAUUGGUAUCAGUUGUAAGUUGAAAACCCUUCCCAGUGAACGAUCCUAGAGCCACUAUGAUAUACUAGCUUAUGCUAUCCUAGUGCAUGGUGAUAUAGGUUAUAAAUUUUGUUGAUUACUCCCAUCAGGGGACCAAAUUCAAGGUACACCAGCUGGGAAAACACGAAUCAAUGGGUGUAGAAGAAAAUUGAGAAACCAACUGGGAUACAAAUAUAGCAAUAUGUGACAACGAUGAACAACUCAUCCUAAGAACGCCAAAUCAAAGCAAGUCACUAUAUGAUAGGAAUGGUGAUGUAGACAAUGAUCCAAGGGCCUAAUGCCAAGGAAACCCAAACCUCACUCCCAAUGUGUCGCCCAGAUCCAUGGUGAGAAGGAUCGUAUAAUGCUCUCAUCCGACUCUUAAAGGAAAAAGAAAUCUCUCAAACCCAAAACCACCUCUGAUGAUCCCAAGUAUAUCAACGAAUACCAAACAAGCACAAUUUUUCCUUUUUUUCAUUUUUAUUUUAUUUUAUUUUAUUUUAUUUUUUCCUUUUUCCUUUUCUUUUUUAUUUUAUUUUUUAUUUUUUUUGGGCCGAAUUCCAUACUAUCACAAUCCAACAAAAAGAACCCCAAACCUCCAAUCUUGACCGACCCCUUCAACCUAAGAAUCCUAGAUCAAAGCCUACAGGCGGAACGAAGGGUGUGACAAACCUGACUGGUAGCUCUGGGACAAGAGCGCAUCAUCAUCACACAAGGGAAAACAGAAGCGAAGUGAAUAGAGAUGAUAGAAGCUGGACUAACAGGUAGACGGUGUGAAGAUGCAAAAUGGAGACGAAAAGAAACAGACAAUGAUGCAAGAAAGAACAAACGAAGAAUGACACCAUGCCCACAAUGCUCAUAGAUCCAAUCAAUAAAUACAAAGCGCACAAGGGUAGGCCUCCAACCUAGGUCAGAAAAGGUAUGCAAGGCUGAAUGAAAGAAAAGGCCAUAAUAAACCACGUGAGGCUCAAAGGGCUAGCAAUAGUAUAUAUCAAUGUACGGGUGUGCAAUAGGGAAUAUGGCUACUCGAAGUGACGGCCACCCAUCCUCUAACCAUGAUCUCACGCAUAAAACUUCUUCAGCUGAUCCACAUUAACUAGCUCUGUGAACUGAUUUCCGUCUAGGUCUGUCAACCAGGCAGCUCCCUCUCGAGUCAGAUCUCGGAUGACAUAAGGCCCGCUCCAACUCGGUCUAAACUUGCCUCUAGGGUCGCUGAUCAAUCCCCUGAGGACUUUCAAGACUAGGUCACCUCUCUGGAAUUUCCUAGGCUUGACCCUCUUUCUGAAUGCACGGGUCAUCUUCCUCUGAUAGGCCUGAACAUGAUAUGCCGCCCUCAAUCUCUUCUCAUCCAACAGGCUAAGCUGAUCAUAACGAGACUGGGCCCACUCGACCUCGGAUAUAUGCUGCUCUAGUGCUACUCUCAAAGAUCUCAUCUCAAUCUCAACAGGUAGCACUGCCUCCAUACCAUACACCAAAGAAUACGGGGUAGCUCCAAUAGAGGUACGAAAAGAUGUACGAUAAGCCCACAAUGCGAAAGGGAGCUUCUCUGACCAAUCCCGAGAAGUCUCGACCAUCUUUCUCAAAAUCCUCUUGAUAUUCUUAUUUGCGGCCUCAACUGCUCCAUUAGUCUGCGGCCUGUAUGCAGACGAUCUGUGAUGUUGAAUGCCAUACUCUUGAAUCAACGUGUCCACCUCGCCCUUGAAAUGCACCCCUCUGUCUCAGAUCAGCUCAUGAGGGACCCCGUAUCGGCAGAUAAUAUGCGAUCUGAUGAACUUGGCCACUCUAGCCGCUGUCAAUCUAGCAUAAGAAGCAGCUUCCACCCACUUGGUGAAAUAGUCAAUGACAACCAAAAUGUACUCAUGCCCACUGGAAGACUUGGGCGAGAUCUUCCCAAUAAUAUCAAUACCCCAUACUGAAAAUGGCCAAGGGGAUGCAAGUGCAUGCAACUCAGAAGGUGGCACGUGUAUCAAGUCUCCAUGCAUCUGACACUCCUGACAUUUCUGUACAAACUGGCAACAAUCUGUUUCCAUGGUCAACCAAAAGUAGCCAGUCCUCAUGAUCUUACGUGCUAGCAUAUGACCUCCCAUGUGUGGGCCACAGACCCCUGCAUGAACCUCUCUGAUCACUCGAUCUGCAGAUGCACGGUCUAAACAUAAUAAUAACAAGCCAUCAGGUGAUCUCCUAUACAGCGCAUCCCCGCAAACAACAAAUCUGGUGGCCAACUGUCUCAAUGCUCUCCUAUCCUUGGCCGAGGCUGACUCUGGGUAAGCGCCGCAUGACAGAAACUGAUAAAUAUCAUGAUACCAUGGCAGCUCAAUCUAAUCCUCUAUCUCUCCAAUCAGACAAUAGUAAGCUGGUGCAGACCUAGUCUCAAUCAGCUAUGGCCUAACAUUCACCCCCGUAGGGAUCACAAUCAGAGAAGCCAAGGUGGCUAAUGCAUCGGCAAACUGAUUCUCCGCCCUGGGCAAAUGUAUAUACCUUAACACAUCAAAUAUAUCAAUCAAUAGGUCCAAGUAAGCAUGGUAGGGUUUCAGCUUCUCAUCCCAUGUCCUCUAGAUACCCUGAGUCUGCUUUAUAACCAAGUUGGAAUCCUCGUGGAUCUCCAACUGUCUAAUGCCAAGAUCAAGUGCAGUCUCCAAACUUGUAAUGCAAGCCUCAUACUCUACAAUAUUAUUCGUCAACCGGUGAUGAUCAGAAAAUGCUAACCGGACUGAUCUGGGGAUAUGAUCACCCUAUGGUGAUAUCAAUAAGAUACCAAUGCCAAACCCCGACUGAUUGGCGGCACCAUCAAAGUACAAUCGCCACCCCGUAAUACUAGUCAUUGAAACAAUCUGCUCAUCAGGGAAAUCAUCAUCAACUGAUCGGUCAUCGGAUAUCGGCAAAGAAGCUAGAUGAUCUGCAACAAUGCUUUCCUUUACUGACUUCUGCGUGACAUAAUGAAUAUCAAACUCUGUCAACAAUACCAGCCAUCUCAUGAGCCUACCGGUCAGAACAGGCCUGUCAAAUAGAUACCUCAACAGGUCCAAUCGUGAGACCAAGAGCACAGAAUACUCUGUCAUGUAAUGUCUAAGUCUUCUAGUGGCCCAAACCACUGCUAAGCAAAGGCGCUUAAUCAUAAUGUACUUGCACUCUUACUCAAGCAUCCUUUUACUCAAAUAAUAGAUGGCUCGCUCCUUCCCUUAAUCAUCAAGCUGAGCUAACAUGCAUCCUAAGGCCAUGUCUGAAACUGAUAAGUACAGAAGCAAAGGACGCCCCGGUGUGGGAGGCACUAAAACCGGAGGAGAAAGGAGACACUCCUUAAUCCUCUCAAAAGCGCGCUGACAAUCAUCAUUCCAAACUAUAGGUUGAUUCUUCCUCAGAAGGCGGAAGAUAGGCUCACAAAUGUCUGUCAGUCUAGCAAUGAAACGACUGAUGUACUGCAAUCUACCUAGGAAUCCCCUUAUCUCUUUCUCAGUCCUCGGGGUAGGCAUGUCAAGUAUGGCUCUGAUUUUCUCUGGAUCAACCUCUAUACCUCGCUCACUAACAAUGUGUCCCAACAAUUUUCCAGAAGUCACCCCAAAGGUGCACUUCUUGGGAUUCAAUCUCAGCUUGAACUGUCUGAUCCUCUCAAAAAACCUUUGUAAGGCUGCUAAGUGAUCUGCCCUAUCUCGGGACUUUACUAUCAUGUCAUCCACAUAGACCUCGACAUCUCUAUGCAUCAUAUCAUGGAACAGAGUAGUAGCAGCUCUCUGAUAAGUGGCUCCUGCAUUCUUCAACCCAAAUGGCAUAACUCGAUAGCAAUAAGUACCCCACUCAGUAAUGAAAGAAGUCUUCACCAUAUCCUUUGGAGCCAUCAAAAUUUGAUUAUACCCAGAAAAACCAUCCAUGAAGGAUAACAUCGGAUGCCCUGCAGUGCUAUCAACCAGCAUAUCAAUGUGUGGAAGGGGAAAAUCAUCCUUAGGGCUAGCCUUAUUCAGAUCUCGAAAGUCAACACAAACUCUAACCUUGCCGUCUUUUUUGGGAACAUGGACGACAUUAGCCAGCCACUCAGGAUACUCAACCACUGACAAGAAGCCAACACUGAGUUGCUUCUGAAUUUCUUCCUUAACCUGCAAACUCCAUCGAGGGUGUAGUCUCCUCAAUUUUUGCUUAACGGGCCUAGCAUGUGGUAAAAUGGGCAGGUGAUGCUGCACUAUGGUGGGGUCAAGGCCCGGAAUGUCCUCAUAUGACCAUGCAUAUACAUCCAAGUAUGGCCUAAGCAGGUCAAUCAAUCUACUCCUCUCAUCAGGAGAUAGAGAAGAGCCAAUCCUAAUCUCCCUAGGCUGAUCUGGUGCCCCAAAAUCUAUCAACUCUGUGCUACUAGAAAUGGGUGUGACUUUCCUAUCCUCUGUAUCAGAAUCACACUCUGACUGACCACCUAGUGGGUCAUCUGUAUCUCCCACAUCAUCAACAUCAUAUAUAUGUGUCGUGGGUGCUGGUGGUGCAAUCAAAGGAAAAUGUUGUGACACAUUCAAGUACUCGAAAAUACUCAUAUCAUUAUUACCAUAAAAAAUAUCAUCAAAGCGAGUGACAAACCCGGACAUAGUGUCAAAAGAAAGAGGUGGGUCCACAGAGUCGGACGCUCCCUCAACAGAAGCAAAAUCAGAAGAAACGACAUCAAGGACUGACUCAUCAUCAAGUACUGAAACUCCAGAUAUGUCAAAAGCAGAAAGGGGCCCGCGUGGGGCUGCAUCAAGGAUACGACCAAUGCCUAUAAAAUCCAUAUCAUCAGUGUAGGCAUCAGGAAUAGAGUCAUCAUCAUCAGUCUCGAUUACAAAAACUCCAAACAUGUCGAAAACAGUAUAGGGCCCGUGUGGCGCUGCAUCGAAGAUACGGCCUAUGCCGAUCAUGUCCAUCUCGUCAGUGCCAUAUCCCAAAUCCAUAGGUAGGUCAUAGUCAGGGACCUCCUCGGGGAAACACAUUGAGAACAUACUAGCUCGGUCCGGUGAUGGGGGCGUGACUAUCAUGGCACCAGGUGCCUCAGUAGUCCCGGUGUCCAAAUGAAUCUGACCCAAGGCCUGCUGGAUGUCCUGAAUCUCAACUGUCUCUGGAAUGUGAACAGUCCCCUCUGUGCGAGGUGUAUGCUCUGAACCCCUAAUGAAGUAGUCGGCCAACUGGAAGGUGUAUGGGCGGAGGGGAUAAUCAAAUGGAAUGCCAGACAUGCGAGCCCUCACCCUAUCCCUGCGCAGCUGUGACAUAUAACGUGCAUCAGCCUCUGUGGGGAUGUAACCUAAUCCGUAGGGCGUGUCGUGAUCAACUGUGAAAGUAAACUCGUGGGGCCCCUACUGGCGGCAACCCAAUCCCAUACUAGGCAAAUAAGACAUGCCUCUCAUCAUGCUGAGCACCAAAGUGCUGUUGUGCUGGUCAAAUGACAUAGGUACCAUAUCUCUGCUGCCAUCCUCUAAGCUGAUAACCUGAACCUCAUCGAACGUAAACCCGGUCAAAUAUAAGUCAUCCUGACUGUGACUGAUAUGUAAUACUGGCUCAGACGAAGUGAUAAUAUCUCUAUCAGACUGUAUCGUGAUAAUGCGCCCCUCGUGUAUGAACUUCACCUUCUGAUGAAGGGAAGAUGGUAUAGCACCGGCCUCAUGAAUCCACGGGCGGCCAAGAAGUAGGUUAAAAGAUGAUUGAAUCCUCAAAACCUGAAAUACUAUGGAGUAACUAAUUGGCCCAAUCAUGACAUGUGUACUGAGUGUACCCAUAACUGUCCUCUGAGUCCUAUCAUAAGCUCUAACAGUCUGUGUAGAAGGCCCAAAAUCAUCUGGUGAAAACCCAAGUGCAAUGGCAGUAACCAAUGGACAGACGUUCAGGGCAGAGCCGUUGUCCAAUAGAACAGACGGCACCCGGCUGCCUAAACAAGCAACAUCAAUGAAUAAGGGUCGAACAUGAUUUGAUCCCUCUGGUGGCAAGUCAUCAUCAGAAAACACUAUACAUGUAGCUCUAUCAGUUGUCAACAUGUGAAUAAGCCCCUCUGGGGUAGUAGUAGUGUCAACCCUAAUCUGGCCAAGGGCUCUGACUAAUGCAUCUCUGUGUGUACUAGAUGAGGCCAAAAGGCUCCAAAUGGAUAUGCGAGCCUGAGUAGUGCGUAGCUGGCGUAAUAUCUCAUCAUCUUCUCUCUGAACCUCCUCUCUAGCAGCUAUACCAGCAAAUGACCUGUCAACGGGUGGAGGUUGUGCUACCCUUCCACUCCGUGUAACUAUCUGAACAUCUCUAUGAGGGGGCCUAUAUUCCUCUGGGAACAGAAUGAAGGGUGUCAUAGGUGGCACAUGCUGUAAGUAUACUGGUGAUACUGGAGGCGGCCCAUAAAUCUUGUCCGGGGUCAAACUGAAUGGCCUGGGGAUCUGCUGUCUAGGUAUAUAUCCAACAAAAUCUGACUCCUCAUAUAGACUGAUCGUCUGAGGAGCCUCUCCAUCCCAACCCAUCAUAAAUAUCUCAUCCCCUACAAACUCAAUCAAAUGUACCCCUUCCGGGGGUGGAGGUACUGCUCUAGUGUCAUGAGUAGGUAGCGGGUCUGUGGCUACACCCGGGCGCCCCAAAUCAACCAAGCCCUGAUCAAUUAAAUCCUGAAUGGCAUGUCUAAGUGCUGAACAACUGUCUGUAUCAUGGCCUGCUCUCUGAUGGUAGGCACAGUGAAGAUCUGUCCUGAAUCCUGGGGGGGUAGGCUGUAGUGGUGGUCUAGGCGGUAGUGGGGCAAUCAGUCCCCCCUCAACCAAUCUCUGAAAAGCUCGGCUCAGUGGCAUCCUAAGCUGUGAACUGUCUAACUGGCCUCGGUGGAGGCGGUGCUCUAUACUGAUGAUGGAACUGCAUAGGCGGCCUCUAGGGUGCCUGUGUAGCAUAUACAGGCUGUGGUGGCGGAUGUAGAUAAGUAGGCCCUACUGGCCUAAUGGGAGCAACUGGUCUGUACUUACCAUGUUGUAUCAUCUGAUAAGGAGUGCCUAAAAACUGACUCUGAAACGGAGGACGACGUGAAGACCGGUGUCCUGUCAUGCCAAUAGUACCAACAUCUGAGGGCCUGAGACCUAAUCCCGACUUCUUCCCCUUUGAGUCUGAAGGGGAAGAAUCUACCUAUAAACCUCUAGAUAUACCCUCCUCAAUGCCAUAGAGGGCCUGCACUAAUGAGCCAAAGUCUGUCUGAGGGAAGCCCAUGAGAUGCCUAGCAAAGUAGGGCUGAAGGCUGCGCAUAAUCAUACUAAUUUGAUCGCGCUCUGAAGGUUUUAUCAAUAAUCUGUGCUAUCUUCUCCCUCCAACGGGAGAUGAAUGAAGUGACUGUCUCAUCUGGCCCCUGCCUAAGGGCCUCUAACUCCCUCCGAGAUACAUCCACUAUAGUAUUGAAAGAAUACUGUCUAAUAAACUCCUGUCCCAAAUCAGCCCAUGUCCUACGUCUCGAAAGGUCCAAUGAGGCAAACCAACGCUGAGCAGCACCACUCAAUGACAGAGGGAAGAACAUAAUCAUUUGUGCCUCAUCCAGUCUAUGCCCAUGCAUAACAGUGCUAUAUAACUGCAAGUGAAUACGGGGGCACCCUAUCCCCGCGUAUCUCUCAAUGUCCGGCAUGUGGAACUCAACAGGCAAAGCUGCUACUAGCAUAUCAUCAUAUCCAUCCCAACCCAUAAUCCCAUCAGAAACAUGUAGUGAUCUCAUUCUCUGCUCAAUCUUAUCAAUAUGAGUCUGGGUAUCAUCAACAAUCUGUGCCGGUGCCACAACAGAAUGCGGCGUAGUCUCAGUCUGACCAUGCAACACAAAUGCUCCAGCCUGGGGAGCUGACUGAACUGGUGGUGGUGGAACUAUGUAGUCCUACUGUAUAGUAGGUCCAGAUGGCCCAGAUGGUGGUGGUGUGGUAGAGUCAUGUAGGGUGCUCCCCGGAAUCGGCAAUGGCUGGGCCUAGUGCCCAUCAAUCCUCUGACUUAGUCCUAAGAUAGCGUCCCUAAGUGAUGCCAUGGUAUCGGUAAUCUCAGCCAACUGGUCAACGGUAGCGUACUGAGGGUCCAUAUCUCUAUGAUCUGGUAUCUGCUCUAACUGGCUGGGUGAAUCCGAUCCUCUAACCAGUCUAUCUCCAAUCAGGAUCCAAGCUCGGGAACCCAGGUCGAUCUCAAUCAAUAAUCCUACAAAAGGAAAGGGGUACGUCAGUCCCCGUGACUAUCAAUCUUGAAAUCAAACUAGGAACGUAUAACUAAAAUCUUCCGAGAGAAUGAACUGACAUGUGAUGUCAAUAGCUAAACUGAUAUACGGUUCCACAGGCAGGAACGUGAUUCUGACAUGGUGAUACCUCAGGGGUAAUGUGGCUCAAAAGUAAAAAAAAAAGAGAAAAGGCAAGUCCUAAAAGACUAGAUGACUGUACCCACAGGAAUACGCAACCUAAGGUCCUAACUAACAAUCAAUCAACAAUCAAAGUGACAUGCUGGCCACACAUGUAUCCAUGAAAUCUAGCUCAGGGCUAUACAGGUCUUCAUUGCUCAGAUAUCCAUCUUUUCCAUAGUGCUCCCAAACAUCGAUAUAGCCCUUAUGCUAGACCCUAUUCCAAACCCCUAGCUUGGUCGAAGGCAAACAAUUGGAAAUGACUCCAAACAAACACAAGCAAUCCAUGAGGAAUAGUUGACCAAGACUAGUGAUUCGGAAGUAAGGGGAUACACACGUGCCCCACAAACACAAGCAGCAAGCAGUCAUGCAAGGGAAGGAGCAGUCAUGCAGAAAAUAGUCAUGCACAAAGAGAUAGCCUACCACACAUCUACACACAAUCUAAUCAUCUAAGUCUAAUCCCAAAUGUCAUAGCUAGAUACCAAUCAACAAUGAGCAAGCAUGCUAGAAUCCAACAGGUGAACACACAAGCAACAACACAUCACAGGUGCAAGCCAAAUACCAGCCAACUACGUGAUCAUCAGUCAUCUAUGUAGCCUAAGAGUCUACUUAUCAAUGAACCAUGUGCUCCGAUAUACCCAACUCAAGUUCAAGCUUGAUCUUCUUAUGAAACCAGAGAUUCUGGGUUCGAUCCCCAGUGGAGUCGCCAAUUUGUGGACCCUCACCUGAUCCACCGGACCAACGUGACUCGCUUUUAAAAGAAAAGAAAGAAAUGAAAAAGUUGGUGUUUUCCAGUUUUGAAAAACCCGUCCCCGGUGAGGAACGGUGUUGUUUGGAGUCGCCACUUACUUUUUAUUUUUGUUUUUAAAAUGGUGGAAAAUUAAGUAAGAACAAAAACCCCUAAUGGCCCCAAUAUGGAAAAAGCGGUCUACGAAAACUAGAUUCUGGGUCUAGGGAUCAGGUUACCCGUUGGGAAGGUACCUCAUGCGAGGUAGCACCCCUCUAGGCCCGAAACUCGGUCUCUACUAAUGAAUUGGGUAUGUGGGAGCAUAUGGGUCAAAGGUCAAAUGAAACCCUAGGCUAAAUAGAUGUCAUGAAUCACACAAUCCUAAUUGGCAUUUGGCAUGCAUAUGAAUUCAACCAAAUAAAACAAUGGGUGCGUACCUGUGGUCCCUAGCCAAACGCUGCAUAAAAGGUCAGCCAAACACAGAUAAACACAUAACAAACAUUCAAGAUUAAACACCAUGCAUGGAUAUGAAUUCAACAACCAAAGCCAACGAUGCGUACCUAUAGUCCCUAGCCAAGCACUACAGCAGAGGGUGAGUCAGUCACGCAACAUGUAUUCAAAAUCAAGCAUCAAAGCUUGUGCCAAAAAGGAAGAUAGCUGGUUGAAAUGAGGUAAGGGACUCCCCAAAUGUCAUACAAAUUGAACUAGACUCAUCUAGACCACACCACCCAUAACUUCAAAAUUGCCCAUACUAACUGAAAUCAAACACUGACUUAAACCUUCAAGAUGGCUCACAAGUGCCCUAUAGCAAAUGGGUUUGAGCCCCCAUGGAUAAGGGCUCGAAAAAUGCCAAAAUCGAGGGCUACCUAAAGUCCUCCAGCAGAACAGGUUGAACUAGUUCUCAACUGGUACAACCUAUUGAGAAGAAUUCCCAAAUUUUUCUAGAAAACUCCUAAAUGAGUGAAGAUUCAAACAAAAGAAACGACACUCAAUCCCGAGCCCGAAUGAGUGAGAACCAGACAAAGAAAGGCAGGUGUUCCUCAUGGCUGACAGAAGCAGCCAGCUAUGGUGCUGAACCGGUUGAACCGGUGCCCAACCAGUUCAUCCGGUUGAUAAAAAAUCCAAAAUUCGAUCAGAAAGUUCCUAAGUGAUUAAGGAAGCAAAAAAAAGAAACGGUUCUCAAUUCUGAGCUCGGAUGAGUGAGAACCAGACAAAGGAAGGCAAGUGUUCCUCAUGGCUGACAGUGGCUGCCAGCUAUGGUGCUGAACCGGUUGAACCGGUUCCCAACCAGUUCAGACAGUUGGUAAAAAAUCCCAAAUUCAGUCAGAAAGUUCCUAAGUGAUUAAGGAAGUAAACAAAAGAAACGGUUCUCAAUUCUGAGCCUGGAUGAGUGAGAACCAGACAAAGAAAGGCAGUUGUUCCUCAUGACUGACAGAGGCUGCCAGCUAUGGUGCUGAACUGGUUGAACCGGUUCCCAACUGAUUCAUCCGGUUGGUAAAAAAUCCCAAAUUCAGUCAGAAAGUUCCUAAGUGAUUAAGGAAGCAAAAAAAAGAAACGGUUCUCAAUUCUGAGCCUGGAUGAGUGAGAACCAGACAAAGAAAAGCAGGUGUUCCUCAUGGCUGACAGAGGCUGCCAGAUAUGGUGCUAAACCGGUUGAACCGGUUCCCAACUGGUUCAGACGGUUGGCAAAAAAUCCCAAAUUCGGUUAGAAAGUUUCUAAGUGAUUAAGGAAGCAAACAAAAGAAACGGUUCUCAAUUCCGAGCCUAGAUGAGUGAGAACCAGACAAAGAAAGGCAGGUGUUCCUCAUGGCUGAUAGAGGCUGCCAGCUAUGGUGCUGAACCGGUUGAACCGGUUCCCAACUGGUUCAUCCGGUUGGUAAAAAAUCCCAAAUUCGGUCAGAAAGUUCCUAAGUGAUUAAGGAAGCAAACGAAAGAAAUGGUUAUCAAUUCCAAGCCCGGAUGAGUGAGAACCAGACAAAGAAAGGCAGGUGUUCCUCAUGGCUGAUAGAGGCUUCCAGAUAUGGUGCUGAAUCGGUUGAACCGGUUCCCAACCGGUUCAGCUGGUUGGUAAAAAAUCCCAAAUUCAGUCAGAAAGUUCCUAAGUGAUUAAGGAAGCAAAAAAAAAGAAACGGUUCUCAAUUCUGAGCCUGGAUGAGUGAGAACCAGACAAAGAAAGGCAGGUGUUCCUCAUGGCUGACAGAGGCUGCCAGCUAUGGUGCUGAACCGGUUGAUAAAAAAUCCCAAAUUCGGUCAGAAAGUUCCUAAAUGAUUAAUAACCAAUCAACAACAAUCAUGUGUGGCCUUUAUUAUCCACACCCAAGCAAUUCAAUCUUCAUAUCAAAGGGAAGAAAAGAUGAUGAGGAAGGAGAAAAAGCAUAUGAAGACGAGGAAGAUAAACUAUAAGUAAAGAAAAUUCAGCAUGCUUACCUCAGAAUCUCCACCAAAUAUGAUCCGUGUAUGCAGAUGAUGACUUCCAAAACUGAGAUGCUGUCACUCUCCUCUUCAAAAAAACCACAGUGCUGAAGCUUUCCCCCACGCUCUCAACUCAGAAGAUGCUACUGACCUUUUGUUUUUCUCACCAGCAAAAUUUCCCCUCUCCAAAAUGUCCCCUCCUAUCCUUUGCUCUCCUAUCCUCUCACCUUUUAUACUCAUACCCCUCUUAGCAUUUGAGCCUCCUAGAUUCCUUCCCCUUCAGCACCGAAAUCCCCUUCAUCAGCAUGGGAACCACACCCCUCAUUACUUCUCUUAAACUUACGAGGCCAGCUCACUCCUUUAGUUUUCAGCUUGCUUCACCACCAAGAAUCCAUAUGGAUUCGUGGUGGGCUGCAAAGAACCCAAACCAAGGCCCAAAAUGGACCCACAACAUUGCCCAAAACCGAUCUGGAGCUUACGGGCCUGAGCCAUGUAGGAUUUGGGCCUCAAAAUUACUAGAAUUAGUGUUUUACUUCAGCUGACUCAAUGAACCGGCUGAACCGGAUGCCAACUGGUCGAACCGAUGGAAAAAAAUUCUGAAAAUUUGAUAGAAUGUUCCUAGUAGAGUAAGGAAUCCACUAAAAAAAAACGGUGCGUGAUUCCAAGUUCAGAAGAGGGAGAUAUGAUCAAAACAAUUACCAAAAAUCAGUGUUCUACACCGGCUGACUCGAUGAACCUGCUGAACCAGCUGAACCGGCUGCCAACCAGCCGACCGGUUGCAAAAAAUUUUGAAAAUUUUACAGAAUGUUCCUGGAAGAAUAAGGAAUCCAUAAAAAGAAACGGUUCUUGAUUCUGAGUUUGGAUGAGGGAGAUACGAUCAAAACAAGCCCGAGUGCUCCGAACCUCAACAUGCCCCUAUAAACUCCAACUAAGCUAAAACAUCGGGAUGACCCCACUUCCUUCCUAUAGCGUGAUGUGAACGACUAGGAAAAUGGCCAUGGUGACCCUCCAAAAUGAACCACAUAUGCACCACAAUGGACCACAGACAAACCCACACGAGGUUCGGACACCGACUAAGUCCAAAAGGGGCCCUAGUGGUGCAUAUGCGAACGAUGGGUGGAUGUGACACCCGAAGGAUAAAUGCCAGUGUCGAGGGACAAAAUUGAGGGUCUACAGGUACCUUGGUAGACUAAGGUGAUUUUAGAAUUAACAUGCCAAGCAAAAAAAAGUCAAAUCAUGAUCACAAAAGAAAGUCAAAGUGCGUACUUGGACUGCUUCUUAAAUGCUAUCAUAAAACAUCAAAGUUAGCAUAGAAAUAUAGUACACAACAUGUAUUUUGUCCAAACAAAUCUAACAUACAUCUAAGCACCCAAGGAUAGAAUCAAAGAUAGAUAAGACUUACAACAACAUGCAUGUUCAUAAAAUUCUAAAAAAGUAAGUGAUAGAGAGCAUACCGUGAUAGCGUGCAUAAUUUAUAAGAUUCCUCCAAAAAUGUUAGAAUGGUUAGGACCAGUAUGAAUUAUAUAACCUAUUCAUAGUGUCUAAUAUACAAUACUAAAACCAAGAAACUAAGCCAAUAUAAGUCAAAGGACCCCAAAAAUAAAUAACAAGUUUAGGCAAAAUACAAAAUCAUUAGCAUGCAACUAGUAAAGAGAGCAUUAGAAAACAAUUUAUAAAAAAAAAGACGUCUUAGAGUGGAAGUUAAUUGCAAAAAAAUUUCAGGAAACAACUCCUACAUAUCUAAAACAAGAUACCAAAAGUCAAACACUCAUUCAAUAAAUAGAUUGCAGCAAAAACACCUAAGGGUUCUACAAAGUCCAGAUUAGAUAAGAAAUAGUGACAUGCAUAACAAAAAAUUUUAAAAUAAUAAUACAUCACAUAAAUUAGUACAAAAAAUCACGUACAUCAUUCUAGGUGUCUAUAUUACAAGGAAAAUAAAUUUAGGGUUGGGUAAUACUCAAAUAUAUUUUUAAGAUGCUCCAACUAAUCAGAUGUCUAGAUUCCAUCAUGCACAGUAAGUACGAUUUUGGAAAAUCAUAUCUCCCUCAAAAAGGUAUAUUUUCUAAUAUUUUAUGUAUUUAAGAUCAAUUUCAAGAAGCUUAAAAUUGAGUAAAAACAUUAAAUCAAAUUUUAAAAGUUUUCUGGUAUUUUAUUUUUGCAAAAAUAUUUCAGGUGUCCAGAACUAGGUGAAAAUGGAGCCUCCCUAAAGAUUCAUUUAUAUCUUCGAUUCCAUAAUGGCUUUCUAACUCAAACAAAAAUUUAAAUUCAAGUUCAAGAAAUGAUGAAAGCCAUAAAAGUUUUGGAAAAUUUUUAAAAACAUUCUAAAGUUGCUAAAGUGAAUUUUAAAUUUAAAGGGUCAGUGGUUGAGUAAAAACUGAUAGCAAGGAAGAGUUUUGAAAAUUUUUCUUAUGUAGGGGUUUCACCAAUUCCCUAGUUGGUAUACACAAAUCUAGCCUAGAAUCAUCCCAUUUAUUUGGGAACACAAGCUUUGAUUCGUGUUUUGUUCAAAACCAAAAUUUUCAUUGAAAACCGAGAAAGAUGCGAACAACUCAAAACAUGGUUGCAUAUUAUUUAAGAAAAUGAGAUUUUGAUUCUAAGGACUCUAAAUGAGUUUUUGAAAUAGAUUUUUAAAGGGAUCUUUUGAGAAAAGUGUUAUAUUUUAAAAUAAGAGAAAUUAAUUUGAGAACAAUAAAACGUAUGAGAAAGAGAAUACCAGGCAAAACAAAUGGAAACAAAAUCACAAAGUAAAAUGUUUGGUAACCAAGCAAACUGAAAUGGUGUGAAUGGAGGCCAAUCUUCAUUAUUUUCCGAUGACCUUUGAAAAGUAAAUUUUACCAGAGACUACCUAAGCAAUAAAAUAUUCAAUCUUAAAUCAAUUAAAGUAAUGACUAAUAUUCAAGAAACAAAUCAAUUAAGAGAAUUAAUAACGAAUUAGCACGUGAUCGAUUAAACACACAAACGCAUCUAGACCGAUUAAAAUGGACCAAAUUAAAUCAGGGCAAAUAUGAAUUUUCAAUCAUAGAAUUAAUUUUGUUAGUGAGCUAAUAUUACAUAAAAUACUUGAAUUGAAUAGAUGAGUGAAAAUCAUAGUAAACUAAGCAAGGCACCUUCUAAAUGUGAAUUUUAUUAAUAACAUAGAUUAUAAAAAAUACCUAAAACAAUUAAAAUGAAUCAAAUGAAAUGAAAGCAAGCUAAAACAAAAUAUGAGUUCAUGGAAUCAGAUUCCUAAAUGAAUUUACAUUAUCAAAUUGAAAUCUAAGCUCAAAAUGAAUUAAACACUAAGGCAAAUUCAAAAAUCAAAAUAUUUAACACCUAAGAUCAAUUAUUUCGACAAACUAAAAUUUUACCAUAACCAAAAAUUAAAUUAGAAAGCUACCCAAAACAAAUUUCUAACCUAUAAAGUUAAACUCAUAAUCAAAUGGAUAAGUUGAUAACAUAUAAAUAAAUAAAUAUGAAUGAAAUGAAAUAUAAACUCAUGGAAUAUUUUUUUUUUUAAUAGACUUACGUUACUAAAAUGAAAUUUAAGCUUAACAAACAUUUUUAACACUAAUUAAGGCAAGUUUAAAAUCUAAUACUUAACACUUAAAAAUCAAUCAUUUCAACAAACUAAAAUUUUAAUUAAACCUAAAACCAAUUCAAACCACCUACAAUAGAAUUUUUUUAAUUUUUUCAUUUUAAACUGAAUUUUUAACCCAUAGGUUUAAUCUCAUUAAUAAAUAAAUAAAUAAGUUACAAAGCAUUAAAUUAGUAGCAAAUAAAUAAAUAAAUAAACAACUAAUAAUUAAAUGAAUCACAACUAAACUAAAUAAAAAUCAAAUUAUAUUUUUUUUUCAAAAGUAAAACUACAUAAAAUUGUAUUUUAUGAAUUUAAUAUAAUAUACCAAAACUAAACCUAAACACAACUCUAAUCUUUAAUCUAAUAAAUCAAAAGUUAAACAAAAAGUGAGAUUAUGUUGCCAUAUUAAAACGAGUACAUGCUAGAGCCAAUAAUAUAAGUCAAACCACCCAAUAUAAUAAUAAUUCCACUUGAAAAAAACUAAUCAAACUUUUGACUUUAUUGAAAACCCAUGCAAAUAAAAUACGAAUGACUCACCUAGUCAAAUUACCAAACAACUUGGUGGUGUGUAGCUGCUUUCACUUCUCCAAUGGUGCUCGGGAACGAUGGCGUGCUGGUUGGUGGGAAAUGAUCGAAUUUUCGGUUCCUCAACCAAUACAUUUUCAAGGAUGCAUGGAUGGAUGGGUUGUUGUCCAGAUGGUUCCGUCGGUGAAUUCAAACUGUCGCCUUUCUACUCUCAAAUAUCCCUGCACUGAUCCCUUCAAACAGUCUCUCUCGCUCGUGAUGAUCUCUGGAAGCAGUAGCAGUCCCCUUAUCUAAAUAGAAGCAACAACAGUUUGCUCCUCCUUAUCUUUCUUUCUUUAUGGCAGCUUUCUCCGCUCUGAAAAAAACUCCUUUCCGAUCUCUUCAAAUGAAACCCUUCCGCUCUUAAAAACUCUUCUUAUCGAUGCCUUCAAAAGGGCACCCUUUUGCUCUGAAAAACUCUUCUUACAUAUCUUGUCCAACAGCCUCUCUCCGCUCUCAAAAACUCCCUGCACCAAUGCCUUCAAACAACCCUUCUGAAGCUCUCAAAACUCUUCUUUCUCGAUCCCUUCAAAUAACCCCUCUCACCUUCUCACACUCUCAAAAUUCUCUUUCUCAAUCCCUUCAAAUAGCCCCUCUCACGCUCUUAAAACUCUCUCUCAAUCCCUUCAAACAACCCUUCUUACGCUCUUAAAACUUUUCUUUUUUAUCUCCUCUAACAGCCCCUCUCACACUCUCAAAACUCUCUCUCGAUCCCUUCAAACAAUAACUUCUCACGUUGUAAAACUCUCUCUCCUACCUCUAAAAUGGCAGCCUCCUCUCUCUGUAAAACUUCUUUUACUGAUCCCUUCCAACAGCCUCUCUCUACUCUCAAAAACUCCUUGUGCCUAUGCCUUCGAACAACCCUUCUCAAGCUCUCAAAACUCUUCUUUCUCGAUCCCUUCAAACAGUCUCUCACGCUCUCAAAACUCUCUCUUCCUCAUUCAAAAUAGCAAUCUCCUCUCUCUAUAAAACUCCUUCUCAAAUUGUCUUCCCUUCCCAAAGAAAACCAGCCAACAACCGCUUGAACACAACCCCCUUUUCGUCCACAUACACGUUGCACCCAUCUUCUUUAACUUGCCAAAAUCAGCCAUGGUAAUUUUCCUUUCAAAAGGAAAAAUGACGCCAUUCUCUGGACUGAUUCUCUGCUUUCUAAAAAAUCAGAAAUCACAGCCCCUCAUCACGUAAUUUCCACUUAGUGCAUUGAUUGUUGAUUGUUGCCACUGUCAUAUCUCUAUUAGGAAGCUUAACAAAUCAACAACUACAACUCUGCUUCAUGUCGUCUCCAUUGAUGAAAAUACCUUCAACGACGCUAUUAGGAGAAACUAUUUCCUCAUCCCCUGUGAAAUAGAAAGCAAAUAGUAAAAAAAAAAAAAAAAAAAAAAUCAUGUAGUUGAAAUUUUAAAAUUUAAAAUUAAAAUUAUGCAAUUAAAACUAAGAUAUCAAACACAUUAAAAGAAUAAAAAUAUGAAGCUCAAGCAAUUUCCUACAAAAAUAAAUAGAUGAAUAAAGUAAAGUAAAUAUACAAAUAUAUUUGAGAUAUCAAUUCAUGCAAUUAGAAAAAAACUAAAGUCUAAAUUCUCAUGGAAUUUUCCAAAAAAGUGAAUAAGAAAAUGAAUAAAACUAAUAAAUAAAUAAAUAAGUAAAUAAAAUAAAAUAAAAUAAGAAAAUCAAGCACAUGCUAGUCAUACAAGCCAUGAAACCCUACUUGAAAGGUGACCUAAGCAAGAUUGGUAAAACUAAGUGGGCUAGUCAUGCCUAAAUGAGCCUAAAAAGAGUUGAAAUGUGUCUAAAUGAGCCCAAGUGUGCCUAAGUGGGCCUAAGGUGGUGCAUAACAGGCCUAAGGUGCCUAAGUGGGCCUAGUGGGCCUAUAUGUGCCUAGGGUGGUGCCUAAGAGGGCCUAGGGUGCCGAAGUGGGCCUAGUGUGGUGCCUAAGUGAGCAUAAGUCUAAAUUAGUGUUGCCAAGAUUCACAACAGGGUUAGAUAAACCCCUUAACCGAAGUUCCCAAGGUGGCUUAGAAAAGAUAGGCUACAUGAGUAGUAAUGGGCCACCAAAGAAUUACUGUAAAGUACUAGACAAAUACUUAAUAGGACAUAUGCUAGGAGGACAAAAUGGAGGGUCUACAAAUAUGCCCCUCUUCGGUAGAGAUCACGAGUGUAGGAAAUGUGACUAAAAAUACAAACAAUGAGUGGAAUGAAGUGAACUAUACCGAAAAACUAAAAGAAAAGGACCAAAGAUUUUGUCAUAGCGCGUGACAAGAGUAAACUCAGAAUACAGGGCCGCGAUCACAAAAAUGGAACAACUCUAGGUCAUGAGCUCAAGGCUCUACGUGGAAAGAAUGAUUAUGGGUCAUAAAUGAGAGAAACGACUCUGGGUCAUGAGCUCCAAGCUCUAAAUGGAAAAGAAAAUGACUCUGGGUCAUAAAUGAAAAAAUGAAUCUGGGUCGAGAGCUCUGGGCUCUAAAUGGAAAAGAAAUGACUUUGGGUCAUAAAUGAAAAUCGACUCUGGCCUGAGAGCAUUAGGCUUUAAAUGGAAAAGAAAUGACUCUGGGUCAUAAAUGAAAAAAUCAACUCUGGGCGAGAGCACUGGGCUCUAAAUUGAAAAGAAAUGGCUUUAGGUCAUAAAUGAAAAAAUGAAUCUAGGUCGAGAGCAUUGGGCUCUAAAUGGAAAAAAAAUGACUCUGGGUCAUAAAUGAAAAUAAUGGUGGCUUUAAAUGCCUAUGUAAAUGAUGGUUCUGAUGCCUACGAAAAUGGUGAUGGCUCUGAACGCCUAUGAAAAUGGUGGCUCUGAAUGCUUAUGAAAAUGAUGGUUUUGAACGCCUAUGAAAAUGAUGGUGGCUUUGAACGCCUAUGAAAAUGGUGGUGGCUUUGAAUGCCUAUGAAAAUGAUGAUGGCUCUGAACGCCUAUGAAAAUAGUGGCUUUGAAUGCCUAUGAAAAUGAUGCCUUUCAACACCUUUGAAAAUGGUGGCUUUGAACACCUAAAACUUAAAGAAGUGGCUUUGAAUGCCUAAAACUUGAAAAAGUGGCUUUGAAUGCCUAAAAUUAGAAGAAGUGGCUUUAAACACCUAAAACUGGAAAAGAUAGUGUCUCAAACGCCUGAGAUUGCAAAGAGAAAGUGGCUAUGAAUGCCAAAUUGAAGAUAUGAUGGUGGCUCUGAAUGCCAAGCUGUGAGGGAAUGAUGAAGGGAAAAAAAAACCUUAGUGUGGUGUGUCAUCACAAAUCUUGAUCCAUUGAAAGGGUCUAAAAGAGACUCCAUGAGUCUCAAAAGAUGCUCCGUCGAUGAGUCGGAAUGGUCAAAUCAACUAUAAAAUAAAGUCUCACAAUCCUUCUGACUAAAUCGAGGCCUAACAAAGUGUCCUAUAAUCAGGAUAUCUCUAACUCGAGAUACCUUGUUGGAGGAAUCUAUCGUCAUCUCAAAGGAACGAUCCACUGGCAGGUCUUAAGAAAAAUGGUCCAUUGGGGCAAUUAUCACUACCCCAACAUAAUAAUCGACUGAAAAGUCAUAGAUAACGAGACAGUCAAAACCCAAAAGUCAGGCUCCUUUGAGGGCUCAUCUCAGCAUAAAUCAUCGAUACUGUAACUAGUAAUGCAAAUAAAUAUCCCUCAGCUAAAUAAAGAAAAUGGUAAUAGCUUUGUGAGAAGACAAUCAUCUCCACAACAUAAAAGGGGAAUAUGCCCCAAUAUAGCAACUGACGUAUCUUGCCAUGUGGGUAACUGAGGAAAAUAUGCCUCAGUAUAGCAACUAGUACAUCUGGUCUGUCCUGAUGACUCAAGAAUAACUUAAUGGGUAUGUAUAAGAGAUCUGACAUGUGCUCCACUGAAAUGAUGAUAUGGGAGUCUAUGCGUCUAAGACAACUCCAUCAAAGAAUCACGAUAAUAUCAGAAAGUAUGAGCCUGACUGAAUGACUCAAGAAAGACUCCACUAGGGAAUCAUUGUAAAAUAAAAACAAAUAAUCAACUCGACAUGUAUCUCAUAAAUGGGGAUGAUCAUGCAAAUCAAUGUAGAUCUACAAAUCUCAACCGAAAUGGAAAUAUGCCCCAGUAUGGCAUUAAAUGUGUGGCAGGUAAAAAAAAAAUUAGAUGACACCCAAUCAUCCAUCACCAAGUGUGUAAUCCUAGCCAUCCAUGUCAACAGGUGAAUCAGAUCCACAUAUCAAAAGGUGUAUCUCGGAAGAAUAAGCAUGAGAACAUCUAAAUAUAAAAAAAAUGUGGUCAUGACUCAAUGACCCAAAAGAGGCUCCACUAGGGGAUCAUGAUAAGUUAACAAAUAGGUCAUCGUCUUGGUGUGUAUCUCAUAAGUGGAGAUGAUCAUGCAACUCUAUGAAGAUCUAUAAAUCUCAAACGAAAGGGAAAUAUGCCCCAAUAUGGCAUCAGAUGUAUGGUAGAUAAAAAAAAAAGGAAAAAAAUUUCAAAUGACAUCGGAUCAUCCAUCAUCAAAUGUGCAAUCUCAAUCAUCCAUAUCCAUAACUGAAUUGAGUCCAAACAUCAGAGAGAUGUCUCUCAUAAGAAGAAUCUCGAUAAUACCUAAAUAUCAACCAAAUCUCAAAAACCUGUCCAAGUAGGGGCUAUUGAAGAUGACAUUUGAUCUCAUGGCCUUAGGGUGGUCUUAAGACAUGGGACGUAACGUAGGCUAGGGCUAUAGGGUAAUAGAAAUGAAGGAAAACUAGGCCCAAAUACCCAAUAAUAAAAAACCCAUGCCCUUGUGUAUAAUGCGACAUGUAUAGAAGAACUCGUGAGCCAUGGACCCAAGGUAACUAAGGAAAAUGUCUAUGGUGGAACAAGAAAAAAGGAUAAGUGUUCAAACUAUCAAUGAAAUGUGUGAAUGAUGUGUAGAAGGUAUCGAACCAGAAAUGUGUCAAUAUGUAGGAAAUGGAUAAAAGGUGUAAGGCAGAUCUGGAAGGAGGUGAUGGGAUUCAAAAUAAAGCAAUGAGAAAGUGGAAUGAAUGAUGAUCAACCCAUAUCAGUACAAUAAAGGAAAGUUAUAUCACCAAUGAUGGAAUGGUGGGUGAGACAAUGAUCUGGAGACCCUAAUAAAAGGUUACUCAUCUCUCAUAUGUUACUCAUAUCUCAUGCCUAAUACAUAUCAACCUUGAUCCAAGAAGCAUAGGAUCUCAUAGAACUCUCACAUGAACCCUUGACACUCCGAAUGCAUAAUGAAAGUGACUUAAGGAGCGAAAAGUCCUCAUGGAAAACUCAUGCAAACCCUCAAUGAUAAACUCGAUAAACCCUUAAAUAACAACACAUGCUCAAUGGAGUAGGAUGGCAAGUACAAACAUAUCACUACACCUUUUUUUUUUUUUUGUGUGUGCACAUGCCUUGGUCAUUAAUAAAUCUUACUCCAAUGAGAAACUAAAAGGAAUGAAUAAACUCCCUUAAAUUACUAACGAACACAUGAAACCGCAUCCCAUGAGAUAAACCCUCAAGCUAAAAUCUACGAGUCAAUGUCAAAUGAUGGAAUGAAAGGGGUGAUACGACUACCCUCUAUACAUUAAUAUGUGAAGAAUCAAUAUUCCAAGUGAAGAAAAUAUGAAGUGUAACAACUAGUAAUGAAAGCUAAGAUAGAGAUAAAAAUGUGAAAAUAGUGGAACGUAACAGACAGGGUGGUGAGGUGAUAAUAGCAAAGAUGAGAAAGAUAAGGCUACAAGUCCAAAGCUCAUGAGACUCUCCUAGCAAAGCAUAACUAUACAUCAAAGGGCCCCAACCCGAGUGUAGAAAUGAUAAGCAGGGUUAUAGAAAAGAAAAUGUUAUAGCAUACCACGUGAAACUCAAUGGGCUAGCAACGGUCUAAUAUACUAAUAAAGGUGAUAAGGUGUAAGGCUAACUAAAAUGAUGGCCACCCAUCCUAUGACCAUAAUCUCAAACGUAAUACUUUUUCAACUGAUCCACAUUGGUAGGCUCUGAAAACUGGUUUCCAUCUAAGUCGGUCAACCAUGCAGCCCCUUCUGGAGUUAACUCUUGAAUAACAUAAGGCCUACUCCAACUAGGUUUGAACUUCCCUCUAGGAUCUCCAACUAAGCCUCUGAGAAUCCUCAAAACCAAAUCUUUUUUCUGUAAUGGUCUAGGCUUAACCCAUUUCUUGAAAGUACGAGUCGUCUUUCUCUGAUAGGCUUGAACAUGAUCUACUGCUCUCAAUCUCUUCUCAUCUAAAAGAUUAAGCUGAUCAAAUCUAACCUGAGCCCACUUUGUCUCAUAAAUCUGCUGCUCGAGAGCUACUCUCAAUGAACCCAACUCUGUCUCAACUAGUAAAACAACAUCCAUACCAUACACCAAAGAAUAAGGUGUAGCUCCUAUAAAGGUGCGAAAAGAGCUAUGAUAUCCCACAAUGAAAAAGUGAGUUUCUCUGACCAAUCUCGAGAGGUUUCAAUCAUUUUCCUCAAAAUCUCCUUAAUGUUUUUAUUUGUCGACUCUACUGCCUCAUUAGUCUAUGGCCUGUACGCAGAAGAUCUAUUAUUUUGGAUGCUAUAUUUUUGCAACAAAGUGUCAACCUCAGCUCGAAAGUAUACCCUUCUAUCCAAAAUCAACUCAUGUGGCACCCUAUAGCGACAGAUGAUGUGUGAUAUGAUGAAACUGGCGACUCUAACAGAUGUCAACCUCACAUAUGAUGUAGCUUCCACCCACUUGGUGAAAUAAUCUAUGGCAACUAGGAUAAACUCAUGACCUCUGGAAGAUUUCGGUGAAAUCUUCCAAAUAAUAUCAAUACCCCAUACUGAAAACGGUCAUGGUGAGGUCAAAGUGUGUAACUCUGAUGGUGGUGCAUGAAUGAGAUCACCAUGAAUCUGGCACUCUGGACAUCUUUGAACAAACUAACAACAAUCUAUCUCCAUAGUCAUCCAAAAGUAACCUAUCCUCAUAAUCUUACGGGCUAGCAUUUGUCCUCCCAUGUGUGAACCACAAACUCCCGCAUGAACCUCUCUCAUCACUUGAUCUGCAGAGGCUCGAUCCAAACACAAUAAAAUAAUACCAUCAACUGAUCGCCUAUAUAGAGUCUCUCAGAAAAUCACAAAUCUAGUGGCCAACUGCCUCAAUGCCUUUCGAUCCUUGGCUGUGGCGGCCUCUGGGUAUGUGCUAGAUCUAAGAAAUCGACAAAUGUCAUGAUACCAAGGUAGAUCAUCCUAAACCUCUGUCUCUCCAAUCAAACAAUUGUAAACGAGUGCAAACCUCGACUAAAUCAGCAAUGAACGUAGAACCCCAUCAGUCGGAAUGUCCACAGAAUAAGCUAAGGUAGCUAAAGCAUCAACAAGCUGGUUUUGCACUCUAGGUAGAUGAGUGUAUCUUAAAUCAUCAAAUCUCCCAACCAGUAACUCUAAAUAAGCAUGAUACAACCUAAGCUUUACGUCCCUAGUCCUCCAAUCACCCUGAAUCUAUCUAAGCACCAAAUUGGAGUCACCGAAUAUCUCUAUCUGUUUAAUGCCAAGCUCCAAUGCAAUCUCUAGACCAAGGAUACAAGCUUCAUACUCAACUCUGUUGUUUGUGGCGGGAUGUCGAUCUAAGAACACCAAACGAACUGACCUCGGAAUAUAAUCACUCUGGGGAAUAUCAACAAAACGCCUAUCCCAAACCCUAAUUGGUUGGCUACACCAUCGAAAUACAUGCGCCAUCUUGAUAAGCUAGUCAUGGCAAUGAAUUCCUCAUCUAGAAAAUCAUCGUGAACUGGUGUACCCUCAGAUAUCAGUAAUGAGGCUAAGUGAUCAGCGACAAUGCUUCCCUUAAUAGACUUCUGAGAAACAUACUGAAUAUCAAACUCUGACAAAAUUACGAGUCAUCUCAUCAAUCUACCAGUCAAUGGGGGUCUGUCAAACAAAUAACUCAACAGAUCUAGUCGAGAAAUCAAACACACUGAAUACUCAAUUAUGUAAUGCCUCAAUCUCUUGGUGGCCCAAACUAAUGCUAAGCAUAAGCGCUCAAUCAUAACAUAUCUCAUCUCAUACUCAGUAUUCUCUUACUCAGAUAGUAAAUAACUCGCUCCUUCUCGGAGUCAUCGAGCUGAGCUAGCAUACAUCCUAAGGCCAUAUCUAAAACCGACAAAUACAUAAGAAGUGGACAUCCUGGCAUAAGAGGCACUAAAACAGGAGGAGAAAGAAAGUAUCCCUUGAUCUUCUCGAAUGCAAUUUGACAAUCAUCAUUCCAAACUGUUGGUUGGUUCUUCCUCAAAAGACGAAAUAUGGGCUCGCAUAUGUCUGUCAAUCUGGUUAUGAAAUGACUGAUGUACUGUAAUCUGCCUAGAAAACCUCUGAUCUCUUUCUUAGUCCUUAGCAUAGGCAUGUCAAGUAUGGCUUUGAUCUUAUCUGGGUCAACCUUUAUACCCCGCUCACUGACCAUAUGCCCUAACAAUUUCCCAAAAGUCACUCCAAAUGUGCAUUUAUUAGGGUUCAGCCUCAACCUGAAUUUUCGAAUCCUCUCAAAGAAUCUCUCUAGAGUCGUUAGGUGAUCUGCUCUACCUUGGGAUUUCACAAUCAUAUCAUCCACAUAAAAUUCCACAUCCCUAUGCAUCAUGUCAUGAAAUAGAGUAGUAGCGACCCUCUAAUAAGUAGCUCCUGCAUUCUUCAACCCAAAUGACAUAACUCUGUAACAGUAGGUACCUCACUCGAUAGUGAAGGUUGUCUUCUCCAUAUCAUCUGAAGCCAUCAAAAUCUAAUUAUAUACCAAAAAUUCAUCCAUGAAAGACAACAUCGAAUGGCUUACAGUGCUAUCGACCAGCAAAUCAAUAUGUGGGAUAGGAAAAUCAUCCUUAGGGCUGGUUUUAUUAAGGUCUCUGAAAUCGACACAAACUCUAACCUUGCCAUCAUUUUUGGGAACUAGGAUGACAUUAGCCAACCACUCUAGAUACUCUACCACUAAUAUAAAUCCAACGUUGAGCUGUUUCUGAAUUUCCUCUUUCACCUGUAGACUCCAACGUGGGUGCAAUCGCCUCAGUUUCUGUUUAAUGGGUCUGACAUGUGGUAAGAUAGGCAGAUGGUGUUGGACUAUAGAGGGAUCCAGACCCGACAUAUCCUCAUAAGACCAUACAAAAAAUCCAAGUAUGACCUGAGUAACUGAAUAAGUCUAUCCCUCUCGUCUGUAGACAAUGGUGAACCAAUCUUUAGUUCUCUAGGCUGAUCCUCUGUGCUAAAAUCAAUAUUCUCAACUUCCCUUAUAGCAAGUGAAACUCUCUCAUCUAUGAGAUGUGAGUCAUGAUCAGAAGAGUCUCCAUCUUAAUCAAGCUGUGCGAUCUCAUCAUCUAUAUCAAGUAUCUGUGGAGUGGGUGAGUGGGGUGUUGAUAAAUAAAUACUAUCACAAGAGACAGGCAAAUACUAAAAAAAUACUCAAAUCCAUAGAUACGGAAUCAUAAACAUUGUCCGAGCGAGAAAUGAAUCUCGAUAAAAUGUCAAAUGAAAGAGGUGGGUCCACAAAUUUGAACACCUCCUCAAUAAAGCCAAAAGUGUCCUCAAACUCAUCAUCACCAAUUGUAACAUCCUCCAUAAGCUCUGGAGCAAGAACUAUUUGGAUCUUCUCAGCAACCUCAAUAGCAGACACCCCGAACAGAUCGAACGGUGAAGUAGACUCAGGCUGAACCAUCUCGGCAAUCUGACUCAUACUCAUACCCAUCUCAUCCUAAUACUCGUCAUGAGGAACAACUCCAUCAAUCACCCUAGUAGGCUCAAUGUCUACUCCAUAAUUAGUAGUCUCCCCUAGAAAUCACAACGAUAAGAAGCUGGCUCAAUCUAGUGACGAAUGAGCAAUCAUCAUUGAAACUAAUACGCCAAAAGUCUCAUCUCCUAACUGUAAAUGGCAAAACUGACGUUGAAGCUCAUCCACUCCCUCUAUGUCAAUCACAACGCUAAAAUCCCCCAUAUGAGGAUGAAUCUCUGAUCCUUUGAUGAAGUAAUCGGCCAAGCUCAUCUUAUAAGGACGAAUGGGAUAAUAGAAUAGUGUGCAAGUCAGAUAGGCUCUCACUUUCUCCUGGUGUAGACGUGCCAUAUACCUAUAGUCAGCCUUUGUAGGAACAAACCCAAACCCAAAUGGUGUAUCAUAAUCGACAGUAGUUACAAACUCCAUGGGUCCAUACUAGCAUCGUUCCAACCCUAAACUAGGCAUAAAAAACAUACCCCUCAUCAUGUCGAGUACCACUGUACUGCUAUGCUAAUCAAAUGACAUAGCUGCGAGAUCUCUACAGAAGUCCCCAACCUCAAAAGUCUACAUCUCAUCAAAUGUAAACCCGAUAAAAAAUAGGUCAUCCUCACUAUGACUGAUCUGAAACACUGGCUCGGAUGAGGUAAACAUAUCUCUAGGAGACUGUACUGUGAUGACCUGCCUGUCAUGUAUAAACUUCACUUUCUGAUGAAAGGAAUAUGGAAUAGCCCCAACCCUAUGAAUCCAAGGUCGACCCAAAAAUAGGUUAAAGGAAGUGGGAAUCCUCAAAACCUGGAAUAGUAUAGGGAAUGUAUCCGGACCAAUCAACAACUCUAUCAUCAAAGUACCUAUGAUCUCCCUCUUAGUACUAUCAUAUGCUCUGAUCGUCUGUGUAGAGAGACCAAAGGAUGAAGGUGCAUAGCCAAGGGCCAUAGCAGUAGCCAAUGGGCAGACGUUCAAGGCCGAGCCAUUGUCCAACAGAACGGAUGGAACUCUGUGGCCUAAACAACCAACUGUAAUAUAUAGAGGGCGUGUAUGGUCUAAACCCUCUAGUGGCAAGUCAUCAUCUGAAAACACAAUACAUGUGGCCCUGUCAGCCAUCAUCAUAUGAAUCAACCCUUCCGGGGUAGUAGUGGUCUCUACCCGGAUCUGGCUCAAAGUCCAAAUCAACGCACCUCUAUAAGUACUAGAAGAUGCUAGAAAACUCCAGAUAGAUAUGCAGGCCUGUGUACUGAUUCUUUCCCAAUUGGUGUACCUUGAUUUUGGUCCUCAGUUAGGAGUAAUCAACAAAAUUUAUAACCUAUAUCACCAUGUACUAGGAUAGCUUCAGCUAGCAUAGCAUAGUGGCUAUAGGAUCGUUCACUGGGAAGGGUUUUCAACUCACAACUGAUGUUAAUUCAAAGCUAAAUUGGUGUUUUUUCAUUUCAAGGUUAGCUUUAAAAGAAAACAUAAUCUUUGGUUGAAAAAUGAUUGAUUUUAAGCUAACCAAAAAAUAGUAACUGAUUUUAAUUAUAAAGAAAAGCGUUUCUUGGAGUUUUAGGAUCACUAGGGUCAGGUUCCUAAUACAAAAAUAGAGUUUCGAUCACUUGAAUCUUUUCCUCGCAUUGGAGAAUUAACAAAUAGUUAUUUCUCUAACCGAUGUGGUACAGAUGCUUCCCUUUUAUAGAUUCAAACACUAAAUCCCACUCACUAAUUCAUCUUGCAAUGGCUCGUGCCUCUCACCUAGCAUUUACCAUUCAAGAUGAUCCUUAACCUUGGAUUUCCUUUCUCAAGCUCGUAAGAGAUAACUAAUGGAUGUCUCCUUAGAGUCCAAAAGCUUACCAAGUAUUGGCUAUUCUAGAAAAUCCUACCUUCAAACCACCUCCCAAAGGCUUGCAAUAGAUAAACUAGUGCAUCUCAAUUGAUGGAGAUCACUUGCCUUACCAAGUGUUGGCCCAGGUGAUUUAAAGGCUUUUUAAGUUAACUAAAACCAUAGAAACCAUUAACGGGUCACACUUUCUCUUCAUUAGAAGCUGAAACAACAAAACUUCCAAUUCUUGCAUUCGGCUCCUUACCCAGCUUCCUCAACUCUAAGAGACAAAAAGCCUAGCCACUCAUUCUUUGAGAAAACAUUCUCAGAGCUUGUUUGGCUAGUAAGAAAAAAAAUAAUCAAAGUGAGUAAGUAAGGCAGAGCAAAGCUUUGUGUAUUACUUCCUUCAAGACUAUACAAAAAGUUGGUCUCUGAGAACAGACUCCCGAGAUAUCCAUGUGUAAAGAAAAUUAGAAACUAUAUAUAAGAGGUUAUUCACCCUUUAUUCUUACUUACUAACUAAGGAAUCCUAUCAUUAGUGGAUUACAAGGAGAAAAUGGGGAUUUAAACAACAAAUAUCUGAAGAAAAAAUCUAAAAGAGUCGGUCGCAAAUAUCUGGAAGCACUCAGGUGGAUUUCGUAGGCAUGCAAGAUGGGCUACGAAAUUUCACAAGCUGAAAGUCUCCAUUUCGCAGCCAAAGGCUGAUUUCACAGCUAGCACCUUGUGAUUUUGCAGCUGUGAAAUUGGCCUUCAACUUGGUGCGAUUGGCUUCCAAUAGCUAUAACUUCUUCAUUUCAGCUCCAAUUCGCGCACCGUUUAAAGCGUUGGAUUUCUGACUUCCCAAGCUUCGAGACGACAUAUAGUAUGCAUAAAGUGGACUCCAGAAAGUGCUCAAAAUAUGUCCAACAGUUGAUGUCCUCUUGAAUUCUUCAUGUUAGAUUUCUCUCUUUGCUUUCCAUCCUUGCAUUCAUGAUUUACUUUUGGAAAAGGACUAUAAAGCUUCAAAGCUUAGGUUCUUCAUGUAAAUGAGCUUUCAAUUGCUUUUCCAUGGAUUCUAUAGAACUCUCCUCAAUCUUGUAUUGCUUUGGUGAUCAAAAUGCUAUCAAAAACGCCAAAACAUAACACAAUUUGAUUAGAAACUAUUGCAAAGGUCCUUAACAUGCCGAUUGAGUUAAAAGGUAAUAACUACUACUCAAAAGCGUUUAAAAGAGUUAAUUACAAGCUAUAAAAUAGCACUUUUUGAGUAGUAAUCACUCCCCCCAACUGACAUAUUGCUAGUCCCUUAGCAAUGAAUGAGAGAAAAAGAAAAAUAAACAGUAAUAUAAUUUACAACAUCAUGUUGACCACUUCAAAAAAUUUUAAGUGGCAUGAUGAUCAAACUCUCACAUGGAACAUUAAAGAUAUAAAACCCAAACUACAACAAGAGUUAUCAAAUACCUUGUCUGAUCACAAUUCAUAAAGAGAAUGCAUUAUGCAAAUUUAAGCUUUAAAAUAGUUUCCACUUCCAAAGGGCCAAACCUUAUUCUUCCACAAAAAUCUAAGUGUUACUUGAUAGUUUUCGAAUAUAGUAUGCUGAACUAAUCUCUCCCCCCAACCUAGUUCUUUUUCAACACUUAGCAAACUGACAAAAUUUAAUAGGCUAAGAACGCACCUUUUUUUUUCACAAUUUUUUUUUUCAUUGUAGGAGUACAAGGCUCAAAGGUAUCCUUUUCUAAAUUGUCCAUGUAACGGGGGUCCAUCGAUGACUCCCAACCAAUUAAGGUUUAGGGCAUCAAGUUUUAAGGAUCUUUCAACCACUAACUCCUUGGAUUUUAUCCCGGACUUUUGAGAAUGAAUUUUAAUACCCAAGCACCUACAGUAUGUUAAACUCCACCUAUUCACCCUUGUAACGAGCAUUGAGGUCAGCGACUCCCAACCAAUGAAGGCUUAGGGCACCAAGUUUUAAAGAUUUUCACCAUAUACCCCUCAGACCUUGCUCGGGUUUCAAGUUAAGCAAACAUUUUUUCUUUUUUUCUUUUUUUCAAAGGCUUAUUGGUCUUUUAUAAGGUGUCCCAACACUAUUAAAAAAAGGUCAAAGGUACCAAGCCUAAAUUUUCCUAAGUGAAGAGGGUGAUAGCUUUUCAUCUUAUAAUCGGAACCUAUUGUGCACAGUGUGUGAAUAGCUUAAAGUGGAAGACAUAAGGUUGAAUUCAAUAGAAGCUUCAACAAUUCAUCAAUUUUAAUAAGCAUAAUACAAUUUCUAAGUCAAGUAAAAAGACAAAAAUUCAAUUUCUCUCAUUUUAUUUUGAGAAUUUUUCCUUAAUAGCCAUGGAGAGUAGAAUAAAAACUUAAAUUUUUUUAAAAAUUAAGCAAAAAGCAACUAAAUUACUAAAAUAACUUAGCAUUUGAAAAUAAAAACUUCCUUCCUCAACUCUCUUCCCCCCCCCAACCAAGCUGAACAUUUUCCUCAAUAUGGCAAGAGCGAUUGAAAUUUUAGGGAGGAAGUGGUACCUCCUGAGUGAUAUGAAGUUUGAGUAGAAUAGGAGAAACCACAUGUUUAAAAAAAAACAACAAAAGAUAUGAGUAGAUGAAUUAAAAUAAGAUUAUGCCAAGUAUACUCGAAAAAAUUGAUAGAUAUGUAUUACUUUAAGAAAGUACACUAUGGAGCAAAAAACAAGUAAUACAUCCAAUCCCAAUAUAUAAAACAUAAAAAACAUGGUAUUAUGAGUUCUACUAAAGUAAAGAAAUACAAAAAAGAAACUAGGUAAAUGAUUAGAUGGUGGUGGGAGGAUCAUGUGGAGAUGAUGGAUCGACUGUAGAAGUCUGAAUACUUGGGAUGAAUGCCUCUGUCUCUCUUGUAGUAUUCUCCUCAGGGGGCACAGUCUGCUCGGCUAGAGGAGGGUCUUGGUAUGGAUGUGUAGGCUCUGAUGGGAUAGGAAUAUCGUGCUUAGGUGGAGAUAGAAUACCCAAAUGCUGCUAUAUUUUCCUAAGGAUAGCAGUAUGCUGGGUAUAGGUGGCGAUAAGCUGAUCCUGGUGUGCACGUAUGGCCUCCAUCUACUGGGUCAGGAUGCUCCGAGUAGCGAUCAAUGUCUGCAAAGUAUGACAUAGGCCUCUGAACUCAGAUGGAUGAGACUCGGAUGCAGUUGGUGUAACUGGCGGAGUUUUGGGAGUGGCAUGAGGAGCAGAAGAAGCAACCUCAGGCAUAGGUCCUGUAGAGGGCACUGUAGAGGCAGGUGCUCUCAUGUCCGCAGGUAUCUCAACCGGUUGUGGCUCCUCUAAAUGCUCUGGCUGUGGUCUCUGUGGAUGCUCUGGUCCAGCUGGGGCUCCUGGCUCUGCAUCAUAGGUUGUCAUACUCGUCCAUUUGUUGAGAGUGAAUAUCUCUCGGCAAAGGCGUCUGCGCUCAAGCUGAGGCUCAGAAGGAUAUCCCAAGUGCUCCAAGAUCUGACAUAGCAACUUGGGAAAAGAAGUGGAAUGACAUCCGCUCUCAACAGCUUCUUCUUGUGGACCUUCUCUUCAAAGUACAGAAGAGCGGCCAUGAUGAGGUGAUGAGGGCCAAAGAAAAAUCCCUCGGAUAUCCGGAACAAAGCCUCUAGCAAAGCUCUUCUCCUCUACACCAUAGGCUGAAGUGGAUAGAUGUUGUGGUGCAGAAGUGCAUCAAUAAAGAACAUGCUGGGAGGGAGCCCCUUCCUCAAUAGAUAUGGGCGUGUGGAUGUCCCCCUAGACAGUAUAUGAACCAUGUCACUUUGGGAAGGAUGAGCCCACACUCAAUAAUCCUCUGGACAUGCUGGCUCAUAAGGAAUGCAUAGGGCCUCUACUAUGUGUCUAGUUCCCAAGAUACCAUGACGUCCAUCAAUGGUGAAGUGGAUGACAGUAGGAUCCCAGACGCGAUGUGUACUCAUAGGCUGAUAAAAGUCUAAUGCUACAUGAUUACUACUCAAAAAGUGCUAUUUCAUAGCUUGUAAUUAACUCUUUUAAACACUUUUGAGUAGUAGUUAUUGCUUUUUAACCCAAUUAACAUGUUAAGGACCCUUGCAAUCAAUUCUAAUCAAUUUGUGUUAAGUUUUGGUGUUUUGAUAGCUUUUUGAUCACCAAAGCAAUCCGAGAUUGAGGGAGAGCUCUCUAUAGUUCAUGGCAAAGCUUUUGGAAGCUCAAAUUCAUGAAGAACCAAGCUUUGGAGCUCCAUAGCCCUUUGCCAAUGUCGUUCAAAUUAUGCAAGGAAAGAACAACGGAGAGAGGAAAAACAGAGUGAAGAAAACAGAGGACAACAGCUACAGUCUUCUUUCGCACUUUUGGAGUACUUGCCGAAAUCUAUUUUCUACAUUCUAUAUACCAUUUCAAAGCUCAGGAAGUCAAGAAUCCAAUUCUUUAAACGGUACACAAUUUGGAGUUGAAAUGAAGGAGUUACAGCCAUUGCAAGCUGAUCACUCCAAGUUGAAGGAAGAAUUUUGCACAGCGCUGCGAAAUCACCCUUUUGUUGCGAGAUGAUUUCGCAGCCAUUUUGCACAGUGCAACGAAAUUUCUCCUGAAGUUUCCCGAUAUUUGCUACCGAUAUUGGGAGAUAUUUUCUGUUAGCCCAAGGGUUCUCCUAAUCAGGUUUUGAUGAUAACAAACCGUGGUGAAGUGACUAAUUGCUUUAAAUUGUUAAGAAUCUCAGGUAUAAUCUCAAGGACCAAACGAAUACGGGAUAAAGACCAUUUGGAAGACUUGUGAUCAUAGGAAAUGAAUGUAAGAUGAUAGCAUGAGUGCACUUAGGAUGUUCAUACAUUUUCAUGCAUCUUAGAAAACUCGGUUUAUUCUUUAAAACUUGAUUUUCUUUAAAACCCGAGUUUUAUCAAAUAUACCUUAGGCAAAUUGACUCAAAAUUGACAUAUUAACUCUCCUAAAGACCUUGCCUAAGUAUUGGAAAAGAAAGAAAUCAAAAAGGAUAGGUUUUCAGGGCCAAAAGGCUCAUCCGGUCGAGGCUAUGGCCAACCGGCUCAACCGGUUGGGGAACCGGUCGACCGGUUUCCCUUGUCCGGUCGAGGUCCGGUCGAGGGAGGCACAAAAACCUUCUCUCUCUCCCAGUAGCUUCCUCUUCCCGGUCGAGCCUCACCCCUUGUCCGAUCGAGGUCCGGUCGAGGCAACGGUAACCUGCUAUGCAUUAAAUGCUCCAACGGCUAGUGAUCCGGUCGACCCUUUGCUCGUCCGGUCGAGGUUACUUUCUGUUGUUUUUGUCUCCCGAGCUUAGAAACCUAUAAAUUGAGAGCUCCUCUUCAUUUAUGACUAAGAGAACAAUUGCAUUCAAAGCCUACCUACCUGUUCUUAAUCAAAAAAGCUCUCAUCUUCUUUCUUAGUGCAUUAAACCAUCAAUUGCAUAUUCUUAGUGCACUCUUGCAAUUCAUCCUAGCUUUCUCUUGUACUUGAGCCUUCCUUAAGCUAGGUUGAGAGUUUCAUCCUUGUGUAAACUGAGUGUGAAAGCCUUCAAGUGGUUCAAAUCUUGAAAAGAUUGUGUAAGAGCCCAUUGGAGCCGGAAUCCAAGUGUAAGACGAUUGAAAGCUUGAUUGUAGCUUCAAGUUAGUGGAACCCUCACUCGGUUAGGAGAUUGAGGAGAGUGGACGUAGGCAAGGGAGUGCCGAACCACUAUAAAUCUGAGUUUGAAUUCUCUACCUUUAUCUCUUUCCUUUAUUUAUUUUGUGCAUAUAUUGUUGUGUGGAAAAAGUUUUUGAAAAACCCAAUUCACCCCCCCUUUUGGGUAUUUUCCUUAAUUAUUCAUAGCCUUUGUUUUAUCAUUUUCCAUCAGAUAUUUUUGUAUAAAUCCCCAUCUUCUCCUUGUAAUCCACCAACCAUAAGAUUUCUUAGUUAGGAAGGUUGGGAAAACGUCUCUAUAUAUAUUCCCUUGCAUCCACUGUAAAAUGGAGAAAAUCAUGUAUAUAGAUAGAUAAUAUCAUAUAUAGAUCANNNNNNNNNNNNNNNNNNNNNNNNNNNNNNNNNNNNNNNNNNNNNNNNNNNNNNNNNNNNNNNNNNNNNNNNNNNNNNNNNNNNNNNNNNNNNNNNNNNNUAAGAGGAAAAUGGCUAUUCCAUCAAGCUCAUCUCAAACUGAAAUUUUUUCAAAACAUAGAGCUCAUUCUUUACGGGAACGACUAUCCCUAUUGGAAAGCUAGAAUGACUUGGUUCUUACAAUCAACCGAUUUAGAUGUAUGGGAUGUCAUUGAAGAUGGCCCAACUUUUCCCACUAAAUUAGUUGAUGGAGUUUUGGUUCCAAAACCCAAGAAAGAAUGGAAUGAGCUUGAUAGAAGAAAUUUUCAAUUAAAUGCUAAAGCCGUCUUUACUUUGCAAUGUGCUAUGGAUAGGAAUGAAUACAAUAGAAUAUGCCAAUGUAAAUCUGCUAAGGAAAUUUGGAGAUUGCUUGAAAUAACUCAUGAAGGAACAAAUCAAGUGAAAGAGUCAAAAAUUAAUAUACUUGUCCAUAACUAUGAAUUGUUUUCAAUGAAAGAAACUGAAACUAUUGUUGAGAUGAUCACUAGGUUCACUGAAAUUGUCAAUGGCCUUGAAGCAUUGGGAAGGGUCAUAAAUGAAUCCGAAAAGGUGAUGAAGAUAUUGAGGUCUCUACCCUCAAAGUGGCAUACAAAGGUCACCGCUAUUCAAGAAGCUAAAGACUUGACCAAGCUACCUAUGGAAGAACUCUUAGGGUCAUUGAUGACCUAUGAAAUCAGUUUGACAAAGCAACUACAAGAGAGUGAAGACAAGAAGAAGAAAAGCAUAGCUCUCAAGGCUACAACCAAGGAAGAAGAAGAUGUUGAAGAAGAAAAACAAAGUGAAGAAGAUGAUGAUUUAGCUCUCAUCACAAGAAAGCUAAACAAGUACAUGAGAGGUGAAAGGUUUAGAGGGAAAAAGUUUACCUCUAGAAGAAAUUCAAGAAGGGAAUCCUCAUCACAUGGUGACAAAGAAAAAUGGGAAGAGAAAGGAGAUUUGAUAUGCUUCAAAUGCAAAAAGUCGGGACACAUUAAAUAUGAUUGUCCUCUCUACAAAAUUGAAGCCAAAAGAAGAAUGAAGAAGGCAAUGAUGGCCACUUGGAGUGAGAGUGAAGAAUCUUCCGAGGAAGAAAAGGAAAAAGAAGUGGCAAACAUGUGCUUCAUGGCAAUAGAUGAUCUUGAUGAGGUAAACUCUAACUCUAGUGAUGAAGAUAUGCAUGUUAUUUUUGAAGAACUAUAUGAGGAUUUUGAAAAACUUAGUUUGAAAAAUAAUUCUCUUAAAAAGAGAAUUCAAGAACUUGAAAAAGAACUUGAGGAAGUGAAAGAAAAGUUUUCAAUUGAUGAAAUCUCUAAAACUCAUCUUGAAAAAGAGAGUGAGAUUUUAAGAAAUGAAAAUGAAAUUUUGAAAAAGAAAAAUGAAUGGUUGACCUCCUCUCUUUCAAUUUUCUCUUGUGGACAAAAGUCCUUUGAAAUGAUCUUAGCAAGCCAAAAAUGUGUUUUUGACAAACAAGGACUAGGAUUCAAAUCUUCAAAGAACCAAAAGUAUUUUAAAAACUAUUUUGUAAAAGAAUCCUCAAGUGAAUGUCCUUCCACUAUUUGUAACUUUUGUGGAAGAAGAGGGCACAUUAGUAGUACAUGUCCCUUAAGAAAUGGUGCUCAAAAGAAUUCAAAUGCUAAGGUUAAAAAGGUUUGGAUUGAAAAAUCCAAAGUCACUAACCCUCAAGGACCCAAAAAGACAUGGGUACCUAAACCAACUUGAAUUCUAUUUUGUAGGGCUCAAAGGAGGACAAGUGGUUCUUGGAUAGUGGGUGCUCAAGACACAUGACCGGGGAUGAAUCCAAGUUUGCCUUCCUUACAAAGAGAAAAGGAGGAUAUGUCACCUUUGGAGACAAUGCAAAAGGAAGAAUCAUUGGUCAAGGUAACAUAGGUAAUGGUACAUCCUCCCUUAUUGAAAGUGUUUUAUUGGUAGAUGGUUUAAAACACAAUCUUUUGAGCAUUAGUCAACUUUGUGACAAAGGUUUUAAAGUAAUUUUUGAAGCAUCUCAUUGUAUCAUCAAGGAUAUUCAAAAUGACAAAACCAUCUUCAUGGGCCAUAUAUGUGAAAAUGUAUAUGCUAUAAAUAUUUCAAAAUAUGAUGGCCAUGAUAGAUGUUUUUCAAGCAUGCAUGAUCAAAGUUGGUUGUGGCAUAGGAGGUUGGGACAUGCUAACAUGGACCUCAUUUCCCAACUCAACAAAGAUGAACUCAUUAGAGGCCUUCCCAAAUUAAUUUUCAAAAAGACAAUUUGUGAGCUUGUCGAUGGGAAGCAAUCAAAAACUCUUUNNNNNNNNNNNNNNNNNNNNNNNNNNNNNNNNNNNNNNNNNNNNNNNNNNNNNNNNNNNNNNNNNNNNNNNNNNNNNNNNNNNNNNNNNNNNNNNNNNNNNNNNNNNNNNNNNNNNNNNNNNNNNNNNNNNNNNNNNNNNNNNNNNNNNNNNNNNNNNNNNNNNNNNNNNNNNNNNNNNNNNNNNNNNNNNNNNNNNNNNNNNNNNNNNNNNNNNNNNNNNNNNNNNNNNNNNNNNNNNNNNNNNNNNNNNNNNNNNNNNNNNNNNNNNNNNNNNNNNNNNNNNNNNNNNNNNNNNNNNNNNNNNNNNNNNNNNNNNNNNNNNNNNNNNNNNNNNNNNNNNNNNNNNNNNNNNNNNNNNNNNNNNNNNNNNNNNNNNNNNNNNNNNNNNNNNNNNNNNNNNNNNNNNNNNNNNNNNNNNNNNNNNNNNNNNNNNNNNNNNNNNNNNNNNNNNNNNNNNNNNNNNNNNNNNNNNNNNNNNNNNNNNNNNNNNNNNNNNNNNNNNNNNNNNNNNNNNNNNNNNNNNNNNNNNNNNNNNNNNNNNNNNNNNNNNNNNNNNNNNNNNNNNNNNNNNNNNNNNNNNNNNNNNNNNNNNNNNNNNNNNNNNNNNNNNNNNNNNNNNNNNNNNNNNNNNNNNNNNNNNNNNNNNNNNNNNNNNNNNNNNNNNNNNNNNNNNNNNNNNNNNNNNNNNNNNNNNNNNNNNNNNNNNNNNNNNNNNNNNNNNNNNNNNNNNNNNNNNNNNNNNNNNNNNNNNNNNNNNNNNNNNNNNNNNNNNNNNNNNNNNNNNNNNNNNNNNNNNNNNNNNNNNNNNNNNNNNNNNNNNNNNNNNNNNNNNNNNNNNNNNNNNNNNNNNNNNNNNNNNNNNNNNNNNNNNNNNNNNNNNNNNNNNNNNNNNNNNNNNNNNNNNNNNNNNNNNNNNNNNNNNNNNNNNNNNNNNNNNNNNNNNNNNNNNNNNNNNNNNNNNNNNNNNNNNNNNNNNNNNNNNNNNNNNNNNNNNNNNNNNNNNNNNNNNNNNNNNNNNNNNNNNNNNNNNNNNNNNNNNUUCAAAAAAUCCCGUGCAACACUCUAGGACCAAGCAUAUAGAAAUUAGACAUCAUUUUCUUAGAGAUCAUGCACAAAAAGGUGACAUUACACUUGAAUUUGUAAGCACAAAAGAUCAACUUGCCAAUAUUUUUACAAAACCUCUAAGUGAAGAACAAUUUUCUGAUAUUAGAAGACAACUAGGGGUUAUUUCUCUUUGAUCUGAUGUUUGUAUAAUGAAUUCUUGUUGGAAAUGCAUUAUGAUUGUAUAAAUUUCAUCUCAUACGCAUCAUAUAGAAAUCCCUUAGAAAAUAGGUCAAUUUUUGACCAAAAAUCAAAAUUCCCGUGGCAUUGGACAUAAAAAAUUGGGGAUUUCAACUGAAAAGAGCAGGGGGAGGAUCACAAGACAAGAAUACGCAAAAAAAUUGGAAAAUGAAACCGUUGACCGUUGACCAGGCGGUCGACCGGUUGAGGAACCGGUCGACCGGUUCGUCGGGGCUGGGAGUUUAAAAGGCCCCCGCGCGUCAGUUUUUUUCACUGUUCUCUGGCAUUCCUCGAAGACCCUUCAUCUUCCCGCCUUCAGAGAUCAGUUUGGGCUAUUCCUUGGACCGAUUUGAGGUUUUGGAGUGUUCUUUGACGAGAUUUGAGGCUAGGGUUUCAUCUCUGGACGGAUUUGGACUUCGGAUCUUGACGGGUUCCUCUCUAUUUGCGCGCCAUCUUCUGAUUUUUCUCCUUUCCCGCGCGCCUAAGGCUUCUUGGGGUUAGUCUUCUCUCUUUUCCUACUCGCUUCAGUACAUAUCUCCAUUUUUGGAUUUUGGAUGGCUCCUCGAAAGGAGAUGGGUACUUCCAGAGCUCAGGGCAAGCGCCCUGCUGAGCCCUCUCAGCAGCCCGAGCAGACCGAGGCUCGCCGAAAGGCGAGGUACGACACCACCCUCUUCGGCUCAGUUGAGGAUUAUCAGAGGUACAAGACUCAUUUCGCCAAGAGAAAGGUGGUUCCAGGGAGAAACAUCAAUUUCUUCCAACUUCAGAGUCUCGGGUUUGAAGGAGUCUUCACCAGGAUGGGAUGGUUGCCAGUUGUGACGGUCUAUGAGCCUAUCUUUCCGACCUUAGUGCGUGCAUUCUACUCCAGGAUGACCUAUGGACUUGGAGGGCCGAUUAGGACUACUGUCCGAGGAGUUGAGAUUGAGCUGAGUCCGGAGAGCAUUUGUCGCAUCCUUGACGUUCCCCCCGUUGGUCUUCGAGUAUAUGAGGCCAAGGCAUGGCCUACUAUCCCCGGGUUCGAGCCUAGAGAGGCCAUUCAGAGGAUGUGCGGACUUGCAGAUGCCCAUGGGAUGGGCAAACCUUCAGCACAUAGCCUGACCGUGCCUAGCAGAGUCCUUCAUCAUAUGAUCUGCUCCAUCCUAUUACCACGGGGUGGACAUCGGGACGAGGUCUCCUACUAUGAGGCCUUUCUUGUCGACUCACUUCUCACCGGGAGGCGGAUACAUGUAGGAUAUGUGAUGAUGCGGCAUAUGAUGUCCUGUUGUGAGAGCACCACACGAGUGCUUCCCUACGGCCGCUUCCUCACUCGUGUCUUCAAGGAUGCUAGGGUAGACUUGAGUAGAGAGACAGAGUUUGAGGCACCUAGCAUCUAUGACACUUAUGACGAGCAUUCUCUGGGGCGCAUGAAGCUUGAGAAGGCCCCCGACGGCUCCUGGGUUAGGAAAGCCGAGCGACAGGCCCGGGGACAUGAUCAGCUACACCCCGGAGUAGAGGAGGAGGACGAGAUUAGAGAGAUGGAGGAUGGGUUGGACCCUCAGAGGGACCUUGAGCAGAGAGGGCCAGAGCUUGACAUUCCGGCUCCACAUCAGUCGGGGGGCAUUCAUGUUGAGGCUACCUUCUCAGAGCCUAUGAUGACUGAGCCAUCAUUUACCGAGCUACCAUCUCAGGCUCCUCAUGCUCCUGAGCAUCCACCUUGGAUGGAUUUGUCGGCACAGAUUAGCUCUCUCGGGACUCGUAUGGAGGAGUUAGUUGUUGUUCAUGAUACUCGCUUUUAUUCCGUGGAGGAUCACAUCGAUCAGUAUCAGGCCGGCUUCACCUCUCAGUUUGAGCAGCUUGCACAGAGGAUUGAGCGUCUUGAGAGCCGCCAGGAGAGUCAGCACGAGGAGAUGAUGGCUUACCUCCGUUCUGUGUUUCCACCACCACCUCCUCAGCCUUGAUUUUGUUUGGGAUCCCCCUUCGUUUCUUUUUUAUGUUGCCAAAGGGGGAGAUAUGUUAGGAUAGGGACCUUAGGAGACUUUUUUUCAUUUCCAUGCAUAUCAUACGCUUUCAUGUACUCUUUCUCUUGCUUAUAUAUGAUAUGACACUGUUAUUGAUUUACAUUGUCUUCUCGCUUUAUGACACUGUUAUUGAUUUACAUUGUCUUCUCGCUUUAAAUUUCCUAAAUUUUGUGUUGAUUAUCCCAUGGUUGGUUUGAGGGGGAGAUUUCUCUGUCUCCUAGAUAACCAAGGUUUGUCAUCAUCAAAAAGGGGGAGAUUGUUAGCCCAAGGGUUCUCCUAAUCAGGUUUUGAUGAUAACAAACCGUGGUUAAGUGACUAAUUGCUUUAAAUUGUUAAGAAUCUCAGGUAUAAUCUCAAGGACCAAACGAAUACGGGAUAAAGACCAUUUGGAAGACUUGUGAUCAUAGGAAAUGAAUGUAAGAUGAUAGCAUGAGUGCACUUAGGAUGUUCAUACAUUUUCAUGCAUCUUAGAAAACUCGGUUUAUUCUUUAAAACUUGAUUUUCUUUAAAACCCGAGUUUUAUCAAAUAUACCUUAGGCAAAUUGACUCAAAAUUGACAUAUUAACUCUCCUAAAGACCUUGCCUAAGUAUUGGAAAAGAAAGAAAUCAAAAAGGAUAGGUUUUCAGGGCCAAAAGGCUCAUCCGGUCGAGGCUAUGGCCAACCGGCUCAACCGGUUGGGGAACCGGUCGACCGGUUUCCCUUGUCCGGUCGAGGUCCGGUCGAGGGAGGCACAAAAACCUUCUCUCUCUCCCAGUAGCUUCCUCUUCCCGGUCGAGCCUCACCCCUUGUCCGAUCGAGGUCCGGUCGAGGCAACGGUAACCUGCUAUGCAUUAAAUGCUCCAACGGCUAGUGAUCCGGUCGACCCUUUGCUCGUCCGGUCGAGGUUACUUUCUGUUGUUUUUGUCUCCCGAGCUUAGAAACCUAUAAAUUGAGAGCUCCUCUUCAUUUAUGACUAAGAGAACAAUUGCAUUCAAAGCCUACCUACCUGUUCUUAAUCAAAAAAGCUCUCAUCUUCUUUCUUAGUGCAUUAAACCAUCAAUUGCAUAUUCUUAGUGCACUCUUGCAAUUCAUCCUAGCUUUCUCUUGUACUUGAGCCUUCCUUAAGCUAGGUUGAGAGUUUCAUCCUUGUGUAAACUGAGUGUGAAAGCCUUCAAGUGGUUCAAAUCUUGAAAAGAUUGUGUAAGAGCCCAUUGGAGCCGGAAUCCAAGUGUAAGACGAUUGAAAGCUUGAUUGUAGCUUCAAGUUAGUGGAACCCUCACUCGGUUAGGAGAUUGAGGAGAGUGGACGUAGGCAAGGGAGUGCCGAACCACUAUAAAUCUGAGUUUGAAUUCUCUACCUUUAUCUCUUUCCUUUAUUUAUUUUGUGCAUAUAUUGUUGUGUGGAAAAAGUUUUUGAAAAACCCAAUUCACCCCCCCUUUUGGGUAUUUUCCUUAAUUAUUCAUAGCCUUUGUUUUAUCAUUUUCCAUCAGAUAUUUUUGUAUAAAUCCCCAUCUUCUCCUUGUAAUCCACCAACCAUAAGAUUUCUUAGUUAGGAAGGUUGGAAAAACGUCUCUAUAUAUAUUCCCUUGCAUCCACUGUAAAAUGGAGAAAAUCAUGUAAUAUAGAUAGAUAUAUCAUAUAUAGAAUCAACGAAUAGAGCACUUGCUCUGUUUUUCAUAUAUAUUCUUGUUUUCUCGUUAGUUUUCCUUCUAGCCAAUCAAACUCUGAGGAUUUUUCCUCAGAGGAUGAGAGGCUAGGCUUUUCGUCUCUUGGAGUGAGGAAAUCCGGGUAAGUUUCCACAUACAUAAUUUGGAAGUUUUGUUGUUUUAGUUUUUAAUGAAGAGAAAGUCUGACCCGUUAAUGGUUUUUAUCUUUUUAGUUAACUUAAAACGCCUUUAAAUCACCUGGGCCAACACUUGGUAAGGCAAGUGAUUUCCGUCCAUGGAGAUGCACUAGUUUAUCUCUUGCGAGCUUUUGGGAGGUGGUUUGGAGGUAGGAUUUUCUAGAAUAACCAACACUUGGUAAGCUUUUGGACUCCAAGGAGACAUCCAUUAGUUAUCUCUUGUGAGCUUUUGACGGGUAAUCCAAGGUUAAAGAUCACCUUGAAUGACAAAUGCUAGGUGAGAGGCACGAGCCAUUGCAAGGUACAUCAGUGAGAGGGAUUUAGUGUUUGAACCCAUUAAUGGGAAGCAUCUGUACAACACCGGUUAGAGAAUUAACUAUAUGUUAAUUAUCUAAUACGAGGAAAAGAAACAAGUGACCGGAACUCUCCUUUUUGUAUGAGGAACUUGAGCCUAGUGAUCUGAACUCCAAGAAACAUUUUUCUUUGUAAGUAAAAUCAGUUACUAUUUUUGGUUAGUUUAAAACCAAACCUUCUUCAUUCAAACAUCUUUAUGUUUUCUUUUAAAGCUAACCUUGAAAUGAAAAGGCACCAAUUCAACUUUGAAUUAAUAUCAUUUGUGAAGUGAAAACCCAUCCCAGUGAACGAUCCUAGAGCCACUAUGCUAUAGUAGCUUUGUCUUUGCUACGCUAGUAUAUGGUGUAAUAUGUUAUAAAUUUUGUUGAUUACUCCCUCAAUCAAGGAGCACCAGUUGGACACGAAUCAGCUGAGACACCAAUUGGGCAUGAAUCAAAUGGCACCGCUACCGGGGAUGGUGCCACUUUACAGUGAUAUCACCUUUUCAGAGUACUUGUGAUCUUCAUCACAAGUUUGGUGACUUUUCUUUUCCUUUUACUAACUCUUUUUAUUUCUUUAUUGUUCAUAUUUUAGUAUACAUUUUCUUUAGUUUUUAGUCUACCUUAAUUUUCUUUCUUUGAAUUGUUUUUCUUUUGUUUUCUUUUGUGUUCUCUAUUUUUAAUUCACAAAUUGCUAGUUGUGCAUGCCAUAUUGAAUAAGAGAUAGCAGAGGAAGCCAUGAACUUCAUGAGUUAUGUGGCUGAAGUCUCAAGAGGAUGGGAUGAACUAAAUGCUCGAGAUAUGGGAAGAAUGACGUCUCAACCUAAUGCUAAGGGUGAGAUUUAUAUUUUAAAUGACGGCAUAGACAUGAGGACAAAGUUUGCAGCUAUGGAAAGGAGAUUGGAAAAGCUAGAAAUGACGAAUAUGCAAGAAGUGCAAGCCAUCUCUCAGACACCAUUGCAAGCUAUGCCUUGUGCCAUUUGUCUAUCUUAUGAGCACUUGGUGAAGGAGUGUCCUACCAUUCCAGCCGAGAGGGAAAUGUUUGGUGAUUGCAACACCUACAAUUCCAAUUGGAGGGACCAUCCAAAUUUCUCUUGGAAACCACAGCCACCUCAGUAUCAGCAACCUGCUCAAGCACCAUAGCAAGCCUCAAGCCUUGAACAAGCUAUGGUGAAUCUUAGCAAGUUCGUGGGAGACUUUGUUGGAGCUCAGAAAUCCAUCAAUGCUCAGCUCAGUCAAAGAAUUGACAGUGUAGAGAGUUCAUUGAUUAAAAGGAUGGAUGAAGUGCAAAAUGAUCUAUCUCAGAAGAUAGAUAAUCUCCAAGAUUCAAUCUCAAGGUUUGCUAACCUCAACACAGUGCAAGAGAAAGAAAACUCUCCUUCUCAACCUUAUCAAAAUUCCAUGAGCCUCCAUGAAAUGGAGGCUGAGGAGGGAAAACCUUCACAGAAGAGGGAAGUCAAAGAAGUGAUCACUCUGAGGAGUGGUAAAGAGGUUGAUCUGCCCAUAUGCAAGCUAGAGCAUAAGGUAGAGAGUGAAACAGAGAAAGAAAAGAGGGGGGAAAUCAAAGGAAAGAAAAAGGGGAAAAUCAUAGAGAAAGAUGGCUAUGAUGUUAAUGUACAAAGAGAACCACAGAGGAUAGUCAUCAAGGAAGAAUUGAUGAAGAAACACAUGCCUCCACCUUUUCUCCAAGCUUUGUAUGGCAAAAUCAUACAGAGAAAGCCCCAAGUGAGAAAUGCAAGCUUCAUAUGGGAUCCGGGCAAGCUAAAUCAGGAGCAAAAUUUUUGAUGCACUUAGUCUUUUUAAAGACUAGCUAGUCCAUAUCUUUUUGUUUUGUUUUUUUUUACUUGUUUUAAUUUUGAUUUCAAUGUUUUAAAUUUUGAUUUCAAUGCUUUAAUUUUGAUUUCAAUACUUUAAUUCUAAUUUGUUUUGAUGUAAUAUAGGUUUUUGGAUGAUCAAAAUCAGGAGGAAUUGCAAAGAAAUUAAAAGGAAGUCUUUCGGAGCAAAAACGGGUCAAAAACAGGGUAAAAACAGGGGAAAAACAGGGACUUGCUAGAUUUCGCAGCCUCUGCGAAAUCGGCACUUUACUGCGAAACCAACUUUGGCACACGAGUGCCAUUUCGCAGCACAGUGACUCUCAUUUCGCAGCUGCGAAACGGCUGCGAACCACCAAAGCAUGAAAGAUCCCAUUUUCGCAGGGAAAGCUCCAUUUCGCAAAGGAUUUCACAGUUGCGAAGCCACUUUUUGGCACACGAGUGCCAUUUUGCAGCACAGUGACCCUCAUUUCGCAGUUGCGAAACGGCUGCGAAAUCCCAAAGCGUAAAAACUUCCAAUUUCGCAGCCAAAGCUCCAUUUCGCAGGGUAUUUCGAAGCUACGAAACUACUUUUGACAUUUGGAAGCCCCGUACACUCAUUUUGCAGCUGCGAAAUGGCUGUAAAACCUCCACACCUUAAAAUCCUUCAGCGCGCACACCAUGAGCUGACAUGUCACAACCGCACCCCCAUUUCGGCAAUUGUUGGACACAUCUCGAUCACUUCUCAAAGUUUAAAUUAUACAUGAAAUAUCUCGUUUCAAAGCUUGGGAAGUCAGAAGUCUAUAGCUUCAAACAGUGCUCUAUUUGGAUUUGAAAUGGAAAAGUUAUGGCCAUUUGAAGAUGACUAUGCAAACCAUGAGCGAAAAUGUCGCACCUCCAUUUUGCUACUAUUGGACAUAUUUUUGAAGCACUUCCUGGAGCUCAAAUUAUGCAUACCAUAUCUCGUUUCAAAGCUUGAGAAGUCAGGAGUCCAUUGCUUCAAACAGUAUGCAAUUUGGAGGUGAAAUGAAGAAGUUAUGGCCGUUUAAAGACGAGCGUGCAAAGCUAAGCGGGAAUUUCGCAGCCAAGACGCCAUUUGGAAGGGUGUUUCUCAACUGCGAAACCACUUUUUGGCACACGCGUACCAUUUCAAAACCCCGUACACUCAUUUUCUAGCUGCAAAAUGGGCUGCGAAAUCACAUUUAGGCUGCGAAAUGGUCUACGAGCUUUGAAAUGGUUGCGAAAUCACCUCCAAGCUUAGAAAUGGCCUUCAAAUUGCGAAAUUGACUUGCGAAAUAGAGGAAGGUUUGCAAAAACACCUUGCAAAGCCAAGGGAAGUUGCUAAAAUGCGAACAGAGCCCCGCGACCAUGCAUCUGAAGAGGAGAGCCCCACGCGCCCUGGGAUCACACACAUAAAGUCUCUCACUCCAUUUUUUACCUCCUUAAACCAUCAGAGCCCAUAGCUCCAGUUGAGGAGACUAUGCCACCUAAGGAGACUACCUGAAUAGAGGCCAAAGUUCUGAUCCAACUCAUUCGAGAGGCUACCACAGACGCAUCAGCUCCACAGGACCUUACCAUUACUUGAUCAUCUUUACCUUUUGUCUUUACAUAUUAUAUUAGUAUAGAUAAUUCCAUGUUUUGAUGUCUUAUAUUCUGGGAUUGGAUGUAUUACUGAUGAUGCAUCAUAUAUAGACAUCAUUUUUUGUUUAAACUUGACAUUUUUCUAUUUCCUGUACUCACUAACUUUUUUGUGUUUCUUUGAAACAUGUGGUUUCUCCUAUACGACUCAGACUCCAUGUCACUCAGGAGGUACCACUUCCUCCCUAUUUUUCAAUCUCUUUUGUCACAUUGAGGACAAUGUUCAGCUUGGUUGGGGGGAGAGUUGAGGAAGUAAGUAUUGUUAAUAAUGCUAAGUUAUUUUGGUAAUUUAGUUGUUUUUUGCUUAAUUUUUAAAAAAUUUUAAAGUUUUUAUUCUACUCUCCAUGGUUAUUAAGGAAAAAAUUUCAAAAUGAAAAGGGAGAAAUUGAAUUUUUGUCUUUUUACUUGACUUAGAUUUUGUAUUAUGCCUAUUAAAGUUGAUGAAUUGUUGAAAAUUCUAUUGAAGUAAACCUUAGUUCUUCCACUUUAAGCUAUUCACACACUGUGCACAAUAGGUUCCAAUUAUAAGAUGAAAAACUAUUCCCCUCUUGACUUAGGAAAAUUUUAGACUUGGUACCUUUGACCUCAUUUAAUAGUGUUGGGACACCUUAUAAAAGGCCAAUGAGUCUUUGAAGAAAAAAAAAAAGAAAGAAAGAAAAAAUGUUUGCUUGCCUUGAAACCCGAGCAAGGUUUGAGGGGUAUAUGGUGAAAAUAUUUAAAACCUGGUGCCCUAAGCCUUCAUUGGUUGGGAGUCACCGACCUCAAUGCUCGUUAUAAGGGUGAAUAGGUGGAGUUUAACAUACUGUAGGUGCUUGGGUAUUAAAAUUCAUUCUCAAAAGUCCGGGGUAAAAUCCGAGGAGUUAGUGGUUGAAAGAUCCUUAAAACUUGAUGCCCUAAACCUUAAUUGGUUGGGAGUCAUCGAUGGACCCCCGUUACAUGGACAAUUUAGAAAAGAAUACCUUUAAGCCUUGUACUCCUACAAUGAAAAAAAUUGUGAAAAAAGAGGUGCGUUCUUAACCUAUUGGAGGUUGAUCAGUUUGCUAAGCUUUGAAAAAGAACUAGGUUGGGGGGAGAGAUUAGUUCAACAUACUAUAUUCGGAAGCUAAUAAAUAACACUUAGAUUUUUGUGGAAGAGUAAGGUUUGGUCCUUUGAAAGUGGAUAUGAUUUUAAAGUUUAAAUUUGCAUAAUGCCUUCUCUUUAUGAAUUGUGAUUAGACAAGUUAUUUGAUAACUCAUGUUGAAGUUUGAGUUUUAUUUCUUUAAUUUUCCAUGUGAGAGUUAGAUCAUCAUGCCACUUGAAAAUAGUUUUUUGAUCAGCAUGAUGUUGUAAAUUAUAGUAUUGUUUAUUUUUAUUUUUCUCUCCUUCAUUGCUAAGGGACUAGCAAUAUGUCGGUUGGGGGGAGUGAUUACUACUCAAAAAGUGCUAUUUCAUAGCUUGUAAUUAACUCUUUUAAACACUUUUGAGUAGUAGUUAUUGCUUUUUAACUCAAUUAACAUGUUAAGGACCCUUGCAAUCAAUUCUAAUCAAUUUGUGUUAAGUUUUGGUGUUUUGAUAGCUUUUUGAUCACCAAAGCAAUCCGAGAUUGAGGGAGAGCUGUAUAUAGUUCAUGACAAAGCUUUUGGAGUCUCAAAUUCAUGAAGAACCAAGCUUUGGAGCUCCAUAGCCCUUUGCCAAAGUCGUUCAAAGUAUGCAAGGAAAGAACAACGGAGAGAGGAAAAACAGAGUGAAGAAAACAGAGGACAGCAGCUGCAGUCUUCUUUCACACUUUUGGAGCACUUCCCAAAGUCCAUUUUCUACAUUCUAUAUACCAUUUCAAAGCUCAGGAAGUAAAGAAUCCAAUUCUUCAAAUGGUGCACGAUUUGGAGUUGAAAUGAAUGAGUUACAGCCAUUGCAAGCCAAUCACUCCAAGCUGAAGGAAGAAUUUUGCACAGCGCUGCGAAAUCACCCUUUUGUUGCGAGAUGAUUUCGCAGCCAUUUUGCACAGUGCAACGAAAUUUCUCCUGAAGUUUCCCGAUAUUUGCUACUGACAUUGGGAGAUAUUUUCCAUCAGAUAUUUUUGUAUAAAUCCCCAUCUUCUCCUUGUAAUCCACCAACCAUAAGAUUUCUUAGUUAGGAAGGUUGGAAAAACGUCUCUAUAUAUAUUCCCUUGCAUCCACUGUAAAAUGGAGAAAAUCAUGUAAUAUAGAUAGAUAUAUCAUAUAUAGAGUCAACGAACAGAGCACUUGCUCUGUUUUUCAUAUAUAUUCUUGUUUUCUCGUUAGUUUUCUUUCCAGCCAAUCAAACUCUGAGGAUUUUUCCUCGGAGGAUGAGAGGCUAGGCUUUUCGUCUCUUGGAGUGAGGAAAUCCGGGUAAGUUUCCACAUGCAUAAUUUGGAAGUUUUGUUGUUUUAGUUUUUAAUGAAGAGAAAGUCUGACCCGUUAAUGGUUUUUAUCUUUUUAGUUAACUUAAAACGCCUUUAAAUCACCUGGGCCAACACUUGGUAAGGCAAGUGAUUUCCGUCCAUGGAGAUGCACUAGUUUAUCUCUUGCGAGCUUUUGGGAGGUGGUUUGAAGGUAGGAUUUUCUAGAAUAGCCAACACUUGGUAAGCUUUUGGACUCCAAGGAGACAUCCAUUAGUUAUCUCUUGCGAGCUUUUGACGGGUAAUCCAAGGUUAAAGAUCACCUUGAAUGGAAAAUGCUAGGUGAGAGGCACGAGCCAUUGUAAGGUACAUCAGUGAGAGGGAUUUAGUGUUUGAACCCAUUAAUGGGAAGCAUCUGUACAACACCGGUUAGAGAAUUAACUAUAUGUUAAUUCUCUAAUACGAGGAAAAGAAACAAGUGAUCGGAACUCUCAUUUUUGUAUGAGGAACCUGAGCCUAGUGAUCAGAACUCCAAGAAACAUUUUUCUUUGUAAGUAAAAUCAGUUACUAUUUUUGGUUAGUUUAAAACCAAACAUUUUUCAUUCAAACAUCUUUAUGUUUUCUUUUAAAGCUAACCUUGAAAUGAAAAGGCACCAAUUCAACUUUGAAUUAAUAUCAUUUGUGAAGUGAAAACCCAUCCCAGUGAACGAUCCUAGAGCCACUAUGCUAUAGUAGCUUUGUCUUUGCUACCCUAGUAUAUGGUGUAAUAGGUUAUAAAUUUUGUUGAUUACUCCCUCAAUCAAGGAGCACCAGCUGGACACGAAUCAGCUGAGACACCAAUUGGGCAUGAAUCACUACACGGGGAUAGAAGAAAUCCCUAGGAGUCAUUAAGUGCUCCAUAGGGUACCUUUGGAGUAAAUGGAAUGAAUCUCUGAGCUCUGGCUGAAGCCUGAAAGUCUCUCUAUCAAAACAAAGCUAGGAGUGGAAUGGCCUAGCCCGACAAUCCAAGUUGCCCUCAAUGGGUGGCUUAGUGACCAUGGGCCGCCUAAUAAUCACCUCAUGAGUCAUCCUAGAAGGAAUCUGAGACUCUGUAGGAGGUGGCUGAGGCUCUGAUGAAGGCUCUGAUGGUUGAACUAGAGAUGAUAUCCUUGCUUUCUUCUUAGGAGGGAGGCUAGCUGACUUAUUGGGUCGAGAGGAGCUUACCCUGGGUGUAGUGGGUGGUCUCCUAGUCUCAUAUCGCCUCAGAGGCGUGCCCUGUACUGAAGGUGGGACGGCAAGUGGCUGUGAAGGCUCAGUCAUGGAGUCUUGCACAAGAACCACUGUUAGUGUUCUGGUGCGGCCUGAGGGAGAUAGGGUAUUGGCUCCUCAUGUUUUGGCCAUGGCUAACUUAGAGAAGGUUGAGAGAGGGUGGUCGGAGGUGCACAUGGGGCUUAGGCUCAGACGAAGGUCCUCUGGAAAUGGUGCUCUGGCGUGGCUCAAUUUUCGCACCAAAUGGGGGUUUUCAUAGGGCAAAUGACCGGUGUGAAAUGGAAAAUAGCAAUUUAAAGAUUUAAAUUGAAAUUUGAGUGACGGUUGAGCUUUUUGCAUGAGAGGACUUAUUUCACAGCCAAGGGCCAAUUUCGCAGCCAAGAGGCAUUUUCGUAGGCCAUUUCGCAGCCCAUUUCGUAGUUGCGAAAUGGGAGUGUAGGGCUGCGAAAUGGCACUCGUGUGCCAAGGAGGUGUUUCGUAGAGGGUACUUGGGCUGCGAAAUGAAGCUUUGGAGGAUUUCACAGCCGUUUCGUAGCUGCGAAAUGGUGGUUUGGGCUGCGAAAUGGCACUCAUGUGCCAAGGGUCCGUUUCGCAUCUGCAAAAAAUUUCGCAAGGGGUGGGGCUUGGGCUGCGAAAUAUUUUCGCAAAUGAAGGCCUUUUUCACAAUGAAACCUCAAUUUUGCAGAGGGUAGUCUUGGGUUGCAAAAUAAUUUCAUAGAGGAUGCCUCAUUUCGUAGGGGGGCUAUUUUGGCUGCGAAAUUUUCGCAGACCAGUGAAUUUGCAUGCUUUUGGGCUCCUUUGGUUCCUUAAGACAUUCUUUCACCUCUUUUGCAAUUCCUCCUAAAUUUGAUCAUUCAAAAAGUUUAAGUUACAUCAAAAUAACACAAAUUAAAACUAUGAUUAAAAUCCAAACAAUUAAUAAAGCUCUUAAAUUAGAAAAAUUAAACAAAAAUUAUGGACUUUGGCAAGACCAAGUCCAUCUAACCCCUUUCUGAUUAGGAUUUCUAUGGCUCAAGGAGGUUGACUUCCUCCUUAUCUUGAUUGAAUGGCUCGAUGAAUGGCUUGAGACGAUGGCUAUUGACUUUAAAAGUGUCUGUGCUGUUGGAAUUCAAUAAUUCCACCACUCCAUUGAGAUGCACUUGGUGAAUAAUGAAAGGGCCUAUCCACCUAGACUUCAACUUCCCAGGAAAGAUAUGGAGCCUAGAGUCAUAGAGUAAGACUCUUUGUCCUUUCCAGAAUUCUUUGUUGGAGAUUAACUGAUCAUGCCACCUCUUCAUCCUCUGUUUUGCAACUUUGGAAUUGAUGUAGGCAUCAUUUCUUAAUUCCUCCAUCUCAUUAAGGUCCAAGCACCUUUUUGCCCCGACUCUGAUCAAGUCCAUGUUUACCUUCUUGAUUGCCCACCAAGCCUUAUAUUCAACUUCCACAGGGAGAUGGCAUGCUUUGCCAUAGACUAGGCGAUAAGGAGACAUGUCAAGAAUAGCCUUAUAAGCUGUUCAUAUGCCCAUAGUGAAUCAUGGAGCUUAAUAGACCAAUCUCUUCUGCUCGUGUUCACCACCUUCAUCAAUAUAUUCUUAAUUUCCCUGUUUUCUAGCUCAAUUUGCCCGGAAUUCUAAGGGUGAUAAGGUGUAGUAGCUACCUUAUGCUUCACCCCAUACUUGGCUAAUAGGGUUUCAAAAGGCUUGUUGCAAAAAUGAGUACCCCCGUCACUAAUUAUGGCCUUGAGUACCCCAAAUCUUGAGAAGAUGUUCUCUUUAAGAAACUUGAGAACCACUCUAUGAUCAUUGUGUUUACAGGGGAUUGCCUUAACCCAUUUAGAAACAUAGUCCACCCCCACCAAGAUAUAAGAGUUACCAAAAGACAUUGGGAAAGGUUCCAUGAAGUCGAUGCCCCAAACAUCAAAGAGAUCAACUAUUAGAAUGGGGUUCAUAGGCAUUUGAUUUCUUCGUGUUAGUUUCCCGAGCCUUUGGCAUUUAUCACAGCUUCUACACAUGGUGUGGGCAUUUUUGAAGGGUGAUGGCCAACUAAACCCUGAUUGCAACACCUUCAUAGCUGUUUUUUGAGAGGCAAAGUGACCUCCACAUGCACUCUCAUGGCAAUGACUGAGGAUUCCUUGUUGCUCUUCUUCAGGGACACAUUUCCUUAUUAUUUGAUCUGCACAAUACUUGAAAAGGAAAGGUUCUUCCCAAUAAUAGGCAUGAAUCUUUGCAAAGAAGUGCUUCCUAUCUUGUGCUUCCACUCACUUGGAACUUCACCAGUAACCAAAUAGUUAGCAAUAUGAGCAUACCAAGGAGUGUUUCCUAGCAACAUAAGUGAUUCCUCUAGAAAGUCAUCAUUAAUAGGUAAAACAUGGGGAUUGUGGGCUAUAGCCAACCUUGAAAGGUGGUCAGCUACCACAUUCUCCACUUCUUUCUUAUCUCUGAUUUGGAGAUUGAACUCUUGUAGUAAGAGAAUCCAUCUAAUCAACCUUGCUUUUGCAUCUUGCUUUGUCAAUAAAUACUUCAAGGGUGAAUGGUCAGUGAAAACAAUGAAAGACCCUACUAGAUAAGCACAAAAAUUGUCUAAGGCAAACACUACAACUAACAAUUCUUUUUCUGUAGUUAUGUAGUUCCUUUGAGCUUCGUUCAAUGUCUUGCUUGCAUAGUAGAUCACAUAGGGCUUUCCAUAUUCUCUUUGGCCAAGAACAACUCCUAUAGCAAAAUCAUUGGCAUCACACAUCACUUCAAAAGGUAGUUGCUAGUUAGGAGCCCUCACUAUUGGAGCAGUUGUUAGGAAUUGCUUCAGUUGAUCAAAACUCCUUUGACAUCUUUCAUCCCAUGCAAACUUAGCAUCCUUAGCCAAUAAUUCACAAAGAGGCUUUGAAAGCUUAGAGAAAUCUUUUAUAAACCUCCUAUAGAACCCUGCAUGGCCAAGGAAUUGCCUUACUCAUUUUACAAUUGUUGGGGAUGGCAAUUUGACCAUAAGUUCCACCUUUGCUUUAUUAACUUCAAUGUCUCUUUUGGAGAUGAUGUGGCCAAGGACAAUUCCUUGUUGUACCAUAAAAUGGCAUUUCUCCCAAUUGAGCACCAAGUCCUUUUCAAUGCAUCUGUUCAGAACCGCUUCCAAGUUGACUAAGCAUUCUUCAAAUGUACUACCAUAUAUGGUGAUGUCAUCCAUGAAAACCUCCAUAAUUCGCUCCACCAUAUCACUGAAGAUACUUAGCAUACAUCGUUGGAAUGUUGCAGGUGCAUUACAUAAACCAAAAGACAUUCUUCUAUAGGCAUAUGUUCCAAAUGGACAUGUGAAAGUGGUCUUCUCCUGAUCUUCAACAUGGAUUUCAAUUUGAAAAUACCCGGAGUAGCCGUCCAAGAAACAAUAGAAAGGAUGGCCAGAGACUCUCUCCAAUACUUGAUCAAUAAAUGGAAAUGGAAAAUGAUCCUUCCUUGUCAUAGCAUUCAAUUUUCUACAAUCAAUACACACCCUCCAACUUGAAGUGAGGCGUGUAGCAACUUCUUCUGCCUUUUCAUUUUGGACCACCGUGAUCCCUGACUUCUUUGGUACCACUUGAGUAGGACUUACCCAUGGGCUAUCGGAUAUGGGGUAGAUAAUAUCUGUUUGAAGUAGCUCUAGAACCUUAGUUCGCACCACCUCUUGCAAAUGAGGAUUCAACCUUCUUUGAGGUUGACGAAUUGGUUUAGCUUCUUCUUCUAUGUAUAUAUGAUGUGUACAAACCAAAGGACUGAUGCCUUUCAAGUCAGAUAUUUGCCAUCCUAUUGCUUUCUUGCACCUCUUAAGGACUUCAAGUAGACACACCUCCUGAGGAGUAGUAAGAGAUGAAGAUUUAACAAUAGGGCACUUUUGAUUUUCUUCUAGGUAUGUAUAUUUCAACUCCAUGGGCAGGGGCUUCAGAUUGAGCUUUGGGGUCUCCUCUUUAGUAGCUUAUUAUGCCUCAUCUUUAUUGAACAAAGGUAGAAUUUCUUCUCUCCUCCUCCAACCUUGUAAAGUAGCAAGCACAUUUGAGGGUUCAGGCAACCCUUCUUCAAGAUCCCCAAGACUUUCAUUCAACCUGUCUUGCAUCUUCUGAUUACAAUGCUCCUCCACUAGAGUGUCAAUAAUGCACACCUCUUUUGGACCUCUUUCUUCUUCCGGAGUGAUUGACUUUUUGGGCAUAUAGAAGAUAUUGAGCUCCAAUGUCAUGUUGCCAAACAUGAGUUGCAUGAGUCCAUUCCUACAAUUUAUGAUUGCAUUUGAUGUAGCAAGGAAUGAACUUCCAAGGAUGAUAGGAACAUAAUUAGUUUCCUUGAAAAUUGGGUCUGUGUCAAGAACAACAAAGUCUACUAGAUAGUAGAAAUUAUCAACUUGAACUAAGACAUCUUCAAUUAUCCCCCUUGGAAUUUUCACUGAUCUAUCUGCUAGAGAUAGAGUGAUUGAUGUUGGCUUCAAUUCACCAAGUCCUAAUUGCUUGUAAACAGAGUAUGGCAGAAAAUUCACACUUGCUCCCAAGUCUAACAAAGCUUUCUCCACUACAGUUCCCCCAAUCAUGACUGUAAUGGUAGGGCAACCCGGAUCUUUAUACUUCAAAGGAGACUUGCAUUGUAUGAUAGCACUUACUUGCUCAGUUAAGAAGGAUUUCUUAUUCACAUUCAACCCUCUUUUGAUAGUACACAAGUCCUUUAGGAAUUUUGCAUAAGUUGGAACUUGUUUAAUCAUAUCUAGCAAUGGGAUGUUGACCUUCACUUGUCUUAGUACUUCAAGAAUUUCUGAGGCAUUUUUUAUUCCAUUUUUCCCAUGCAAAGCUUGAGGAAAAGGUGGAGGUGUGUGUUUCUUCAUCACCUCUCCCUUAAUAAGUACUUUCUCCGGGUUUGCAUUCACUAUUGAAUCAUGGUCCACUUUCCCUUCACUGGUAUCUUUCUUCUUUCCUUUGAUUUCCUCCCUCUUCUCUGUCUCUUUUUUUUUCUUCCUCUUCAACAUGUGGCUUGGAUGUUGGCAGCUCAACCUUUUUACCACUCCUUAGAGUGAUCAAGCCUUUAACAUCUCUCACCUGUGAAGACUCUCCUUCAUGAGUUUCCACUUCAUGGAUACCCUUGGGGUUUUGGUGAGGUUGAGAAGGAAAUCUACCCUUCUCUUGCACUGUGUUCAGGUUAGUGAGCCUUGAGAUUGAGUAUUGGAGAUUAUCUAUCUUUUGAGAUAAGUCAUUUUGCAUCUCAUCCAUCCUUUUAUUCAAUGUAUUCUCUACACUGUCAAUUCUUUGACUGAGUUGAGCAUUGAUGGAUUUUUUAUCUCUAACAAAAUCUCCCACAACCUUACUUAGAUUCACUAUUGCUUGUUCAAGAUUUGAGGCUUGUUGAGAUGGUUGAGCUGGCUGUGUAUACUGAGGUGCUCUUGGCUUCCAGGAGAAAUUUGGAUGGUUCCUCCAAUUUGAGUUGUAAGUAUUUCCAUAUGAAGCAUUGUUGUUGGGCUUGAAUUGUCCAAUGACAUUUGCUUGUUCUCCAAACAUUUCCCUAGCAGCUGGAAUUGUAGGGCACUCUUCCACCAAGUGCUCAUAAGAUUGACAAAUAGGACAUGGCUUGACUUGUACUAGUGUUUCAGCAACAGCCUGCACUUCAUGUAUUUUUUUCAAUUCUAGUUCCUCCAAUCUUCUUGUCACAGCUGCAACCUUUGCUUUCAUAUCAACAUCUUCACUCAAGGUGUACAUCCCAACCUUAGCAUUAAAGGCAUUUGGUUGAGACUUCGUCUUUACCACUUCUCCUUUGUUCGGUUCAUCCCAUCCCCUUGAAACUUCAGCCACAUAACUCAAGAAAUCCAUGGCUUCCUCCUGAUUCUUACUCAUGAAAUCUCCUCUACACAUAGUCUCAAGGAGUUGCUUCAUUGAGGAAGGCAUCCCAUCAUAAAAGUAACUCACCAAUAGCCAUGUAUCAAAACCAUGAUGAGGACAAGCAUUGAUGGAUUCCAUGUAUUUUUCCCAACACUCAUAGAAUUUCUCAUUCUCUUUAGCUAAGAAAUUUGAAAUUUGCAUUUUCAAGCCAUUUGUUCUAUGAGUAGGAAAAAAUUUCUUGAGGAAUUCAGCUUACAAAUCAGUCCAAGUUCGGAUACUCCUUGGCCUUAAAGAAUUAAGCCAGAUCUUGGCCUUAUCCUUCAAAGUAAAAGGAAAUAGCUUUAGCCUCAUCAUGUCGAUUGAAGCUCCUCCCUCUUGGAAUGUAUUGCAAACAUCUUCAAAUUCCUUGAUAUGUGCAUAGGGAAUCUUACUUCCCAUCCCAUGGAAAGUAGGUAGAAGUGGAACAAUAUGCCGUCUAAUUACUAGUUGCUCUAUAGGGGGCACUAUACAUGAUGGUGCACUCAUACGAGGUGGAUACAUGCGGUCCCUCAUUGAUCUGAAUGCAUUGGGAUUGUCCUGGUGACCAUGGUGACUAUGCUGAUCUUCAGGUGUAGCUUCCAUGAUGUUCAAGCCCAAUUCCAACUCCUUGUUAUGAGGUGUUUCAAGUUUCACAAGCCUUCCUCUACUGUCUCGUAUCCAAUUUGGCAUACACAACUAAUAUCAACUGUAACAACCACAAAGAAACAAAAGAAAACAAAAGAAAACAGGACUACAAAAAGACUAAGAUUAACUAAACUACAUUAAAAGACAUGCUAAAAUAUGAACAAGUAAAAGAAACAAUUUAAAAGAGUUAGUAAAAUGAAAGAAAAAUCACCAAACUUGUGAUGAAAAUCACAAGUACUCUGAAAAGAUAAUAUCACUGUGAAGUUGGCACCUUCCCCGGCAACGACGCCAUUUGAUUUGUUCCCAAUUGGUGUACCUUGAUUUUUGUCCCCAGACAAGAGUAAUCAACAAAAUUUAUAACCUAUAUCACCAUGUACUAGGAUAGCUUCAGCUAGCAUAGCAUAGUGGCUCUAGGAUCAUUCACUAUGAAGGGUUUUCAACUCACAACUGAUGUUAAUUCAAAGUUGAAUUGGUGUUUUUUCAUUUCAACGUUAGCUUUAAAAGAAAACAUAAUCUUUGGUUGAAAAAUGAUUGAUUUUAAGCUAAGCAAAAAAUAGUAACUAAUUUUAAUUAUAAAGAAAAGCGUUUCUUGGAGUUUUAGGAUCACUGGGGUCAGGCUCCUAAUACAAAAAUAGAGUUCCGGUCACUUGAAUCUUUUCCUCGCAUUGGAGAAUUAACAUAUAGUUAUUUCUCUAACCGGUGUGGUACAGAUGCUUCCCUUUUAUGGAUUCAAACACUAAAUCCCUCUCACUGAUUGAUUACUACCCAAAAAGUGCUAUUUUACACCUUUAAUUCAUUAUGUUUUAAGCAGUUUUGUGUAGUAGUUCUCCAUCUUUAUCUCAAUUGGCAUAUUAAGGACCUAACAAUGACUUCUAAUCAUAUUUUUGGCUAGUUUUAGUGUUUUGACAGCUUUUUGGAUCAUUAAGACAAGCCAAGCAAAGGAGAGAAGCAAAGAAGAGAAGCAAAGAGAGAGUGAAGAAAAUAGAGGACAGCAGCUGCAGUCUUCCUUUGCACUUUUGGAGCACUUCCCGAAGUCCAUUUUCUACAUGCUAUAUACCAUUUCGAAGCUCAGGAAGUCAAGAAUCCAACGCUUCAAAUCGUGUAUGAUUUAGAGCUGAAAUGAGGAAGAUAUGGCCUUCGGAAGACAACUGCAUCAAGCCAUGGGAACACCAUUUCGCAAGGAGAUUUUCUUCAUGGUGCGAAAUUUGGCAAUUUCGCACCAUGAAGAACCACCUUGCGAAAUUUCGCAAGGUGGCUUUUCACCUUGCGAAAUUUGGACCCUUCAUCUUUCCAUUCCACUGCCGGUUCUCCAAGAUAUUUUGCUUGAUUUUUAGCUUUGUAAAUACCUAUUUUACCCUUGUAAUCAACCAAUGAAUAGGUUGCUUUUGUAAUAGCUCUUGUAAUUUAGCUUGUUAUUGUCUUUAAAUAGAGGUGAAGAGCCUCAGACAAAGAUAUCUUGUAACCUUUAACUUUAUAAGUUAUAAGAGCACUUUUGUUCAUACGCUUCUUUUCUCUUUUCUUUCUCAUUUUCUUAGUAGCCAAACAUCCUUGGAGGAUGAAAUCCCCAAGGAUGAGAGGCUAAAACCUUUUAGUUUCUUGAAGUAAUGGAUGCCAUGUGAAGCUCCCGUGUCAGGAUGGAGAUUUCCAAGCCAUAAAUGUAAGUAGCUGAGUGUCAUAAAUGUUUUCAUUCAAAGUAAAGCUUUUAAUCCCUCUGACUUGCUUUGAAUGGCCAAUACUUGAUAACCUUUUGGUCUUAGUGGAUUCUUAUUGUUAGAUCCACUGACGUUCAUUAGUUAUCUCCUACGAGCCAUUGUAUUGCAAGUCGAGGAGAUGACCUAUAUCAAUAAAAGAGCAUUUAUGAGGUUCAGCUACCCUUUUUGUAAGUUUUCAAGGACUAAAACUCAGUUGUUAAACUCAUACCGGUUCGGGAAGUAAGCAUCACCUUAGUUGCUUCCCCAACUCGAGGUGAAAAGUCCCAAAAUCUCCAUUUUUACACAGUGAGUUAAGCAUGGCUAUCCAAAGCUUUGAGAAACUUCUUUUUCCAUCUUUUAACCUAUUUUCAUGUUAGUUUAGUUUACAACACCUUCAUCUUUUUAUGUUUUCAUCUUAACCUAAUUUUUAUUAAGAAAAGUUCACUCCAUCCUCCGAACUUCACCAGUUAAAGUAAAAACCCUUCCCAGUGUUCGAUCCUAGAGUCACUAUGCUAUAGUAGCUUUGCUACUUUAGUGUAAGGACCUUAGGUAUAAAUUUUGUUGAUACCCUUACAUGCCAAGCUACCAAGAGUCGGGUUAUCAGUGAUUCAUCUUGUAAUGGUUCGUGCAUCUCACCUAGCAUUUACCAUUCGAGGUGAUCCUUAACCUUGGAUUUCCUUUCUCAAGCUCGCAAGAAAUAACUAAUGGAUGUCUCCUUAGAGUCUAAAAGCUUACCAAGUGUUGGCUAUUCUAGAAAAUCCUACCUUCAAACCACCUUCCAAAGGCUUGCAAGAGAUAAACUAGUGCAUCUCAAUGGAUGGAUAUCAUUUGCCUUACCAAGUGUUGGCCCAGGUGAUUUAAAGGCGUUUUAAGUUAACUAAAAGCAUAUAAACUAUUAACGGGUCACAUUUUCUCUUCAUUAGAAGUUGAAACAACAAAACUUCCAAUUCUUGCAUUCGGCUCCUUACCUAGCUUCCUCAACUCUAAGAGACAAAAAGUCUAGCCACUCAUUCUCUGAGGAAACAUCCUCAGAGCUUGUUUGGCUAGUAAGAAAAAAUACAAUCAAAGUGAGCAGGUAAGGCAGAGCAAAGCUCUGUGUAUUACUUCCUUCAAAACUAUACAAAAAGUUGGUCUCUGAGAACAAACUCCCGAGAUAUCCCUGUGUAAAGAAAAUUACAAACUAUAUAUAAGAGGUUAUUCACCCUUUAUUCUUACUUACUAACUAAGGAAUCCUAUGAUUGGUGGAUUACAAUGAGAAAAUGGGGAUUUAAACAACAAAUAUUUGAAGAAAAAAUCUAAAAGAGUUAGUCGCAAAUAUCUGGAAGCACUCAGGUGGAUUUCGCAGGCAUGCAAGAUGGGCUGUGAAAUUUUGCAAGCUGAAAGUCUCCAUUUCGUAGCUAUAGGCUGAUUUUGCAGCUAGCACCUUGUGAUUUUGCAGCUGCGAACUUGGCCUUCAACUUGGUGCGAUUGGCUUCCAAUGGCUAUAACUUCUUCAUUUCAGCUCCAAUUCGCACACCGUUUAAAGCGUUGGAUUUCUAACUUUCUGAGCUUCGAGACGACAUAUAGUAUGCAUGAAGUGGACUCCAAGAAGUGCUCAAAAUGUGUCCAACAGUUGCUGUCCUCUUGAAUUCUUCAUAUUAGAUUUCUCUCUUUGCUUUCCCUCCUUGCAUUCAUGAUUUACUUUUGGAAAAUGACUAUAAAGCUUCAAAGCUUGGGUUCUUCAUGUAAAUGAGCUUUCAAUUGCUUUGCCAAGGAUUCUAUAGAACUCUCCUCAAUCUUGGAUUGCUUGGGUGAUCAAAAUGCUAUAAAAAAAGGCCAAAACUUAACACGAUUUGAUUAGAAAUGAUUACAAAGGUCCUUAACAUGCCGAUUGAGUUUAAAGGUAAUAACUACUACUUAAAAACAUUUAAAAGAGUUAAUUACAAGCUAUAAAAUAGCACUUUUUGAGUAGUAAUCAUGUACUCUGUAAUUGCCUUAGUAUUUGAUCAUCCUCUCUUCUAACCUUCUCAUGAGAGACUGCAACAUCAGAUGGCCUGACUACUAGAGGUGGGGGUUGAGAGAACAGAUCUUGCAAAGGUUGAGUGGAUUCUAACCUCUCUGCCAAUUCAGGAUUUUCCCAACUGCAGUUUUAUUUUAUAAUUCUCUAACUCCUUUGCUUCAUUUUCUAAGUCAAACUUGGACACCACCACGCAUUUCAAUCUUUGAGGUCUAAUUCCGUAUCUGAAGGUAGGACUUUCUAUUCUUGCUGCAAUUGGGAGAACAAAUUCUGCAAGUUCUGGGGAGUCAUCUCAGUUCGAAAAAAUUGCAGGUAUUCAUUAUGUGCAAGGGUCUGAAUUUGUUGCAAUUUCUCCAACUUUCUUACAAGCUCGACAGUGUUGAAGGAAUUCUUGAGAAUCUGGAACAUAACUGUGAGUAAUCUUGGAAACAAUUGGGCAAUCUGUAGGUUCUUCACUUGCUGUCAUCGCUAAGUUACCCCAUUCUUUCUGAUACCUGGACUUACUACCUCUGAUUUACUUGGAGAUCAUCAACAAGAGGACAAUCAAGGUAAAGUGAGCCCACUGAUUCUUAUUCAUGUUGGUCAGAUGCUAACUUGCUGAUGUGUUCUGUCAAACUAAGCGAGCCAGCUGGUGUGUUCUGUUGAACUGAGCAACACUAUAUUUACUCUCAAAUUUAAAUCUUUUAACCUGAAUUCAGAAUCAGCAGCAUCAUUAGAGUCACUGGCAGUGGCAAGCCUCGAUUCUUGCCCAAUUAUGUUUGCAGUUUCUCAUUUCUUGAAACUUGCAUUUCCGGGAAGAGGAUUGUCUUUUGCAUUCUGAACAUUCCAUUAACUACUUGGUGCUAGUAAAGGAUUAGGAGGAGUGGACAUUUGAACGUUUAUUACAGCUUUGCUAUUUAAAUUUGAAGAACUAAUUGAUUUGCACUGUGUCUCAACAGCAUUACUGCUGGAUUUGACUUGCUUCGAUUUACUAUAAGUAGUAAAAUCGUUUUCAAAAUCCACCAGCCCAAUGGACCCUAGGGAGAAAGCUUCAGCCUGAUGCAUGCUAUUAGCAUUGGAAGUUGUCUCGAACAUAGCAAGAUCAAUCAAACUUUUACCUAGUUGAUUUAUCUUCAUUUCAAUCAUGGCAUCUUCGAGGAGCAACCUGUCAUUGGACUUCAUGUCGCACAUGUCCAAUAGUUGGAAUAAUCGGUGCUUCUCUGAGAACUUCGCAAAAGCAAUGUGUUUUUCAUCAACGUUCAAAUCAGACAUUGAAAUUUUUUUGUAGGUUGGCAGAAAUGUGGCAGUGCUUCUCUGAGAACUUCGCAAAAGCAAUGUGUUUUUCAUCAACGUUCAAAUCAGACAUUGAAAUUUUUUUUGUAGGCUGGCGAAAAUGUUGGCAGCUUCAACAUCAUAAAUUGCAGCAAGAUUGAAAAUCUGAAUUACAUCUCUAAGUGUUCCAGAGAACUUAGUCACGUCCGCCUCCUAUGCCAUUUCUUGAUAAAUCUCGUUCUUUCCAAAUGCUUCCAAAGGUUGAAAUUAGUACCCUUGUUCAUCUCAAGGAAACAAACUAUUGUACUCACUAUUCUUGUACUUAGAACCUCCAAGUUGAAGGCGUCUAUCAAUUUAAAGUUUGCUCCUGAUGCUACAGAGGCUGCAGCAAUAACUGCAAGAACAUUUGCUGCUCGUAUAUGUAUCCAACUAUCAUUCUUCCCAGUGCCAAUCUGUAUCUCAGAUAUAAGAGAGACCACAUCAGGUGUGUGCUGAGCUCUCUGCCAUGUGUUUCCUUUACAAAGCUUUUCCUAAAGAAGACCCUGGUUGGUUCAUGGAGCAUAUGAAAGUGAAUUUAUGAUCCACUCUCGAACAAACUUUUGAUAUGAAGAACAUAUGGUUGCUACCAUACAGGAUCAUUGGAAAGAGUAGAAGGCGAGUCAUCAUCAACUGAAAAUAGUAGGGAAUGUAGACAAGAUGAAUUCCAUAGAACCUGAAGAAACCUUUCUCUAGGUUGACCCAACAAGUUGACAGAGAUAUCUCGAAUGUGUUCCUCGUUUUGAGACAUUCUUUAUGAGAAAACAGGCGUGAGCAGAAAGAGUAGAUUCUCUGAUUUCAGCUUCAUUUUCGGUAUCAGAUAUUCUAUCCUCCAGCCAUGAUACUGUUGUUUCAACAAUUCACAAGCAACUAACAAUACGCUGCGACUCUCUUCAAUUGUCAAAUAACCAGUAGAUUUGCCUGAUAUUUUCUCAAUGAUGGAAUCAGGUUCCUUCUCAUGGGCAUCAGAAGGCAACUUGUUUUCUGCAUCUGGUGGAAUGAACAAAGAAGCAUGCUCUCAAGUUGAGUCAGGUACAGAUCCUACUGCAUUUCCUUCUAUGGUUUCAGAAGAAAAUCCAGAACAGGACUUUUAGACUUUCUCAACUGGUCCAUUUUGAAUGGUUCCCUUCAGACCUUGCUCUCUCUGUUCUGCCUCCUUCUUUGUUCCGGCUCAAAGAUUUCAACUGUGCGAUGGUGUGAUGCAUUUGAUUCUCAGCCGAAGAAAAAGAACAAAAUCUGCUUAUGACGACAUUUAUUUAUCAAGAGCAAGCCGAUGAUCUCUUUAGUGUCAAAGGACGACUUAAUAAAUUUCGGCCGCUGUAGGUAAGAAGUCUUCUAUGCCAUUCUAAUUAUAUAAUGUCUAACUCAGACCUCCAAGAUCAACUAGAUUCAGAUUCUAAACCAGCACUUUGCAAUUAUGAGUUUCACGCCCAUCAAGAAAACCCAAGAGUGCUUCAAUAUCUUCUUUGCCCAUUCUGAUGGAUCAUUGUCUAAAGCAUCAUAGACACUCUUCCUAAUUCUGGCACCAUCCUUCAUGAAUUUGUAGCUUGUUUGUCAUCUUUUGGUUAACGUCUUUGCCUUUCCAUCACUCCAUUUUUCAAUUCUGAGGUUUUAUUAAAUCUACUUUGAACAGCCGUUUUGGUGAAGCUGACGAUUGAGGCUUCAUAUGUACAGCCUAUCGUGCAUUGUGCAAAUUUGAAAGAUUGUGAUCAGAGUGGAGUUGGCUCUGGAUAUUGACUGCAAGCUAACUGGAUUCAAAUUUUGAGCAUCCAUCCUUGAUCCAACUGGUGUUACAGUAUUAGAGGAGUUUGAAGUCCCUGAAGGAUCAGCAAUGUUCAUCCCAUAUCUAUCACCCUGAAUAAGGGGUUGCUGAUGUUGAUCAAACUGCUGCUGUAAGGGUUCCGAAGAAUCACCACAUAGUCUGCCAAACGAAUAACCAUUCAGAAGUGCUGGGUCCAUUCACCCAUUGCAUAUUGUUCUCAAUAAACCCACCAUUUAAAGGCCCAUUUUAAAAAAAAAAACCAUAAGCUCUCUAUUGCAAACCGGACCUAAUUCUACCACCCCUUGGACUGCCAAUAACUUCAAAACCUUCACACUGAUGUGUACAUAUAGCAUUUCUUAUGCCAUGAAUAAAUUCCCCAAACCACUUUCGGGAUGAACACCAUGAAUAGAUCAGAUUGGCAUCCACAACCAGGUUUCUGAAAUUGGAGCUCAUAAAAAAAUGAAGCUGCAUCCAAUCAGCAUCGGAUUUUCUUCUCCUUUUUGAGACUCUUGGAAUAUGAAAAAGAAAACUUGUGAAGAAUAAGGUGGAAUAUUCCAGUAAUGUAGUACACGGUAGGACCCAUUUGAAGGGGAACCCUGCAUUCAUUACUCUCACCUCCAGUAGCAUUAGAUGCUUGCUGAACCCAAUUCAGCCAGUCUCUGCAUAUUGACUCUCAAUAUAAACGCUUAGAAAUAACAAUGACUUCAUUUCUACUGCCUUGUUUAGACCCUCCUGGACCAAUGUCUACCUUCAUCUCUCACAAAUUCUGGUUCUACUAUUAAAGUUCUGCCCCCAGUCCGUUUUGCAAAGCAUAAGCUAAUUUUACAUUUGUAUAAUUCCAUCUUAACACACAAGUCCGACGUAGCCUUUGCUGAGAAGUUAAAGAAAUUGCUUUUCUAGUAUAAAAGAGCCUUUCAGAACCAUGCUGAAGCUCUGAAUGUUGAUAGUUUUCCAUUGCAACUGAUAUGAGCUCCUCAUUAGUAGUGUCACAAGAAUGACUCCAUGAGAAGUUUCUUGCUGCACCACCUUUUUUAUGUAUUCCAACCCCAACUGUUGAGCUUCUUGAAAUUGAAACUACAGAACAUAGUUAUUUUGAAUUGUUUGCAUCUAUAGUGAUAAAUCACUGAAAGAGACAAUCAUGAUUUAGGCACUUGAUUUCCGUUUCGGUCAAACUAACAGCUUCGUAACUGUUAAUCUCAAGGUCAGAUUCAUGCUCUUGUUUCUCAAUUUCAGUCUUCCCAUGAGAAUUUUUUCCAUAAUAAUCAAAUGAAUUCUUAAAAUUCCCAAAAGUUUCUAGCUUUUGCUGAUCAUGGAGGUGCCUCACAAUACUUGUCAUUACACUCACUUUGAAAUUUUUCUAGUCCAUGUUCACUUUGAAUGAAUGUAUCCCUAAAGGGGGUAUUCAAUGACUGCCCAUAAUGAGUUACAAGUUCCCCAAAAUAGAAUAUAAUGAUCGUCGGCCUUACAGUACUGCUCUUUUAAAAUUUUCUGCUCACUGAACAGUCAUAGUUCAAACCAUCAGUAUCAAAAGGCUUUCCCAGGCACUCAUCUUCGGAACCAUAAGGCCAGCAAGUCUGCAACUGUCUGAGCUGGGUAAAAAAGUCCUAAGCAGUGGAAGUGCACAGCAUGAUGCUGUCAAGUUUCAAUAACUUCAAUAAUCCAUUCUUCCUCUACUCAUGUAAACUUGUAAUGCUGUCAGAAAUCCUGUCUUCAGAAUAGCAACCCUGACAAUUGAGUAUGGAAAGCAGAAUAUCCAUGUGCUUCCCACUAAGCUUUUUACAACCAUCCUCAUAAACUGAGGUGUGCCAUUCUAGAGAAAAGACACAGUCUUUUAGAAAUCCCAAUACUUCUGAAGCAGCUUGAAUUAGCAUAUUGCAGUAAUUGGAAGUCGGAUUGAUUGAAACAAGGGCUUGAACACAUCCAUCUGUAAAUCUUACAGACCGACCACCUUCAGAGAAAAGGUCUCCAAAAAAAAGGCUUCAUCUUCAUGACAAACAUCAUUCUCUGUUUCAGAGUUGCAACUGCCCCUGUUAUACUACUCCUGUGCACUUCAACAUUUACUCUUCAGUUAUACCGCCCCCUUAGAUAGCAUCUAUCCCACACCAUGAAGCAAGCAAGGUUCACUAUAAUAGGAUCUAAUAGCAGCAACAAAAAGGGUGAUCCUGAAGUAAUGUGCAUUUCCAUCAUGAGAUUUACCAUAAUGUAUCAAUGAUCUAACAUCAAUAACUGGCUGAGGAUCAGGUUCAUCAUCAAAUGCAAGAGUAUGCUUUAGCUUUCAAUCUGAGUUGUCUAUUCAUAUCUUGAAUUAUUAAAAUGCUAAAGUUAUUGACUCACUGAAACCUGCAGGUUCCUCAUCUUUCAAUUUCAAUGGGUUCCUCUAAACCUACUUCAUAACGGCUGUGAUCUCACCUGGAGAUAUUUUGAACUUGACGUCAUCAAUAUCUUCAGCGUGCACUCCUGUUGGAACAUAAGCGACAGUAGCAGCGGGAAGAGGUGUUGUACUGAUUCGCUUCACAACCCCUCGCAAUGUGUUGAACUUAACAUUGUCUAUAGCAUAUUUCUACGGGAAUCAUCUCCAUAUAUCCUGUUGACUUGAAUAGUACUAAUGAUAUUUGCAAUAUUAUCCCUCCAUGACAGUAGUUUUGAUUGAAGGUAUUGCCACUAUUGAGAUAAGGAAAAAAAAACAGCUAGGAUUCCAACCCGGAAUACCAAAGGAGAACCCCAGAAAUUGAAGCAACUUCUGCAUCCAACUAAAUCACAUCCGGAACCCGGUUUAACAACUUUCUUGCCUUGAAGAAGAAAUACCCAAUUUGAUUCAACAAUCUACAAUCAUGUGCCAAACCCCACAAACAGCCCACAUUCUACACAGCCUUUAUAAAGUUUCUACCUUUCAUGAAAUACUCAUGCCAUCAUGGUCUCCAUAGCCCAGAACACCAAAGAAGGGAGAAGUAAGAAAUACAUAGAUGUAGAAGCAAAGAAAAAUAAUCCAAGAAAAGCAAAGCACGGGAGAUAAAGAUGGGUAAGCAGGCAAACCACAUUCCAUUUUUUUCAAAAGAGCUUGAAGGAUUGAACAUGUCAAGACGAAUUUAGUUAAAACUUUAUCAAGAUUCCACAAACAUUCGAGCUUAGACAUAAAUCUCUAUUUCAACUAUUUGUAGAAAGAAUCUAAGAAAUCAAGAACACAAUCAUAACAGAGCAAGGUUAUAGGAAAUUUUGAUUCAACAACGCAAAUAAGUGGCCCUCAAUGUCCACUCCAAUCAGCGAAAUAAAUGCUCAGAACCAUCAGAGAAUCAUCCAGAAUCAAACACAAAAGAAGGCAUAGGAAAUAGUUGAAAACGUACCUGAUUUGUCUCCACCCGAUUACUUGGCUCCCUUGCUAUGAUUCUUCUCCGAAAUCCUCAGAAAUUGACCGUUAAUUCCUCACUCCUGGACAGCCUUGGUUGCAAUCGCUCCUUUCCGACUCCUUUGUGUUUUUCCUCAAGACAAUCACCCCAGAAAAAAAUCCUCGAAUCUCCUAUCUUUCUUUUUCUUUUUCUUCCCCCCUAUCAAACCCAUCCGUUAGAGUUUUUUAUAGCAAAUAAUAGUCCUUCUACAUGAGGAGUCUUCCUCUCUCCAAAUUUUAUCUUAUGCACCGAAAAAACUCUUUUUUUAAAUUUCAAACAAUACCAAUCCAUGCAUAUCAUCUAAAGAGUCUUAUCGUUUUCAAAAACUUCUCCAAUGGUAGACUUCUUCCAUAAAAAUUUCAAAUUAUUAAAUAAAUAAAUAAAUAAUAAAAUAAAUAAAUAAAUAUAUAACUAAAUAAAUAAAUGGGAGAAUGAUAAAAUGAUAAUAAUAGAUAAGUGAAUAAAUAACAAGAUAAUAAACAAAUAAAUAAGAAUAAUAAAUAACUAAAAACGAUUGAUAAUAAUGAAAAUAAAUAAAUAAAUAAAAACAUAAUUGAUUCGUGCCCAAUUGCUAUCUCAGCUGAUUCGUGUCCAGCUGGUGCUCCUUGAUUGAGGGAGUAAUCAACAAAAUUUAUAACCUAUUAUACCAUAUACUAGGGUAGCAAAGACAAAGCUACUAUAGCAUAGUGGCUCUAGGAUCGUUCACUGGGAUGGGUUUUCACUUCACAAAUGAUAUUAAUUCAAAGUUGAAUUGGUGUCUUUUCAUUUCAAGGUUAGCUUUAAAAGAAAACAUGAAGAUGUUUGAAUGAAAAAGGUUUAGAUUUAAACUAACCAAAAAUAGUAAUUGAUUUUACUUACAAAGAAAAAUGUUUCUUGGAGUUCAGAUCACUAGGCUCAGGUUCCUCAUACAAAAAGGGAGUUCCGGUCACUUGUUUCUUUUUUCUCGCAUUAGAGAAUUAACAUAUAGUUCCUUCUCCAACCGGUGUUGUACAGAUGCUUCCCAUUAAUGGGUUCAAACACUAAAUCCCUCUCACUGAUGCACCUUGCAAUGGCUCAUACCUCUUACCUAGCACUUGCCAUUCAAGGUGAUCUUUAACCUUGGAUUACCCGUCAAAAGCUCGCAAGAGAUAACUAAUGGAUGUCUCCUUGGAGUCCAAAAGCUUACCAAGUGUUGGCUAUUCUAGAAAAUCCUACCUUCAAGUCACCUCCCAAAGGCUCGCAAGAGAUAAACUAGUGAAUCUCCAUGGACGGAGAUCACUUGCCUUACCAAGUGUUGGCCCAGGUGAUUUAAAGGCAUUUUAAGUUAACUAAAAAGAUAAAAACCAUUAACGGGUCACACUUUCUCUUCAUUAAAAACUAAAACAACAAAACUUCCAAAUUAUGCAUGCGAAAACUUACCCGGCUUUCCUCACUCCAAGAGACAAAAAGCCUAGCCUCUCAUCCUCUGAGGAAAAAUCCUCAGAGAAUGUUUGGCUAGCAAGAAAAUGAAAAUGAAAGAGAAGGAAAAAUAGAGCAAGGCUUUGUAUAUUCUAUAUAUUUAUAUAUCUAUAUAUCUAUAUAUCCAUUGGAUUACAUGAUUCUAUAUCUAUUACAGUGGAUGCAAGGGAAUAUAUAUAGAGACGUUUUUCCAACCUUCCUAACUAAGAAAUCUUAUGGUUGGUGGAUUACAAGGAGAAGAAUGGAAAUUUAUACAAAAAUAUCUGAAGAAAAAUAUCCAAAAGUGUCGGUCUCAAUUAUCGGGAAGCUUCAGGAGAACACCCGUGCACUGUGCAAAAUGGCUGCGAAAUUCUCGCAGCAAAAGGCUGAUUUCGUAGCCGUGCAAAAAUCUUCCUUUAACUUGGAGUGAUCUGCUUGCAAUGGCUGUAACUCCUUCGUUUCAACUCCGAAUCGUGCACCGUUUGAAGCAUUGGAUUGUUGACUUCCUGAGCUUUGAAAUGGUAUAUAGAAUGUAGAAAAUGGACUUCAGGAAGUGCUCCAAAAGUGCAAAAGAAGACUGCAACUGCUGUCCUCUGUUUUCUUCACUCUGUUUUUCCUCUCUCCGUUGUUCUUUCCUUGCAUACUUUGAACGACUUUGGCAAAGGGCUAUGGAGCUCCAAAGCUUGGUUCUUCAUGAAUUUGAUCUUCCAAAAGCUUUUCCAUGGAUUCCAAGUAACUCUCCUCAAUCUCAUAUUGCUUUGGUGAUUAAAAAGCUAUCAAAACACCAAAACUUAACACAAUUUGAUUAGAAACGAUUGCAAGGGUCCUUAACAUGUCAAUUGAGUUAAAAGGUAAUAAUUACUACUCAAGAGUGUUUAAAAGAGUUAAUUACAAGCUACAAAAUAGCACUUUUUGAGUAGUAAUCAAUAAUAAAUGAUCAAAUAAAAAUGAUUGAUAAUAAUAAAAAAAAUGAAAAUAAAUAAAUAAAUAAAUUGAGUUACACAAGCCAUGCAACUAUGCAAGUCACGCAAAGAAUGUCUAAUGGGUCAAGUGGGCUAAAGCGGGCCUAAGCAGACCUAAGGUAUCCAAAUGACCUAAGGUGGUGCCUAAUGGGCCGGGUAUACCUAUACGGGCCUAGGGUGAGACUAAGUGGGCCUAACUAAGUCUAACCUGAAGUGCACCUAAGUGAAGCCUAAUCUAAACUUGAAAGGCAGCCAAGGUCAUAAUGUGGAGUCGGAUAAACCCCUCAACCAAAGUCUCCAAAGUAGCUCAGAGAAGGUAGGCUACAUAUGUAGUAUUGGGCCAUCGAAGAAUCACUAUGGAACAUUGGAAGUGAACUUAAAGACAUGUGCUAAAUGGACAAAAUGGAGGGUCUACAAGGGGUUUCACCAAUUCCUCAGUUGGUAUACACAAAUCUAGCCUAGAAUCAUCCCAUUUCUUUGGGAACACUAGCUUUGAUUCGUGUUUUGUUCAAUUAGGAGGUAGUGCACUACAGUCUCUAUAGAAUUGCCCAAAUCCAUGAACCGACUAUGGAAAACUUAUUUAUUUACAAGGAACCCAUGACUUGUAUUUUCUAUGCAACUCCUAAUGCACCCAAGUCAUGUACAAUGUAAGAGAAAUGGGUUGAAUGCUCAAAUCAAUGUCAAUACACUAAGGGGGUAGCAAGGGGAUAGUUAAGUCUAACUUUGUUAUAUCAUGUCUUGCUUUUAGGGGCUCAAUCCCAACAAACUCCCACUAGCCCCAAAAGCAAAUUAGGCACUACACAAAGAUUCUGCUUCACAAUUAUAUCACCUCCCUGUACUAUCUCACAAUAAGGUAACACUUUCUCUUUAUAUGUUUCCUCUUCUAGUGGUACUUUAAUUCUUUAGACCAUGCCACCGUCUCACUAUUAUCACAUAAUAGGAUUUUAGACGAUAUAGCCAAGGAAACUACCCAUAAGCCAAAAGGCUUCCUUUGUUUCUAUAGAAACAAAAAAAAAAAAAAAACACUUAGAGAAUACAUAUACCUUGAGGUAGACCUAUGAGAGUCCUUAUUAGACUGAAGUCCAAUUUCCCGUUAUGAAAGGAUUACCAACUCAUUGCAAAGACUCACAAACAUAUAAUCCAUUCUUCUCCAAAGAUACUAAAGUAUAUGUUUGACAUCCACCUAAAGCUCUAAUUUGGAAAUGAACUAAUAUUCGCUCAUUAUUUCUACAACAAAGCAAAUAUCUGGUCUAGCACAUAACAUCGCAUAAUAAAGGCUACCCAUUGCAAAGGCAUUAGAUACCACCUUAAUGCAAUAUCUCUCCAUAAAUGUCUAAGGACAUUGAUCCUAAGAAAGACAACUCCAAUCCAAAGAGUAACAAAUCCUUCUUAGAGUUUUGCAUCAUGUGCUUGACCAAAUGCUCAUUUAUGUAGGUGAUAUGGUGCAAUUUUCCUAUUCUUGUAGUCUUAAAGGAUCUUAACCCCAAGAACAUAUUACGUCUUUCUCAAGAUUUUCAUCUAGAACUAAGUAGACUACUAGAUCUUAACUGAUGACAAUAUCCCUACAUCAUAUCCAAUGAGUAGAUUGUCAUAUACCUACAAGAUCUUAGAUCAUCACCAUGCUUCCCAAUGGCUUCUUGUACACAUAAGGUCGUUUGCUAUAAAAAAAAAAAUGGUUGUUAUAUCUCAUAAAUGAGACACACUACAAUAGAUAGGAAUAAUAUGAUGGAUCUGAGACCACUAUUAAAAAGGUUUUCCUUAGUUGAAACAAAGUUUCAAACUAUAAUCUUUAGUUACAGUCUUAGCCACAUAAAACUCAAUCUUUCCAUCUACUCUUGUGUUCUUUUUGCAAACCAACUUACACUUAUGGGUUUUAUCCCUUUAGGUGCGUCUACAAGAACCCAAACUAUGUUAGAAUACAAAAAUUCUAACUACCUCUCCAUAGAUCCCUGUCUUAAAUGAGCACAAACACUGCUUAUUGCUUCAUCAAAAUCUAUGGGAUAUGAACCUCCCACUAUGAUGAGGAACUAGUGUAUUAGAAAUCAUAUGAAUGGUAUGCCUUUAGCCCUUUGGAUAUGUAGUAUCCUAUGAAAUGUUGAACUAUCUUCUAAUAUAUCUUCCAAUAUAUAUCACUCUUUGCCUUAUUCCUCAUCGUUAUAAAUUAUCUAUCAUGAAUUUCCAAAAUUAACUUGUUUCCUUUAAUUCGUAAUCCUAUGCAAAAUAGGAAAAAUAUUAUUUUAUAAAGAUUUUGAAAAAUAAGAACUUCUCCUUAAAAGAAAGAUUUUUAUUCUUAGAGAUCUCAAAGAUUUGAGAAGAUUUUAAAUAAAAUUAAAAUCUCUAAGAAUUAAUUUUUUUUAAAAUGUAAUAAAGCUCUUAAUCAUUUUUCCAACUUAUUUUUCUUUAAAAUAAAAUUUUAUAGCCGCGCAUAUUCCAAUUAAAUAAGUUUUCCAAUUUUGAAAAGAAAAAAAUUGAAAAUUUAUUUCAAAUUAAGAAUACCAAAAUAACUUGAGGCCAUAUAUGCAAUUAAUCAAGAGUAUAUAAUAAAAACAAGGGAAUAAUAAAUAGAAACCUUUCCCAUGGCCUUUAAGGAUCUUGUUGCAUAUUUGGUAAUUAAAUUUUGGAUAAAAUCCAAAUUACCAAAAAUAACCCUACAACCCAAAAUUGGGUUAGUUAAAAUAGAAAACCUAAAAGGGCCAAUUUCCACACAAAAAUUAAGCCCAAGAGGAUGCCUAAAAUUCAACCUGGACAACCAAACAGAAUUGGACUCAUAUGCAAUCCCGUAACAACAUGCUCUUUGCCCAGCAUUGCUUUAAUUGGUCAUAUUUCCCUUAUUUCAACUCCGAAUUGUGAUCCGUUUGAAGCUUUGGAUUCUUGACUUCCUAAGAUUCAAAACAUAUGUGAUUUUACCUUAGAAAAUAACUGUAAGUAGCCCCGAUUUUGGUUCAAAGUUGACAUCAUUGUGCUACUAUGCACUUUGAACAGACUUGCUUCAUUCGGCCAUAACUCCCUCAUUUCAACUCCGAAUUGCAAUAUGCUUGAACCAUUGGAUUCGUAACUUCCUAAGCUUCAAAUCCAUAUGUGGUUUGCCCAAGAAACUACUAGGAGUUAGUCCCUAUUUUGAGUUCAAGUCAACAUCACUAUGCUACCAAGGAUCUCAAACUAAGAACUUCUAAGAGUGCUUUUUUUUUUCUUUAACCACCAUAAAAUCUCAAAAAGAACUUUCAAGAUUCCUUCUUUUCUCUUGGGUCACCAUAGAUGGAUACAAAAACUGAAAUUUAUACAAUAAUAAAAAUUCCUAUGCUCCUAUAAAUGUGCUUACAACCCAUCUAUUGAAAAUAAAAGAUUUUUACAACCAAAUAAAAAUCUUAUACCCCUUAUGGGGUGUACAACCAACCUAGAGAAUCAAAAGGCAUAGAAAAUAUCCAUUCAUUCAAGUGAAUCAAUAACAAUCAAUCAAUCCAAAUAUAUUAAUACAUUUAAUUGAAUUAACGAUUUCAUUCAUUCAUCUCUUAAGGUCAUGGGAUAAGUAAAAUAACCUUGCAAAACAAAGUUAGCACACUCUAGAAUAGAUCUAGCAUGCUAAAAGCUACUCUAGGGCUCUUAUACCAAUUGUUAGGAACCUUGGAUUACUUCGGUCCCAUGCCUUGAAUCAUGUAGGGUGCAUGCAAAUCUAUCACAGGCUCUUUAAAUCUAUCCCAACCGAUAAAUAGGUAUUAAAAAAUAAUAUUGAUAACAUAGAAAACAUAGAUAUAGAGAAUAAAGCCACAUACCUUUGAUCUGAAUAUUUAUGGAUCAAUUCCAAUCGAUGUAGAUAACUCCAAAGCCAUAAUGGAUCUUGUAAACACCAUGAUCUUCUGCCCGAUGACUCUUCCUUGUGUUUAGGCACUGAGAUGGUGGAGAUCUUAAGGGUAGAAACUAGAGUUCUUUCUCUAAAUUGAAGAGGAGAAUGGCAAGACUAGGAAACCCUAAUCCCUAAAGGGGUAUUUAUAGGCUUCCUACUAGCCUUAAGUGACUUAAGCCCACCAUGGGCUUAGGUCACUUAAUCUAGCUCAAAAAGUUAGCUAAUUUAUUAAUUAACCAUACAAGGCCUAAUUAAUCAAUUAGACUAGUCUAGAGAUACCACUCACUUAUUUGUGUGAAACCUUGUGUAGUUACCAAAAUGUUGUUAUGCACAAAAGUGAACUAAAAACCCAUGCAACCCUCAUAAGUCGUGCUAACAAAGAAUAUGAGCUCAAAGCGGGGAUCAUUGGGAACCAUAGGAGUACUGGCUCUCUCAUAAUCAAAUUAUGAACUUGACUCAACAUCCCACUACAAAGAGUCAACUACUCUCCAAUACUCUAUGUAUAUUACAAUGAGACACCAAGUGCUUAGGUCCGUGACCUACUAUUCACUACAUGUAGACUCCCCCAUGAACUGGUGUCUAUAAUCUAACAAGGUAGUGUUAUUACCUAUCAAGAUUACCUUUCAAAUCCUUGAGUUACAUAUCUCAUUUAUUAUAUGAUCAAUUAACAUAUUCUAACUCCAAAGAGCAUAUGUCAAAUUUCACUAAAGGAAUUAUUGUGGUCAUAGAUUUCAUGAUCACAUGUCCUUUGGAUUGCCCAAGAGGACACGCUUGUCAAUCCCAUGAGAUAUCAUGGUGCCUCUAUUAAGAAUAUCUAUUGUCACUAACCUCUAUCAAUAGUAGUCCAAUCCAUAGGGAUAUAUGGCCACUUUAAGGUCUCACCUAUAGGUCAAAGCCUUCUAUUGAUUUUGGCCUAAGCUCAAUAGCCUCUAAAGGUUAAGAGUCCAUGCAGUAUAGUAGCUUGGUGAAUCAUGAUAAUUGAUAACCUUGCAUCAUGAUUCAUCAUAGGUCCUAUCUAAUGUGCAUCACAUACACUAGUGUACUCACCAUGGGAAACCCAAUCCCGACAACCAAGAAAAGGCAUCUCUUUAAUAAGAAGGUGAUAAACUGCAGUCUCUGCUGAAUUACCCAAAUCUAUGAACCGAUUAUGGACAACUUAUCUACUUACAAGGAACCCAUGACUUGUAUCUUCUAUGCAACUCCUAAUACACCCAAGUCAUAUACAAUUGUUGGCAUCUUAGAUUUAAGCAACAGAAGCAAUACUAUUUUUUAAAAAAAUGAUCUUUUAGGGUUAAAGUACUAACCUUUGGGUUUGGAUGUUCCCAAACCUUAAAUUCCAAAUGUUGAAGAUGACAUUGAAGUUGUUAGAAGUCUCAUAAACCCACGAUCUUCUACCUGAUGACUCAACCUUGUUCUUGGCACACUUAUGAUGGGGAAGAAAGGAGGGUGGAGGUUAUGCCUUUCUUUCUCUCUUAAUAGUGGAAGAGAAAAGUGAUGGAAAUCCUAACCCCUAUGGGGUAUUUAUAGGGUUCCUAACUUAAGUGACUUGAUCCCACAUGGGCUUGGGUCACUUAAUCUAGCCCAAAAGGGAUCCUAAACCAAUAGGGUCUAUCAAUUAAUCAAUUAUCCCAAUCUAAAGACCUUGUUCACUUACCCCUAUGCAACCUUACGUAAUUACUAAAACACCAUUAUGCACAAAAGUGAACCUAGAGCUAAUCUGACCCUCAUAAUUCAUGCUAACAAGGUAUAUGAGUUCAAAGCGAGAACUACUAAGACCCAUAGGAGUAUUGGCUCCCUUAGAAUCCAAUUUAAAAGUUUAUUCGGCAUCCCAUUACAGAGAAUUUACUAAACUCUAGUAUCCUAUGUAAAUAAUAACGAGAUACUAUAUGCUCGGGUCCAUGAUCUGUUUUCCAUUGGAUUCAAUCUCCCUGUGAAGCGAAGUCUGUAGUCUAACAAUGUGAAAGCUAUUAGCUUUCAAGACUACGUUUAUUAUCCUUGAGUUACAGAUCCUCCUAUUGUGUAUUCAACUGACAUGUCUUAGUUUUCAAAGAGCCUAUGUCAAGUUCCACUUAAAGAACUACUAUGGCCAUAGUUUCCAUUAACACACCUUCUUAAGAUCACUCAAGGGGACACACUAUCUCAAUCCUAUGAGAUAUCAUGGUGCCUCUAUUGAGAAUACCCAUUGCUACUAGUUUCCAUCAAUAAUGACAUAAUCCAUAGAGAAUAUAUAAUCAGAUUACGAUCUCACCCAUAGGUCAAAGCCACUACUAACUUUAGCACAAACUCAAUAUUCUCUCAAGGAUGAGAGAUAACACAAUGAAGCAGCUUGGUGAUCAUGACUACUUGAUAACCUUAAGUCAUGAUUCACCAUAGCUCUUGUCCAAUGUGUAACCAUACGUACUAGUGCACUCAAUUGGCAUCUUAGAUCUAAGCAACAGAAGCAAUACCAAUCUAAAAAAAAAAAUGAUCUUUUAGGGUUAAAGUACUAACCCUUUAGGUUUGAAUGUCCCCAAACCUUAAAUUGCAAGUCUUGAAGAUGACCUUGAAGUUGUUGGAAGUCUCAUAAACCCACGACCUUCCACCCGAUGACUCAGCCUCAUUCUUGGUACACUUCAUAUGGGGAGGAAACAAAGGUAGAGGCUAUGGUCUCUUUCUCUCUGAUGGUGGAAGAUAAAAGUUAUAAAAAUCUAACCCCUAUAAGGUAUUUAUAAGGUUUUUAAUUGGGCUUAAGUGACUUGAGCCCACAUGGGCUUAAGUCACUUAAUUUAGCCCAAAAUGGGUUUUAAUUGAUCAAUUAACUCAAUAAGGCCUACUAAUUAAUCAAUUAGCCCAAUACUAAGACCUUGUUCACUUACCCCUGUGCAACCUUCUAUAAUUAUCAAAAAGCCUUUAUGCACAAAAGUAAACCUAAAGCCAAUCUGUUCCGCAUAAUCCGUGUCAACAAAGUAUAUAAGCUCAAAGCGGGGACCACUAGGACCCAUAGAAGUAUUAGCUCCCUUAGAAUCCAAUUCUGAAUUUGAUUCAACAUCCUACUAUAAAGAAUCAAUUGAACUCCGGUAUCCUAUGUAAAUAACAACGAGACAUUACGUGCUCGGGUCCGUGACCUACUGCAUGAAAACUCCCCAUGAAUAGGUGUUUGUAAUCUAAUAAUAUAGUGUUAUCACCUAUCAAGAUUACCUUUCAAAUCCUUGAGUUACAUGUCCCACUUAUUAUGUGAUCAACUAACAUACUCUAACUCCAAUGAGCAUAUGUCAAAUUCCACUAAAGGAAUUAUUGUGACCAUAGAUUUUAUGAUCACAUGUCCUUUAGAGCAACUAAGGGGACACAUUGUCUCAAUUCCAUGAAAUAUCAUGGUGCCUAUAUUGAGAAUACCUAUUACCUCCAGCCACCAUCAAUAGUGACCCAAUCCAUAGGGAUAUAUGACCAUUUUAGGGUCUCACUCAAAGGUCAAAGCCUCCUAUUGAUUUGGCAUAGGCUCAAUAUCCUCUAAAGGUUAAGAGUCCAUGCGAUAUAGUAGCUUGGUGAAUCAUGACAAUUGAUAGACUUGCGUCAUGAUUCACCAUAUAUCAUGUCCAAUGUGCAUCACAUAAACUAGUACACUCACCAUGGGAAACCCAUCCCGACGAUCAAGACAAGCUAUCCCUCCAAUUAAGAGGUGGUGCACCACAACCUCAAAUGGGUUUCCUAAACCCACAAACCAGUUGUGAAAGUAAUCUAUUUGCAAUGAAUCCAUGACUUAUAUCUUCUAUGCAACUCCUAAUGCACCUAAUACAGCUAAUGGAUAGAAUAGUGAAAAGUCAAGUACAAGUUUUUUACAUCAUGUCUUGCUUUUAAGGGCUCUAUACCAACAUUAGCCUUUGUUUUUGGGCGAACACAUAUUAUUUUAGGGGCAUAUAUUUGUUUUUAUGCUUAGAUUGAAGGAUCAUUACUUCAAGAAGAGAUGUCAUUUUAAGAUCAUACAUAUAUUACUUAACAUACUUAUGGUUUGGUAGUUUGAUUAAUUGAUAUGGUAUUGUUUUCCUAAAUAUUUUGAGUGAUUUUUCAUUUUUGAAGUUCUUUUAAAUGUGAGGCUUCUCUCUAUUAUCCCUAGGGAUAUUUUAAUGACUCUCUAAACUCUAAGAUUGGAGUAAAUAAAGAAUUUGAUGUAUAGGUAAUGUAAGAUUUUCUAUUUUUCUUAAUUAAUAGGGAAUCUUCUUAAGUUUGCUUUCUAAAUGAGAUUUUAGAUUUAUGGAAUUCAUGAAAAUCAUAUCAAAUUUGGUAAUUUUUCAUAUCAUGUAUGAAAUGGUUCUUUAAAAAAUGUUUCUCUAAGUGAAAUAGGCUACCUUGGUCAAAUUUAAAUCUUAUAUCUUUAAAGCAAGUGUGAAAGUCAUCAUUAUAACAUUAAUAAAACCCUUUUUUUUUCUUUUUCUUUUUUGGAAAAUACGUCCACAAUGAAGUAAAAGAAUUUUGAAAAGAAGAAAAAUUAUCACAUUCAUAGUAAACAAAGUUGUGUUGUAUGUAGGUCAACACCUUGUUGUGUUAAACAAAUAUAUGGCAAAUUGAUUUUAAAUUGAAUGAAAAUUUGAAAACUUUUCAUAUCUUUGUCAUGUCCUAGGCCAUGAGCAAAUUGGAAAACUUUGUCUUGAUUUGAAACAAGAUUUUUAAUUGUUGCAAGAUUGUUAAACAAGACUUUUAAUUGUUGCAAGAUUGUUACAUAUAAUUUUGAAGUCCCUUAAAUAUUCUUUAAGAGACAAUGACCCCUUUUUGAGAGUCAUGAAUGUAUUUUCUAGGUUUCUUUCUUUCUCCACUAUGAUAAGGAACAAAUACUCUCCAAGAGUAUCAAUAUUUAUUAUUUAUUUAAUUUGUGUCCUAUGGAAGGAAUCUACUCAUAAUAUCACGCCUCAAAACCCAUUCCAAGGGCAUGAUGGUCAUUUCACACCUCAAGCCCAAAGGCUCAAAGUGGAAAUAACACAAACAUUCAUCUUGUAAUUGGAAAUUACCAAUUACCAAAUUUCUAUUCAUAGUAGUAAAAUUAAUAAAUUCUAAAAUCUCCAUAUAUCAAUUUAAGAAAACUAACACAUCAACUCAAGUAUUAUUGUCCAUUUCAAAUUCAAACGAGAAAUAAAUUUUAACAUCUUAACAAUGUCCAAAAUAAAGAAAGUUUUAACAAAUGUCCUAACAAGCCAAUUUCCCCUCCUAAACGUCACUCCUUGCCCGAAUUGAGAAUCAUUGGAAAAUUAUCAACUAAGGGGGAUGAGCUCAAAGCCUAAUAAGGAACAUUAACACAAUUUUAUGGAUCAAAUAUUUUCAAUUAUACUUGCAAACAAGAGAUAUAACAUAUACUCUUUUUAUAAAACUUUUGAUUUAAGCAUCCUAAUACAUUUAAAUUGUUCAACUAAACAUUUUCAUAUAUAUCAAAAUCAUUUCAUAUCCAUUUCAAAUGAAAUAUAUUUCAAUUGUUUUCACUCUAAUUAUCAAAUAACAAAUGAUGUCCAAUUAGGUGGAACUUUACAAAUGACAGACUAGUUUCAAAUUUAUUCCAUUUAAGGUAAGCAUAACCAAAACUCAACAAUUAUAACUCAUUGACUAGGGUCAUAAGGUCAACUAUUGUAACCCAUUAACUAGGGUCAUAUAAUAUCAACUAUUACAACCCAUUGAUUAGGAUCCUUUAUAACCCAUUGACUAGGGCCAUAGAAACUAUAGAUUGUGAUUUAUUUUUCUUUCUUCUAUUUUUUUUUUUAAUUCAUUUGAAUAUUCGGAAUUCUCCUAUUUCCAUUAAUAAGACAAUCAAUAUUCAUAAAAUUUCAAUACUGUGAUCUAAAAAUCAAAUAAACUAACCCUAAUUAAAAUUGAAAUCUUUCAAAGAAUUUUUAAAUAGUUCAAAACUAAUUAAAAAUAUUAAAAUAAUAAUCUAAAGGUUAAAAUCUUACUUAAAAAAUAUAUCUUCAGCCCUAAACUUCCAUUUCUUUAAUCCUAAGUUACCCUAUACUCUUGGAUCUCUCAAAUAUCUAUGUAAAAGGAUUUUCUGAAUACAAAAGAUAAGAAAUAUCUAAUUUAUACAUAGGGCUUUUAAAAACAAAAAGACUUUUCUAACCUUAUUAAAUUAAUUUAAUUAUUUUUUUUCUAAAUUACGGUUUUAACCCUAAAUUAGGUUUGGGGCAUUACACAUAAACUAAGAAAUAAAGAAAUAAAGAUUUUUUUUAGAAUAAUCUAAGAAAUUGACUUUUUUUAAUAAACUGAAAGUUUAUUUUAAACAAAUAUUUAUUUUUUAAAAUUUUUUUAAGAAAAUAAUAAAUGGAAAUCUUUUUUUUUUUUGAAAUAGUAAUCUUAUUUAAUAAUCUAAAAUUAUUUUUUUCAAGAUAAGCUUUUAUAUAUAUAUAUAAGCACUUUCUAUUAAAAAUAAAUCAAAAAUUAUUUUUCUUCAAAAUAAAAUGGAAACUGAAUUUUUUUUUUAAUAAAAAAUCAAAAAGCCCUUUUAAAAAAAUAUAUGAUAAAACUGAGAUCUCUUUCUUUCUUUAUUAUAUAUUAUUAUUAUUAUUAUUUAAUUUUUUAUUUUUUCUAACAGAUUGAGAUUUUCUUUCUAUGAAUCCUUUUAAAAUAAAUCUGACUCCUUGUUUUGGAACCCCUAUUUUAAUAUAUAUUUGAAAUCAGUUUUUCCAAAUAAAAUUGAAAACAAUUCUUUUGACAAAAAUAAAGAUAAAAUCACUUUUUUAAUGAAAUGAAAUAAAAAUAUUUUUUUGGUAAAUAAAUUUGAAUUAGCCUAUUCUAGCCAAUAAUCUUGUAAAAAUUUAUUUUUUAAAUAAAAAAUAAAUAAAAUUCUUUUUAGAUAAAGUUGCAAAGUUUUUUUUUUUAUAAAAAAAUGUAAUAGUUUUUUAGUGAAAUUGUCAAUUUUUUUUUUAACAAAUUUGAAAUUAAAAGCUCAUUUGGUAAUGAUUUUAGAAAGCGUUUUUAAUAUUUUUAAUACUUGAAAAUUUUCGUCAUUUAAGUGUUAAAAAUAAUAAAAAUGUUUUCUAAAAUCACUUUCAAACACAUUCUAAAUGUUUUUUUUUAAAAAAAAAAAAAUUGAUGUUUGGCAUAAUUUAUGAAACAUUUUUAAAAUUUUGAUGAAAAUUUACUUUUCACGUUUUCUAAAGAAACGUAAUUCUUCAAAAAAAAUAAGUGUUUUUUUUUCUUUUAAGAAAAAAACAUUUUUAUACUAGAAACACUUCCAUAUAGAGUCGAAAUGCUUUGGCUGUAUUUGAAAAUCACUAUAUAUGGAUGAAAUUUUAGCAAUUUUCAUGGAAAAAGAAAUAUUUCUUUUAAAAAUUGGUUAUGUGACUGAUGUCAAAGAAAUCUCCAAGCGAAUUUAGAAAUUGAACUGUCAGGAAUCAACCCAUUGCAGUAGAAUUGCAAGUUGAUGGAGAUAGAGAAUAGGGGACCCCAUGUACCCUGAAAGGACCAUGUGGACAGUAAAUAGGGACUUUUUUAACUUUUGCGGCAAUUUUAAAAAAUUAUAAUUAAAAAAUGGUAGUUUUGAAAAUAUUGAUAGAUUUACGACAGUUUUGGCCACGUGGAAGGUGUCUUUUGAAGAAACACCUUCCACAAUUUUCAAAAUCAUGAAAUAAUUGAAUUUAAGCUAAAGGUGUCUCUUGAAGAGACACCUUCUACAAUUUCAGAAAAUUUGAUUUAUAUUAAAGGUGUCUCUUGAAAAAACACUUUCCACGUAGCAAAAAAUCCAAUAUGCAUUAAAGUUGUCUCUUGCAGAGACACUUUCCACGUGGCAAAAAAUCCAAUAUGCAUUAAAGGUGUCUCUUGAAGAGACACUUUCCACAAUUUGACAAAUUUGAAUGUCUUAUGAAUUUGAUUUUAAAGCUAAAGAUGUCUCUUGAAGAGACACCUUCUACAAUUCCAAAAAAUUAGAUUUAUACUAAAUGUGUCUCUUGGAAAGACACUUUACACAAUUCCACAAAAUCCAAUAUGUAUUUUAUUUGUGGAAAUGAUUUUAAAACUAAAGAUGUCUCUCUUUAAUGUAUGAAAAUUAUGGAAAGUGUCUCUUCAAAAGACACUUUCAGCAUAAACCCUUUUUUUUUUUAAAUAAUGGAAGGUGUCUCUUGAAGAGACACCUUCAAUAUAAUUCCAUUUUUUGGGAAUUGUGAAAUGUGUCUCUUGAUACCUUCCAUAAUUUUAAAAAUAUUGGGUUUAUACUGAAAGUGCUUGUUCAAAAGACAUUUUUCACAAUUUCCAUUCAAACAGUGGAAAUUUUUUAAUUUAUGCUGAAGUUAUCUCUUCAAGAGACACCUUCCAUAAUUACAAAAAAAUGGAAUUAUAUUCGGACACCUUUCAUAAUUUUUUUAAAAAAUGGGUUUAUACUGAAAGUGUCUCUUGAAGAGACACUUUCCACAAUUUUUCAGUGAAAAUUUCGAAUUUUGAAAAGGGACAUUCUACAAUUCCCAAAAAAUAAAAUUAUACUAAAGGUGUCUCUUCAAGAGACACUUUCCACAAUUUUCAUUAUUUGUUAAAAAUUUCGCUUUAUACUAAAAGUGUCUCUUCAAGAGACACUUUCCACAAUUUCCAUACACAGUAGAAAGUUUCAAAUUUAUGCUGAAGGUGUCUCUUGAAGAGACACCUUCCACAAAACAAAAAAAAAUUCUAUCUCUUAAUUAGUAUUACCUACUGUACAACCAAAUGAUUAAAGUUUUUCACAUGUAUACAUUAUAAUCAGUAUUUUGACAUUCAAUCCAAAACCAAUGAAAACAAGUAAACCAAAUGUCAAAAUCAACACCUUUCCAAAAUAAUAACAAUACUAUUUUGUGUAAAAUAAGUCCAAAAUAGAUAGAAUACUAUAGAACUUACGUAAAUAAAAAAUUAGUUAAUCCAAAAUAUAACAAGUAAAAACAUACAUCUUAAGUAUUUGUCCAAAAUAAUGAUAUGAAAAAUACUAAUAGUAUCCCAAAUACAAGUCAUAUGUAGUAACAUCCUCAAUGUGUACCGCACGAAGAAGCCUUCCUGUUCUGUAGUGGACGUUUAUGAUGUACAUGCUCCACUAUUGGCUCUAUGUGGCUAACAUGUAACACUCCAUGAGCUCCAGGACCACGUCUCCUACCACGUCCUCGACCAUGUCCUCGACCAAGAUUAGUUUUUUGUCCUUGCUAAUCAUCAUUUGCUAUAUGAACUAACUCCUCAUCAACCAAUGUAGCCUCUAUCGAUGGUGGUGAUGAUGCAACAAGUGGUACUACAGGUGGGGUGGAUGGCACUUCCAUAGGUGUAAUAGGAGUCUCCUGAAGAGGUGGCAGGCUAAUGUCAGUCGAUGGUGCAUCUCUAAGAACAGAUGUAUGCCUAGUCCCUCUCGUAUGAGCCCCUCGCCCUCUAGUCCUUACACCUCCUGAUCGAGUAAUGGAUGAUAUCGACUGUUGAUGAGGUGGUGGACUAUAGUAAAAUGGACAUACCAUUAUGGGAAAUAACACAUCUCAUCUGAAGAAGAGAGUCUUUUUGAUAUAAUCUAAGCAUUAAAGUUUAUCAUUGAGAUCAACUAAAAUGAAUUGCUACAUGAUUUGCAAGCUCCCUUAAAUUUCAUUUCCUUAUUUUUUUUUCCCUUCAUAUUAAUUCCACCACCAAAUCUGAUAAAAUCAAAACUAAGUUUUAUAAGCCUCUAAGUGAUAAAAAAAAAGACCUUCUAUCGAGAAAGGGGGUUAUUUCUUAACACAGAGAGUCGGCAUACAAGACCUUUAUUGAAAAUGGUAUUGCUGUUUUGAAAAGUUUGAAUGGACAAGACUCUAAGUUGAGUUGAUCGGAAGAGGAAGAGGAAGAGAUGCAGUUUAUUGGGACUUUAAGAUAAAUAUUUUUCUUUUCCACACCAUCUUUUGACCUCGGUCACUUGUAACUCAUCAAUUGAUCAACUUCGUUUAUAUGAUUUAUUAUUAUUUUUUCUAGUUUUUAUAAUGAAAACAUUUCUUUGGUUUGAAGAAAUAUUCAUGUUAAUGGUUUGGAUAGAGAAUCUUUCUAUUUAAAAUAUUUUCCAUCAAAAUUUUAAAAAAAAAACGUUAUAAAAGAUUUUAAUUUUUUUUAAAUAUUUUCUAAAUUUUAUCAACCUUAUUUUAUAAAAUUUUCUAAAAUUAUAAAGAAUGAUGUAAUAAUAAAUGUUUUUUCAUAAAAUUAAUUUUUUAUAAUUUUAGAAAAUUUUAUAAAACAAAGUUGAUAAAAUUUAGAAAUAUUUUUAAAAAAUUUUAAAUCUUUUACAAUGUUUUUUUUUAAAACAUUUUGAUGAAAAAUAUUUUAAAUAGAAAGAUUCUCUAUCCGAACCAUUAAGAUGAAUAUUUCUUCAAACAAAGAAAUGUUUUCAUUAGAAAAACUGGAAAAAAUAAUAAUAAAUCAUAUAAACAAAGUUGGUCAAUUGAUGAGUUGCAAGUGACUGAUGUCAAAGGAUGGUGUGGAGGAGAAAAAUAUUUAUCUUAAAAGUCGCAAUAAACUGCGUCUCUUCCUCUUCCCAUCAACUCAACUUAGAGCCUUAUCCAUUCAAACUUUUCAAAGCAGCAACACCAUUUUCAAUAAAGGUCUUCUGUGCCGAUUUGUUGUGUUUAGAAAUAACCCCCUUUCUCAAUAGAAGGUCAUUUUUUUUAUUUUUUAUUUAUCACUUAGAGGCUUAUAAAACUUAAUGUUGAUUUUAUCAGAUUUAGUGGUGGAAUUAAUAUUAAGGAAAAAAAAAAAGGAAAUGAAAAUUAAGGGAGCGUGCAAAUCAUGUAACGAUUCAUUUGAGUUGAUCUCGAUCAUAAACUUUAAUGUCUAGAUUAAAUCAAAAGGACUCUCUUCUUCAUAUGAGAUGUGUCAUCAAUUAUUUCACCAUCCUUGUAACACACAAUUGUAAGCAAACUAUCCAUUGAUGUACCUAAAAAAAAUCAAAUAAAAGAUAUAUAAGACUGAUCCUUGUAACACACAAUUGUAAGCAAACUAUCCAUUUAUGUACCUAAAAAGAAUCAAAUAAAAUAUAUAUAAGAUUGAAUCAAAUUUGGGGGGAUUCGAACCCCCAACAAAAGGUUCAACAUGUAUCCCAGCUCCACUAGGACAAACUUGCCCCAUGACAUAUAAUAUGCACUAAAGAAAUAUAUAUCAAAAGUUAGAAUAUAAAUACAAUAUUAAAAAAACACUUUAAAUAACAAAUUAAUUAUAACUAUUUUAUAAUUGAAUGAAAAAUUUUCAUAUAAUUGAUUAGUAAAAAUAUAUCAUAAGUUUAUUCAUAGUGUUUUUAAUAUUAUUAAUAUAUUAAAAUUUUAUAUAUUUACCAUCAUUUAUUUUAUAAUAUAUCAUAAUUUUUUUAAAUAGAUUUUAAAAUUAAACAUGUUAUAAUCACAUUUCACAAUAUUAUCAUCAAAUAAUAUUUUAUAUAAUCAAUGUACACUUAUCAAAUUUAUAAUUUUUUAUUAAAAUGUAGGAGUUUUUUUUUGCCACUUGGGGGGAUUCGAACCCCUAACAAAAGGUUCAACAUGUAUCCCAGCUCCACUAGGACAAACUUGUCCCAUGAUAAAUGAUACGCACUAAAGAAAUAUAUAUCAAAAGUUAGAAUAUAAAUACAAUAUUAAAAAAACACUUGAAAUAACAAAUUAAUUAUAACUAUUUUAUAAUUGAAUGAAAAAUUUUCAUUUAAUUGAUUAGUAAAAAUAUAUCAUAAUUUUAUUCAUAGUGUUUUUAAUAUUAUUAAUAUAUUAAAAUUUUAUAUAUUUACCAUCCUUUAUUUUAUAAUAUAACACAAUUUUUUUAAAUAGAUUUUAAAAUUAAACAUGUUAUAAUCACAUUUCACAAUAUUAUCAUCAAAUAAUAUUUUAUAUAAUCAAUGUACACUUAUCAAAUUUAUAAUUUUUAUUAAAAUGUAGGAGUUUUUUUUUGCCACUUGGGGGGAUUCGAACCCCCAACAAAAGGUUCAACAUGUAUCCCAGCUCCACUAGGACAAACUUGUCCCAUGAUAAAUGAUAUGCACUAAAGAAAUAUAUAUCAAAAGUUAGAAUAUAAAUACAAUAUUAAAAAAACACUUUAAAUAACAAAUUAAUUAUAACUAUUUUAUAAUUGAAUGAAAAAUUUUCAUUUAAUUGAUUAGUAAAAAUAUAUCAUAAUUUUAUUCAUAGUGUUUUUAAUAUUAUUAAUAUAUUAAAAUUUUAUAUAUUUACCAUCCUUUAUUUUAUAAUAUAACACAAUUUUUUUAAAUAGAUUUUAAAAUUAAACAUGUUAUAAUCACAUUUCACAAUAUUAUCAUCAAAUAAUAUUUUAUAUAAUCAAUGUACACUUAUCAAAUUUAUAAUUUUUAUUAAAAUGUACAUACACAAUUGAGUUUUUUUUUGCCACUUGGGGGGAUUCGAACCCCCAACAAAAGGUUCAACAUGCAUCCUCAAACUCCACUAGGGCAAACUUGCCCCAUGACAUAUAAUAUGCACUAAAGAAAUAUAUAUCAAAAGUUAGAAUAUAAAUAUAAUAUUAAAAAAACACUUUAAAUAAAAAAUUAAUUAUAACUAUUUUAUAAUUGAAUGAAAAAUUUUCAUUUAUUGAUUAGGAAAAAUAUAUCAUAAUUUUAUUCAUAGUGUUUUUAAUAUUAUUAAUAUAUUAAAAUUUUAUAUAUUUAUCAUCAUUUAUUUUAUAAUAUAUCAUAAUUUUUUUAAAUAAAUUUUAAAAUUAAACAUGUUAUAAUCACAUUUCACAAUAUUAUCAUCAAAUAAUAUUUUAUAUAAUCAAUGUACACUUAUCAAAUUUAUAGUUUUUAUGCAUACAAAAUUGAACUUUUUUUUUUUGCCACUGUUGGGGGAUUCGAACCCCAACAAAAGGUUCAACAAGUAUCCCAACUCCACUAGGACAAACUUGUCCCAUGAUAAAUGAUAUGCACUAAAGAAAUAUAUAUCAAAAGUUAGGAUAUAAAUACAAUAUUAAAAAAAACACUUUAAAUAACAAAUUAAUUAUAACUAUUUUAUAAUUGAAUGAAAAAUUUUCAAUUAGUAAAAAUAUAUCAUAAUUUUAUUCAUCGUGUUUUUAAUAUUAUUAAUAUAUCAAAAAUUUAUCCAAACAUGUAACUGAUUCUGUUUACCUUGAAGUUUAGUCUAAUUUUCACUAUAUUCGUAUGGAUAUCAAUCUAACCAGAUAAAAACAAAUUCAAUCUUAUCCAAAUCUAAACUGUAUCAUAGAUACCCACACCACUUUAUUCCUUCAACUGGACAACCAAGGAUUCGUAUAGAAAUAAAGAUAAAAAAUGAAUAAAUUAUUAAAUAAGACAACCAAGGAUUUGUAUAGAAAUAAAAAUAUUUCUUCAACUGAGGUAUGUAGAUUGCCUAUUAAAGAUCAACAUACCUUAUUGCAAGAGUUGAGAGCAAUGAAACAAAUAAAAAUAUUUCUUAUUUAUUUUUAAUUUUAACAAAUAAAAAGUGAAGAAUCUCCUUGAAUUUAAAUUUGAAUUUGAAUUUCAAUUUCAAUUAUUGCAGGUACUAAUCUAAUCAGGUUAUUAUUUUUUUAUUUUGUUGCAACCCCCGUUUGAUUCCCAAGUUUUUGCAAUCCCCGUUUGAUUCCCAAGAAAAUCCAUCCUCCAUUCGCUUUUCGGGAAAAUUCAUCCUUCUUUGAUUUUCGAGAAAGUCCAUGCAAAACCCCCUAGAAAAACAAACAAAAAAAUGCUUUUUAUUUUUGCUCCAUGCUUUCUGGAUCGAGUCUCUUUGCUUUUGUGCCAUUGGAUUUAAAUUUCACAAACCCUAAAUCCACGAUUUUUGAGCCACGCUGAAAAACACAACCUUUCCCCUCAAAUCAUGAUCAGAUUACCAAAUAGCUUAUGUUUUUUUAUAAAAAAAAAUUGGACAGAUUUUGUAUCCUGUGCGUGGGCUGGACUGGUAGGAAAUAUUGGGGAAUUUGUUUUUCCAACUUUCCCACACUUUCUUGGCAACCAAACAAAAUCACAACAAGUCGAACCACAAAAAAAAUUAAAACUUUUUCCAUUAUUUUUAGUCUACUUGGUUUCAUUGUAAAAAAAAACGAAAACUUUAUUUUUUUUACAACUUUCCCACACUUUCUCGGUGACCAAACACAACCACACCACCAAAUAUAACCACAAAACUUACAGAAAACACCGGGGGCAAUGGUUUCUCAGAUCUGCACUUCACUUCCUUCCUAUUGGUGUUGAGACAAGGAUCUCCACCCCAUGAUCAGCGUGCGGGAUAAUGGGUUUUCGGGCAGAGGAGUUUUGAUGCAGAGAAGAAACACGGGAAGGGAAAUGGAAAGGGGGAAAUGGGUUUUCAUAUCUCAUCCUACGUGUUAUCCUACAUGUUCAAAAGUGCCGUAGAAUUGGAAUUAUUUUCCAAACUACGGUAUUUUAAAUAUUAUUUUUUCUAAUAGCAGUACAUUUAUCAAGAAUCCCAGUAAAUAGGCGGGCUUUUUUUUUUUUUUUUUAAAUUUUUGCAACAAUUUUAAAAAAUAAUUAUUAAAAAAUGGUAGUUGGAAAAAUAUUGAUAGAUCUACAGUAGUUUUGACCAUGUGGAAGGUGUCUUUUAAAGAGACACCUUCUACAAUUUUCAAAAUCAUGAAAGAAUUGAAUUUAAGCUAAAGGUGUCUCUUCAAGAGACACCUUCUACGAUUCCAAAAAAUUGGAUUUAUAUUAAAGGUGUCUCUUGAAAAGAUACUUUCCACGUGGCAAAAAAUCCAGUAUGCAUUAAAGGUGUGUCUCUUCAAGAGACACCUUCCACAAUUGGACAAAUUUGAAUGUUCAUGAUUUUAAAGUUAAAGAUGUCUCUUGAAGAGACACCUUCUAUAAUUCCUAAAAAUUUUAAUUUAUACAAAAGGCGUCACUUGAAGAGACACUUUUCAUAAUUCUAUAAUUCCAUAAAUUCCAAUAUAUACUAAAGGUGUCUCUUCAAGAAACACCUUCUACAAUUCCAAAAAAAUUGGAUUUAUACUAAAGGUGUCUCUUCAAGAAACACCUUCUACAAUUCCAAAAAAAUUGGAUUUAUACUAAAGGUGUCUCUUGAAAAGACACUUUUCCACAAUUCCACAAAAUCCAAUAUGUAUUAAAUAUUGUGAAAAUGAUUUUAAAGCUAAAGAUGUCUCUCUUCAACAUAAAUUCGAAAAUUUCUACUGUGUAUGAAAAUUGUGGAAAGUGUCUCUCGAAGAGACACUUUCAGUAUAAACCCAAUUUUUUUAAAAUUGUGGAAGGUGUCAAGAGACACCUUUCACAAUUCCCAAAAAAUGGAAUUAUAUUGAAGGUGUCUCUUCAAGAAACACCGUCCAUAAUUUUAAAAAAAUUGGGUUUAUACUGAAAGAGUCUCUUCAAGAGACACUUUCCACAUUUUUUCAUACACAGUAGAAAAUUUCGAAUUUAUGUUGAAGAGAGACAUCUUUAGCUUUAAAAUCAUUUCCACAAUUUUUAAUACAUAUUGGAUUUUGUGGAAUUGUGAAAAGUGUCUUUUCAAGAGACACCUUUAGUAUAAAUCCAAUUUUUUGGAAUUGUAGAAUGUGUUUCUUGAAGAGACACCUUUAGUAUAUAUUUGAAUUUGUGAAAUUGUGGAAUUAUGGAAAGUAUCUCUUCAAGUGACACAUUUUGUAUAAAUUAAAAUUUUUAAAAAUUGUAGAAGGUGUCUCUUCAAGAGACAUCUUUAGCUUUAAAAUCAUGAGACAUUCAAAUUUGUCAAAUUGUGGAAAGUGUCACUUAAUACAUAUUGGAUUUUUUGCCACAUGGAAAGUGUUUUUUUAAGAGACACCUUUAAUAUAAAAUCUAAUUUUAUGUAAUUGUAGAAGGUGUCUCUUGAAGGGACACCUUUAGCUUAAAUUCAAUUCUUUCAUGAUUUUGAAAAUUGUGAAAGGUGUCUCUUCAAAAGACACCUUUCACGUGGCCAAAACUAUUGUAGAUCUAUCAAUAUUUUCCCAACUACCAUUUUUUAAUAAUUAUUUUUUAAAAUUGCUAUAAAAGUUAAAAAAAAAAGCCCGUAAAUAGGCAACCCCACUUCCUUGGACUUGUACUUGGAGACAAAAAUUCAUAUUGGACCACUCUCCACUACCAUACACUUGCUUUUAAAUGCUUUUAAAUUAUAAGCAUUGAAUAUGAUGUAUCACUUGUUAAGACAAUUAAAAUUCACGUCCUGCAUGAACUUGUUAUGUUUAUGUUUAUUUUUGCCAUGCAUGUAAUUAGAAGAUUAUAUGUAUAUAAAAAUUCUCAAUAAUAUUUCUAGCUUCAAUUUCCAAGUAUCAAAGCAUGAACUUGCAAGCCAAAAUAUGUUUCCUUCUUUAUCCUUUUUUUCUAUUCAAAAAUUGAACCUAAAUUAAGCCUUUAGUGAUUUCACUAGUGUUCUAAUUUCAUCUCAAUCAAACUGAAACACUACAAAUUUUUCUACUUUGGCAAAAUCAAAUCCUCCCUUAGUUUGUGGUCUCGAUUUUCACCAUUAUCUUUUAAAUAAAACAAAAACAAUUUGAAGAAGUUAAGGAUAAUGAAGAAAACAAAACUCCUAACCUACAAUACUAGAUCUGGAUCUAUUAUAAUGGGCUUCGCACUUCAUGGCUUCUUCAAACCAUGAAAGAACAGAAUUUUAAAGAUGAUCUUAGAGAGUGUUUGGUAAACCAACUUAAUAAUUUAAAGUGACUUAAUAACUUAAUUUAAGUUAUUAAGUAAAUUAACUAUGGUGAAAUAACUUAAUGGUAUGACUUAAAGUGAAAAACAACUUUAAGUAUUAAGUAAAAACAAUUAACUUAUUUUUAAGUUUACAUCUUCCUUUUUACCCUCAUUUGCUUUAAUUACUUCCACAAUCUCCUUUGCUACUUUACAACCUCCACUAUCACUCAAUCUCCUUUAUCCUAGUUAUAAUUUAUGAGGAUAGGUAUGUCAAUUUGAUAAUUUAAAAUAUAUUUUAAGUUAAUUUUUAUCAAACAAUCUUAAUACUUAAAGUAAGAAUAAGUAAUAAAUUUUAAGUAUGAUUGAACUUAAAGUUAACUUAAGUCAUUAAGUAAUGAGUAUUAAGUUUUACCAAACACCCCCUUUAUAUUGAAAUGAUAUAAGAGGUAUCAUGUAUUUUUUCCAAUAACAAAGAAUAGAUAAAUAAUAAAAAGGAGAAUAAUGAUGGGUCUUUAUACCAAUGUUUUCAUAAUUGGGCUAAUAAUUGAAAUUGGAAAAGUUAUCGGUUUAGUGUUUAGCGAUCAGACCAAUAAUGUCAUAAAUAUACAAUUUAUGUUUUAUUAAAUUUAAAAUUAAUUUUUAAAAAUUUAAAUAUAUAUAAUUAAUGUUUUUAAUAAUAUUUAAUUUUUAAAAUUUGAUAUAUCAAAGUAAAUUAUAAAGAUAAAUAUGCAUAUAUUAAUAUAUUGAAUACAACAUGUAAAUAUUUAAAUAUGAAGAUAUAUUUAAGAUUGAAAAAAAUUAGAAUAUUUAAGUUUUAAAGUAUUUUAUAUUUUAAAAUUUGAAAAUUAUUAUAUUAAUUAAUUAUAGUAUUUUCAUACUUAUUAUAAAAAAAAAAUGAAUAUAAAUAACUAAAUCUUUAAAUUUGUCUAAAUAUUUUAUAUGAUAGAAUUUUAUAGAGAGACUUAAUACAAAAAUGUUCCAAUAUCAUAUAUCAAAAGGAUUACCCACCACAGGUGUUUCUUGUCCUUUUUGUGGAUGACAAGCCGUUAGUUCGAGCUCGUACAAUGAUUGUGUUUAUCUUCAUUAUUUGAGUAAAUCCCACAUCAAUUAUAUAUAAUAGGUAGGUCCAAUCUUCAAACAUCCCUCCCCACCAGGCUUCCUUAUUAUUAUUUCAACCGGAUAUAUCAUGUUAAUAUCGUUACCUAUAUCAAGUUAUUUUUCUACGUAUUAUUAAAUAGGUUGCAUUCCAAUAGCCUAAAUUGCUUCACAACAUAACCUAUUGCAUCCCGUGAAUUCCUUAAAUUGCUUCUUUUAAAGGGAAAAAGGAAAAAAAGAUAAAAUAAAAUAAUUGAAUCAAUUGGAAAAGAAUUCAUCCAAACCAUAAAUUCAUAAAUUGAUAGCCAUGAACUGCAGCCCUUGACUCAUUCUUUGCCAGCAUAUUCCCAUUGUUCCUUGCCUAAUUAAGGCAUUGACUAUGUUUUUUUUUUUUUUAAUAAUUUUUUAAUAAAAUAUUAAAAAUUUGGUUUUUAUAUAUACAUUUCAAAACUUAUAACAAUUGAAAAUUUAUUUCUAAAUUUAUAACAAUUUGUGAAGUGCUAAUAUCAUGGAAUUUCUAGAAAAAUUAACUUUAAUCUAAUUUAAUUAAAUUAAUUUUAAUCUCUUAAAUAUAUAAUUAUAAUGUAAAUUCUAAGAUUUGAAGCUGUUUUUUUUUUCUUUUUCCUAAAAAAAAAUAAAGAUAACAUAAAAAUUUAAUAAUUAAAAUCAACUUACCUCUUCGGAAGAUAAUUUCUUAUUAGCUCCUCAUCGAGAGUUUUAAAUUUAUGAAUAAUCUUUUAAUUGCUAUAUUUAAUUUUUUUUAAAUCUUCUCAUACUUAUGUGUACCAACACAAAGUCGAUUCCUUGUGAUUGCAUAGAAAAAUAAAAUAUUUCCUAUACUCUUUAUAAAGAAUAAUAAAACUUGUAAAAAAAUUUUAUAAAUGUUAAUUGUUUAUAUUUUAUAUAUUAUAUGUUAAAAGUAUCAUAAAGAAAGAAAACUUGUGGAGGUAAAUGGAUGGAAGGUCUUGGUAUCAAACUAUAAGGCAUUAGGGCGGUUCCAAUUUGGUAGUAAACACGUAGAGUAAACCCAAUGAAUCAAAUUAGAAGUCUCUUAAAAUGGUGAGGCUUCUUUUAGAGUUCGAUUUCCUUCAACCACCUUGUGUGGGUCCGUCGCCCCACUCCUAAAAUUGCUUUUUUGGUCUUUAGUGAGACUUUUAUUUUUAAAUGUUUAUUUUAACCAAAUUUGAAAACAAUUUUUAAAAUCAUGCUUGGUUAUAUAUUUUUACUUUUUAUUAGUUUUUAAAUUUUGAUAACACAAAUAAAAAAACAAGGGACAAUUUUUUUUUAAGGUUUUUAAAUCAAUUUUAAAAUGAGAAAUUUCACUUGUGACUUAGGUGGUUUUUAUUUUUUUAAUCAAUUCUAAAUAGAAUUUAAAAUUAAAUAGUUUUUAAUAAUAUUAAAUAUAAAGUUGUUUAUUUGUAUAAUAUUUUAUUUUUAUUAAGUAUUAAGGAAUAAAGAAAAAUUAAUAUGUAAGUUUUAUCAUUAAAAAAAAUUAAAUAUUUUGAUUUUUUCUAUUCAGCUAAAAGAAUUUUAAAAAAUAACUAAAAAGUCAAUAAAAAGUAACAAAAUAGAAAAAAAGAAAAAAAAACAAUCAAUCUAAAAUAUAAAAGCAAAUUACUUUUAAUAACAAGUUAAAAAUAAAUAAAUAAAUGCCACUUUAUUUAUAGAGACAUUCGGCUAAAAGACGUCAAAUACUUUUGAAAUUAGAAGAAUGACCUUCCUUCUCUAUUCUUUAAAAAACUGAUUCAUUUUAGAUAAUAUUACCCUUUUCUUUUUAUUUUAUCAAAAUGACAUUUUUCCCUCAUUUCCUACUCAUUCUUCCAAUAAAAUUUUCUAGUUCUUUCCUAGUGAAUUUGCAGGUGUAGUUCAAAUCCAAGAAAGGAUAAAAAUUGGCCACAACUCUCUUUUUUUCUUCUUCUUCAAGAUCUUUCAUAUUUUUUCUUUAUUUUUAGUUAGGUUUUUUUUGUGAUUGUUUUUGCAGCUGUUUUUUUAUUUAUUAUUAUUAUUAUAAUUUUUGGAGUUGUCUUUUGUUGAUAUUUUUAUAGUUCUUUGUUGCGGUUUUUUGCGGUCUUCCUCAAGAUCCUUCAUUAUUCUUUAUACAUGUGUGUGUUUGGUUAGUGUUUUUUAUGGUUGUUUUAUAAUUGAUAUUUUAUAGUUGUUUUUUGUCAAAGGUUUUUUUUGUUGUUUUUUUAUUUUUAUUUAUAUUUUUUGUGGUUAUUUUUUUGUUGUGAUUUUUUUUUUUUGCACUGUUCAACUGGGAUUUUGGUUAAGGUUUUUUGGGAUGGGAUUUUGGUCAAGAUUUUUCUAAUGAGAUUUUUGUUAGGGUUUUUGAGGUUAUCCUUUAGUGGUAAUUUUUACUAUUUUUUUGUAGUUUCAUUUAAACUUCUAAACUAUGAAGAUGAGAUCACACAUUCCUUUCAUUAAUGUUUAAGUCCAUAUGAAUAUUCUAAUUAAGAACUUAAUUAUAAUCAAGUUUUUUUAUAUAUAUGAAACGUUAACUUAACUCUAAUUAAGUUUUUUUUUUUUAAAUAAAACUUAAUAACAAUAAAGUUCAGAAUGAGUUCUUUGUAGAUGAAAUGGAACACUUAUUUGUAAAUGAAUUAAACUCUAGUUAAGUUUUUUUGUAAAUCAAACUUGACUCUUGUGCAUUUAUUUAAUCUAGAUAAACAUCUAAAAUGAAAGCAACAAUGAGUUACUUGAGAGAUAAGAUAGUCAUAAAAAGAUAAUGAUUUCUGUAACAAACAAAAUGAAGAGAGGUAAAAGUAUCCAAAAAGAGUUAUUUUUCGGCAAAAUUAAAGUGUAAGGGGCCAUUUUUACAAUUGGAGAAUUAUUUUGAGUCACAUGUCCAAAUAACUUUUUUUUUUUAAAUAAAAAAAAAAUUCCAAACCAAUGUUAAUGUCUCACUCGUAAACAUUGAGAAAUUAUUUAAAUUUGUAAUAUAGUUUCAUAUUGUCAAGGCCAAAGGGGCUAUAGAUAAACGAUGGUUUUGGGCUUGGAAAUUUUUUAUUAAUAUAUAUAUAAUUAAUUAAUUGAUAAUUAAUCAUGCUAGGCUUUUUUUUUUAUUUAAUUUUUUGUUACCCUAAAAUAAAUCUCUCACAAUUUGACCCUUGUUAUUUCAUAGUUAUUAAUGGUGCUCAAACUCUUGAGCUAGGGUCCAUAAGUGAUGUGAUCUAAUAACAAUACUCUUCCUAGAGGUGGCGAUUAACCUAUUCGCCAUAACACUAGCACUUGCACUAAGGAGUAUUGAAGGUGAACUUUGGUUAUGCCUCUCCAAAGGUUAAGUUAGAUUUGAACUGAAUGAAGGUUGACAAGAAUGGAUUGCCUAGGGCUUGAGAUGAGAGAUGGAGGAUGGGAGAGAGUUGAAAGCUAAUAUGAAUUAGAGUGUGUGGGAAGAGACAUUGUAUAGUUUAUGUUGCUAGUCCAUGGUUGGUUGACUAAGAGGGUUGAGGUUAACCCUAUCUUCAUGAAGGAACUAUUAGUUGGGCGGGCCUAUGUAUGGAAAUGCUCAAUAGAUUGUUAGGAAUAUAUGUUAUUGUUGAGAUGUGCUCCUGACAAAGAGUCGAUUUUUUAUAUUGAGUCAUUGGUGUAAGAGAUCAAGCAAUAAAGAGCAAAAGGAACUAGGCCCUAAAUUCUUAGGUUAAGGCAAGUAAUGCUUUUGAAAAGUUGUUUAUCGAUUACUAUUGUUUAAGAUUUAUAGCCUUGGAAAGCAUGAUCAUGGUUUAUCAGGUUGAUAUGUAAAUUCUAACAACAAUGGUUAUAGUUUCUCUCUUGCCUAGGUAGUGGUGGAUACUAGAUAAGAUGACUAAGGUUGGGUGGAAUCACUCAAGUGAUAAGUGUAUGGACUCACGGUUAGUGCCGCAUACACCCAACUAGGCAUCUAGAUGCAAACGUCAAGCAUUCUUAGGCUUUCAUGGCUAGGUAUAAGGGGAAUAGUCCCUAGAUGCUUUAAUGAACCAGGAUGCACAACCCUAUAAUAGGAUAUUGAUUGCGAUCAAAAUAUGUGCUCUAAUGACACAUAGAUGAUAUGAUUUAUACUACAUAAAGGGAUCCACUCACCUAAAUUAAGUGUUAAGGCCCUAGUUAUAGAUCUAGAAGUUACUAGAGUCAAUUUUAACCAAGGAAAAGGAAGGGAUCAAAUAUGCCUAAAGAAAGGUUUUGAACUUAAGAAGCACGAGAAGAUCAAAGCAAGGGAAAAAUGAACAAGUCAUGGGAUUGAAAGAUGGGGAAUGAAUUGUUAAGACAUUGAGUCUUGCUUAUUUGUUGGAAAUUUGUUUCAAUUAAUGAUUGGUCAUAAAAGUCUUUUUAGAUAGUGACUUGCUCUCCAUUAAAGAUCAAGGGUUUCUAUUCAUCCAAUUGGGAAGUCACAAGUACAGGUUUGGCUUAUGACAUAUAAGGCUUAUUUGAGGUAUAAAAAGGUUCGGUAUCAUUUUUGAACUUAAAAUGAUUUUUCAAAAAGUAGGGUCGCUUAAGCAGUUAAUCCCACUCAAGCGAUAAGGACUAUUAAGUGGUUAAUCCCGCUCAAGUGGUUAGCCCACACAAGUCGUAAGGACCGCUCAACUAGAGCACUAACUCAAGCAUUCAAAGUCCCCUCAAGCAAUCAUGUCAAUCCUAUUGAGUUUAGAAACGUAUUUUGAAUGAAUUUCACUCAAACUCUAAUUUGGAAACUUAAGAUACCAAAACUCUUAUGGCUUUUUCUAGUAAAUACCUCUCUUUUAACUCCUUGUGGGUUAGAAAUCAGAGAUUAGAAAAAUCAUAAAGAUCUUAAAAGAUUGUUAAGAGACCUCUUAUUCUUUUGAGGGACUCUUUGUGAGAAAAGACUAAUUGCUACAGCAUUCUCAUUCUCUCAUUCAAGGAUUUGAAUCUUUGACUUGUUGGUUGAAGACCGCAAUCCCUUCAAAGGGAUCGAAUGAUCUACUAAGGAGCAAUAGGGAGUCGUUGCGUUGUAGAUGUGGAUCAAGUUAUGGGUAUUGUAGAGUAAGUCUUUAGGGUAAAGUGUCCAAGUAAAUUUGUGUAAUGUGAUUUCAAAUAGUGAAUUUAUAUUGAUAGGUCUUAGACCUUGUGGUUUUUUUAUCUCCACAAUUGGUGGGGGUUUUUCAUGUAAAAAAUCUUGUGCCUCAUUGUUUAUAUUUUUAUAUUUAAUAUUCUAUUUGAAUUGCCUAGAACAGGUUAAAUUGAUUAUCCUUAAUAUCUUGCAGGGUUUUCCUAAAAAGUACAUAUCUAUUUAUUCAUUCGUAUAUUACUUGAUUAGGUUGUUUGAUUGCUCGGGAUUGAUUGUUUGGGUGGUUAUGGUUGUUAUCCUUAUAUCUAAUUAUUGUUAUCCUUAACAUCUCUCUGGAUAUCAUUUGGAUAUUAACAAUUAUAUUAUCUUUAUCCCUAACCCACUAUAAGGUAUCCCUAAAAGUUUAAAAUCUUAUUUUUUAAUACCUAAAGAUUUAAGGUAUAAUACAUUUAACUAUUUGGGAUAUCCUUGAUAUCUAAUGGAGUAAGAAAAAACUUGUAAUACUUUACAAAUAUUAAUUAAAUUUUUAAAUCACCCAUUCACCCCCCUCUCAUUGUUCCCUACUAGACUUUCAAUUAUUAUUUAAGUGGUAUCUAAGCACUACCUCUUUUUCAAUUGGUAUUAAAGAAAGAUAAAAAAAACCAAUUCUUUAUCUUAUUGAUUAAAAAUUCUAUUAAAAUCAAUUUUUUUUUAUUAAUCUUAUAGGAUAAAAAUCAAACUUUUAUUGAUCUUAUAAGUCUAAUAUGGAACAGUAAAAAAAUGGUGCUCCUUUGAAUAAUCCACCCUAUUUUAAUAGAAGUAAUUAUUCCAAUUGGAAAGAAAUAAUGACGUUUUUCCUUAAAAUGCAAGGUGAAAAGGUAUGAAAUUCAAUGAAUAUGGUUGGGGACCACCAUUAAUCCUUGAUGCUCAAGGAAGAUCAAUAGGAGAACUUAAAUCUAGAUAGGAAUGGGACAAAGCCAACAAUGAAGGUAGCGAAGCCAAUGCUAGGGUUUAAUUUAGUUUUUUAAUGGAUUUUGUCUAGAUGAGUUUCGCAGGAUUCCACUUGCAAAUGUGUAAAGAAAGUAUGUGAUAUACUUCAAGUCACUCAUACAGGUAUAUUUGUUGUAAAGAUUUCUAAAUUAAAAAUGCUUGCUACUGGGUUUAAUAAUAUUAAGGUGCAUGAAAAAAAAAAAAUCUUCCUUUUAUUUUGAAUUAAGUGAUAUUGUAAAUUCUUCAUUCCUUGCAAAACCUCUUCCAAAUUCUAAGGUAGUUAAGAAAUUAUUGAGAUCCCUUCCAGAGAGAUUUAGACCUAAAGUAAUUGCCAUAGAGGAGAGCAAGGACAUUGAUUCAAUGAGAGCUGAUGAACUUGUAGACUCUAUUCAAACAUAUUACAUGAUCCUACCUAGUUCCUAAAAGCCUAAAGACUUUGCCUUUAAGGUUUUUGAGAAUGAGGAGAAAGAUAUUGAAAUGCCAUAUGAUAUAACUAGUGAUGAAUUAGCUCAUAUGGCCAAAAGGAUUAAUAGGGUGAUGAAAUUAUAUAAAAGGUUAUACAAGAACCAAGAAUCUAGAAAAUGAAAAGGACCUAAUGAACAAUCAUCCAAUGAGAAAAGAAAAGGUUCCUCUAAAGGUGAAAAAGUUGAAUGCUUUAACUAUGGAAUUUUGGGACAUUAUGCUCAAGAUUGUCCUAGCCUUAAAUAUGCCAAAAAGUCUAUGCAAGUAACAUGGAGUGAUAUUGAUUCUAAAGAGAGUGCUUCCAUAGCUUCUGAAAAUGCAAGGUACGAUCCUAAUGACUUGUUAGCUUUUAUUGCUUCUAAAGAAUCUGGGCAUGAUAGUGAUUGUGAUAGUGAUGAUGAUGAGUUUACUGAUGAACAAAGGGUUGAAUUAUUGAGUAACCUUGUUGUUGAGCAUGACAAACUAAUUAAGAGUUAUAUGAAAAGUAAUGAUAUUCUUGAUGCUCAUAAAAACAAGAUUGAUGUGCUUAAUGUUGAAAAGACUAAUUUUCUUGAGAAAAUUAGGAUUCUUGAGUUUGAACAUCAUUCUCUCCUUGAGAAGAAUAAUGUUCUCACUCAAGAGAUAAAAAAUAAUAAGCCUUCUUCUUCUAUGAAUGAAAAUUUUCACGUGGGAACUAAAGUGCUUAAUGAAAUUCUUGAUAAAUGCAAAACCCAUGGUGAUAAAAGAGGUUUAGGGUACAUUAACAAAGAUAAAACUCCCUCUAGUGGAGAAACUAGGUUUUUCAAAGGUAAGGAUAAUACCCCUAACCAAGUAGAAUCUCCUAAAAAGACAUCACCAUGCACACACUAUAAUAAAACUGGACAUUCUCAAUUUAAAUGCUACACUAGGUUUCUAAAAAGGUUUGAAACUCAAAAGAAUAGACUCAUAAAUGACUUCAAUUUCCUUAAAAAUAACAUCUUGAACAAUGAGAAAGGAAAUAAAACCAAUAAAAAACCUAGAAGUCAAUCUAGUUCCUCUAAGUCACCACCUAAGACUAAGUGAGAUUGGUUAAGAAAUGAUAGGCCAAAAUGUCAAGUUGUGUCCAAUGCUCUUAAAGUUAAAUCUUCUAGUAAGAAGUAUCUUGAUAGUGGGUUUUUUGGCCACAUGAUAGGAGACAAAUCCUUUUUUACUUUCUUGAAAAUUAUGAUGGUUGGGUUGUUACUUUUGUAUAUGGAAGUCUAGCUUGAGUAAAAGGCAAGGGUAGUAUAGUUAUCCCUGGUUGUCCUAAACUAGAUGGAAUUCUAUAUGUUGAAGGACUUAAGGAAGACCUCUUAAGAAUUAGUAAAAUGUGUGAUAAAAACCAUAAAGUGAAUUUUCACCCAGACUUAUGCGAGGUAGUUAAUAAAGAAGAAUAGGUAGUCAUCAUAGGACAUAGGACAAUUGAUAGUUGUUAUGCCAUAAAUCCUAAAUCUAGAAAACCUCUUUUGUGUAGUAGAGCUAAGCUUGAAUCUACUGAGCUAUGGCAUAGAAGACUAGGUCACAUAAACUAUAAGAAUCUUGUGUACUUAGUGAAUAUUGAAAAAGUUAGAGGUAUCCCUAGAAUUUGUGGGGAACCUAAACCCAUUUGCAGUGAGUACAUGAAAGGGAAAUAAACUAAGAGUUCACAAAAAAAGGUUAAGGAGAUAAAGACCACUAAACCUUUAGAUUUUUUUUCACAUGGGUCUUAUAGGUCCAAUGAAAAUUGAAAGUAGAGGUGGCAAGAGAUAUGUCCUUGUAGUAGUAGAUGAUUUUUCAAGAUACUCCUUUGUGAGUUUUCUUAGGGACAAAUCAAAGGCCAUAGAAUGUUUAAAGUCUUUAUUUAAUAGAAUACAAGUGGACAUAGAUCACCCAAUUAUAAGGAUUAGGAGUGAGAGAGUUUGAUAAUGUGGAUGCUAACCUCUUUUGCAAGUCUAAUGGAAUUUAACAUGAAUUUUCAGCUUCUCGAACUCCUUAACAAAAUGGAGUAACUGAAAAAAAGAAUAGAGUGCUACAAGAGAUGGCUAGGGUGAUAAUUCACAUGCAUAAUACCCCUAUGUAAUUUUGGGCAAAAGCAAUUAAUAUUGCAUGUUAUACUCUUAAUAGGACUUUUCUUAGGCUUGAAACAAAGAAGACAUCUUAUGAAUUAUGGAUUGGGAGAAAACCUAAUCUUACAUAUUUUAAGACUUUUGGCCGUGAAUGCAAUAUUUUAAGGGAUGGGAAGAACCUUGGAAAGUUUGAUGCGAAAUCUUAUGUAGGUAUUUUCCUAGGCUAUUAUAUUAUGAGUAAAGCCUAUAGGGUUUAUUAUCAAAAUUCAUAGAUUAUCCAAGAGUUUUCUAAUGUGGCUAUAAAUGAUACUGGGUAUGAUCAGGAUGUAAUUACGAGUCAGCUUUUAAACCAGAAAUCAAUUAGGGACAACCCUAAAGACUUGAAGAUCAUAGAAAAUAACCGUAAUGAUAUCCAUGAAAGAGACAUUGACCCUAACAUAGAUAAAGUUGUACCUUUAGAUGACACUCUUGAAGAAAUAAGAGAUAAGCAUAGACCAGAAUACCUAAGAACUACCCCAAUCUCAAAUGUUAUAGGAAAUGUUAAUGAACAAGUGGUUACCAAGAGAAAAUCAAGAUCAAAUGAGAUGGGUCUUGUAUGUUAUACCUCCCAAUUAGAGCUAAAGAAUAUGAAGGAAGCUUAAGGACAUGAGUCUUGGACUACCAUACUCUAUGAAGGGUUAAAUCAAUUCACUAGGAAUAAUGUGUGGUAUUUAGUCCAUAGGCCUAAAGAUAAACAUGUCAUAGGUACAAAAUGGAUAUUCAAGAAAAAACAAGAUGAAAAUGAGGUCAUUGUGAGAACCCAAGGAUACUCACAAAUAGAUGGGAUUGAUUAUGAACAAAUAUUUGCACCCAUAGCUAGAUUAGAAUCAAUUAAGAUACUUUUGGAAAUAGCAGGCUCCUUGAGGAUAAAGCUUUAUCAAAUGGAUGUCAAGAGUGCUUUUCUAAAUGGUAUUCAAAGUGAAGAAGUUUAUGUUGAGAAACCUAAGAGAUUUGAGGAUUUAAACUUCCUCAAUCAUGUCUAUAGAUUCAAGAAAGCCCUAUAUGGAUUAAAUCAAGCUUCUAGAGCAUGGUAUGGAAGGCUCAUAACCUAUCUUUUAGAGAAAAAGGUUGAAAGAGAGGGAGUUGACAGAAUCUUGUUUAUAAAUAGGUCUAAUGAAGAGUUGUUGGUAGCUCAAAUUUAUGUUGAUGAUAUAGUUUUUGGAGCUACCUCUAGUGAUCUUGCCCUUAAUUUUACAGAAGAAAUGAAGACUUAAUUCGAAGUGAGCAUGGUAGAUGAAUUAACUUUCUUCGUAUGAUUGCAGAUUAGGCACCUAAAAGAUGAAAUAUUUUUUUCUCAAUCCAAAUAUGCAAGGGAAUUAGUUAAGAAUUUCAUUCUUGAAUCCUUGAAAAAAUUUAGGACACCUAUGAGCACUACCACUAAGUUUAGCAAGGAUGCAUCUGGAAAUGAUGUUGAGUAAAAGCUUUAUAGAAGUAUGAUAUGAAGCUUACUUUACCUAACAAUGAGUUGCCCUGAUAUAUCUUUUAGUGUUGGAGCUUGUGCUAGAUAUCAAGCAAACCCCGAAGAGUCACACUUAAUGUAUGUUAAAAUAAUUAUUUGCUAUAUAAAUGAGACUCUUGAUUAUGGUUUAUAGUAUAUAUCCUUAUUCUCUUAUGAUUAUUAGAUAUUUCGAUGCUGACUAGUCUAGAAAUGUUGAGGAUAGAAAACACACAUCUAAUGUUUUUUUUUAUUUUUUUUUUAUUUUUAUUAGUGUUUGUCUUGUGGCUUGGCUUAGUAUGAAACAAAACUCUAUAUCCUUAUCUACUGUUGAAGCUAAGUAUAUUGUUGUUGAAAAUUGUUGUACACAACUCCUAUGGAUGAAGCAAAUGCUUAAAGAUUAUGGAAUUAAGCAAGGAGCUAUGUGCAUACACUGUGACAACUCUAGUGUUAUGAAUAUCUCAAAGAAUCCUGUCUUUCAUUCAUGUACUAAGCACAUUGAAAUCCAUCAUCAUUUCAUUAAGGAUCUUGUUGAAGAAAAGGUUGUUUCUUUAGAGUUUGUCCCCCAUUAAACAUCAAUUGGCAGAUAUUCUUACCAAAUUCAUGGAUUCUCUUAGGUUUGAGUACCUUAUGAAAUCCAUGGGCUUAUAUGCCUAAUCAAUUGACCAUCAUAGGUUUAGGCUUCAAAGGUUUUGAGCUUAGUGUUUAUAUCUUUUUGUUUCCCUUAGCCUUAUUUUGUUUUGAGCAUAUGAUUUUUGUCUAUUUACUUGAUAUAUUAGCAUGAUUUGUAAUACCUUGAGUUUGUGAUUUAGAAAAAUAUACCAUAUCUACAAGAUUUGAUGUGAAUGGAUUCAUAGAUAAUCACUAUUGAUGUAUUUGAUUUUUGAUAAUGAAAUGUCUUUGUAUUUGAGAAAUUCAAUAUUGAUUACAUCAUGUACUUGAUCAAGAGGGAGACUUUCAUAAGGUAGACUUUGAUUACUUUGGAAGCAUCCAUCGUCAUGCCCAAAUCUUAUUAUCUACAUACUUUGUUUGACGAUGAUCAUUAUUUGUUUCUCAAGGUGAGUCAAUACAAAAUAUUGAAUCUUUGGUUAAGCAUAACUCUCAUACUCUUUCCAAGAUUCAUGCUCUUAAAUGUAUGUUGCUCACUUGUAACAUUUGGAAAUACCCUCAAAGUGGAUACAAAAGCAAUCAUGAAUGAAGAAAAAUAAAAAAUAAAAAUCUAUUGAUCAUGGUGUACAAUGCCUCCACUUUCAAAAGAAAAAAGCAAAAGAAAAGAAAGGAAAAAUGAUAUCAAAUUAAGGGGGAGUCAAGUUAUGUUGUAUAUAGAUCAACAAGGUUAUGUGAAACAUAAAUCCGACGAUCUUAAGUUCAAAUUGACUAGAUGUGUUCUUUAAUUUGACCAAAGGCAUGACUAGAUCUCUUCUAAGUGUUCAAUUUUGAAAUAUAGAACUAGAUAAUAAAGUCGUAUUCCUUGAACAUCAAUGCUUAUGUUUCUAUGUUGACUUUCUUAUACAUUGAUGGUUAUAUGAAUCUACAUUUUUCACGUGCGUCCCCACUUGACAGUGAGACUCACUUUUUUUUUUAAUGAAAAAGUGCAUCUUUGUAAAAAAUGGAGUCUCUACUUGUUUUUUUUUCUCAAGGGAAAAUAAAAUAAGAAACUAAAACCUUAAGAAAAAUGACUCUUUAAGUUUUGGAAAAGUCUAUCUUUAAAAAACUCAAAUCUAGGUCCGGGGAUCAGGUUACCUAUCAAGAAGGUACGGUGAUUAAGUCAGCACCCAUUAAACCCAUAUACUUACAGUUUCUACUAAGUGAAUGGAGAGAGUCAUGACAAUUGAUUAAUUAAUCGAGGAUACCUAUAAUAAGACAACAAGAUACAUAUAGGUCAUGAGGCAAGAAAAAUAGUAAACAAGAGGUACAAAAUUAAUGAAAGUAAAAUGCACAAAAUAGAAUUUAAUUAUUUGUUAAAGUUGGAACUUUUCAAAGGAAGUUCAAAAGAAAUUUAUUUAUAUUGGGAACAAUUUUGAAUUAAAGAUUUCAAACUUAUUUACUCACAAAGUUUCAAUUUAUUCACAAAAUAUUCAAUUUUUAUUCACAUCCAAAAUUAAUUAAAAAAAAGACUUUUUUUAAAUUUUAUUUUUUUAAAAGAAUUUUGAUUGAAUUUGAAUAUAUAAAAGAGAAAAACUCAAUUUGAUCUUCUAUUUACAAAGAAAUGAUUUUGGUUUACACUUAUUAAAAACCAAGAUUAUGUGAUUAUAAAGAAACAAUAAUUCUAUUUUUGAAUAAGUGAUUUUUACAAGGAAAAGGGGGUUUACUUAUUUUAAUUACAGCAACCAAAUUUUAAUUUACUUUAGAAAACAAAUUUUUACAACUUUUAUUUACAAAAGAUAUUUCCAAAUGAAAUUUAUUUGAAAAGAGAGGUUUUUACAACUUUUAUUUCCUUUAGAUUUUUAUUAAAACAAUUUUUGGGAUUUUUGUAUUAAAUCAAAUUUUGGAACUUUAUUAAAAAUAUUUUGAAAAUUUUUCAUUAAAACAAAACCCUAGAACUUUUAUUAAGAAAACUUUUGGAACAUUAUAUCAAACACAAACUUAGAGAACUUUAAUUUAAAACAAAAUUUUGAGAACUUUAAUUUACAACUAAUUUUAGGGACUUUGAUUAAAGUACUAACUUUGAGAAAAUUUAUUAAAACACUUACUUUGAGGAUUUUUUAGACUAACCUUAAGGGUUUUUGUUAAACAACUUUUAGAAUUUAUUAAAACAAACUUUGAGAAUUUAUUAUAAACGAAUUUUGAGAAUUUUUAAGAUUAAAACACUUAUUUUGAAAAUUUAAUAACAUACUUGUUGAAAAUUUUUAAACUUUUACGAAAACAAACUUUUAAGUAAAUUUAAAAGACAUAACUUUGAGAACAAUUAUUAAAACAUUUAUUUUGAAAAUUUUAAUUAAACUAAAUUUGAGAACUUUUAUGACUUUUAUGAAAACAAACUUUGAGAAUAUUUAUUUAAAUACUUAUUUUGAGGAUUUUCAUUAAACAAACCUUAUUAAAAAAAAUGAUUUUUUAAAGAAUUUUUAUUAAAACACAAUUUUAAAUUAACAAACUUAUUAAAAAAAAUAACUUUAUAAAGAAAAUUUAUUAAAAAAGCGAUUUCUUGAAUAACAAUUAUUAAAACACAAUUUUUCGAUUUAAAAACUUAUUAAAAACGACUUUCUAUAGAACAUUUAUUAAAACACAAUUUUUAGAAUUUUUAAACUUAUUUAAAAAGCAAUUUCUUGAAGAACAAUUAUUAAAACACAAAUUUCAAUUAACAAACUUAUUAAAAAAGCGACUUUUUUAAAGAACAUUUAUUAAAAUAAAAUUUUCAAACUUAUUAAAGACAAAAAUGAUUUCCUAAAGAACAUUUAUUAAAACACAAUUUUCAGUUAACAAAUUUAUUAAAAAAUAAUUUUCUAAAGAAAAUUUAUUAAAACAUAAUUUUCAACAAACAAGCUUAAUAAAAAAUAAUUUUUUAAGGGACAUUUAUAAAAACACAAUUUUUAGCAAACAAACUUAUUAAAACAAUUUUCUAAGGAACGCUUGUUGAAACACAAUUUUCUAAGGAACGUUUAUUAAAACACAAUUUUUAGUAAACAAACUUAUUAAAAAAUGAUUUUCUAAUAAAUAUUUAUUAAAAAAACAAUUUUCUAAGGAAUAUUUAUUAAAACCCAAUUUUCAAUUAACAAACUUAUUGAAAAACGAUUUUCUAAGGACUAUUUAUUAAAAAACCAAUUUUCUAAGGAACAUUUAUUCAAACACAAUUUUCAAAAUUUUCAUUAAACAAACUUUUAGGACUUUAUAAACUUUGAAGAUUUUUAUUAAAAAAAAAAAUUUCUAGAUUUAUUUUAAAAAAUGAAUUUUUGGAUUAUUAAUUUUUUUUUUAAAAAAAUCUUGAAUUAUUUAAAAAUAAUAAUAAUUUUUUGAAUUUAUUAAAAAAACGUUUUUUGAAUUAUUUUAUACUAAACCAAAUUCUUGAAUUUCGUAAAAACAAUUCUUCUAGAUUGUUUUAUUAAAACAUAUAUAUAUAUAUAUAUAUAUAAAAUAAAAUAAAAAAUAGAGUAAGAAAGAUAAUUCAAAACCCAAAUAUGGGAAGAAAUGAAAUAUGAGGCAAAAAGACUAACAUAAAUUGAAUUAAAGAAAAUUUAAGACAUAAUGAAAUAUGAGGCAACAAGAUUAAUAUAAAAAAAUUACAAAAAAAAAAAAAUUAAAAGAAGAUGAAAUAUGAGACAACAAGAGUAACAUAAAUAGACUUAUAGAAAAUUUAGGACAAAAUUUACACAAUAUAGAAAACUUCAAACAAAAUACAAUACGUAUAAUAGCACAUAUCAAAACAUAUCAAUAAAAUAAUAAAUAAAAAUGACAAACAUAUAGAUGAGCAAAAAAACUUAGGCAAAUGUUCACACAUAUAAAAUGUAGAGUAUAAUGAAUAGAUAAAUAAAAAAGGUAAAGAAUUGAAUAAAAGAUAUUGAUAAAAUAUUCAACUACUAAAAUACUCUCAAAUAUAAUAAAUAUAAAACAAUAUAAAUCUAAGAAAUCCUAAAAAGAACAUAAACAUAAUACAAAUAAAGAGAUGAGGAAGAAAUAACUUACCUGAAUGCAACCCUAAAUCAAUCUUGACUCUCUAAACCUCCAAAGGCAACUCCAGAAUACGAAUAUAGAUUUUAUUUUAUUAAAAAACGGAUAGCCCCACAGUAGAUACACAGUAAGGAAUGCGUGCCCUUUAAAUACAGUUUUCAAGACUUCCUCCCUAAGAAAUCUCAUGGGUCCAUGCAAAACAAAAAAAGCCUAAAAUGAGGAAAUGAUAGCCUAAACCUAAUUAAAAUAAAAUCACCCAAACCCAAUCAAAAUAAAAUAACCAAAGCCUAAUUGAAAUAAACUAACCCAAAUCCAAUAAAAAUAAAAAAACUCAGACCUACAACUUUAAAUCUAAAUACUCACAACCCAAUUAAAAAAUAAAAUAAAAUUCCUAAGUGCACUUAAAAUAAAAUAACCCAAAUCCAAUAAAAUAACUCAGCCCCACAACUUAAAAUCUAAAUACCCACAACCCAAGUAAAAUAAAAUAAUCCAUAUGCAUCUAUAAGGAAAUUAGAAUAUCAAUUCAUGCAAUUUUUGAAGAAAAAAAAAACUAAAAUUCAACCUCAAGCAAUUUUCUAACAAAUAAAUAAAUAGAUAAGUAAAUAAAUAAAAAAUAUAAAUAAAGAAAUAAAUCAUAUAUAAUAAUAAUAAUAAUAAUAAUAAUAAUAAUAAUAAUAAUAAUAAUAAUAAUAAUAAUAAUAAUAAUAAUAAUAAUAAUAAUAAUAAUAAUAAUAAUAAUACUAAUUAAUGAUAAAAGAAAUGAAACAUCGAAAUCCCAUGGCUAAAUAUUGAAAAUUCAAUCCAAGUAGUAGUAAAAAAAAAUAAAUAAAUAAAUUAAGCCAAAUACUCACUUAACUCAUAAUCAUGUAAUCACAACUCAAGAAACAAACCUAAGUGCACUAAGUCUAAAGAAUCUAUAUAAGUGAACCUAAAUGGGUUGGGUGGACUUACCUAAAACAUGCCUAAGAGACCUAAAUAGAAAAAUAUCUCAAUGAACUAAGUGAAAUCUAACCUAAGGAGGUGCCUAAAUGGGCUUAGGUGAACCUAGAUAGGCCUAAGUGGGCUAACUUAAAAGAAAGAGGAAAAAAAUCUAGAUCUAAGUUGAGGUUGCUAAUGGUCACAAUGAGAGGCCACAUAAAUCCCUUAAUUAGAGUCUCGAAUGUGGCUUAAAAAUGUAAGUUGUAUGAGUAGUAAUGGGCCACUGGAGAACUGUUGUGGAGUAUUAAAAGAACACCUAAUAAGGCAUGUGCUAAAGGGACAAAAUGAAAGGUUUACAAGUUAUGCAUUGGGUUAUCAAAACUAAAAUUAUAACUAAAUCUAACCUUUGAUCCUGAAACUUCAUUCUUGAUGGAUUAAUGUGUACUAUCUGAAGUAACUUACUUAAUCUAUCACUAAUUGAUCUAAUAUUAAAAGUCUAUGGACUUAAUUAUUUGCUCUUUUUAGUUUAUCGUUAAAAUUUAUUUCAAUUGGUGUCUAUACUUGUCUCUAAGUUAAUUGUUGAGUACUUUAGCGUUUGUUAGAAUUGAAAUUAGGCUUUGGUUGCUUGAGUGCUGCAUUCAGCACUCAAGCCUCAUCCACCGACUCUACUGCUCAAGUGCUCUUAGUUGCAUCCAGCGACACAUCCAUCAAGGGUCUCUCUCGAGCACUAAUCUGCAUCCAAUGGUACUUUUGAGUAUAAAAACCCAUCUACCAUGCCUUUUGACUUUUCAAUUGUUUUCUUAUACCCUCAAGCACUCUAAGACUCUGUUUCUUUGACAUUUGAGGUCACUUAUCAUCAUUUUUCAUGUUUUCGACUUCAUAGUGUUGUUUUACACUUGGUUUAGAACAUUUCUAGUGGUUUAGAUUUUCAUCAUAUUUUUCUUGGUUUUUGAGUCUCUUAAUAUUCCACUAGCUAUGUCUAGUCAUCGACGUUAAUGAGAAGUGACUCCUCUUGGAUCACUUGAGCCUAUUCAGAGCAUCGUUUUUUAGGGUCUCUUUGACCUUUUUGAUCAUCUUAUGGAGUAUUUCUACUCUCAAGAGUCUCGUGAUCAUUUUUAUGCUUCUUUUCAUAGUCAUCAUAUUAAGGUCAAGCAUUUUAUCAACUCUUGUGCCUUCUAGGACACUUCUCUUCUUACCAUUCUUAGAAAUAGAAGGUAGAAGUCAUUGUUUACUUUACAAGGAUCUUACCAUCCUCUUUUGGUUUGCAUGUUCUAUGGGAACAUGCAUACUGUUUCUCUUAAUUGCUCAUUUUGGGUGACUGUUUGUGGUCAGUUCUUUCAUAUCGCUUCUUUGUCAGUUAGGCGUGCACUCAACAUGUCUAGACUUGAUGCUUGUUUUCUUUCUUUUCUUCUAGAGGUUUAGCCUAUCACUCUUGCAGAGCUUCUUGCAUAUAUUUCUUUGGCUAACUUAUCCAAGCCAACUUGGAUUCUUGCUACUUUCCUUACAUAUCCUUCACAUCUCUCAUCCCAUCAUACCGAGAUUCAUCGAUCGACUACUUGUUUCAUCCAUGUCAUCCCAUUUGGAUAAUAAUUUGAUAUUGGUUAGGUGAUCAUUGAUACAAUCACCCUCUCCUGAGACUUUUUUUUUUUUUUUUUGGUGCACUCCUUUUCAGGUUCCUCAUCUCUAGACUAUUGAAGCAUAUUAGCUUUGAAUUGCUAUUGCACAAAGGGUCUAAGUUGGUUAUGCUUUGUUAGAUGAGAGGUCUUGGGCCAAGCACUACAACCAUGUGUAUGGUCCCAUGGCCCCUUUGAUUCCUAAUGGUCCUCAAGAUGCUGUACCAGCUUAGCAAGCUACUUAGGAGGCACUUGCCGAGGAUGAUGAGAUUCGAGCCAUGGAGCAAGAUGUACCUAUACCAGAGAAUUCUCCAAGGACACGCUCUAGUCAAGGUCAUGCCAGAUCAUUUAGAGCUUCUCAUUGAGCAUUGUCUUCCACACACUUGACUACUCAGAAAAUGGAUCCUAUGACUACAGUGCUUCAGAGCUCGGACUCAUAGACAUUCAACUUUGUAAGAUCUAGGGUCAGUUGACCUAUAUUGUUUCUUGGAUCCAUGCUUGGAGCAGUCCGAGUUCCUUCCCUCCUUUACUUCCUCCUAAUGCAUAGUUGUUUGUUUCUUGUUUAUAUUUUCAUAUAUUUUUAUUGAUCUAAAUGUUUAUUCAUUGCCUAUCUUAUGUAUUUAGAAUCAAAUUUUUGAUACAUAUAUAUAUAUAUAUAUAAGCUAUUCAUUUUUCUUUUUCUCUCUUGUGUGAUUUCUCAUCUUUAUAUCUUUGUUACAUUGCCAUUUUGUGACAAAAAAUAAAGAAAAUUGAAUUACUUAAAUAAAGAAGAAAAUGGGGAACAAUGAAAAUAUGUAGGAGUAAAACAUUGAAUAUUUAAUUCACCUAAAAAGGAGAGUUAAAGGGUGAAAAUGGAAACUCCUUAAUUUAGGGGGAGUUAGUUAAUUUUUAAAUUCUUUGAAUUCCUUAAUUUUUUUAAUUAAGGGAAUUUAAUUGAAAUAUUGGAGGAAAUUAAACCUGAGACAUUAGAGUAAACCAAAUCAACCUUAGGAAGCAUGACUUUAGGAUUCAAGAGAGAUACCUAACACAAAUGUUUUUUGCAAGAUAUUUACGUUUGAAUUGACUAUCUCUCUAGAACUAAUCCUAGCCAGAGAAGCUUCUUCCUAAGGUUUUCACUACUUAUGUUAUGGUUGGUGAACACCCCCUACACUUUAUUGUUAAAUUAUUGGGUCUUAUCUAGCUUAUAUUAUAUUUAGUUGAUUUGCAUACAUCUACAUUCCUCUCAAGCUUUGUUUUGUAUCCUGAUGGCACUAAAGGAAUUUGUUCAUUUUUCAUGCUUUCACAAGGCAUCAAGAAAAACCUCCAACUAUCUUGUUUUGCUUUCAUAAUAUUAUUUUAUCCCUCAUAUUGCUUACCUUUGGUAUAAAUUUUUAUGUGUGUAGGUUAUGAGGUUGGAAGAUAAGUACUACAAAGCGUUGCAAAGCGUUUCCUUAGUUUAUUUUUAAUUGAGUGUUAAUGUGUGUUAUGUAAACUUCUUUAUGAGAGUUUAGGUGGGUUUAUAUCAUAAUGUUUUGUCCCAAAAUUUUCAGUUGGAGAUUAUUAAGACAUUGAGUCUUGUUUAUUUGUUAGCAAUUUUGUUCCAAUUAAUGUUUGGUCAUAGAAGUAUUUUUAGAUAGGGUCUUGCUCUCCAUUGAAGAUUAAGGGUUUCUAUUCAUCCAACUGAGAAGUCAUAGGUAUGUUUAAAAAGGUUUGUGGCAUAUAAUGAGGUCUAUUUGACAUAUAAAAAGGUUUGUUAUCAUUUUAGGACUUAAAAUGUUUUUAAAAAUGAUUUUUCAAAAAUCAAAGGUUGCUUAAGCAGUUAACCGCUCAAAUGGUCAACCUACCCAAGUGGUAAGGACCACUUAAGUGGUUAAUCUCACUUAAGUGGUUGAUUACUACUCAAAAAGUGCUAUUUUGUAGCUUGUAAUUAACUCUUUUAAACACUCUUGAGUAGUAAUUAUUACCUUUUAACUCAAUUGGCAUGUUAGGAACACUUGCAAUCGUUUCUAAUCAAAUUGUGUUAAGUUUUGGUGUUUUUGAUAGCUUUUUGCUCACCAAAGCAAUCCAAGAAUGAGGGAGAGCUGUAUAUAGUUCAUGGCAAAGCUUUUGGAAGCUCAAAUUCAUGAAGAACUAAGCUUUGGAGCUCCAUAGCCUUUGCCAAAGUCGUUCAAAGUAUGCAAGGCAAGAACAAUGGAGAAGAGGAAAACAGAGUGAAGAAAACAGAGGACAGCAGCUUCAGUCUUCCUUCGCACUUUUUGAGUACUUCCCGAAGUCCAUUUUCUACAUACUAUAUACCAUUUCAAAGCCCAGGAAGUCAAGAAUCCAACGCUUUAAACCGUGUACGAUUUGGAGCUGAAAUGAGGAAGAUAUGGCCUUCGCAAGACAACUGCAUCCAGCUGAAGGACAAAUUCGCAUCUUGCGAAUUUGGAACUCCAACGUGCGAAAUUAAAACCCAACUUGCGAAAGUGAUUUUGCAACUUGCGAACUUGGUUCUCAACGUGCGAAAAUGGAUUCCAAGUUGCGAAAUCAACUUGCGAAAUUUUCGCAAGUCACCAUGCAACGUGCGAAACUGGGAUAUUUGUGCACCGACUCUUUUAGAUCUUUUCUUUAGAUAUUUUUGUAUAAAUUUCCAUUCUUCUCCUUGUAAUCCACGAACCAUAAGAUUUCUUAGCUAGGAAGGUUGGAAAAACUUCUCUAUAUAUAUUCCCUUGCAUCCACUGUAACAGACAUAUAGAAGUAUGUAAAAUAUCGAUCAAUAUAUAGAUAUUUAAAUAUAUAGACUAUACAGAGCUUUGCUCUGUUUUUCUCUCUUCUCCUGUUCUUCCCCAUUUCUAUUUUCUUAGUAGCCAAACAGCCUCUGAGGGCUUUUCCUCAGAGGAUGAUUGGCUAAAACUUUUAGUUUCUCAAAGUAUGGAUGUUAUGUGAUGACUUGGAUGCAAUCCCAUGGAAAUUUCUUGCACCUGGAAGGUAAGGUAGUCGUUUUUCAUUAAAGGUUCAUUAAUGCAAAGUUUGGUUUUUAUUUCCUUUGGACAACUUCCAAUGGCCAAUACUUGAUAAGCUUUUGGAUUUCUAUCCAUUAGUUAUCUCCUACGAGCUAUUGGAAGGUGAGGUUUUCAAUUCCAAGUUUUGCAUUAAUCCGUUAGAACCAAUUUCAAUGGCCAUUGAAAGGUGAGUUUAUCACCUGGAAUGACUUUGAGUUGCCAAUAUUUGGUAAGCUUUUGGCUUUAGACCAUUAGUUAUCUCUUACGAGGCAUUCAAAGGAAGUCUAAGGUGAAUAACCAUUGAUGAAAUUCACUACCAUCUGUUUUGCCAUUUUAAAGGAUUAAAACUUGAUUUGUUAAAUCCAUACCGGUUCAGGAAGCAAGCAUCACCAUAGUUGCAACCCCAACGCGAGGAGCCUAUCCUGAGAUUUCCAAUUUGCAUAAGAGCCAGAGCAUAGCUAUCCUAUCUUUGAGAAACUUGUUUUUACACCCUUUCAUUUUAGUCUUUAAUGUUAGCUUAGAUUAGUUUAAAUCUUUCUAAAACAUUUACAUCUUCUUUUAAAGCUAACAUCCAUAAGAAAAUCACCUAUUUUCCUAAUUUGAAUAUCAUUUGUGAAGUGAAAACCCAUCCCAGUGAACGAUCCUAGAACCACUAUGCUAUAGUAGCUUGGCUACUUUAGUAAUAGUAUUUAAGGUAUAAAUUUUGUUGAUACGCCUUUAAAGCUAAGCUACCAUGAGUCGAAUCAGUGGUCAACUCGCCCAAGCAGUCAACCCACCCAAGCGGUUAAUGCUGCUCAAGCAGUUAACCACUCAAGUGGUAAGGACCGCUCAAGUAGAGUGCUUAAGCCAUCAAUGUUCGCUUAAGUGGUAAGGACUGCUCAAGUGGUUAAUCCCACUCAAGCAGUCGACCAACCCAAGUGGUCAACCCGUCCAAGAGGUCAACCCACUCAAGUGGUCAAUUGCUCAAGUGGUAAGGGCAGCUCAAGUAAAGUGCUUAAGCCGUUAAAGUCCACUCAAGCAGUCAUGUUAGUCCUGUUGAGUUUAGAAACAUAUUUUGAAUGAAUUUUAAUCAAACUCUAAUUUGGAAACUUGAGAUACCGAAACUCUUAUGGAUUUUGCCUAUAAAUACCUCUCUUAUAACCCCUUGUGGGUUAGAAAACAAAGAUCAAAAAGAUCAUAGAGAUCUUAGAAGAUUGUUGAGGGACCUCUUAUUUUUUAGAAGGACUCCUUUUGAGAAAAUCCUAAUUGCCACACCAUUCCCAUUCUCUCAUUCAAGAAUUUGAAUCUUUGAAUUGUUGGUUGAAAACAAUAAUCUCUUCGGAGGGACUAAAGGAUCUACUAUGGAGCAACAAGGAUUUGUUGUGUCAUGGAUGUGGAUGUGGAUCAAGUCAUAGGUAUUGAAAAGUAAGUCUUUAGGGUAAAUCGACAAGGUAAAUUUGUAUAACUUGAUUUCAAAUAGUGGAUUUAUAUUGAUAGGUCUUAGACCUCGUGAUUUUUUUAUCUUCACAGUUUGUAGGGGUUUUUCACAUAAACAAUAUUGUGCCUUAUAGUCUAUAUUUUUAUAUUUAAUAUUCUGUUUCAAUUGCCUAAAAUAGGUUAAAUUAAUUAUCCUUAAUAUUUUGUGGGGUUUUCCUAGAAAGUAAAUAUCUAUUUGUUCCUGCAUAUAUUACUUGAUUAAAUUGUUUGAUUGGUUGGGAUUACUAUUAAGGUUGGUAGGGUGGUUAUGGUUGUUAUCCCUAUAUCUAAUUAUUAUUAUCCCUAACAUCUCUCUGGAUAUUAAUAAUUAUAUUAUCUUUAUUCCUAACUAACUAUAGGGUAUCCCUAAAAGUUAAAAAUCUUAUUUUUGAAUACCUAAAGAUUUUAGAUAUAAUCCCUUUAAUUAUUUAGGGUAUUAUUGAUAUCUAUUGGAGUAAGAAAAAGUUUAUUAUAAUUUACAAAUAUUAAUUAAAUUUUUAAAUCACUCAUUCACCCCCUUUCUAGGUGUUCCCUAUUGGACUUUUGGUUAUUAUUCAAGUGUUAUUUGAGCAAUACCCAUUUUUCAAAUAUUAUGGAAUGAGAUAGAGAGCAAGUAACCAUAAAAGAGGAGGUUUGAAGAAAAUGUUAAGGGGAAUUCCUAAAUCUCUCCAUUCCCAGUCCUGGAUCAGUAAGGCGUAUGCAAAAACUUUUUAAGACUCUUUAAUUCUAAAACAUGGAAGCAUAUAAGCAUGAAAACCUUAAAUAUAGAGGUUUAGAGUGCUUUACUUGAGAUCUAGAUGUUCCUAAAUUAUUUCCUGUCGAUAAAGAAACUUUGUGUGGCAUCAUAGAUCUCAUAAACCAGACAAUUAUCUGUUUAAUGGCCCUUUUUUUUAAUCUAGGCAUUAAAGGAAGUGGAAUCCUCUCUAAAAGGGUAAGAUGUCUCUCUAGAGUUUGAAUAGAAAGACUGUAAGUUAAAGCCCUAAACCCCUAAGGGUGUUUUAUAUUGGCUUUCCAAUGGACUUAAAUGACUUAAGUUUAUCUUGGACCUAGGUCAUUUAGUCUAGCCCACUUGGGUCUUAAUUAAUUAAUUAACCCCAUUAGGCUAUAAUUAAUUAAUUAACCUAAUCCAAAAAGACUAUUGAUAAGAUUCAGUACAACCUUACAUUUUUAUGAAAAUGCCCUUAUGCAAUCAUAUGAAUAAGGAACCCAAAAAUCCCAUAAAAAACGUGUCAUCAUGGAAUACAAGCUUAAGUGAAGUCCUUAUGGGUAAUAGCAAGAGAAUGAAGAAUGGAUUUCCAAUGGGCUUAAGUAACUUGAGUCCAUUUUGGGACUAGGUUAUUUAAUCUAGCCUACUUAGGUCCUAAUUAAUUAACCUUAUUAGAUUCUAAUUAAUUAAUUAGUCUAAUCUAGAAAGACUAUUAAUAAAAUCUAGUGCAAUGUUACAUUUUUACUAAAACUCCCUUAUGCACUCACUCAUAUGCACAAGGAACCCAAAAAUCUUGCAAAAAAACAUGUCAUUAUUGAAUACGAGCUUGAGUGGGGACCAUUGGGACCCAUAGAAAAAUAUUGUGUCCCUUAAAAUCCAAUUCUGAAGUUGAUUCAACAUUUAAAGAAUUAACUACACUUUAACAUCUUAUGAUAUUAAAAUGAGACAAAAGUCGGAUCUAUGACAUACUAUCCACUAUAUGUGGACUUCCCAUGAACUAGUGUUCAUAAUCUAACAAGGUAUGUGCUAUCAACCUCUCAAGAGUACUUAUCCAAUCCUUGUGUUUCAAAUCUUCUUAUUAUAUGAUCAAUUGACAUACUAUAAUUCACAAAGAGUAUAUGUUAAAUUUCAGUCAAGAAAUUUUUAGCCUAAGGGUCUUAAUCAAGUUUUGAUGAUUACAAAACAAGAUUAAUUUUUAUGAAUUAAAUCAAGUGAAGUUUUCAAGUUCAAAUGAGAAAAUCUAAAGAAAUCUAGAGUAAUUAUGGAAAAAAAAGUCGAUAUCAUGAAGAUUUGGGACUUUUAAAGACUUGAAGUAACCUAGGACCAUAUAUAAGAUAGUAUUUGGUGGUGGUCUUAGGUUUAAAAUAUUUUUCAUGCACUUAAAAGUUGAUUUUCAUUCUCAUUUUUUAUCUUUUUAAAGUAGACGAUGAAGGAGUUAAAACAGUAUAUAAAGGACAAACUAAAGAAUUAAACAUAUUCCAAAAUGAAGAAGUAAAUUUAAUUCAAAAGAAAAAACAACACAUCAAAUUCUUAAACAAAGAAACAAAUUAAAAAAGAAUUGAAGAAAAUCUUUUAUAAAAGGAUAUUUAAACACAAAUAGAUAAGGUUAAAAACAAAUUGAAACAUAUUUAUGUUCCUCUAUUCCUAAUGCUUUAUGGAAUAAAAAGAAACAUAAAGUUUUCUUGCCUCACAUUGAAGGGUUUGAUGAAUCUCAAAUUCCUACUAAGGCAAGACCAAUUCAAAUGAAUGCUCAAUUGAAUAUUUUUUAUAUGAUUUCUUCUUAUUAGAUUUAUAAUUUUUAUUUUUAUUGUGUUGAAGGAGGAAGAAUUUUCUCAUAUCCAUAUUGGGCACAAUAUGAUCCUAAUUCCAUUUUUUAAGUUCUAAGAUCUUUUUUAAUUGUAGCAUUUACCUUGAUCAAUGAACAAAGGUGCAAUGCUUCUUUGUUUAUGAAGUUUAUCGAUUCUCCAUAGGUUAAGAAGUCAUAUGGUAUUAUCCAAUUAUACUUCUCUUUGAUUCUCAUUUGAACUCUUUUAGCUAGAGUUUUUGGUAACCCAUGAAGGAAUCUUUCCUUCCAAAAGGGUGGAUUUGCAUCUAUCAUAGUAUAGACUUUUGAUAAAUAUACAUCUUUAUACCAUCUAAAGUCUUCUAGUUUUCUACAUCUAAGGUUUUGAAGUAUUUCUAAACCACGUUCUUAAAAAACCAUUGGUUCUCUCAGAAAGUGUUUGGCUAUGGCAUAAAUCAAAGUAUGCACAGAGUUUUGAUUUCCUCUUUCAUCUAAACUAGUUUGAACCACUUCUUUUUCUUCUUUAGUGAGGACAUUAUCCCACCAUCCUUUGAGUUGGCUAGUAAAUCCUACAAUCAGGUGUCUACUAAUUAGAUGGUCAGUAUUUCCUUUGGCAUUGUAGGCUGUAGAAGCCAUGAUCAUUUCUUGAAGUAUAUUCAAGAUUUGAUAUUCACUUACUCCUUCUAUGUUCCAUUCAUAGAUGCCAUCAACAUCACAUUUUGAUUUGAUUUCUUUAUUCACAUUGAAGGUAAGGAGGGGUUGGCCUAGGAUAGUAAUUCUUAAUUUUGGUUUGUUGUUUGAAUUGAUGAUUUAUCUUAUUUAUUUGAGGAUCAUGUUCUUCGAAUGUUGAUCUUAUUUUAUCUAUUUUUGAUAUUUCUAUUAUAACAUUUACAGACUUUGUGUCUGAUAUUGAAGGUUUAAGAGUAAUAUCUAGUUGUUCUAUGUGUUUUGUUAGGCAUUUGAUUAACUCAUCUUUUGAAAUUUUACUUGUCUCGUUUCCUACUUCCACAUGUUUGAAAAUCGGGUAAUUUUUAUCUAAAUUUCUAUUUAAGAAUUGAGGUAUAGUUAUUUGACUAUUAGUUUUAGGCAUUUCUAACUUGUCUUUUAUCCUAUCAAGUUGAGAGGAGAGAGUACCUAGGAUUUGUUUGAUGAAAUUAUUUUGUUGUUGAAGACAUUUACAAUCUUUUAAUGUUCAUUAUACUCUUAAUAUCUUUUGAUCCUAUAGUUGUGAAAGAAAAGACAAUUAUCUCAGUAUUUUGAGCUUUUACUAAGGGAGGAUGAUUUGAAAUUAUAGUUUUGUUUGUCGUAGUUUUCCAAGUUUAACCUUUUUGAAACAUAUUAAUUUCUAAGAAUGGAUAGUCAAUUUUGUUAUUUGAAGCAUAUAUUUCAAAAUAAGUAAACAUAGGAACAUCUAUCCUAUUUGACUCUAUGUACUUAUACCAUUUUUCUCUAAAAGUUUCCUUAACUUGAUUAGUAAGGGCUUCAAAGAAAAACCAUUUUCUCCUUUGAUCAUUUUUUGGAGUUUUAAUAUCUUUCCUUAGAUAAUCCUUAUCUAUUUCAAAAGGUUCCAAACUAUCUAUGACCAUUAAUUAGUUACGUUCAUCUAACAUCAUUUGAGAAUGUGUUGGAAAGGUUGGUGGUGACUCAUGGCUAACAUACCUCGGUUAAAGGAUGUUAGGAGCGAAGUAUACAUCUUCUAAAUUGAUGGAGGUUCUUGGAGGUUUGUAUUCAAAAGAAGGUAUUGGAAAGGAAGAAGCUCUACUAAUUGGAGUAGAAAUUCUACUAUUUGAUUCUUAUCUUUUGGAAAACUAUAGCCUAGUAUUUCCUUUAUCAUCUUGCAUGAUAAAGAGAGGUUUUUAAACUCCAAUUGGCUUGGGAAGAGUCAAUCAUUUGAAAUCCCAAGUGUUUGAGUGAGCUAAAGAUUCCUAAGGAAUCACUUCAAGAAUCAUUACAUUGGAAUGUUCCUCAUUGGAUUGAAAUAAAAGGGUUUUCCCUUUUAGAGACGUUAAUAAAUACUUUGCAUUUACUAAUGUGGUCAUUGCCUUGUAAUAUACUCUAUAUAUUAUAAGGAUAUUUGUUGCUCUAGGAUCCAUACCAUAACCUUUAGCUUGAACAUUUAGGGUUAAGGCUCUAUGGAUUGACAUAUCAUCAAUACAACUUAACUCUAAGUUUGGAAAGCAAUUGAAAUCAACAGGGCCAUGUGCCAUGUUUGAUUCCAUAACUCCUAACAAGGAGUCAUCAAAGUUAUUGUGUCUUGCAUCUAUGAGAAAAACACAAAUGGGUUUGUUUAACCUUAUUCGAGUUAAAGGUUUGACUACUACUUGUAUAACAUUUAUAUGAAGCAUUUUGAAUAAUUCUUUUCUUAAAGGGUCUAUAUCUUUUGAAUUAAGGAGUUCAAUAGUUUGAGUAUCUAAUCCUAUCGAAUGUGUAUUUUUAGAUAUUUUUAUUUUAUAAUUUGAUCUCUAUUUGAAUGUACCUAUUUAGUAAAUAUCUUUGAUAUUUUGCCUUGGCAUUUCUCAUUUUUUGACAAAUUGUUCCAAGGAAUCAAUUGAUAUAUUCAACUGAUUUUCAGAUUUUGAAGUGUUUUCUUCUACCAUCUUGAGGUCAUUUUCCAUUAUACUCAUAUUUCUAUGAGUGCUACUUCUACAAAGAUUUUCAAAAAAAUUUGAUAUUAUGAUUUUAUAGGUUUUUUGUUCUUAGUUUAAUAGUUAGUGCAACCACCUAAAUGGCCACAUGGCUUAAAUGGUUGACCAAUGGACACAAAGGGUUGACCAGCGCUAACUAUGUAAAUUUAAAACAGAUAAUCAUAAAAUAAAAUGACAAAUUAAAUUUGAAAACUAACUAUGAUGGCUUUUAUACCAAUUCUUUAUUGGAUAGAAAACAAAACAAAACAGACAUAUGAAAGACCUCAAAUUUGAAGAUCAAGUAUGAACUUUAAUAAUUUUUCCUAGUUUAGUAUGGAGAAGCCAUAAUUGAGAGAAAAAAAAAAUACUUGAGAGAAAUCCUUUUUGUUAUGAGAAAAGCUUUGUAAUGAGUUCCACUCUGAAAGACUCUCUUCAAAGUUCUUUGUUGUAAUAUCAAAGUUCAAUUUGUAAGUUGUUUAUUUUCAAAUAAAAGUUAAGAUUUCAAAUUUAGUUAUGUCUUCUUUAUAGCAUUUUAUUUUUAAGAUCCUAUUUGAAGAAGAUGAACUCUCUUGAAUCUCUAUCUAGUUGUCUAGGUUUUAAUAAAGAUAAUUUGUGACUCCUCCAAACUUAACUGGGAUAAAUCAUUAAAGUUCAUACUUGAUCUUCAAAUUUGAGGUCUUUCAUUUGUCUAUUUUGUUUUCUUACAAGGUUUUUUCCUACAAUAAGAGGGAUUUCUCUUAAGUAUUUUUUUUCUCUUAAUUGUGGUUUUUGCUUUACGAUGAAGGGAUGAUCCCCUUAUAUAGAGUUCUGGGAGUGGAUUUGAAGAGGAUUGAAGUCCGCGGAUUUGAAGAGGCUUGAAAUCCAUUGAAAGACAAUUUGUCUUUGUAAUUGAGGUGUCCAUGUGAGCUAUUAACCACCGCCCACUCGUAUUUGAAAUUUUUUUAUGUCUAGGGUUCUAGAAGAUGAUGGGUUGUUAAUCUUUGCAAAAAAACCGAUUUGAGGAAGAAGUGGAGCGUUGACCCGAGCAACCAAUUUGAAAGAAGAUAAAGCCCAACGAUUUGUUGAUAAGGUUUUUUUUUUAAAGCCAAUUUGCCACAUUUGAUGAUAUUUGAAAACAAUGUCAGUUUUGUUCCAACGGUGUGUAUAGCAUUCCAUAACACAUGUCUUCAUUUGGAGGAUCUUUAAGGGCUGACAAAGUUGAAUCAUCAUCAAAGUUAGAGCCAAGCUGGGAAAAAGUUUCAGCAACUUUUUGUUGAAGCAUUUUGAGAUAUGCCUUUAGUAGUUUAUUUGAAGAGAUAACUAAAGGAGCUAUUUAGGAGAGAUGGUUAUUAGAGAGAAGGGAGUUGAAAAGGAUUUUAAAAAUUGGAGGGAGACUUUACUACAAUCCAAUUUUUUAUAUGAGGAAGUUGUUGAAAAGAGAAGGGAGUGAAGUUUGACCACCAUUUGACCUUGAAUUCCAUUGCCAAAUGUGAGGGAAAAUGACUUUUGAUUAUACGCGUUUAAACAAAGUCCCAACACAAAAUCCAUGGGAGUUGAAAAUGAGAAGUAAGGAAAAAAGUUUGAGAAAAAGAAGCAGGGAUCAAACCCUUAGCAUGCUCUUUAAAAUAAUCAUAGAUAGAUUUGAUUUGAGGAUAAAAUAUUUUAGGGAUGGUGCCAAAGAACAACCACCAUUCUUGAAACAAAUUUGGAAACUCAGUUUGAAUCUUAUCAUUUUAGUAGGAGAACCAGGAAUGAUCAAAGGGUCAGAAAAGGUAAACACAAAACCAUGCAUCCAUAUAAUCAUAAUAAUCAUAAGAGGAAGGUUUGAAGUUUUGAGAAAAAAUUUUGUAGGUUAAUAAAAGAUAUUGUCCCCACUCAAUUUCAGAAAUAAUUUUGAAAAUCUUAUAUUUUGAAUAUCAAAUUUUUGUAGAGUCUUUGUUUUGAAUAUAAGAAAUUUCUAUAGAAUCGAUAUCUACAAGGAUAAAUUCAUAUAACUUCCUUGUUUUGAGAAUAUCAUUUUGAAGAAAAAACUUUCCUUUUAGGAAGAUUUUUGUCAAAUCAAUAUAACCACUUUUUGAGAAAUGAUGGGAUUCGAGAAUAUGAAUCUUCAUCAAAUAGGCUUUUGCAAUAUAAUUUUAUGAAGUUGGCUUUGAGGUUUGAGCCGCCUGGGCAAAGGUUUGAGAAGGCUUAGGGAUAUUUCCUAAGACUUGAAAUUGGUUUCAAAUAGGAAUCCGAGUUUGAGGUUAUGUAGUCAUGGGCUUUUCAAUGGGCAUAGUAUAAGAUGUUUUUGAUUGGGCCUAUUUUUAUUCAACUUUGAAUUUAUAAAAGGUAAUUUAAAUUCUCUCCCUGAUUUCCUUUCUUGGGAAUUUUUGUAGGUAAAAUGAGCAACUUAAAGUCCAAUAAAAAUAGGGCCAUUCAAAAGCAUCUUAUGUUAUGCCCAUUGAAAAGGCUAAGACUACACAACCUCAAACCCAAAUUCCUAUUUCAAACCAAUUUCAAGCCUUAGCAAAUAUCUCUAAGCCUUCUCAAAUCUUUGUCCAAGCAGCCUAAAUCUUAAAGUUGACUUCAUGCAAUCAUAUUUCAAAAAUUGGUUCUAUUGAUUUGAAAAAAAUCUUCCCACAAGGAAUUUUUUGUCUUCAAAAUGAUAUUCUUAAAACAAAUAAGUUUUAUGAAUUUAUCAUUGCAGAUAUAGAUUUUGUAGAAAUUUCUCAUAUUCAAAACAAAGAGUCUACAUAAAUUUGUUAUUCAAAAUGUAAGAUUUUCAAAAUUAUUUUUGAAAUUAAGUGGGGACAGUCUUCUUCAACCCACAAAAUGUUUUCUCAAAACUUUAAACCUUCAUCCUAUGAUUAUUAUGAUUAUAUGGAUCCAUGUGUGGACCCGCAUUUUUCACGUGCGCCCCCUCCCGAUCGGCGAGACUCGCUUUUUAUUUUGGAAAAGUGAUUUAAGAAAAGUCGGAGUCGCCACUUAUUUUAUUUUUAUUUUAAAGGGAAAAUAAAACAAGAAAGAAAAACCCUAAAAUGUGACUCCAUAAUUUUUGGAAAAGCAUGUCUUUGAAAAACCCGAGUCUAGGUAAGGGGAUCAGGUUACCUAUCAGGAAGGUACCUUUAAAAAGGUAGCACCCUUCUAAGCCCUAUAGAGGUCUCUACUAACUAAGUUGAGGGAAAUGUGACAAUUAAUCGAUUAAUUAUAGAUACCUAAGUAAGCUUGGUGAUUUUAAAAAAAAUAACAUGUUAACAAGAAAAUCAACCACAAUCAUAUAGAAGAUUUAGGGUACAUACCUGAACCACUUCUUAAGCACUAUCAUGAAACAUCAAUUGUUAGUUUAGACAAUAUAUCACUCAGCAUGCAUUUUAUCAUGAAUAUUCAAAUGAUGUAACAAAUAUCAAAACAUGCCAAGCAUUCUCAAACAUAGGUAUAAUUCACAAUGAUAAUUAUAUUUACAGAAUUUAGAAGGUAGAUGACAGGGGACGUACCUGGAUAGCAUAGAUAACUUAUAACAUGUUUCCUCAAGUCUUAAGGGGUUAGAUAAUAAAUAAUAAACAACAUAAAUCUUAUCAUUCUUGUUAUCUAAUUAGCAAAGCAAAAAUAAUCAAAGUAUACGAAGCCAUUAAUUAUCGCACACAUCUUGUAUAUAAUUUCUAAAAAAUAAUAAUAAUAAUAAAAAAAAUAAAAUAAAAUAAAAUAGAUAUGAUUUCAAUAAGUGGCAGGGUGGCAGUAAAGAUGAGUUUUAGCAAGAUGUAAGGGUUUCACUAAUUCCCUAAUUGAUAUACACAAAUAUAGCCUAGAAUUAAAUGUUAUUACUUUCGUAAAAAAAUAAAAAUAAAUAAAUAAAUAAAUAAAAUUCAUGAGUAUAAAAAAAAAAAACAUUUAUUCGAUAGUUUUAAUGAAUUGUAUUUAUAAAAGGAAGUUUUGAUUUACUUAAAUAAGAAGGCUUUAUAAAGGAAAUAUUUCAUAAGUAUUAAAAAUAAUAAUAAUAAUAACAAUAAUUGAUUCCAUAGUUUUAAUGAAUUUUAUUUAUAAAAAGAAGCUUUAAUUUUUUUUUAUUUAAAUAAAAAGACUUUGAUUCCAUGCAAAGAAAAUGUUUUUUUUUUAAAAAGUUCAUUUACAAGAAAAUAAAUAUAAUUAUCACUUUUAUAAAGGAAAUAUUUCAUGAGUAUAAUAAUAACAAUAAUAGUAAUAAUUGAGUCCAUAGUUUUAAUUAAUCUUACAAAAGGGAGUUUCAAUUUACUUAAAUAAAAAAGGCUUUAAUUCCAUGCAAAAAAAUAUUUUUUAAAAGAAAGUUUAUUCACAAGAAAAUAAAUGUUAUCACUUUUAUAAAGGAAAUAUUUUAUGAGUAUUAAUAAUAACAAUAAUAAUAAUAAUAAUUGAUUCCAUAGUUUUAAUGAAUUUUAUAAAAGGAAGUUUUAAUUUAUUUAAAAAAAGACUUUAAUUCCAUGUAAAGAAAAUGCUUUCAAAAAAUUCAUUUACAAAAAAAAGAGAAAGAAAAAAAAAAUAAUUAAUUAAUAAUGGUAAUAAUAAUAAAACCUUAUAAAAAAUAUAUUUGAUGAUUUAAAAAUAUUUUUUUUUUUUAUGUAAGAAUAUCUUUUAUAAUUUAAAUUUUCCUUUAAUAAUUUUUUUUUAAACUUUAUUUUAUUUACAAGAGGAUGAUUUCCACAACUCUUUAUUUAGAAAGCACAAAAAUUUUUUAUUAUUUUUUUAAAACAUAAUAGAUUUUUUUUUAAAUAAGAUAAACAAUUAUUUUAUAUUUUAAUCCAAGAGACCAAAAAAAUGUUUAAAAUAAUUUAUUUUAUUACAACUUUUUAUUUUUUAUUUUUGAACAAAGCUAUCAUAAAAAUUAUCAAAACACUUAAAAAUUCAAACUUUUUCAUCAUCAUCAGGAAUUAUCCCAAAACUAAAAAUUAAGCACAAUAUAAAUUUUCAUUAAUAUCCAAAUUAUUGAAAACUAAAAAAAACUUGCAAAAUAUUUCAACUUUUCAUUAACAUCACAAAAUUAUCCAAAAUGAAUAAAACAUCUAAUUUUUAAAUUAUCAUCCCGAAUCAUCCAAGACAAAUGCCUACAAAAAGUAACAUGAGAUUAGCAAUAAUAAUAAUGAUAACUAAAAUAAAAUAAACAAAAUAAAUUCAAAAACCAAAAAAAACUAAAAAUCCUAACUUGAUUUAUAUUUUAUUCAAACAAUCAUCAGGAAUUAUCCCAAGGCUAAAAAAAAAUCAGCACAAUAUAACUUUUCAUUGAUAUCCAAAUUAUUAAAAAUUAAAACAAACUUGCAGAAUAUUUCAACUUUUCAUUAACAUCACAAAAUUAUCCAAAACGAAUAAAACAUCCAAUUUUUAAACCAUCAUCCCGAAUCAUCCAAGACAAAUGCCUACAAAAAGUAACAUGAGAUUAGCAAUAAUAAUAAUGAUAACUAAAAUAAAAUAAAUUCAAAAACCAAAAAAAAACUAAAAAUCCUAACUUAAUUUAUAUUUUGUUCAAACAAUCAUUAACACAUCUCAUCUAAAUACAUUAAAUCCAACAAAACACUCACCGAAAGACAUUAAAUCCUAUUAUAACCGUCCAUGAUUUCAUUCCCUUUUUUUUUAAACAAAUAAAUAAAAACAUGCCAAUAGCAUCAUUCACAUCAAGACUGACCAUAUAUUCACAUUCGUUUGCAUUUUAAAUCCAACAAAACGAAGUCAAAGAACACUGACCUUGCUUGCAGCUACCCUCUUUCACGGUUGUGUCACUUUUUCUUCUCAGUCUAGUUAUGUUUGCUUCUUCGAUCUGGCUCGUGUGUUCCUUCACCACAAAGAGUCCCCGAAUCAGCCUAUGCGUCCUUUAGAAGUUCCACCCGGAAACGUGAUCUUGUCUACAAUUUUCUUUUGAAUCUCAUUAAAAAAUAAAAAAUCCCUCCAAAUUCUUCCAGAACUCUCCUUUUUUCUUUCUGAACUCUCCUUUUUUCUUUCUCCUCUCUAAAAAAUCCUCCUCUCUCUCCUCAAUUGUCUUUCUCCUAUUCCCCCAAAAAAAAAAAAAAACCUACUCCCCUUCAUCACGCCUCUCCUCCCUUUUUUGCAUGUGAGUUGACUUUUCUUUCCUUUCAUGAAUUCCCCCUGCUCUCUUUCUUGCAAAAUACAAUCUGUCUAUUCCAUAUGCCACCUCAAUUCUUCCUAAAAUAUAUCAUCUCUUUUUCUUUUCCAUUUAAAAUAUGCUUUGACCCAAAACACUACUGAAUCCUCCUUCCAUCAUCACGUGAUUCUUUUUCCAAAAGACAAAUUACAUUACCUUCUUUGCUGCUCAUCAUUUCUUUUUUCAUACAUAAGCUGAAUCUUCCCCAUAACAUGGCUCCAUUCAUUUUUUCCAUAUGUCUACUCUUGGAACCUAUAUGGUAGCUACCCACUCCAAGCUUCACUUUCUAUUGGUGGACUUCCUGCAAAAUUUCAAAGUUAAUAAAGUAAUAGUAAUAAUAAUAAUAAUAAUAAUGAAAACGUUUAAACAAAAUUAUUAAAUUAAACUAAAUAAGUAAAGACAAGUAUAUUGGAAAAGUGAUAAAAUAAUAGGAAAAUAAAAUAAAUGAAGAAAUAUACAAAAUAAUAAAUAAAAUAAAAUAAACAAAAAUGUAAAGGUAAAAAAAGUCAAGUAAUGUGAUUUUACAAAAACGAGCCUUGCAAGUCAUACAAGCCAUGCAACCAUGCAAACCAUGCCCAUGCAAAAAAUGAUCUAAAUGGGCCUAAGGUGCCUAAAUGGGCCUAGGGUGCCUAAAUGGGCCUAAGGUGCCUAAAAGGGCCUAUGGUGCCUAAAUUGACUUAAGGUGCCUAAGUGGGCCUAAAGUGCCUAAAUCGUCCUCGGGUGCCUAAGUGGGCUUAGGGUGGUGCUUAAGUAGGUCUAAGGUGCCUAAAUGGGCCUAAAGUGAUCUAAGUGGGCCUAAAGUGUCUAAAUGGGCCUAAAGUGAUGCCUAAUGGGCCUAAAGUGAUCUAAGUGGGCCUAGGGUAACUAAGUGGGCCUAAAGUGCCUAAAUCGUCCUCGGGUGCCUAAGUGGGCUUAGGGUGGUGCUUAAGUAGGUCUAAGGUGCCUAAAUGGGCCUAAAGUGAUCUAAGUGGGCCUAAAGUGUCUAAAUGGGCCUAAACUGAUGCCUAAUGGGCCUAAAGUGAUCUAAGUGGGCCUAGGGUAACUAAGUGGGCCUAAAGUGUCUAAAUGGGCCUAGGGUUACCUAAAUGGGCCUAAAGUGUCUAAAUGGGCCUAGGGUACCUAAAUGGGCCUAGGGUUACCUAAAUGGGCCUAGGGUGAUCUAAGUGGGCCUAAAGUGAUGCCUAAUGGGCCUAAAGUGAUCUAAGUGGGCCUAGGGUAACUAAGUGGGCCUAAAGUGUCUAAAUGGGCCUAAAGUGAUCUAAGUGGGCCUAGGGUAACUAAGUGGGCCUAAAGUGUCUAAAUGGGCCUAGGGUACCUAAAUGGGCCUAGGGUGAUCUAAGUGGGCCUAAAGUGAUGCCUAAUGGGCCUAAAGUGAUCUAAGUGGGCCUAGGGUAACUAAGUGGGCCUAAAGUGUCUAAAUGGACCUAAAGUGAUCUAAGUGGGCCUAGGGUAACUAAGUGGGCCUAAAGUGUCUAAAUGGGCCUAAAGUGAUGCCUAACGGGCCAAGUGUACCUAAAUGGGCCUAGGGUUACCUAAAUGGGCCUAGGGUGGCUAAAUGGGCCUAAAGUGAUCUAAGUGGGCCUAAGGUAACUAAGUGGGCCUAGAGUGUCUAAAUGGGCCUAAAGUGAUGCCUAAUGGGCCAAGUGUACCUAAAUGGGCCUAGGGAUACCUAAAUGGGCCUAGGGUGCCUAAAAGCUAUCCUAAAAAAAAAAGCAAGAAAAGUCUAAGUCUAAGUUAGGGUUGCCAAGGUCACAAUAAGAGGUCAAAUCAUCCUUCAACCAUAGUCUCCAAGGUGGCUUAGAAAAUAUAGGCUACACGAGUAUUAACAGGCCACCAGGGAAUUGCUAUAAACGACAUGUGCGAGGAAGACAAAAUAGAGGGUCUACAGCAUGGUUUUGUGUUUUCCUUUUCUGACCCUUUGAUCAUUCCUAGUUCUUCCAUUAGAACGACAAGAUUCAAACCAAGUUUCCAAAUCGGUUUCAAGAAUGGUGGCUAUUCUUUGGUGCCAUCCCUGAAAUCUUUUGUCCUCAAAUCAAAUCUUUUUAUGAUUAUUUCAAAGAGCAUGCUAAGGGUUUGAUCCAUACUCCUUGUUCUCAAACUCUUUUCUUUUCUUCUCGUUUUCAACUCCUAUGGAUUUUGUGUUGAGACUUUGUCCAAAUGCAUAUGAUCAAAAGUUUUUUUUCCUAUAGAUUUGGCAACAUAAUUCAAGGUCAAAUGGUUGUCAAACUUCACUUCUUCUUCUUUUCAAUAGCUUUCUCAUAUAAAAAAUUGGAUUGCAGCAACGUCUCCUUCCAAUUUUUAAAACGUUUUUCAAUUUCUUUCUCUUUUAUCCGAUAACCAUAUCUCCCAAACAACUCCUUUGGUUAUCUCUUAAAAAAAAAGCUAAAGACAUGUCUCAAAAUGAUUCAACAAAAAGUUGUUGAAACUUUGUCCUAGCUUGGCUCUGACUCUGAUUAUGAUUUGGCUUCGUCAUCCCUCAAAGAUCCCCCAAAUGAAGACGUGUGUUAUGGAAUGCCAUACACAUUGCUGGAACAAGACUGACUCUCUUUUCAAAUAUCUUCAAAUACGGAAAAUUGGCUUAAAAAAUAAAGGCCUUAUCAACAAAUAGUUGGGCCUUAUCUUAUUUCAAAUUGGUUGCUACCAUUAUAAAUCAUAUAAAAAAUAUUCAAACUUUAAAGAACCAUAUUAUAAAAAAAACAUAGAUAAUAUUCAAACAAAUCCCAACAAAAUCCUUUUACAAAGAAAACAUAUAAAAAAGAAAUAAAAUGUUUCAAAUGUGGCAGAAAAUGACACAUUGCCUUAGACAUAGGCAAACAUCUCAAACAACAAAUGAUUGAUCUAACCAAAACUGAAUCACAGUUCGAGUCAUCUGAUCAAACUUUCUAUUAGAAUAGAGCCCUUAAAAGCAUAACAUGAUGUAAUAAAUUUGGAAUUCGUUAUUUAUUUAAUAAUGUUCCAGUUUCACUUUUAUUUAUCCUUAUUCAAUGUAUUAUACUUUAUGAGUAUUCUUGUCUACAUCUUUUGCAUUGUACAUGACUUAGGUGUAUUAGAAGUUGCAUAGAAAAUCUAAAUCAUGGGUUCCUUGCAAAUAGAUGACUUGUUCACAAUCGGUUCAUGGGUCUAGGAGACCCAUUAGAGGUUUAGUGCACCACUUCCUAAUUGGAGGGAUGAUUGGUCUUGGCUAUUGGGAUGAGUUUCCCAUGGUGAGUGCACUAGUGUGUAUGCUUCCACAUUAUAUAGGACCUACGAUAUGUCAAGUAGUUAUGACCUCAUCAAACUGCUUCAUUGUGUUGUCUCUCAACCUUGAGAAAAUAUUGAGCUUGUACUAAAGUUAGUAAUGGCUUUGACCUACAAGUGAGAUUGUAAGUUGAUCAUAUAUUCCCUAUGGAUUAGGUCACUGUUAAUGGAAGUCGAUAGCAAUAGGUAUCUCAAUAGAGGCACCAUGAUAUCUCAUGGGAUUGAGACAGUGUGUCUUCUUGGGUGAUCCUAAGAAGGUGUGUUCAUGGAAACUAUGGCCAUGGUAGUUCCUUAAGUGGAACUUGACAUAGGCUCUUUGAGAGUUAAGAGAUGUCAGUUGAAUACACAAUAAGAGGAUUUAUAACUCAAGGAUCAUAGAGAUAAUCUUGAAAGGUUGAUAGUUUCACCUUGUUAGACUAUGGACACCAGAUCAUGAACUUGAGCAUGUAGUGUCUCGUUGUUAUUUACAUAGGAUAUUGGAGUUUAGAUGAUUCUUUAUAGUGGGAUGUUGAAUCAACUUCAAAAUUGGAUUAUGAGGGAGUUGGUACUUCUAUGGGUCGUAGUGGUCCCCGUUUUGAGCUCAUAUACCUUGUUAGCAUGGAUUAUGAAGGUUGGAUUAGCUCUGAAUUCACUUUUGUGCAUAAGGGUUUUUUGAUAAUUAUGCAAGGUUGCACAAGGAUAAGUGAACAAGGUCUCUGGAUUGAGUUAAUUGAUUAAUUAGUAGGCCCUAUUGGGUUAAUUAAUUAAUUAGGACCCAUUUUAAGCUAGAUUAAGUGACCCACGCCCAUGGGGGCUCAAGUCACUUAAGCCCAAUUAGGAGCCUUAUAAAUACCCCAUAGAGGUUGGGGUUUCCAUAACUUUUGUCUUCCACCAUCCAGAGAGAAAGAGAGCCAUAGCCUUAACCAUUUUUUCCUCCCUGUCGGAAGUAUGCCAAAAACAAGAUUGAGCCAUUAGGCGGAAGAUCGUGGGUUAUGAGACUUCCAAAAAUUUCAAGGUCAUCUUCAACAAUUGGAUUUUGAGGUUGGGGAAUAUUCAAACUUAAAGGUUAGUUCUUGAAUUCUAAAAGAUCAAUUUUUUAAAAAUUGCUAUUGUUUUCGUUGCUUAGAUCUAAGAUGCCAACAACUGGUGUUAGAGCCAGGUUAUAAGCAUGCUUAGAUAUUUAUUUAGGGUGUGUUAACAUCUUUUUUGUUGCCUUGAUAUUAUCCCAUGGCCAAGGGACACAUGUAUGUUCUUUUUUAUUAAUGCUUGUGAUGAUUGAAUGGGAUAAUUUGUUUUCUUUCUUUAUUUCUUCAUAGAUUUGGUUGUAAGCUCCAUUAAAGGAGCAUAGGUUUUCUUUUUCUCUUGUAAAGUUUUAAUCUUUUCCAUAUAUUGGGUUGUAACUCCUUUAUAGGAGCAUAAGAUUUCUUUUAUGAUGUAAAGUCUUAUUUUUUAUCAUCUAUGGAGGACUACAAGAGAUGAAUUUCUGAAUGAUGUCAAUAAAGAUUAGAUUUUUAUUAGAGCAUCGUCUAGAAAGAUUCAAGGAUUUUAUUAGUUGUGGAAGAAAGGUUGAAUCUUUCCUUUGAUUAAUUAAAAAAAAAAAAAAAGAAGGAGAAAGCCUUUUUAAGCUUAGGAAGUCAAGAAUCAAUGCCAUAAACGAUUCCCAAUUCGGAGUUGAAACAAGGGAGAUAUAGUCAUUUAAAGCAAAGCUGUGCAGAGGGUAUGCUGUAACGGGGUUGCAUAUGGAUUCAAUACUUUUUGCUUGUUUGGGCUCAUCUUUUGAGCCACUAGUUGGGCUUGAAAGUUGCUGAAUUGUGGCAACUAUACAAUAGCUUCUUUUGGCAAGUUUUGAUGCCAAAUAUUGGUGUCAAGUUGAAGACAACUGGUUUUGGUUCACAAUUGGAAAGUUGUGAAAAAUAUCCCUUGGCCAUGGGAUCUCCUUUUGAAUAUUUCUUUUUUGAUGCAUACUAUUAUAUUGCAUGUGAUGAGAAGUGCUUUCAAAGUUACUAAUUUUGGAUUUUCUUAUGGAAAAUAAAUUUUCAUGAGAAGGUUAUUUCCAAAUUAAGUUUUAUUCAAAAUUGGAAUGAUGCUUCUAUUAAGGGUUAUAUAUAUAUAUGGAAUUUUUUUUUUUUUUUUUAAAUGUUAGAGAAUCUAGUUUCCUUUUCUCCUUAGGAGAUCCCUUUUUUCAAAGUCUUUAAGUUUGAAAUCUUCAAGGACUUGAGUUUCUAUAUUAAGGGAAGAUUCUCUUAUUUUAAAAUCUUCAUAAAAUUGGAUAUUCCUUAUAAGCACAAGUAUUCCAAUUUAGUGAAUAAAUAAAGCUUUUGGAAAUUCUCAUGAUAGAUAAUUUAUUUUAAGAAGAUCACCAAAAUUAUUGAAAGUUUCUUAUGAAAAUUGUAUGAAACUCUUAGUAAUUUUAUUGAAUAUAAAUUUUCUUGAAAAUUAGAUUCCAAAGCAUGUUUUUUACUUACUUUUGGAAUAGUGUAGAUUAAGAAAAUAAAACAUGUGAAAAUAAAUUAGAUAACAAAGUUUUCUUUUCUAAAUUAUUCCAAAGGAUUCUAAAUUAUUUUCUUUAAAAUUAUUUUGAUAAGAAUCCUUAUAGAAUAAAAGUUUCCCUUUUUGGAUAAAGUACUCUCUAAUUUUUAUUUUUCAAGUUUUUUUCGAAACUUUCAUAUUACACUAAUCCUUAAUUUGGAGUGUAAAUAUUUGUUUUUGAAAAUUUUCAAGAUGGAUAAUUUAUCAUUAAAGGAAUUACUAAAACUUUUAUUUUUGGUAAUUUUAAUGGAAUAGAUUAUUAUGAAAAUUAGAUUUCAUAUUUAAGAAUAUUUAUUAAAUUGGAAAGGUGUAGGGAUAAGGAAAUUAAAUUUAUAAGGAAUUUUGAAUAUGAGAGCUAAAGUUCCUUUCUAAAUUUAUUCUUAAGCAUUUGAAAUAUUUUUCUAGAUUUCAUAUUUAAGAAUAUUUAUUAAAUUGGAAAGGUGUAGGGAUAAAGAAAUUAAAUUUAUAAGGAAUUUUGAAUAUGAGAGUCAAAGUUCCUUCCUAAAUUUAUCCUUAAGGAUAUGAAAUAUAUAUAUAUAUAUUGAGAAAUCUUGAAGAAUUAAAUGUUUCAUAAUUGGAUAAGGUGCUCUCAAGUUUUCAAAAUUUUAUGAAUUGGAAGUUUCCUUAUUACACUGAGUUUCCAAUUUGAAUAAUAAAUAUCUUAUGAAAAAUUUUGUUAGAAAUAUUUUGUCAUUAAAGGUUAUUACCAAAAGGAUAUUUAGUAAUUUAAUGGAAAUAAAUUUCUUUGAAAAUAUUGUUUAGAAAAAAUAUUUAUUAAUUGGAAUUGUGUGAAGAAGGAGAAUUUUUUUAUGAAAAUAGAUUUUAAAAUUUGAGACUACUUUUUAUCAAAAUUAAUUUUUGGAUAAAAUACUAUCACAAAAAUUUUAAAUUUUGCAUAUGGACAUUCUCUUGUAACACUGGAUUUCCAAUUAAGAAAUAAAUAUUUUUGGAAAUUCCCAAAGAGGAUAAUUUAUUCAUCAAGGUAAUUACUAAUGUUUUAAAAGCUCUAAUUUCAAAAGAUUAAGUGGGAAAGGGCCAUAGGCAAGCCUAUAGCCUCCAAGAUUGAGCCCAUCUUGAUUUUGGGUGCAUCACCAUCCUAAAGAUGGGGUGGCCCAAGGAAUUAAGGGAUAUGGACUAUCCUUUAUGGAUGAGACUAUAUAUGUUUAUAGUGGGAGUGGGCAAUCCUAAAGACAUAGCUCUUCACUUGGUGACAUUGAUGUCAAGGAUCUUGGUUACACACUUAACUUAGACAUAAAGUGGUAGAAUCACCUAAAAUAGUCCCACUUGCAUGGGCUAAGGGCUAAACAAGAAGCGCAUGUUGAUCAAUGCCUUAGGAUAACUCUUCAAAUUUAAGGCAAGUUGAUUAAUUAGAAAGAAGGGUCUCUACCCUAGUAAUAAGAGUCAUGACUUGCCUAAAGUAGACUUGAUUCUUAUGAUACUAGGAUACCUUGCAAAAGGACAUGUAGUUUCAGAGCACUACAUUUUUGCUAAAUUAAUUACCAACUUGCCUUGAAUGCUCAGUUCCUUUUAUUAAUGCAUGGAAUUAUUAUAUUUAUUAUAGAUGCCAUGUCUUUAACCUGUCACCUCUUAUCUCAUGUUUAAAUUAGAACUAGUUAUAUAUUGAAAACAAUUUGGAUAUAAUAUUAAUUACAUAGAAGCUAAUUUAGGUAGGAUUUGUUAUUUCCUUUAAAUAAACCUAUCAUAAAGUAAGAAAAACAUAUCAAAUAUGGCAUAAGAUUGAUUAAAAGACUAAGAGUUUCAUACUUACGUCUUUAGAUAAUAUGUUGCAAAAGCAACACAUGUCUGUUGCCAUGGUCUAUGAUAUUCUCUUUAAAGUUGCAAGGGCUAUUUUGUGAUAAGGGUAAGUCAACUAGACAAGUUUCCAUUAGGACUAUUAUGAACACCAGGAUUCAUGUUAUCUUAGAGACCUUACGAGAUUCCUUUAGGAUAGGUAAGAAGAUUCUUAAAGAGUAAAAGGGUGUUCAUAUGGAAGUCAAGGUUUUUUAGGCUCUUCUACCAAGAAAAAGAAUUACAACACCAAAUAAGGAAAGUUCAAGAAAAUGAAUGAAAGAACAAACUUAUGGAUAGUAAUUCCUUUGUGAUCAAUUAGAACACUAGAAAAAGAAUUCUUGGAGUGCCUAAGGAUAGGCAAGUACACAACAUGUUCUCGUUGUUGAACUCAUAGUGGUGGAUUUCACCAAUUGUGGUGGAUUUCACCAAUUGUGGUGGAUUUCACCAAUUGUGGUGGAUAGAUUCUAGGCCCAUUAUAAAAAAAUGAGAAGGUCACAUUGAAUUUAAGGUAGAAUUGGAUAACCUAUUGGGUAAACAUAUCAAGGCACUUCAAUUAGAUCAAGGUGGUGUGUUUAGUAGGUUCGAUCCUUUCCAUAUGGAGCAUGACAUGAUAUCCCAAUUGUGUGCACCAAGGACUCCAUUGUAAAAUGGACUAAUUGAAAGAAGAUAUUGAACUUUGAUAGAUAUAGUCAGAUCAAUGAUUGGUUUCUCAUUACUUCCUAUAUUAUUUGGGGAUACAUCUUAGAGACUGUGUAAUACCUUUUUUUCUAAAGAGGUACAUUAGUUUAUAGGAUAUCUAAGAGGACUUCAAGAUUAUUACUUUAUUGUUAGGAUAAUCAAAAGGUGUUUGUUGCUACAAAUACUAGAUUUUGAUGAAGACUAUAUGAUAUGUAAUAAGGCAAACAAUGAUAUAGAUUAGAGAACACUAGAAGGUAGUCCCACUAUACGCAAGAUACUAUGGAUCCACUACCAACCAUUCCCAUUUCUAGUACAUUGAUGCCUCGUCGUAGUGGGAGUGUUGCUAAAUAACUAAACCAAUUCAUGUAUUUGGAAGAGUCUUUCAAGGCCAUUCUAAAGGAAUGUGAGAUCGAUCCCAUAGAGUACGAUGAAACAAUGAGCGAAGUGGAUGCACAUCUUUGGCAAAAGGCUAUGGAGGCAGAGUUAGAAUCCUUAUGAUUAUAAUGUAGUUUAGGUUCCUGUAGAAGCACUUGAAGGGAUAAAACCCAUUGGUAUAAGUUGGUCUACCAGAGGAAUAAAGUAGUAGAUGGAAAAGUUGAGAUUUAUGUCGCUAGGUUGUAGCUAAAGGUUAUAGUUUGAAGCAUUAUUUCAACUAUAAGAAACCUUUUCUCCAGUAGCCAUACUCAAAUCAAUUAGAGUACGAGUAUCUCAUUUAUGAGAUAUUUCAAUAAGAUGUCAAGAUAGUGUUCUUAAAUGAUUAUCUUGAUAUUAGCAUCUAUAUGAUGUAACCAUAUAUUUUCAUAGCAAAGGGCCUUGUGUGUACAAGAAACUGUAGGGAAGCAUGGUGGUGUUCUAGGAUCUUGUAGGUAAAUGGCAAUCUACUAAUUGAGAAUGAUGUAGGGAUAAGGGAUUAUGUGCUUGUGCUCCAAAUUGUUGAAAUAGUUUAUAGAGUGACGUGAUGGUUGACAAGAUACCAUUUAUGGAAAACCUAGUGGAUCCAUUCACUAAGACAUUAACAAGGAGAGUCUGUGUUGGUGACAGGGAUAAUAUAGGUUUAAGAUAGGCAUCUAGCAUGCUUUAUAGGUAUGAUGCUUUAAGGGUUAGUGGGAGAAUGUUAGAAGAGAGCCCUUAAAAGCAUAACAUGAUGUAAUAAAUUUUGAAUUUGUUAUUUAUUUAAUGAUGUUCUAGGUUCACUUUUAUUUAUCCUUAUUCCCUUUAUUAUACUUUAUGAACAUUAUUGUCUACAUUUUUUGAAUUGUACAUGACUUAGGUGCAUUAGGAGUUGCAUAGAAAUCUAAGUCAUGGGUUCCUUGCAAAUAGAUGACUUAUUCACAAUCGAUUCAUGGGUCUAGGCAAUCCAUUAGAGGUUGUAGUGUGCCACCUCCUUGGAGGGAUGGUUGGUCUUGGCUAUCAAGAUGGGUUUCCCAUGGUGAGUGUACUAGUGUGCAUGCUUACACAUUGAACAAGACCUAUGGUGAGUUAUGACUGAAGGUUGUCAAGUAGUCAUGACCUCACCAAGCUACUUCAUUAUGUUGUCUCUUUACCUUGAGAGAAUAUUGAGCUUGUGCUAAAGUUAGCAAUGGCUUCGACCCUACGAGUGAGAUCAUAAGUUGAUCAUGUAUUCUUUAUGGAUUGGGUCACUAUUGAUGGAAGUUGGUAGCAAUAGGUAUUCUCAAUAAAGGCACCAUGAUAUCUCAUGGGAUUGAGACAGUGUGUCUUCUUGAGUCAUCCUAAGGAAGUGUGUUCAUGGAAACUAUGGCCAUAGUAGUUCCUUAAGUGGAACUUGACAUAAGCUCUUUGAGAGCUAAGACAUGUCAAUUGAAUACAGAAUAAGAGGAUCUGUAACUCAAGGAUAGUAAAGGUAGUCUUGAAAGGUUGAUAGAUUUCACUUUCUUAGACUAUGAACACCAAUUCAUAGGAAGACUGAACAUAAUGGAUAAUAGGUCACAAACCUGAGCACGUAGUGUCUCGUUGUUAUUCACAUAGGAUAUUAGAGUUCAAUUGAUUCUUUGUAAUGGAAUAUUGAAUCAACUUCAAAAUUGGAUUGUGAGGGGCCCAAUACUCCUAUAGGUCACAGUGGUCCCCACUUUAAGCUCAUAUACCUUGUUGGUGUGAAUUAUGAGGGUCAGAUUACCUCUAAGUUCACUUUUGUGCAUAAAGGCAUUUUGGUAAUUAUGCAAGACUGCACAAGGAUAAGUGAACAAGGUCUCUGGAUUAGGCUAAUUGAUUAAUUAGUAGGCUCUAUUGAGUUAAUUAAUCAAUUAAGACCCAUUUUAGGCUAGAUUAAGUGACCCAAUGCCAUGUGAGCUCAAGUCACUUAAGCCUAAUUAGGACCCUAUAAAUAUCUCAUAGGGAUUAGGGUUUCCAUAACUUUUGUCUUCCACCAUCUAGAGAAAAAAAUAGUCAUAGCCUUCACCCUCUUUUCCUCCCCACCUGAAGUGUGCCAAGAACAAGGUUGAGUCAUCGAGCGGAAUAUCAUGGGUUUACGAGACUUUCAACAACUUCAAGGCUGUCUUCAACACUUGGAUUUUAAGGUUUGGGAACAUUCAAACCUAAAGGUUAGUUCUUUAACCCUAAAAUAUCAAUUUUAAAAAAAAAUUAUUGCUUUCGUUGCUUAGAUCUAAGAUGCCAACACUUUCGUAGAAUCAUCCAGUGAGAAUCAAUUUCUUUUAAUUGAAGAAGACUCCUCCAAUGAGUCAAAUGAGUCUUCCUAACAGUCAUCUUGUGAUUGUGUGGUAAAUUGUCUUUGUAAUAUUAAAAGAAUAAACAUGAUAACAAGUGAACAAAACUUCUUACUAGAAUUAAAAGAUAAGAUUCUAGAUCCAAACAUUCAAAGGAAAUACUUCAAAAAAUACCUUGAAUUUCAAAAACUAGACAAAUAAUACAAAUCAGAAAAUACGAAUCAAUACAAUUUAAAAACUGUAAACAAUUUUCUAAACCUAAACCAAUAGGAAUUCAAGACCAUCAAAAUGAAAUAAGUCCAAUAAAAUUUCAAAUCAAUAUUAUGAUAAGUCAAAAUCAAGAAAUAGAAAUCAGACUUAAAAUCUUAGAAAAUAAUAAGUUAGAAAAAGCCAAAGAUAAACAAGUGGAAGAUGGAGAAUCUUCUGAAUUGUUUAUAAAAAUUAUAACUAGGAUGAAAUCUCAAAAAAUGGCAUGUCAAAGUAAAACUCUUUAUCAAACCUGAUUUUUCAAAAGAAUUUUUAGCAUUAGUUGAUUUUGGUGCUAAAGUGCAACCAAUUAUGAGAGCUUGCAACCGAUUUAAUCGAUUGGAAAUAGGCUCAACUGAUUAGGAACCAAAUCACCCCUCUUAGGCAUCUCAAUAAUUGCACACACUAACUAUGCAAAGAAAAAAGCACACCUCAAUACCUCAACUUUCACAAAUGCUCACAAAACCAACAGCAUGGGCAAGUGGCAUAGUUGAGUAGGGAUAGCUUCGAAGCAGUGAGGUGGGAGGGCGUGGAAGAUUUUGUUGCUUAUAUAUACAAGAAUUGUAAAUAGAAAAAAAAAAUCUCAUAAUGAUAGAUUAUAACUAGGUAAAUAAGUUGUAGUUUUGUGUGUGUGUGUUUUGUAAUCUUUUAUUUUUAAGUGUUUUAAUGAAGUUGUUUUCUUUUUAGUCCUUGUGUUUUGUGUUUUUCUUUUUGUGCCUUUCUUAGGCCAAGGGGUGAAAGAAUGUUGAGGUAUUAUUAUCUUAGUUUAGUUCACCUUCAAUUUAGCUAUUUAUGGUUGAAAAAGACCAUAACUUAGGUCAAUGAUUAUAAGGACCAAAAAGAUUCUCCAUUGGCCUAGGUCUGUAGUUACAAGGACCGAAAGGAGUCUUUACGAAGAGUAAAGGCUAUGGUUGUAAGGGUAGAAAGUCAAGCAACCUUGGCCUUGGUUCUUGUGAUCUCAUACAUAUACAUAAACUCAUCCAAAUCAUCUGGCUAUGAUGACUCGCCAAGAGCAAUUUGACCAAGUUUUUCUUUCAUUGAAGCGGGUGAUGCUUAUUUCAAUGGGAGCCUUAUGGUUGGUGUACAUCCAAGUCCUGGUCCUAAGACCCAUAGCACAAGGCUAGUGUCUUGUUAAGGGUGCUGAGUUUGAGAGAAGGAAUCCAAAUGACUUUCCACUCUUGGAUAGUUUUGUCGUUGCUGUAGUUUUUAUUGUGUCCUUAUUAAAUUUUAGUUUCUAGGGUCAUUCCCUCUCUCUUGAAAUUAAAAUUUUAUUAUUUUAUUUCUCUAACCAGCACUCACACCUCCAAAACUCCUACCACUACUAUUAUUGAUUAAAGGUUCCCUAUGGAGACGACCUAACCACUAUACAAUUGUUAGUUAUUUUUUUCUUAUAUAUAUAUAUUUGGUUUCAAAGUUAAGUUUUUCAACAACUGCUCUAGUUUAAAAUUGUGUUUUUGUAAAACUUUAUUGAAAAAUUAUUUACAUAUUUAGUUUAAAAUUAGCAAAACACAACUAAAUCACUCAAUUAGUUAGGAUCGACCAAUUGAGGAUUGGUUGAGGUUGCUAAGAAUUUUCUCUUUCUUCUAAUAGUUAGGGUGUAGCCAGUUUAGGCAUAGUCUCAAUCGAUCGAAGGGCAUUUGAGUGGCAAUCAAGGAUUAAUUACACCUUUUGUUGAGCUUAGAAACCCCAAUAGUUACUUGUAGAGCAUUUUAUUCCUUAUGACUAGUUAAUCAAUCAAAUGAGUGCUUAAUUGGUCAAAUGUUGACUUUUGUGACUUUUUAGGUUCUUGAGCUAGAAACAUAUAAAUUGAAGAGUUUUAGAGCAUUUAUUGACUUGAGAAAAAUCACAUUCAAUUAAAAAAAAUUAUUUUCCUUGUUCAAAGCUCUUCAUCCAAGUGCAUUGAUUUAUCACUUGCGAAUUCUAUUAGUGCACCUUUCAUAUCCAUCCUUGUUUCCUUUGUAUAAGGCAAAAUUGUAUCUAGGAUUGGAAGUGAAAAAUGGGCAUUGCUUUAAUACCACUUGAAUAACAACCGAAAGUCCAAUAGUGAACACCCAAAGGGAGGGUGAAUGGUGAUUUAAAAUUUUAAAUAAAGAUUUAUAUGCUAUAUCAAAUUCUCUUAACUCAAGAAAUUUCCAAGGUUAUACUGAUAUUAAAAAAGGAGUUCACCCCCAAUCUCGAAUGAUAAAACUUAAUUUUUAUGGUUAAUUGACAUCCAACGAUUAUUUGGGGAUAAAAUAAAUUAAUUAGUAAUAUCUUGAAAGAUGUUAAGGAUUACAAUAAUCAGUUAUAGGGAUAACAACCAUAACCACCAAGAUAACCAUCCUAAUAGCCUUAAUAGAAAUCCCAACAAAUCAAUCAAACUUAAUCAAAUAAAAUCUAAGAAGGAAUAUAUUGAUGUGCACCUUUUAUGAAAACCUUGAAAGAUAUUAGGAACAAUCCAUUUAAUCUAUUCUAGGCAAUUCAAACAAAAUAUCAAAUGUAAAAGAUAUAGAUAAUGAGGCAUAAGAUUUUUAUGUGAAAAUCCCCCACAAACUGUGGAGAUAAAAAACCAAGAAGUCUAAGACCUACCUAUCUAAAACAUUUUAAGUCCAAAAAUAAUGUUGAACCUUUUAUACCUCAAAGAAGCCUUAUAUGCCAUAAGCCAAACCUUUUUAAACAUACUUAUGACUUCCUAGUUUGAAAAAUAGGCACCCUUGGACUUUAAUGGAGAGCAAGUCACUAUAUAAAUAGACUUUUAUGGCCAAACAUAAAAUGGAACAAAAUUUCCAACAUAUAAACAAGACUCAAUGUCCUAACAAUCUCCACUUUUGGCAAUUUUGUGACAAACAUUGUUACAUAAACCUACCUGAACUCUCAUAAAGGAGUUUACAUAACACACAUUAACGCUCAAUUAAAAAUUAAACCAAGGAAAUGCUUUGACUCACUUUGUAGUUCUUAUCUUCCAACGUUGUAACCAACAUACAUGGAAAAUAAUACCAAAGGUAAAAUAGUGUGAAAGAUAAAAUAAUAUCAUGAAAGCAAAAAGGAUACUUGGAGACUUUGCUUGAUGCAUUGUGAAAGCAUAAAAAAGGAAUAGAUUCCUAUAAUGACGUCAAGGUGCAAAGCAAAGCUCAAGAGGAAUUUGAAUGUGUGCCAAUCAAGGCAACAUAAUAAAAACUAGAUAUGUCACAAUAAUUUAAUAGUAAAGUGAUGGGAGCUUUUCCCAACCAAAAUAUACGUAAGGAAAAACAUGGGAAAAAGCUUUUUUGGCUGAGAUUAGUUCCAGAGAGAUAGACAAUUCAAAUAAUAAUAUUUUUACAAAAAAUUCUUGUGUCAGAUAUCUCUAUUGAACUUUAAAGUCAAGCUUCCUAAGGUUGAUUUGGUUUACUUCAAUGUCUCAUAUUCAAUUUCCACCAAUAUUUCAAUUAAAUUUCCUUAAUGAAUAAUUAAAGAAUAAAAAUAAAUAACUCCCCCUAAAUUAAGGAGUCUCUAUCUAUGAUCAUCCUAUCUCCCCUUAUUUAUAACUCCCCCUUUUAAAAUGAAUUAAAUAUUCAAUAUAUGAUCUUUUUUUUUUUAUUAUUUAAGCGGUUCAAUGUUCUCCAUUUUUUUUCUUUAUUUAAGAGGGUUAUUAAAUAUUCAAUGUUUUUCCUCUUUUUGUCACAAAAGUGGGAAAGUAACGGAAAUAUAAACAUGAGAAAGCACACAAGAGAUAAAAAGAAAAAUGAAAAACACAUAAAUAUGUAUAUAUCAAUAAUAUGAUUUUGGAUACAUAAGAUAAGCAAUGAAUAAACAUACAGAUCAACAAAAAUACAUAUAAGGAAAAAUAAAAUAACAAAGCACUUGGAGGAGGUGGAGGAAGGAAGGAGCUCAGAUCACUUUGAGUAUGGAUCCAAGAAAUUAUAUAAGUCAACUAACCCUACAACUCACAAAGCUGAACAUCUUGUGAGUCUAAGCUUUGAAGCAUUAAGGUCAUGGGAUCCAUCUCCUAAGUAGUCGAGUUUAUGGAAGUCGAUUCUCCAUGAGAAGCUCUAGAUGAUCUAGCAUGACCCCGACUAGAGCGAGUCCUCAAAGCAACCUUAGGAAUGGGUCAUCCUGCUCCAUAGUUUAGAUCUCAUCUUCCUUAGCAAGUGCCUCAUAAGAAGCCUAUUGUGCUGGUGCAACAUCCUCAAGGCCAUCGGGAACUAGAGGAACCAUGGGACCGUACAUGUGGUUGUAGUGUUUAGCCUAAAAGCUCUCAUCUAACAAGACAUAACCAAGAUGGAUCCUCUAUGCAAUAGUAAUCUCAAAGCCAAUGUGUUAUAAUAGUUUAGAGGUGAGGAGUUUGAAAGAAAGUGCACCACAAUAGAAGGAAAAAUAUCAGUAGGAGGUGAUGAUAUUGAUGAUAACCUACCCAAUGUUGAAUUGUUAUCCCGAGAGGAUGGAAUGUAUGAAACAAGUAGUUGAUUGAAAAAUCUCAGUAUGAUGGGACAAGGAAUAGAAAGAGUAAGGAAUGUAGUAAGAAUCUAAGCUGGCUUGGAAAAGCUAUCCAAUUGGGGAAGCUCUCAAAGAGCACCGUACAAAGUAACUAGGAUAAAAACAAGCUCUCCAAGAGUGAGAGCAUAGACCUUUGGAAGGAAGGGAAGAAGACAUGCAUCAAGUCGAGGCAUGUUGAGUACACGCCUAAUUGACAAAGAUUGAUCACCUAGAAGGAGUGACCAGGAGAAAUGGUAUGCAUUAAUCACAUUGAACAUGUGGACUAGAAGAAGAUAAUAUGAUCCUUACAAAGUAAACAAGAACUCCCACCCUCCAUCCCUAAAAAUGGUAGGAAAACGAGUAUCCUAAAAGGCACGAAGAUCGAUAGAACACUUGACCUCAAUAUGAUGGCUCUGAAAAAAGGCAUAAAAAUGAUAAUGAGACUCCCGAGAAUAGAAACACUCAAUAGGAAAAUCAAAAUGGUCAAAAGGUCCCUAAAAAGCAAUGCCUUGAAUCGGCUCAGGUGAUCUAGGAGGAGUUACCUCUCAUCGAUGCCUACAACUAGACAUAACUAAGGGAAUGCUAAAGGACACAAAAAUUGAGAAAAAUAUGGAGAAAAUCCAAACCAUUAGAAAUGUCUUAAAAGAGGUAUCAAACAAUACAAUAAAGUCGAAAACUCAAAAACAUUCAAACUAACCUCAAAUGUCAAAUAGAUAGAGUCCCAAAGCGCUUUAGAGAUUAGGAAAGCAUUUGAAAUACAAAAAGGUGUGUUGGAUGGGUUUUCAUACCAAGACGUACUGCUGGAUGCAGAUUAGCGCUCGAAUGGGAUGCUUGAUGGAUGUAUCGUUGGAUGUAACUUAGAGGGCUUAAGAGAUAGAGCUUAGAGGGCUUAAGCGGUGGAGCCGCUAGAUGAGACUUGAGCAUUGGAUGCAACACUCAAGCAACUAUAGCCUAAUUUCAAUUCUAAUAAAUGAUAGAAUAUUCAACUAACUAACUUAAAGAGAAGGAUUGUCACAAAAUGAAGGAACUUUUAACACAUUAAUCAAAGUAAGCAUAUAAUUAAGUUCAUAAGCUUUUAACAUUGGCUCAAUCAGUAAUAAAUUAAGUUACUUCAAAUAGUACAUAUAAAUUCAUCAAGAAUAAAGUUUCAAGUUCAUAGGUUAGAGUUAAUCAUAAUCUUAAAUUGGAAAACCCAAUGCAUAACCAUCAAUGUAGAAGAUAGUCAACAUAGAAACAUAAGCAUUGAUGUUCAAGGGAAUACGACUUACUAUUUAGUUCUAUAUUUUGAAAUUGAUCACUUAGAAGAGAUCCAGUCAUGCCUUUGGUCAAAUUAAAAAACACAUCAAGUCAAUUUGAAUUAAGAUCAUCGAAUUUCUAUUCAACACAGCCUCGUUGAUCUACAUUAAACAUAACUUGACUCUCCCUUAAUUUGAUAUCAUUUUUUUUUUUUUCGUUUGAAAGUGGAGGCAUUGUAUACCAUGAUUAAUAUUGAUUUUUAUUUUUAUUUUCAUUCAUGGUUGCCUUUGUAUCCUGAUUACUACCGAAAAGUGCUAUUUUGUAGACCUAAUUAUAAGGGUUUUAAUCACCUUUGAGUAGUAAUCAUAUUCAUUUAACCCAAUUAAUUCAUUAAGCUCCUUAGUAAUUAGUUCUAACCAUUUUUAGUGGCAAGUUUACAUGUUUUUCAUCAGCUUAUGAACCAAUUCAAGCAUGCCAAUUGAUGGAGGAGCUACUUGGGCGAGUUAAGCAAGGAUUUUGGACGUUUACAAGCUUGAAUUUCAAGUGGAAACACGAGCACAAGCAAUGGGAACACCAUUUUGCAAGGGGAGGCAAUUCACCUUGCCAAUUGACCAAUUUCUCAAGGUGAAUUUCACCUUGCCAAAAUUUCGCAAGGGGAUUUUCCUCAUGGUGCGAAAUUUGGCCAUUUUGCACCAUGAAGAACCACCUUGUGAAAUUUCGCAAGGUGGCUUUUCACCUUGCGAAAUUUGGACCUUUCAUCUUCCCCCUUUGCGAAAUGCCUUUGAAAUCCCCUGUUUUGAGACACUGUUGAUGAUAUUCCACUGCCGGUUCUCCAAGAUAUUUCGCUUGACUUUUAGCUUUGUAAAUACCUAUUUUACCCUUGUAAUCAACCAAUGAAAAGGUUUCUUUUGUAAUAGCUCUUGUAAUUUAGCUUUUUGUUGUCUUUAAAUAGAGGUGAAGAGCCUCAAACACGACCAUCUUGUAACCUGUAACUUUAUAAGUGAUAAGAGCACUUUUGUUCAUACGCUUCUUUUCUCUUUUCUUUCUCAUUUUCUUAGUAGCCAAACAUUCUUGGAGGAUGAAAUCCCCAAGGAUGAGAGGCUAAAACCUUUUAGUUUCUUGAAGUAAUGGAUGCCAUGUGAAGCUCCCGUGUCAGGAUGGAGAUUUCCAAGCCAUAAAUGUAAGUAGUUGAGCGUCAUAAAUGUUUUCAUUCAAAGUAAAGCUUUUAAUCCCUUUGACUUGCUUUGAAUGGCCAAUACUUGAUAACCUUUUGGUCUCAGUGGAUUCUUAUUGUUAGAUCCACUGAUGUUCAUUAGUUAUCUCCUACGAGCCAUUGUAUUGCAAGUCGAGGAGAUGACCUAUACCAAUAAAAGAGCAUUUAUGAGGUUCAACUACCCUUUUUGUAAGUUUUCAAGGACUAAAACUCAGUUGUUAAACUCAUACCGGUUCGGGAAGUAAGCAUCACCUUAGUUGCUUCCCCAACUCGAGGUGAAGAGUCCCAAAAUCUCCAUUUUUACACAGUGAGUUAAGCAUGGCUAUCCAAAGCUUUGAGAAACUUCUUUUUUCAUCUUUUAGCCUAUUUUCAUGUUAGUUUAGUUUACAACACCUUCAUCUUUUUAUGUUUUCAUCUUAACCUAAUUUUUAUUAAGAAAAGUUCACUCCAUCCUCCGAACUUCACCAGUUAAAGUAAAAACCCUUCCCAGUGUUCGAUCCUAGAGCCACUAUGCUGUAGUAGCUUUGCUACUUUAGUGUAAGGACCUUAGGUAUAAAUUUUGUUGAUACCCUUACAUGCCAAGCUACCAAGAGUCGGGUUAUCAAAUGGCGCCGUUGUCGGGUUCUAUAGGAGGUUUAUAAAGGAUUUUUCCAAGAUUGCCAAACCUCUUUGUGAAUUAUUGGUGAAGGAUGCCAAGUUUGAGUGGGAUGAUAAAUGUCAAAGGAGUUUUGAGCUUCUUAAGCAAUUCUUGACAUCAGCGCCCAUUGUGAGAGCACCAAAUUGGGAGUUGCCAUUUGAAGUGAUGUGUGAUUCAAGUGAUUAUGCCAUUGGGGCUGUUUUGGGACAAAGAGAAGAUGGUAAACCUUAUGUGAUCUACUAUGCAAGCAAGUCUUUGAAUGAUGCUCAAAGGAAUUACACCACCACUGAGAAGGAAUUACUUGUUGUGGUGUAUGCUUUGGAUAAGUUCAGAGCUUAUUUGAUAGGGUCUUCCAUUGUGGUAUUCACGGAUCAUUCAGCUUUAAAGUAUUUGCUAACCAAGCAAGAUGCCAAGGCUAGGUUGAUUAGGUGGAUACUUUUGCUUCAAGAGUUCAACCUCCAGAUCAGAGAUAAGAAAGGUGUUGAGAAUGUGGUAGCUGACCACUUGUCAAGGCUCAACAUCGCUCAUGACACCCAUGGACUUCCCAUAAAUGAUGAUUUCCUUGAGGAAUCCUUGAUGCUUGUGGAGGAAGUGCCAUGGUUUGCACACAUUGCCAAUUACUUGGUCACGGCAGAAAUACCAAGUGAAUGGAGCUCUCAGGACAAGAAGAAUUUCUUUGCCAAGGUCCAUGCAUAUUAUUGGGAGGAGCCUUUUCUCUUCAAGUAUUGUGCGGACCAAAUUAUAAGGAAGUGUGUGCCUGAACAAGAGAAGCAUGGGAUCUUAUCUCAUUGCCAUGGGAAUGAAUGUGGAGGCCACUUUGCCUCUCAAAAGACGGCAAUGAGAGUUCUUCAAUCGGGCUUUUGGUGGCCCUCACUUUUUAAGGAUGCCCAUGAGGUAAGUAAAGGAUGUGAUAAGUGCCAAAGAUUAGGCAAGCUUUCAAGGAGAAACAUGAUGCCUUUGAACCCCAUCUUGAUAGUGGAUCUUUUUUAUGUUUGGGGCAUAGACUUCAUGGGACCUUUCCCUAUGUCUUUUGGCCACUCCUACAUCUUGGUAGGAGUUGAUUAUGUUUCAAAGUGGGUUGAAGCUAUACCCUAUAGAACCAAUGAUCACAAAGUGGUUCUCAAGUUCCUAAAAGAAACAUCUUCUCGAGGUUNNNNNNNNNNNNNNNNNNNNNNNNNNNNNNNNNNNNNNNNNNNNNNNNNNNNNNNNNNNNNNNNNNNNNNNNNNNNNNNNNNNNNNNNNNNNNNNNNNNNGGAUGCUCUAUUUUUCGUGCUUUUCAGUCUUAUUUCAGUAUUUAUACCAUGGCAUGGACACGGGGGGCAUCCUCUUCAACUAGUCAGCGUGGGGCCCACUCACAAAGAGGUGGUCGUUCUACACCAUCUCAGCCUGCCCAGACCCUAGUUCCCUCUACUCAGCACGGGUACGGGACCAGACGAUCAUCUGGGUCUUCCAGGGCACCAGUGCCACCCCCUGUGAGCAGUCCUCCACUUAAGAGGACUAGGAUUUCAAGACCAAGCGAGUCCUCCAGAGCCCCUCCAUCACCUCCAGCAUCUACUAUCCCAGGCCCUUCACACCUAGCAGAGGUCCUCAAGCGGCCUAUAAUAGCAGGGCCACCCCUCCCAGGCAACACGAAUAUCAGAGAUAAGCCAUUUCACGAUGAGAUCUGUAUGGAGCAUGAGACUCUCCGCCUAUUACCAGAGCUAGAGGAGUCAUACUGCCUUCUGCAGAGGUAUCACAUCGAGCCAUUUAUGACUCCUAGGUCCUUCUAUUACCCUAGGGUAGUCUUAGAUUUCUACCAGACUAUGACUACUAGAGACGUCCAGGACCCCAUAGCCAUUCAUUUUUUUAUUGAUGGCCAGCAUGGUAUUUUAGAGGCCCGAGAUAUAGCCGCCGCUAUGCAUUUUCCGCCUAUCCCUGAGGACCUUGGUUCCUUCUGGCAUUGGUCUCAGUAUUUAGAGCCCGACAUGGUGUCUACCUUAUCAAGAGGUAGAGUCACUGGUAGGACCAUUUUGAGGAGGGAGCUUCCUCCACGGAUGUUACUUAUCGAUUUGGUGCUCCGCACCAAUCUUUUUCCCCUCCAGCAUGUCAUCUAGAGGAGAGGUGCUAUCCUGGAUGCGCUUUACCGCAUCUCUGAGGGAUUCUACUUUGGACCCCACCAUCUAGUCAUGGCUGCUCUUACCUAUUUUGAGGAGAAGGUGCAUAGGAAGCGCCUACGCAGAGCUGGUACUAUUCCACUCUUAUUUCCGAGGUUGAUCUCUCAAGUCUUAGAGGAUAUGGGAUACCCUUCUCAGCCCCACCUAGAGUGUCGUCAUCAUUGUCGAGAGCUCUUUACCAGUGAGAGUUGGACCCAUUUCUUAGACCGCUCACCCAUGGACUAGGGUAUCCCUAGACCAUUAGCUCCCGCGCCUCCAGCUUCUCCAGCGUCUCCCGAUUCUCCAGCAGCCUUAGCACCUACAGUACAUACAUCACCAGAGCAGGACCCACAUACCACAGAGCCUUCUUCUUCAAUACCUGCUCCAGUGACUUGCACUACUGAUACUCUCACACCACUAGUCACUCCUGCUCCAGCCUAUGCUGAGUCUUCAGCCGGGCCAUCCAUCACUGUCUCCGUUACAGAGUUCAGAGCUCUCAUGUCGUCCUUUCACUCAUUGAGCGCCUCUCAGACCACCUUAGUCCGUGAGAUGCAGGCCAUCAGACGACAGAUGGAUGCCAUACAGACACAUCAGGCUCAGUAUAUAGCUAUUCAGGCUCAACAUAUAGCUAUCCUGGACCAGCACUCCGCCAUGCUCUCUCAGAUCCACCAUCACCUGGGCAUAUCACCUCUUCCACCUCACGAGCCACAUCCAAGAUUGGAUAUUUCUAUCUCCAUUUUGUAUAUGUUUUUUGUAUAUGAUACAUGUUUUAUAUUCUGAGAUUGUAUGUACCUCAUGCUUAUAUCUUGUACUCAACUCUCUCAGUUUAUAUAAGCAUCAUUUUUUGUAUCUUAUUUCCUCUCUCACGUUUCUUGUGGUUUUUGAAUCAUGUGGAUGCAUUCACACGCCUUGAAUACCACAUCACCAUAAGGUAUAUCAUUCAUUCCUCGUCUUUUUCGAUAGAAACAUUGGGGACAAUGUUCAUCUCGGUUGGGGGGAGAGUUGAGGAAGUAAGUAUUUCCUAUUUUAGUUAGUUAUUUUGUUGAUUGAGUAGUUUUUGCCCUUUUUCAAAUUUUUUUUUUUUUUUUUUUGUUUCAUUCUCUAUGGUUGUUAAAGAUAAUUUCUCAAAAUAAAAUAGGAUAAGUCGAGUUUUAACUUAAUUACUUAAGUCUUAGAGUUUGUUUUAUGCUUUCAAAGUUGAUAAUCUAUUGAAGCCCUCUUUGAUUUCGAACUUAUUUCUUCCAUUUCAAGCUUUACACACACCGUGCACAUUAGAUCCCGGAUAUAUGAUGUAAAACUUUCUCACCCUCUAAGCUUAGGAAAAUUUUGACUUGGUUCAUUACUUAACCUCUUUUUAAUAGUGUUGGGACACCUCAAAAAGACCAAUGAGUCUUAAAAAAAAAAAAAAAAAAAAAAGAAUAAGCUUCUAUUCUUUCCUCGAAACCUAAGCAUGAUCCGAAGGGGUGGCGAAAGCCUUUAAAACCCGAUGCCCUAAACCUUGAUUGGGAGUCAUCGAUCCUCUGCUUGCUACAUAGGUGAAUUGGUUAAGUUUAGCGAGUAAAAAGAAUUGUGAAUAAGAAGGUGCAUUCCUAACCUAUUAAGAGUUGGUUAAUUUUGCCAAAGUUCAAGAAAAGCUUAGGUUGGGGGGAGAGGAUAGUUGUACAUACUAUAUCCGGAAGCUAAUCUCAUUAACACUUAGCUCAUUAUGGAAGAGUUUGAUUCGGAACCUUGAGACUAGAGAUUCUUUUGAUACUUAAUUGCAUAAUCUCCACUCUUUGUACUUUUUGUUUAAGCUUUAGCUUUGACAACUCCUAUUGCAUUUUGAAUCUUCAUAUCUUUACUUCACCAUGUGAGAUGUGUUUUGAUAUCAGUCAUGCCACUCAAUUAUUUUUUGGAGUGAUUUGCAUGACCUCUUUUAUGUAUAUUAUUAUGUUUGCUUAGUUUUUAUCUCCUCCAUUGCUAAGGGACUAGCAAUGAGUCGGUUGGGGGGUGUGAUUACUACCAAAAAGUGCUAUUUUGUAGACCUAAUUAUAAGGGCUUUAAGCACCUUUGAGUAGUAAUCAUAUUCAUUUAACCUAAUUAAUUCAUUAAGCUCCUUAGUAAUUAGUUCUAACCAUUUUUAGUGGCAAGUUUACAUGUUUUUCAUCAGCUUAUGAACCAAUUCAAGCAUGCCAAUUGAUGGAGGAGCUACUUGGGCGAGUUAGGCAAGGAUUUUGGACGUUUACAGGCUUGAAUUUCAAGUGGAAACACGAGCACAAGCAAUGGGAACACCAUUUUGCAAGGGGAGGCAAUUCACCUUGCCAAAUUUCGCAAGGUGAAUUUCACCUUGCCAAAUUUUCGCAAGGGGAUUUUCCUCAUGGUACGAAAUUUGGCCAUUUCGCACCAUGAAGAAACCACCUUGCGAAAUUUCACAAGGUGGCUUUUCACCUUGCGAAAUUUGGACCUUUCAUCUCCCCCCUUUGCGAAAUGCCUUUGAAAUCCCCUGUUUUGAGACGCUGUUGAUGAUAUUCCACUGCUGGUUCUCCAAGAUAUUUUGCUUGACUUUUAGCUUUGUAAAUACCUAUUUUACCCUUGUAAUCAACCAAUGAAAAGGUUUCUUUUGUAAUAGCUCUUGUAAUUUAGCUUUUUAUUGUCUUUAAAUAGAAGUGAAGAGCCUCAGACACGAUCAUCUUGUAACCUGUAACUUUAUAAGUUAUAAGAGCACUUUUGUUCAUACGCUUCUUUUCUCUUUUCUUUCUCAUUUUCUUAGUAGCCAAACAUUCUUGGAGGAUGAAAUCCCCAAGGAUGAGAGGCUAAAACCUUUUAGUUUCUUGAAGUAAUGGAUGCCAUGUGAAGCUCCCGUGUCAGGAUGGAGAUUUCCAAGCCAUAAAUGUAAGUAGCUGAGCGUCAUAAAUGUUUUCAUUCAAAGUAAAGCUUUUAGUCCCUUUGACUUGCUUUGAAUGGCCAAUACUUGAUAACCUUUUGGUCUCAGUGGAUUCUUAUUGUUAGAUCCACUGACGUUCAUUAGUUAUCUCCUACGAACCAUUGUAUUGCAAGUCGAGGAGAUGACCUAUACCAAUAAAAGAGCAUUUAUGAGGUUCGACUACCCUUUUUGUAAGUUUUCAAGGACUAAAACUCAGUUGUUAAACUCAUACCGGUUCGGGAAGUAAGCAUCACCUUAGUUGCUUCCCCAACUCGAGGUGAAGAGUCCCAAAAUCUCCAUUUUUACACAGUGAGUUAAGCAUGGCUAUCCAAAGCUUUGAGAAACUUCUUUUUCCAUCUUUUAACCUAUUUUCAUGUUAGUUUAGUUUACAACACCUUCAUCUUUUUAUGUUUUCAUCUUAACCUAAUUUUUAUUAAGAAAAGUUCACUCCAUCCUCCGAACUUCACCAGUUAAAGUAAAAACCCUUCCCAGUGUUCGAUCCUAGAGCCACUAUGCUAUAGUAGCUUUGCUAAUUUAGUGUAAGGACCUUAGGUAUAAAUUUUAUUGAUACCCUUACAUGCCAAGCUACCAAGAGUCGGGUUAUCAAAUCCACUUUAGGGGUGUUUCCAAAUGUUGUAAAUGAAUAUUUUACAUUUAAGCGCAUGAAUCUUGGAGAAGGUAUAUGAGUGUUAAGCUUAACCAAUGAUUCAAUAUUUUGCACUGACUCACUUGAGGAAACAAAUGUAAUGAUCACAUGCAAACAAGGUAUGUGGAUAAUAAGAUUUGAUCAUGAUGAUGGAUCCUUCCAAAGCAAUCAAAGUGUACUCUAUGAUUUUAACUUAAGAAGUCUUCCUUUUGAUUAAGUACAAGAUGUAACUAAUAUUGAAUUUUCCACAUACAAAGACAUUUAAUUAUCAUAAAUCAAUACAUCAAUAGUGAUCAACAAAUAUCUAUGAUUCCAGCCACAUCAAAUCUUGUAGAUAUAGUAUAUUUCUCUAAAUCACAAAAUCGAGGUAUUACAAAUCAUGCUAAUAUAUCAAGUAAAUAAACAAAAAAAUCAUAAGCCCAAAGUAAAAUAAGGUUAAAGGAAACAAAAAAAGAUAUAAAAACUAAGCUCAAAACCUUUGAAGCCUAUUUCUAAGAUAAUCAAUCGAUUAAGCAUAUGCCUAAAGAUUUCCUAAGGUACUCAAGCAUAAGAAAAUCUAAGGGUUUGGUAAGACUAUCUGCCAAUUGAUUUCAAUGUGUUUAGUACGGGAAUGAAGAACAAAAUUCUUUAAGAUAUUUAUUGCACUAGAGUUGUAUUAGGACAUUGAGUAUUGUUUAUAUGUUGGAAAUUUUGUUCUAAUUUAUAUUUGGCCAUAGAAGAUCAAGGGUUGUUGUUUGUCCAACUGGGAAGUCAUAGGUAUAUCUAAGAAGGUUUGGAUUGUGACAUAUAAAAAGCUUAUUUAAGGUAUAAAAGGUAGGUACCAUUUUUUAGAUUAAAUUUAAAAAAAAAAUAAUUUCUCAAAAAGCAGGGGACGCUCAAGCUGUUAGAGUGCUCAAGCAAUUAAUCCCACUCAAGUGGUCUAAGUCCACUCAAGUGGUCAUGACAGUCAUGUCGAGUUUAGAAACAUAUUCUGAAUGAAUUUUAAUCUAACUCUAAUUUGGAAACUUGUGAUACCAAAAUCCUUAUGGAUUUUGCCUAUAAAUACCUCCCUUGUAACCCUUUAAGGCUAAGAGAUAGAAGAUUAGAAAGAGCAUAGAGAUCUUAGAGUUGUUGUGCACCUCUUAUUCUUUAGAAGUACUCUUUGAGGAGAUAGCCUAAUUUUCCACACCAUUCUCAUUCUCUCAUUCGAUAAUUUGAAUUGUUGGUUGAACAUCGUAUUCUCUUUAGAGGGAUCGAAAGAUCUACUAGAGAGCAACAAGUAGUUGUUGUAUCAUGCACGUGGAUCAAGUUGAGGUAUUGGAGAGUAAGCCUCUAGGGUAAAGUGACUAGUUAAAUAUAUGUUACUUGAUUUCAAAUAGUGGAUUUCAAUUGAUAGGUUUUAGACCUUGUGGUUUUUUUAUCUCCAUAGUUUGUGGGGGUUUUCCACGCAAAAAUCUUGUGUGUCAUUAUCUAUCUCUUUAUAUUUGAUACAAUGUUUGAAUUGCCUAGAAUAGGUUAAUUUGUUUAACCUAAUAUCUUACAAGGCUAUUCUAAAAGAUUUUUAUAUAUAUAUAUAUAUAUAUUCCUCCAUAUAUUCUAGUUGAAGAUAUUGAAUAAAUUAGAUUGAUUGAUUGGUUAUUGAGUUUGUUGAAUUGGUUAUCUUGUUGUGGUUAUACCUAUAAUGAAUUAUUGAUUUGUUGAGAUUAUUGUUGACUUUGUUAGGUUGGUUAUUCUUAUGGUUAUUGUUAUCCCUAACAUUCUUCAACAUAGCUUAUUAAUCUUUGGAUAUCAAUUAACCAUAAAAAUAAGACUUUUAUUGAGGUGAAAUCCUUUUCGAAUAUCCAAAUUAUCCUUAUGAUAUCUUGGGAUAAGAAAAGUGAUUAUAAUUCACAAAUACUGAUUAAAAAUUUUAAAUUCCACCCCCCUCCGAGUGUUCUCUAUUGGACUUUCGGUAAUUCAAGAAGUAUUAAUAGCAAUACCUUUUUUUUUAAUUAGUAUCAAAGUAGGAUAAAAAAUCGAUUCAUAUCUUAUUGAUUAAAAAAUCAAUUUUAUUAUUUAUAUUGUUUAAAAAUCAAAUUUUUAUUAAUCAUAUAGGAUAAAAAUUAAAUUUUUAUUAAUCCUGUAAGUUCGAUAUGGAGCAAUUUAAAAGUGGUGCUUCUUUCAAUAGUCUACCCUAUUUUGAUGGGAAUAAUUACUCCCAUUAGAAAGUACAUAUGAUGUUUUUCCUUCAAAAUGCACAGUGAAAGGGUAUGAAACUUAGUUGAAUAUGGUUGGAGACCACCAUUAAUCCUUGAUGCUCAAGGAAGAUCAACAAGAGUGUUGGGAACCUUGGAUUACUUCGUUCCCAUGCCCUAGAUCUCAUAGGGUGCAUGCAUCCAUCAUUAAGGCUCUCUAGAUCUAACACAAUGAAAAAUAAUGGUUUAUACAUAGAUCUAGAUGUUCCCAGAUCAAUUCCUUAUAGUGAAGAACAUGCUUAGAAAAACUGAAGAAUCUUUCCUCAUGUUGCUACCCAUGUGCACGUCCUAUGUUAUUCUCAUGCACGUGGCCUAUGUGCAUUCUGUGCAAUUCUCGUGCAUACGGCCUGUGUGAUUCUAGUGGAUUUCUCAUACACCUAAGAUUUUCCGCUCGAUGACUCUUCCUUAUGUCUAGGCACCAAGAUGGUGGAGAUCUCGAAGGUGAAGGCUAUGGUUUUUUCUUUGGAUUGAAAAAGAAGAAUGACAAGACAUAGAAACCCUAACCCCUAAAGGGAUAUUUAUGGGCUUCCUACAUGGCUUAAGUGACUUAAGCCCACCAUGGGCUUGGGUCACUUUAUCUAACCCAAAAAGGUUGUUAAUUGAUUAAUUAACCAUACAAGGUCAUAAUUAAUCAAUUAGCCUAGUCCAAAGAUAUCAUUCAAUUAUCAUUGUGCAACCUUGCGUCAUUACCAAAACACCCUUCUGCACAAAAGUGAACUACAAACCCAUCCAACUAUCAUAAACCAAGUCAUCAAGGAAUAUGAGCUUAGAACGGGGACCACUAGGACUUAUAAGAGUACUAACUUCUUCAAAAUCAGAUUCUAAAAUUGACACAAUAUUCCACUAUAGAGAGUCAAUUGCUGAUUACUACUGAAAAAGUGUUAUUUUGUAGCUUGUAAUUAACUCUUUUAAACACUCUUGAGUAAUAAUUAUUACCUUUUAACUCAAUUGACAUGUUAAGGACCCUUGCAAUCGUUUCUAAUCAAAUUGUGUUAAGUUUUGGUGUUUUUGAUAGCUUUUAGUUACACCAAAGCAAUCCAAGAAUGAGGGAGAGCUGUAUAUAGUUCAUGGAAAAGCUUUUGGAAGCUCAAAUUCAUGAAGAACCAAGCUUUGGAGCUCUGUAUCCCUUUGCCAAAGUCGUUCAAAGUAUGCAAGGAAAGAGUAAUGGAGAGAGGAAAACAGAGUAAGGAAAAUAGAGGACAGCAGCUACAGCUUUCCUUCGCACUUUUGGAGCACUUUCCAAAGUCUAUUUUCUACAUACUAUAUACCAUUUCAAAUCUCAGGAAGUCAAGAAUCCAACGCUUUAAACCGUGUACUAUUUGGAGCUGAAAUGAAGGAGAUAUGGCCUUCGGAAGACAACUGCAUCAAGCUGAGGGACAAUUUCGCACCUUGCGAAAUUGAAACUUCAACGUGCGAAAUUUAAAGUGGAUGGCAGCUGUGUAGUCGCGGUGAAGCCCAGCAUUCGAAGUUGAUUUUGCAACUUGUGAACUUGGAUCUCAACAUGCAAAAGUGGAUUCUAAGUUGCGAAAUCAACUUGCGAAAUUUUCGCAAAUCACCAUGCAACGUGCGAAACUAGGAUAUUUGUGCCGACUCUUUUUCUUCUGAUAUUUUUGUGUCUAAAUUUCCAUUUUCUCCUUGUAUUCAGCCACUCAUGUAAUUCCUUAGCUAGGAAGUAUCCAAGUAAUGGUAAAUUACCUUCCUAUAUAAACUCUCUUGUAAACACUAAAAAAGCACUCUCGGGGAGUUUUUUCCAGGAGACCAACUUAUGUAUAUUUUACACUUAGUGAAAUACAGAGAUCUUUUUUGCUUUCUUUUUCUCUCUAUUAUUUUCUUUUUCUUGGAAGCCAAACAACCUCUGAGGAUAUUUUCCCAGAGGAUGAGAGGCUAAACUUUUGGUUUCUUGGAGUGAAGGAAGCUAGGUGAAAAGUCUAGAUGCUAAAGUGGAAAACUCUCGUGCAUUAAAUACAGGUAGUUGGAGUUCAUAAAUGGCUUUUAAAUCUAAAGUUUUUCUUUAAAUCCCUUAGAACCACUUUGAAUGGCCAAUACAUGGUAAGCUUUAGGUCUCUAUGGAUACUUAUUGCUCGAUCCACAUCAGACAAUUAGUUAUCAUAUACGAGCCAUUAGAAAGUAGCUCAAGAUGAAGACCCAUAGUGUCUACAGCCAUUAAUGGAACUUGACUACCAUUUCUAUUGACUUUUUAUGGAUUAAAUCUUCAUUGUUAAACCUAUACCGGUUGGGGAAACAACAAUCCUUUAUGUUGUUGUCCCCAAUACGAGAAGAAAAAUCCGGAAUUUCCCACUUUGCCUUCUGAACUUGAUCCUAGCAACCUCUAGCUCCGGGAGACUUUCUUUCUUUCAUUUCUACCUAGUUCUAUAUUAGUUUAGUUCCAAACACCACUUUCAAAACAAAUUUUAUUUUCUUUUAAACUUUAAGUUUUUGACAAAGGAAAUCAUCAGACUCAAUUUCUAAUCUUGAGUCUAUCACUAGUAGAAUGAAAACCCAACCCUGAGUUUGACCCUAGAGCUGCUAUACUAUAGUAGCUUUGCUAUGCCAGUAUAAGGUCAUAGGAUUUAUAAAUAUUUUUGAUUAAAAUACUCAACUGGGCAUGAAUCAAUUGCACUCCAGUACCCUAUGUUAUAAUGAGACACCAAGUGCUUGGAUCUAUGAUCUUACUAUCCAUUGCAUGAAGACUCCCCAUGAACUAGUGUUUGUAAUCUAACAAGGUAGUGUUAUCACCUAUCAAAUCCUUGAGUUACAAAUCCUACUUAUUAUGUGAUCAAUUGACAUACUUUAACUCCAAGGAGUAUAUGUCAAAUUCCACAGAAGGAAUUACUAUGGUCAUAGAUUUCAUGAUUACAUGUACUUUGGAUCACCUAAGGGGACACACUAUCUCAAUCCCAUGAGAGAUCAUAGUGCUUCUAUUGAGAACACCUAUUGCUACCAGCCUCCAUCGACAAUGACCUGAUCCAUAGGGAUAUUUGACUAGUUUAAGGUCUCAUCAAUAGGUUAAAGCCUCUUAUUCAUUUUAGCACAUACUCAAUAUCCUCUCAAGAUUGAGAGUCCAUGCAGUAUAGUAGCUUAGUGAAUCAUGACAAUUGAUAGCCUUGCGUUAUGAUUCACCGUAAGUCCUAUCCAGUGUGCAUCACAUACACUAGUGCACUCACCAUGGAAAACCCAUCCUUACAACCAAGAAAAGUCAUCUCUCCAAUUAGGAGGUGGUACACUACAAUCUCUAUUGGAUUGCUGAAAUCCAUGAAUCAACUGUUAAAUGUAAGAGACAGGCUAAAUGCUAAAAUCAUUGUUAACACACCAAAAGGAUAACAAUGAGACAAUUAAGUUUAACUUUGUUACAUCAUGUCUUAUUUUUAGGGGCUUAAUUCUAAAAAACUCCCACUAGUCUCAAAAGUAGACCGAGUACUUCAGAAAGAAUCUACUCUACAGUCACAUCACCUCUUUCUCCUAUCUCAUAACAAAGUAUCACUUACUCUCUAUGUGUUUUCUCUUCUAAUAGUACUUUAGUUCUUUAGACCAUGCCAUCGUCACACUAUUAUUACAUAACAGGAUCUUAGACGAUAUAUCCAAGGAAACUACCUAUAAGCCAAAAGGCUUCCUUUGUUUCUAUAGAAACAACAAAAAACCACUUAGAGUCCUUAUCAAACUAAAGUCCAAUUUCCCUAUAUGAAAGGAGUACCUGUUCAUUGCAAAAACUCACAAACAUAUAAACCCCCAUUCCCCAAAGAAACUAGAGUAUAUGUUUGACAUCCACCUAAAGCUCUAAUCAAGAAAUGGACUAAUAUCCAUUCAUUAUUCCUAUAGCAAAGCAAAUAUCUGGUCCAAUACAUAGCAUUGCAUACUUAAGGCUAUCCAUUGCAGAGGCAUUGGAUAUCACCUUAAUGCGAUCUCUCUCCAUAGAUGUCUAAGGACAUUGAUUUUAAGAAAGACAACUCCAAAUCCAAAUAGUAAUAAAAUCUUCUUGAAGUUUUGCAUCAUAUACUUGACCAAAUGAUCAUCUAUGUAGACGAUAUGACAUAAUUUUCCUAUUUUUGUAGUCCUAAAGGACCUUAAUCCCGGGAACAUAUUGUGUUUUCCUUUAAUUUUUCAUCUAGAACUGAGUAGAUUACCAGAUCUUGAUUGAUGACAAUAUCCCUACAUCAUAUCUGAUUCAUGCCUAAUUGGUGUCUCAACUGAUUCGUGUCCAGCUGGUGCUCCUUGAUUGAGGGAGUAAUCAACAAAAUUUAUAACCUAUUACACCAUAUACUAGGGUAGCAAAGACAAAGCUACUAUAGCAUAGUGGCUCUAGGAUCGUUCACUGGGAAGGAUUAGCAAAUUAUCAAUGAUACCAAUUCACAGUGAAUUGGUAUUGUUUCAUUUCAAGGUUAGUUCAAGAAAUAAAAUACAAACUUUGAUUGGCAAAGAUUUAAAUUUAAACUAACUAUAAAACAAGUAAUGGGAAUAACUUAGGAGGAAAAACAUUCCUUGGAGGGUCAGGUUCACUGGGGUGGUUCCUCAUGCAAAAGACAUAGCUCCGGUCAGUUGGUUCAUUUCCUUGCGUUAGAGAAUCAACAUAUAGUCAAUUCUCUAAUCGGUGUUGUACAGAUACAUCCUGUAAUUAGAUUUCAGCUUUAAUUCCCUCUCACUGAUGCAACUUGCAAUGGUUCAUGCCUCUCACGAGCACUUACCCUUCAAGAUGAUCUUUAACCUUGGACUUCCCUUCAAAAGCUCGCAAGAGAUAACUAAUGGAUGUCUCCUUGGAGUCCAAAAGCUUACCAAGUGUUGGCAAUUCUAGAAAAUCCUACCUUCAAGUCACCUCCUAGAGGCUCGCAAGGGGUAAACUAGUGCAUCUCCAUGGUUGGAAAUCACUUGCCUUACCAAGUGUUGGCCCAGGUGACUCUAAGGUGUUUUAAGUUAACUAAAAACAUAGAAAUCACUAAAGGAUUUCACUUCCUCUUCAUUCAUGGCUGAAACCACAUAGCUUUGCAUUCUUGCACUUGGAACCUUCCCCGGCAACCUUAGCUCCAAGGAACUAAAGGUUUAGUUACUCAUUCUCUGGGGAAAAUUCCUCAGAGAGUGCAUAACUUAGUAAGAAAUAAAAAAUACAAAGUGAGAAGGUAAGGCAAAACAAAGGACCUGAACUUUACUUGCUUUUUCAAAACUUUACAAAAGGUCUCCUCUUUGAGAACAGGCUCUCGAGAGGUUUAAAUAUGAACAUAAUACAAAACUAAUUAUUACAUAGAUAUUUACUCUUUUUACUAACUUAAAAGCUAAGGAAUCUUGUAAUUGGUGGCUUACAAGGAGUAUUUUGGGAUUUAGACAACAAAAAUCUGAUGGAAAAUAUCUCCCAAUGUCGGUAGCAAACAUCGGGAAGCACUACGGACCAUUUCGCAAGAGAAAAUGAUGUCUGCGAGAUUUCGCAAACACUCAAAAAGGGCUGCGAAAUCACUUCGCAGCAAAAGGCUAUUCUCGCAGGGCUGCGAAAUCACUUCGCAGCAAAAGGCUAUUCUCGCAGGGCUACGAAGUUGGCUUCCAUCUUGAGGUUCUCAGCUUCCAACUUGUCGCAUAUAUCGGGCAACUUCAGGAGGAAAUCCACCACACUGUACAAAAAGGCUGCGAAAUCACUUCGCAACAAAAGGGUGAUUUCGCAACACUUUGCAAAAUGCUUCCUUCAGCUUAGAGUGAUUGACUUGCAAUGGCUGUAACUUCUUCGUUUCAACUCCGAUUUGCACACCAUUUGAAGCAUUGGAUUGUUGACUUCCUGAUCUUUGAAAUGGUAUAUAGCAUGCAUCAAUUGGACUUCAAAAAUUGCUCCAAAAGUGGCUGCCACGACUUUCAUCAAGAAUAUGCUUCAUGGCAGAUUCUCUUUACUUUUUCUCCUUGCAUUCCGGAUCAACUCUUGGAAAAGGGCUUCAAAGCCUUAGUUCAAGAUUCCACAUAACUCUCCUCAAUCUUGGAUUGCUUUGGUGAUCAAAUUACUAACAAAAACACCAAAACUUAACACAAUUUAAUUAGAAACGAUUGCAAGGGUCCUUAUCAUGCCAAUUGAGUUAAAAGGCCAAAACUACUACUCAAAAGUGUUUAAAAGGAUUAAUUACAAGCUAUCAAAUAGCACUUUUUGAGUAGUAAUCACUCCCCCCAACUGACAUAUUGCUAGUCCCUUAGCAAUGAAGGAGAGAAAAAUAAAAAUAAAAAUUACUAUAAUUUACAACAUCAUGCUGAAAAACAAUUUUCAAGUGGCAUGAUAAUCUAACUCUCACAUGGAACAUUAAAGAAAUACAAACCCAAAUUUCAACAAGAGUUAUAACAAACUAUGCUAAACACUGUCAAUUAAGGGAAUGCAUUAUGCAAACUGAAGUUUUAAAAUCAUUUCCACUUUCAAAGAACCAACUUUAAUCUUCCACAAAAAUCUAUGUGUAUUGGUUCCUUAGCUUCCGAAAAUAAUAUGUUAAACUAAUCUCUCCCCCCAACCUAUCUCUUUUCAACACUUAGCAAACUGACCAAAAUCAAUAAGAAAAGAACACACUUUCUUUCUUCUUUUUUUUUUUUUUUUUUUUUUUUUUAAGGAGGCUUAAUUGGGUACUCUUUCUGAAUUGUCCAUGUAAUGGGGGUCCAUCGAUGACUCCCAACCAAUUAAGGUUUAGGGCAUCAAGCUUUAAGGAUCUUUCAACCACUAACUCCUCGGAUUUUUCCCCGGACUUUUGAGAAUGAAUUUCUAAUACCCAAGCACCUACCAUAUGCUGACUCUACCUAUUCACCCUUGUAAUGAGCAUUGAGGUCGGUGACUCCCAACCUAUUAAGGCUUAGGGCACCAGGCUUUAAAGAUUUUCACCAUAUACCCCUCAGACCUUGCUCGGGUUUCAAGGCAAGCAAACAACUUUCUUUCUUUAUUUCAAAGGCUCAUUGGCCUUUCAUAAGGUGUCUCAACUUUAUCAAAUGAGGUCAAACGUACCAAGUCCCAAAAUUAUCCUAAGUCAAGAGGGAAAUAGCUUUUCAUCUUAUAAUCGGAAUCUAUUGUGCAUAGUGUAUGAAUAGCUUAAAGUGGAAGAACUAAAUUCAAUUUCAAUAGAAGCUUCAACAAUUGAACCACUUUAGUGAGCAUAAUCCAUACUCUAAGUCAAGUGAAAAGCAACAGUUCAAUUUCUCUUAUUUUAAUUGGAAAAAUUUUCCUUAAAAUCCAUAGAGAAUAGAGUAAAAAGAGUAAAAAGCAAAAACUACAACUGAUUUACCAAUAUAAUUGUAUUACCAAAACGACUUAGCAUACUUCCUUUAACUUAGCAUACUUCCUUCCUCAUUUUCUCCCCCCCCCCCCAACCGAAUUGAGCAUUGUCCUCAAUGUGAUAUGAGUGAUUGCAAUUAAAGGGAGGAAGUGGUACCUCCUGAGUGAUAUCAAUUUCGAAUACUGAUUGGAGAAACCACAUGUUUCAAAAAGAAUAAAAGAUGUGAGAAAAGGAAAUAAGAAUAAAUUAAUGCUAAAGGUUAACAAAAAAAAUAUUAAACUUGUAUUGCUUUGAAUCCAUUUGAGUACAAUGAAAAAGAAAGGCAAUACAAGCAAUCCCAAAUAUGGUACCAAAAUAAUGGGAUUUCUUACAAACUAAAAAAUGAAAUACAUAAAAAAACAUAGGCAGUAUAUAUAUAUAUUAAUCUAAUGAGUGGGUGGUGCUGGGGCUAGGCAGAUGGGUCUGCCUCUUCAGUAGCUGCUCCAUAUGGGGCCUAAGGCUCUAUGGGAUGAGAGUGUGGCACUGUUGUGGUAGAGGUGGAGGGCUCAGCAGCUGGUGGCAGAUCAAAAUGAUGUUGGAGCUGCCUUAAGAUGGCAGUGUGCUGAGCCUGGGUGGCCAACAUCUGCUCUUGGCAUGCUCGAAUGGCUGCCAUCUCAUGAGCAAGGCUGCUCUGAGAUGCUGUGAGGGUCUCCAAUGAACGGCAUAACUCUCUGUAUUCAGAAAUGGGAAUGGCCAUCCUUGGUUCAGCUGAAGUGGAUGGCUGAGAUGAAGCUGGAGUAACUGGUGGAGCUCUGGGAAUGGCAGGAGCAGCAAUAGGUAUACCCUCAGGUAUAUGUCGUGGGAAUGCUCUCCUAGCAGCUGGCUGUGGGCGCUCUGGCUGGUCAACUCUAUAAGUUGUCAUGUUGUUCCAUUUUUCGAGAGUAAAUACCUCUCGGCAAAUGCGCUUGCGCUCCAACUGAGGCUCUGUAGGAUACCCCAGGUGCUCCAGAAUUUGGCACAGCAGCCUUGGAAAGAGAAGAGGAAUGGCAUCAGCUCUCUGCAACUUCUUUUUAUGUACCUUCUCUUCGAAAUAGAGAAGGGCUGCCAUAAUUAGAUGGUGAAGGCCGAAGAAAUAUCCCUCAGACAUCUUGAACAGGGCUUCUAACAGGACUCCUCUCCUUUGAGUCCAAUGUUGUAGUGGGUAGAGGUUAUGACGCAAAAAUGCAUCAAUAAGAAACAUGAUUGAAGGAAGCUCCCCCCUCAACAGAUGUGGUCGUGUGGAAGCUCCUCUAGAUAGGAUAUGCACCAUUUCCAGCUCAGUGGGACUGGUCCACACUCUAAAAUCCUCAAAAUGAGUUGGCUCGUAUGGUAUAUGCAAGGCCUCAGCUAUAUGGCGAGCUCCCAAUAUGCCACGCCUCCCAUCAAUGGUAAAAUGAAUUAGAGUUGGAUCCCUGACCUGUUUGGUAGUCAUGGAUUGAUAAAAAUCCAUGGCUACUCUGGGGUAGAAAAAGUCUCUUGGGGUCAGCAGGUGCUCCAUAUGGUAUCUUCGCAGCAGGUGGAAUGACUGUGCAAGCUCCGGCCGCAAUUGGAAUGUAGCUAUGUCAAAGCACAGCUCGGAGUGGAAUGGCUGAGCUCUACAGUCCAAAUUCCCCUCAAUUGGAGGCUGAGUCAACAUUGGCCGCCUGAUUACUGCUUCAGGGGCUAUCUCAGAUGGAUUUUGGGGCUCGGGAAGUGGUGGCUGAGGCUCCUGAGGCUCUGCUGGCGGCGCCGGAGAUGGAACUGGCAAGGGUUCUGGGGACUGCUCCGUCAAGUCAAUAGGCUCUGAGCUUUCAACCCUGGCUCUCUUUUGCAGUGGCCGACCCCCUGACCUGGUGAGAUAACGCCUCGCCGGAGGCUUUGGCGGCGCGGGCUUCAACGGAGGGGAAACUGUUUUUAGCCGCGGAGGCUCAGAAAUGGGACCUGGAACGGGCUCCUCUCGUGGGACUUUCUUGCGGCUUGAAGGAGAGGAAGACUUGGCCCCUCUGGUUCGCGCCAUUUCGGGUUGCCGAAAUUUGGCCGGAAUUGAUGACCGGAGAAGAUGAACGGAGGUUUGUGCGGUGUCGGGCUCGAGGAAGGAGAUGAAUAGUCUGCGAGAAUGGCGCGCUCUAUUUUUGAAACCCUUUCGCAGCUCAAAUGACCGCUAUAUAUAAAAAUAACGGAAGAUUAAGGGUCAUUUUGAGUUUCGCAGAAAAAGGCCAAUUUCGCAGCAAAAAUCCAUUUUCGCAGCCACUUCGCAAUCCGUUUUGCAGCUGCGAAUUGAGUGUCACUGUGCUGCGAAGUGGCACACGUGUGCCAAAAUCGCUUUCGCAAUUGCGAAAUACCCUGCGGGAUGGAACUUUGGUUGCGAAAUCAGGGAUUUUCACGCUUUAUCGCUUCGCAGCCGUUUCGCAGCUGCGAAUUGGGGGCUCCUGUGUUGCGAAGUGGCACUCGUGUGCCAAACUUGGCUUCGCAGCUUCGAAAAUUUUCGCAGAGGAGAAAAUAAAGCUGCGAAAUGGCUUCGCAACGAAGUGCUAAUUUCGUAGAGGUUGCGAAAUCUCGCAGACCCCUGUUUUUCCUCUGUUUGCACUCUGUUUUUGGUCCGAUUUCGCUCCGAUUUCUUCCUUUGAAUUUCUUUGCAUUUUCUUCCACCUGGGAUCAUUCAAAAAGAUUAAAACACACAUAAAAACAUGAUUUAAGAUCAAAAACUAAGAUCAAAAGUAUGGAAAAAACUUGGAAAAUUACAAAAUUUACACAAAAUUUUGGACUAUGGUAAAACCACGUCCACUAAACCCCUCUCUACUUAGGCUUUUUGUGGCUCAAGGAGGUUGAUUUCCCCCUUUUCUGGUUUGAAUGGCUCCAUGAACGGCUUGAGACGAUAUCCAUUGACUCUAAAGGUGUCUUUGCCAUUGGAAUUCAAUAAUUCCACCACUCCAUUGGCAUAUACUCGGUGAAUAAUAAACGGGCCUAUCCACCUUGACUUGAGCUUCCCAGGAAAGAUAUGGAGUCUUGUGUCAUACAGUAAAACUCUUUGCCCUUUUUGAAAUUCCUUGUUGGAGAUUAGUUGAUCAUGCCACUUCUUCAUCCUCUGUUUUGCAACUUUGGAAUUGAUAUAAGCAUCAUUUCUUAAUUCCUCCAUCUCAUUAAGGUCUAGAUAUCUCUUUUCUCCGGCUCUGAUCAAGUCCAUGUUCAGCUUCUUUAUUGCCCACCAAGCUUUGUAUUCAACUUCCACAGGGAGAUGACAUGCUUUGCCAUAGACAAGACGAUAGGGAGACAUGCCAAGAAUAGUCUUAUAAGCUGUUCUAUAUGCCCACAAUGAAUCAUGAAGCCUAAUAGACCAAUCUUUUCUGCUGGAAUUCACCACUUUCAUCAAUAUGUUCUUUAUUUCCCUGUUAGCUAGCUCAACUUGCCCGGAAGUCUGAGGAUGAUAAGGUGUAGCUACCUUAUGCUUCACUCCAUACUUGGCUAAUAAAGCUUCAAAAGAUUUGUUGCAAAAAUGAGCACCUCCAUCACUAAUUAUGGCUUUGGGCACCCCAAAUCUUGAGAAAAUGUUCUCUUUAAGAAACUUGAGAACCACCCUGUGAUCAUUUUGUUUACAGGGGAUUGCCUCAACCCAUUUAGAAACAUAAUCCACCCCCACCAAGAUAUAAGAAUUACCAAAAGACAUUGGGAAAGGUCCCAUGAAGUCAAUACCCCAUACAUCAAAUAGCUCAACUAUUAGAAUGAGGUUCAUAGGCAUUUGAUUUCUUUUUGUUAGCUUUCCAAGCCUUUGGCAUCUAUCACAACUUCUACACAUGAUGUGGGCAUCUUUGAAAAGAGAUGGCCAAGUAAACCCUGAUUGCAACACCUUCAUGGCUGUUUUCUGAGAGGCAAAGUGGCCUCCACAUGCAUUCUCAUGACAAUGGUUUAGAAUCCCUUGCUGCUCAUCUUCAGGGACACACUUUCUUAUGAUCUGAUCUGCACAAUACUUAAAAAGAAAGGGCUCUUCCUAAUAAUAAACAUGAAUUUUUGCAAAGAAGUGCUUCCUGUCCUGUGCAUUCCACUCACUUGGAAUUUCACCAGUAACUAGAUAAUUAGCAAUAUGAGCAUACCAAGGAGUUUUCACUAGGAACAUGAGUGAUUCUUCAGGAAAGUCAUCAUUAAUAGGCAAGGAAUGAGAGUUAUGUGCUAUAACUAACCUUGAAAGGUGGUCAGCUACCACAUUCUCCACUCAUUUUUUAUCUUUGAUUUGGAGAUCGAAUUCUUGUAACAAAAGAAUUCAUCUAAUCAACCUUGCUUUUGCAUCUUGCUUUGUCAAUAAAUACUUCAAGGCUGAAUGGUCAGUGAAAACAAUGAUGAAAGACCCUACUAAAUAAGCACGAAAUUUGUCCAAGGCAAAUACCACAGCUAACAAUUCUUUCUCUGUAGUUGUGUAGUUCCUUUGAGCUUCAUUCAGUGUUUUGCUUGCAUAGUAGAUCACAUAGGGCUUCCCAUCAUCUCUUUGGCCAAGCACAGCUCCUAUAGCAAAGUCACUGGCAUCACACAUCAGUUCAAAGGGUAGUUGCCAGUUAGGGGCUCUCACUAUUGGAGUUGUUAAAAAUUUCUUCAACUGAUCAAAGCUAUUUUGACACCUUUCAUCCCAUAUAAACUUAGCAUCCUUAGCUAACAGCUCACAAAGAGGUUUUGAAAGACUUGAGAAACCUUUUAUAAACCUCCUAUAGAACCCUGCAUGGCCAAGGAACUGCCUUACUCCUUUCACAUUUGUUGGGGAUGGUAAUUUGACAAUAAGCUCCACCUUUGCUUUAUCAACUUCAAUGCCUUUUUCAGAGAUGAUAUGGCCAAGGACAAUUCCUUGACGAACCAUAAAAUGACAUUUCUCCCAAUUGAGCACCAGGUCUUUUUCAAUGCAUCUGUGAAGAACCGCUUCCAAAUUGAUUAAGCAUUCCUCAAAUGUACCUCCAUAUACGGUGAUGUCAUCCAUGAAAACCUCCAUAAUUCGCUCCACCAUAUCAUUGAAGAUACUCAACAUACAUCUUUGAAAUGUUGCAGGUGCAUUGCAUAAACCAAAUGGCAUUCUUCUAUAAGCAUAUGUUCCAAAUGGACAUGUAAAGGUGGUUUUUUCCUGAUCUUCCACAUCAAUUUCAAUCUGAAAAUACCCUGAAUACCCGUCCAAGAAGCAAUAGAACGAAUGUCCAGAGACUCUCUCCAGCACUUGGUCAAUAAAUGGCAAUGGAAAAUGAUCUUUCCUGGUUACAACAUUCAACUUUCUAUAAUCAAUGCACACCCUCCAACCUGAAGUGAGGCGUGUAGUAAUUUCUUCCCCUUUUUCGUUCUGAACCACAGUAAUCCCUGACUUCUUUGGUACCACUUGAGUAGGACUUACCCAAGGGCUAUCAGAUAUAGGGUAAAUAAUACCUGCUUGAAGUAGCUUCAGCACCUCAGCUCGCACCACCUCUUGUAAAUGAGGAUUCAAUCUUCUUUGAAGUUGACGAAUUGGCUUUGCUUCCUCCUCCAUAUAUAUAUGAUGAGUACAAACUAAAGGACUAAUGCCUUUCAAGUCGGAUAUUUGCCAUCGUAUUGCCUUCUUACACCUCUUGAGAACUUCCAUUAAACAAUUCUCUUGAUGACUGGUCAGAGAUGAAGAUAUUACAACAUGACAUUAAUUAUUUUCUUCAAGGUAUAUAUAUUUCAGCUCCACGGGUAGAGGCUUCGGAUUGAGUUUUGGAGUCUCUUUUUCAGCAGCUACCUCUUCUUCUUUAUUGAACAAAGGUAGAAUCUCUUCUAUCUUUCUCCAACUUUGUAGAGUAGCAAGCAUAGUAGGGGGUUCAGACAAACCUUCCUCAAAAUCCACAAGACUUUCAUUCAACUUGUCUUGCAUAUUUUGAUUACAGUGCUCCUCCACCAGAGUGUCAAUAAUGCACACCUCUUCUGGACCCUCUUCUUCUUCCGGAGUGGUUUGCUUUUUAGACAUAUAGAAGAUAUUGAGAUCAAGUGUCAUGUUGCCAAAAGUGAGUUGCAUCAGCCCAUUCCUGCAGUUGAUGAUUGCAUUUGAGGUAGCAAGAAAUGGCCUUCCAAGGAUGAUAGGAACUAAAUUAGCUUCCUUUACAGUAGGAUCUGUAUCAAGAACAAUAAAAUCUACAGGAUAGUAGAAAUUAUCCACUUGAACCAAGACACCCUCAAUUACCCCCCUUGGAAUUUCACUGAUCUAUCUGCUAGAGAUAGAGUGAUUGUUGUUGGCUUCAACUCUCCAAGUCCCAAUUGCUUGUAAACAGAGUAUGGAAGCAAAUUCACACUUGCUCCCAAGUCUAACAAAGCUUUCUCCACUACCUUUCCUCCAAUCAUUACUGAAAUGGUAGGACUUCCCGGAUCUUUGUACUUCAAUGGAGACUUACAUUGUAAGAUUGCACUUACUUGCUCAGUCAAGAAGGCUUUCUUAUUUACAGUCAACCCUCUUUUAAUAGUACAUAAGUCCUUUAGGAACUUUCCAUAUGUUGGAACUUGUUUAAUCAUAUCCAGCAAUAGGAUAUUGACUUUCACUUGUCUCAAUACCUCAAGAAUUUCAGAUGCAUUUCUAAUCCCCUUUUUCCCAUGCAAUGCUUGAGGAAAAGGUGGAGAAGUUGAUUUCUUCAGCAUUUCUUCCUUCAGAAGUUCCUUCUCUGGAAUUGCAUUCAUUGUUGAAUCAGAGUCCUUCUUCUUUUCACUGAUCUCCUUCUCUUUAUCUUCCAUUUCAUCCCCUUUCUUUAUCUCUGCUUCUUUUUCAACAUGUGGCUUGGGUGUUGGCUUCUCAAUUUUUUUACCACUCCUUAGAGUGAUCAAGGCUUUGACAUCUUUCAUCUGUGAUGAUUCUCCCUCUUGGCUUUCCACUUCAUGGACACCCUUAGGGUUUUGGUGGGGUUGAGAAGGAAAUCUUCCCUUUUCUUGCACUGUGUUCAAAUUUUUGAGCCUUGAAAUUGAGUAUUGGAGAUUAUCAAACUUUUGGGACAUAUCAUUUUGCAUUCCAUCCAUCCUUUUAUUCAAAGUACUCUCCACUCUGUCAAUUCUUUGAUUGAUUUGAGCAUUGGUGGCUUCUUGGUUUCCAACAAAAUCUCCCACUACCUUGCUGAGAUUUGCUAUUUCUUGUUCAAGACUUGAAGAUUGUUGAGAUGGUGGAUCCGGCUGUUGGUACUGAGUUGCUCUGGCCUUCCAUGAGAAAUUUGGAUGAUUCCUCCAACUUGAGUUGUAAGUAUUUCCAUAAGGCGCAUUGUUAUUGGGCUUAAAUUGUUCAACAACAUUUGCUUGAUCUCUAAACAUUUCCCUUUCAGCUGAAAUUGCAGAGCAUUCCUCCACCAAAUGUUCAUAUGAUUGACAAUUAGGACAAAGCUUUACUUACACUGGUGCUUCAGCAACAGCUUGCACUUCAUGUAUUCUUUUCAGUUCCAGUUCCUCCAAUCUUCUUGUCACAGCUACCAAGUUUGCUUUCAUAUCAUCGUCUUCUUUCAAGGUAUACAUCCCAGCCUUAGCAUUAAAAACACUCAGUUGAGACUUCAUCUUCCCCACUUCUCCUUUGGUUGGUUCAUCCCAUCCCCUUGAAACAUCAACUACAUAGCUCAAGAAAUCCAUAGCUUCCUCCGGAUUUUUGCUCAUGAAAUCUCCUCCACACAUUGUCUCGAGGAGUUGCUUCAUUGAGGAAGACAUUCCAUCAUAAAAAUAGCUCACCAAUAGCCAAGUAUCAAAGCCAUGGUGAGGGCAAGCAUUUAUAGCUUCCAUGUAUCUUUCCCAACACUCAUAAAAUUUCUCAUUCUCUUUAGCUGAGAAAUUUGAAAUUUGCCUUUUCAAGCCAUUUGUUCUAUGAGUGGGAAAAAAUUUCUUAAGGAAUUCAGCUUGUAAGUCAGUCCAAGUGCGGAUACUCCUUGGCCUUAAAGAAUUAAGCCAAAUUUUGGCCUUAUCCUUUAAAGUAAAAGGAAAUAACUUAAGCCUCAUCAAAUCAAUUGAAGCUCCUCCCUCUUGGAAUGUAUUACAAAUAUCUUCAAAUUCCUUGAUAUGUGCAUAGGGAUUCUCACUUUCCAUCCCAUGGAAAGUUGGUAGAAGUGGAACAAGAUACAGUCUGAUCACUAGCUGCUCUGUAGGGGGCACUAUACAUGAUGGUGCACUCAUACGAGGUGGAUGCAUACGAUCCCUCAUUGAUCUGAAUUCAUUGAGAUUGUCUUGCGACCUUGGUGACUAUGCUGAUCUUCACGUAUAGCUUCCAUGAUAUUCAAUCUCAAUUCGAAUUCUUUGUUAUGAGGUGUAUCACACUUAACAAGCCUUUCUCCACUGUCUCGUAUCCACUUUGGCAUACACAACUAGUAUCUAUCUGUAACUAAAAUGAAAAUAAAGGACAACAAAAGGAAACAGGGCUACAAAAACAAAAUAAAACUUAGUUGAAUUUAAAAGAUAAAUUUGGAUUAUGAAUAAAUAAAGAAGGAAUGAGAAUUAGUAAAAUGAAAGAAAUGUUACCAAACUUGUGAUGAAAAUCACAAGUGCUCUAAAAUGGUAUCACUAUAAACUUGACAUUUUCCCCGGCAACGGCGCCAUUUGAUUCAUGCCUAAUUGGUGUCUCAUCUGAUUCGUGUCCAGCUGGUGCUCCUUGAUUGAGGGAGUAAUCAACAAAAUUUAUAACCUAUUACACCAUAUACUAGGGUAGCAAAGACAAAGCUACUAUAGCAUAGUGGCUCUAGGAUCGUUCACUGGGAAGGAUUAGCAAAUUAUCAAUGAUACCAAUUCACAGUGAAUUGGUAUUGUUUCAUUUCAAGGUUAGUUCAAGAAAUAAAAUACAAACUUUGAUUGGCAAAGAUUUAAAUUUAAACUAACUAUAAAACAAGUAAUGGGAAUAACUUAGGAGGAAAAACAUUCCUUGGAGGGUCAGGUUCACUGGGGUGGUUCCUCAUGCAAAAGACAUAGCUCCGAUCAGUUGGUUCAUUUCCUUGCGUUAGAGAAUCAACAUAUAGUCAAUUCUCUAACCGGUGUUGUACAGAUACAUCCUGUAAUUAGAUUUCAGCUUUAAUUCCCUCUCACUGAUGCAACUUGCAAUGGUUCAUGCCUCUCACGAGCACUUACCCUUCAAGAUGAUCUUUAACCUUGGACUUCCCUUCAAAAGCUUGCAAGAGAUAACUAAUGGAUGUCUCCUUGGAGUCCAAAAGCUUACCAAGUGUUGGCAAUUCUAGAAAAUCCUACCUUCAAGUCACCUCCCACAGGCUCGCAAGGGGUAAACUAGUGCAUCUCCAUGGUUGGAAAUCACUUGCCUUACCAAGUGUUGGCCCAGGUGAGUCUAAGGUGUUUUAAGUUAACUAAAAACAUAGAAACCACUAAAGGAUUUCACUUCCUCUUCAUUCAUGGCUGAAACCACAUAGCUUUGUAUUCUUGCACUUGGAACCUUCCCCGGCAACCUUAGCUCCAAGGAACUAAAGGUUUAGUUACUCAUUCUCUGGGGAAAAUUCCUCAGAGAGUGCAUAACUUAGUAAGAAAUAAAAAAUACAAAGUGAGAAGGUAAGGCAAAACAAAGGACCUGAACUUUACUUGCUUUUUCAAAACUUUACAAAAGGUCUCCUCUUUGAGAACAGGCUCUCGAGAGGUUUAAAUAUGAACAUAAUACAAAACUAAUUAUUACAUAGAUAUUUACUCUUUUUACUAACUUAAAAGCUAAGGAAUCUUGUAAUUGGUGGCUUACAAGGAGUAUUUUGGGAUUUAGACAACAAAAAUCUGAUGGAAAAUAUCUCCCAAUGUCAGUAGCAAACAUCGGGAAGCACUACGGACCAUUUCGCAAGAGAAAAUGAUGUCUGCGAGAUUUUGCAGACACUCAAAAAGGGCUACGAAAUCACUUCGCAGCAAAAGGCUAUUCUCGCAGGGCUGCGAAGUUGGCUUCCAUCUUGAGGUUCUCAGCUUCCAACUUGUCACAUAUAUCGGGUAACUUCAGGAGGAAAUCCACCACACUGUACAAAAAGGCUGCGAAAUCACUUCGCAACAAAAGGGUGAUUUCGCAACACUUUGCAAAAUUCUUCAUUCAGCUUAGAGUGAUUGACUUGCAAUGGCUGUAACUUCUUCGUUUCAACUCCGAUUUGCACACCGUUUGAAGAAUUGGAUUUUUGACUUCCUGAGCUUUGAAAUGGUAUAUAGCAUGCAUCAAUUGGACUUCAGAAAGUACUCCAAAAGUGGCUGCCACGACUGUCAUCAAGAAUAUGCUUCAUGGCAGAUUCUCUUUACUUUUUCUCCUUGCAUUCCGGAUCAACUCUUGGAAAAGGGCUUCAAAGCUUUAGUUCAAGAUUCCACAUAACUCUCCUCAAUCUCAGAUUGCUUUGGUGAUCAAAUUACUGACAAAAACACCAAAACUUAACACAAUUUAAUUAGAAACGAUUGCAAGGGUCCUUAUCAUGCCAAUUGAGUUAAAAGGCCAAAACUACUACUCAAAAGUGUUUAAAAGGAUUAAUUACAAGCUAUCAAAUAGCACUUUUUGAGUAGUAAUCAAUAUCCAUUAAGUAAAUUAUCAUUUACCUACAAGAUCUUAGAGCAUCACCACGCUUUCCUAUGCCUUUUUGUUCACACAAGACCCUUUGCUAUGAAAAUGUUUAGUUGUUAUAUCUUAUAAAUGAGACAUUGCAAUAGAUACAUGUAAUAUGAUGGAUUUUAGUAUGACCACUAUUGAAAAGGUUUUCCAUAGUUGAAACAAAGUUUCAAACUAAAACCUUUAGCUACAGUCUUAGCCACAUAAAACUCAAGCUUUCCAUCUACUCCUAUGUUCCUCUUGUAGACCAACUUACACCUAUGGGUUUUAUUCCUUUAGGUACUUCUAUAGGACUUUAAGCUAGGUUACAAUACAAAGAUUUUAACUACCUCUUCAUAGAUUCUUAUCUUAAGGGAGCUCAAACACUACUCACUACUUCAUCAUAGUUUGUGGGAUAUAAACCUCCUACUACGAUGAGGCAUUGGUGCACUAGAAAUCAUAGGAAUGUUAUGCCUUUAACUCUCUGGAUCCAUAGUAUACUAUGUAAUGUGGGACUAUCUUCUAAUAUAUCCUCCAAUCUAUAUCACCUUUUUCCUUAUUCCUUAUUAUAUAGUCUUUAUAAAAAAUAUGACACUUGUGUGGACAAAUAUCUUCUAAUGAUCUUGACUAUAAGGGUAAUAACCCAAUAAUCCUUUUAAAUAUCCUAUAAACUGAUAUACCUCUUAAGAAAGAGAGGUAUUACACAGUAUAUAAGACAUAUCCCCUAAAGAAUUUGGAAAAAGAUGAGAAACCUAUCCACGAUCUCACUAUGUCCAUCUAAGUUUGAUAUCUUGGUACACAUAACUAGGAAAUAAUCUUGUGAUCUAGCGGAAAGCAUCAAACUUACUAGAUAUAUCACCUUAAUCUAAUCAAAUUGACUUUGUAUGUAUAACCAAUAGGUUAUUCGAUCCCACCUUAAAUUUAAUGAAUGUAUCCAAGACAUCAUAUCUCCUAUGUACAUAUCCAAACCUAAAGUAAUCAUCACUAAAAUUGAUGAAAUAACCAUUACUAGGAACCUAGGAUUUCUUCGUUCCCUUACCCUGGAUUGUAUAGAUGCAUGCAAAACUACCCUAGGCCUCUAGAUCCUAUGAACAUAACAUAUUUUUACAAUUCUAAGAUCAAGAGGAAAACCAUUAAAGAGCUUUACCUUUGAUUUGGAUGUUCCCAAAUCAAUUCUGCUCGAAGAAGAUGAAGAAAUGAAUCUAAAAGUCUCGUACACCUAAGAUCUUUUGCCCAAUGACUCGAAUCACGAUCUUGACACUCCAAAGUGUGGAGUUUAGAAAAGAUGAUCUCUUGGCUCUUACUAUUUCUCUCUUUCUCUAGAGGUGGAAGACAAAGUCUCUCUUAAGGUUAUGGAAACCCUAGCCCCUAUUGGGCUUAAGUGACUUGAGCCUACCAAGGCUUAGGCCACUUAAUCUAGCCUAAAAUGGGUCUUAAUUAAGUAAUUAACUGCAUAAAGCCGUCUAAUUAAUCAAUUAUCCCAAUUAAGAGAACUUGUUCACUAUUCCUUGUGCAACCUUACGUAAUUACCAAAAUGCCCUUAUUCACAAGAAUUAACUAAGAGCCAAUUCAUCUCUCAUAAAAUACGUCAUCAUAGCAUAUGAGCUCAUAAUGGGGACCAUUGGGACCCAUAGGAGUAUUGACUCCCUUAUACUCCAAUUUUGAAGUUGAUUCAACAUUCCAUUAAAGAGAAUUAACCGCACUCCAAUAUCCUAUGUUGAUAACAACGAGAUGAAGCUCAAAGUUCGUGACCUACUAUCCACUACAUGAAAACUCCCCAUGAACUGGUGUCCGUAAUCCAACAAGGUUAUGCUAUAACCUAUCAAGAUUACCUCUCCAAUUCUUGAGUUAUAGAUCCCACUUAUUAUGUGAUCAAUUGACAUACUUUAACUCUAAGGAGCAUAUGUCAAAUUUCUACUAAAGGAAAUGCAAUGGCCAUAGUCUUCUAAAUCACAUGUCCUUUGAAUCAUUCAAGGGGACACAUUGUUUCAAUCCAUGAGAUAUCAUGGUGCCUCUAUUGAGAAUAUCUAUUGUCACCAACCUCCAUCAACAAUGACCUAAUCCAUAGGGAUAUAUGACCACUUUAGGGUCUAAACCAUAAGUCAAAGCCUCCUAUUAACUUUAACACAAGCUCAAUAUCCUCUCAAGGUUGAGAGUCCAUAUAGUAUAGUAGCUUGGUGAAUCAUGACAAUUGAUAGUUUUGUGUCAUGAUUCACUAUAGUUCUUAUCCAAUGUGCAUCACAUGCACUAGUACACUUUCCAUGGGAAAACCAUCUCGAUAGCCCAGACAAGUCAUCCCUCCAAUUAGAAGGUAGAACACUACAAUCUCAAAUGGAUAACCCAAAUUCAUGAACCAAUUAUGGACAACUCAUACUCUACAAGGAACCCAUGACUUGGAUCUUCUGUGCAACACCUAAUACACCCAAGUCAUGUACAAUGUAAGUGAUGCGGGGCGUGUAUGCUCAAAUAAAAAAUUAAUACAAAUGAGAUAUUUAAGGGAACCAAGAAACAUAAACAAAUUUAUAAAUGAAUCUCAAUUUGUUACAUCAUUUCAUGUUUUCCAAGGCUAAAUCCUAAAACUAAUUUCUAAGAUCUUUACAAUCUUCAAUCUUUAACCCUCAAGGGGUUAUUAGGGAGGUAUUUAUAGGAAAAAACCCAAAAAGUUUUAGUAUUUUAAGAUGCUAAAUUAGAUUUUGAGUAAAAUUCAUCCAAAAUUUGUUCCUAAACUUGGCAGGAGUGUCUUGAUUGCUUGAGCAGACUUAGACCACUUGAAUGUUUCACUUGAGCAGUCCUUAUCAUUUGAGCAGACUAACCGUUUAAACGGUCCUUUCCACUUAAGCGACCCCUACUUCUUUUGAAAAAUCAUUUUAAAACAUUUUAAGUCCAAAAAUGAUGCUAAACCUUAUAUACAUCAAAGAAGCUUUAUUGCCAUAAGUCAAACCUUUUGAAACGUACCUAUGACUUCUUGGUUGGACGAAUGACAAACGUAAUCUUUAAUGGAGAGCAAGUCACUAUCUAAAAAGAUUUCUAUGAUCAAACAUAAAAUGGAACAAAAUUGCCAACAUAUAAAUAAGACUCAAUGUCCUAACAAGAAACAUUAGAACUUUCCUUAUCUACUCAAUUUGAGUGAAAAGACUUCAAGUAAGUGAAGUACUUGAAGAGAUUGUGAGUGCCCAUAGGAGACCAUGAAUCCAAAUAUAAAGUUUCAAGGCUUAGGUUGAAGGCCUUUGAUAGUAGAACUCUCACUUGGUUAGGAGUUCACUACUACAAAAAUUAAUUAUGGUGUCACUUUUAAAAUAAUGACACCAUAGGGUUUAUAAUUAAUAAAGGUGAAACGCAUCAUAUAAAAAAUCUUCAAUUGAGGUAGCUAGAUGAUGUUAGUUUUAUAUUUAUGUGUCAUUUUAGGGAAGUGACAUCAUAUAAAAUAAAUUUUUUUAAGUAUUAUAACUUAAUGAGCCCACUUGAGACCACUUUUAGAAUUAAUAAUCAAAACAAUAUAUAAAAAGCCCAUUGUUUCCACAUGCCACCCACAAUGCAAAAAAUCUCAGUAUACAAACCCUAUAUAUAAAACCAUAAUCUUCUUCUACCUUUUCUCUCACCCAUAGUCAACACGCUCACAACUGACAUUCUUCACUUUGUGGACUCCCAGGUAAUCCAAAAUCUCUUAGAUCUACCUCUUUUUUUUCUUUUAUUAAUGUCGUUAUAUUGAUUGUUUUAACAUCUUUGUAUUAUGGUUUUUGUGAACUGCGUUUUCUUGAGUUGUAGGAAAGAAAAACUUAGGUUUAAACUUCUAGCAUAGAAGAAAAAACUUGUAGAUUAAUUGAUUUUUUUAUCUAAACCAAACACAUGGCCCGAUUCCUUAAAAACAAGCGAAAAACAAGAAAAAAUGAAUCAUUUUUAAUAUGUAUUUAUGUGAGAAUGAUAGGUACAAAAUUUUGUUGAGAUAUACUGCCACAUAAUCUUCAUCCCUUCUCGAAAACAAGAGAGAAAAACCUGUAGAUUAGUUGAUUUUUUUUAAUCUGAACCAAACACAUGGUCGACUCCUUAAAAACAAGAAAAAAAAAAGAAUGAUUUUUAAUAUAUAUUUGUGUGAGAAUGACAGGUAUAGAAUUUUUUUGAGAUAUAUUGUCACAUAAUCUUCAUCCCUUCCAAAAAAUGAGAGAGAAAAAAAUGAUUUUUCUAUUUGUAUCUAAGUGGGAAUGAGAUAUAGAAUUUCGUUGAGAGUAUCCAACCCUAAAAAGACCAAUCCGAGAAAACAAUAUCCAAGGUGUCAUCACUUGUGCAGUAAUGAAACAAAGACGACACCUUCUUUUUCCCUUUUCGUUUUCCAUACUCACUUGCCUUGAUCCUCCAGUCUCCACACUUUAACAUCAGUUCCAAGUCUAGCACCUUUCUCAGAUACACCUUUAAAAGCUGUAGAAUCCCCCAUAUGAUGAAGACACCCCUUUUUUGAAAUGCCCCAUUGUAUUUCUCCAUGUAAACCUUUUCGUCUAAUAUCACUAGCCUGAAGAAUGUUAGGUCCUUCGCUACUUCCAUCAUCUCUUUGGUGAUUCCGAUCUCCGUCCAUGGCCGGAGAUCCUCAUAGAUCCAUUGAAAGUAGUUUGGGCAUGCAUUACAAGAGCCCUUUAUUUGCUUAAAUAUUUUUUUUUUCUUUAAUACAUCUUUGACCACAUUUAUAAUAAAAAAGAAGAAGUUUAACAAUGAAUGGUGGGACUUCUUUUCUUUUUCUUUUCAAUGGAUUGUAAGAAACCUAGUAGAUCAAGUUUAGAUUAUAUAUGGUUUCUACUUGUGGUCCUAAUUUGCACAUGGGACAUGCAUCUUGGAAAGGCCCUUUUAGUUUUGGAUUCUAAUGUUGCUGAUGACAUAUUCUGGCAAAUAAGUGAAAACUAUCUUUUAUAGUCCCAUCUCACUUAUGGAACACUAGGAAUCACAUUUCUUGAUGUUGUAUUUGAGUGGGAAGAGGUUAGGGUGGGGAUGUAGGAAGUUCUAGGUUCAUGUCUUAGAAAAAAAAAAAAAAAACCUAUAAAAUGAUUUCCUAAUGCCUUUUUUUGUGUUUUUUUUAUAUAACAAAUGAUUUCCUGGUGCUGGGAUUUUUUUUCUCUUUUAUUAAUUUUUUUUGAGGUUUUUGAUUGAAUUUGAGAAUGUGUUCCCUCAGAUCCUAAAAUGAAAUGUUGCAAUAUCAGCACCUUUAGUAUUCAAUUAGUUGACUACUUUAAUCAAUCGACUAUCCAUGAAAUUUAAAAAAAAAAACAAAAAAAUGUUUCACAAGUGAUUUUUAAUACCUCCAAUUGGUUUGAUGUGAAAACAUUAGUUGAAAAACCUUUUUUUUUUUAAUUUAUAAAAAUACAUGCCAAAACAUAAUUUUUUUAUAUCAUAUUUUAUAAUUUAUGGCUUUAUUGGAACUAUAUUUUAUAAUUUUUACUAAAAUAUUAUUAUUUUUAAUAAAAUAUAGUAUUUUAAAUUUUUAUUAUUAAUUUUUACUAUGUAUAACUACAUUAUUCAUGUAAAAUUAUUAUCUUUAUUCAUUAUUUAUUUAUUUUUAUAUUUUAAUAUUCAUCAUAAUAUAAAUUAACAUUUGUGUAAUAUUCUAAAAUAUUAUAAUUCAUUGUUAUUAUUCUAUUUUGGCAAAAAAUGAUUUUAAUAUUUAUUUAAAAACCUAAUCAUUAAAUAAUUUUUUGUAAAAGAAAAAAAAAGGUUUAUAAAGAAACAAGUGGACAGUUUAUUAAUUUUUUUUUUUUUUAAAAAAAAAAGGUGUCAAAGCAUAGUUUUUGUUUCUUUUUAUUAUUAUUAUUUUGUAAUUUUUUCCUUAUCCACACAUCAACUUACACCAUAACCUCACCUUCUUGUAUAAAAUUAGGAAUAUUUACAUAAUAAAUUGAGCACAAAUGUAACACACACAAAGAAAGAAAAAUUUUGAGUGUAAUUAAAUUGUAAGCAAAUCUCUCAGAUGGAGUAGAGAAGUUGUAGAAGGCUACCACCCAUACUUCCCAUAUCUUUCUCACCUACGAGUCAACUUCCCUUUUCCUCCUACUUGUGUCCUCUCUCACUUAUGAAUCUGCCCUACAUUUUCUCCAAAUUUAUAUUCAUAUCACAAGCAAAUCUCACAUGAACAUGUGGUGAUGAAAUUCACAUGUCAUACUAGUAAAAGUUAAGGAAACUAUUAGCAAGCAGAAUAAUAAACCAAUAAAAUGUUAAUUAAAAAAAAUGGUAUUCCUUCUAGAGUCUUCUAACCCAGACACAAAAGCAUACACUUGAUUUCCCGAAGAUCUCUACAAACUCUUGGUGCUAUCCUUAUACCCUUAAAAGUUUUUCAAAAGAUUUUUUCCCAAUAAAAAAUAUAUAAAAGCUCAAAAUUUUCUCUAGUGAAAUACUUGGUCUCAAGUGUAAUUAAUAUGGUUUACAAGUUAAGGUUUAGUGCAUGUAAAAUACUUGAAGAGGUCUUUGAUGAUUUGUAAGUUAUAAGUAUGUUAUAAAUGAGUUCCAAUAAUCAUUCUUUAUAAUAUUUUGCAAGCUAUUGUUGGAGGCAAAAUCCCAACUAAUUGAUUGAUAUAUCAAUGAAUUGUGGUUUCCCUCAAUCGACUGUAAGAAUUUGUAUACAUUAUUAACAACAUUUUCAACCUCACCAUAAAUUAAUUAUCCACUUUGGAAAAUUGCUUGACCCAUUUUGUUAACCACUAAUCAAUCAUCCUAGAACUAUAUUUUGUGUACUAAUGCAUAGUAAGUUUUGUUCUAACCUAUAUAAGCUACAUCUAGUUAUUUAAAUAUAUCUAAUAUUAUGUUGAAGAAAUCUGUACUUACUUAACUUUUUUUGUUCUUAAUAUUAACAAGUUUUGAAAUUCUCUUGUCUAGGAUAUAUAUUCCAUCAUUUUAAUUGAAAUGGAAAAUCGAGAUUGGAUGUCAAAAGAUAGAAGAUCAGUUGAGGAUGAUGAAGGAGUUGAAAACUUUAUCAAUUUUGCAAUAGCACAUUCAACCAACCAUACCUCUAUAAAAUGCCCAUGCUUAUGUUGUGGAAAUCUGUUAUGUCAAAUUCCUCAAGUCAUUAGAGAGCAUUUGUUCUUUAAUGGAAUAGAUCUCAGUUAUCGAGUAUGGUAUUGGCAUGGAGUAAAGGGUCCCAAUGGAGGAUUUUCAAAUGUCUCACAACAAUGUUAUGAUAAAUGUGAGUAUAAUGAUGUUGCUGACACAAUAGAUAUGGUUAAUGCUUCACAAGUUAAUUGUAUAAAUGAUCCCUAAGUGUUUGGAAGGUUACUUGAAGAUGCAAAAAAAACCUUUAUAUCCUGGAUGCAUGAAAUACACCAAGUUGUCAGCAUUGGUAAAACUUUACAACUUAAAAGCAUGUUAUGGUUGGUUUGACAAGGGAUUCUCAUAAUUGCUUUAGAUUGCUUGGAGAUAUGUUGCCAUUGAAUAAUGAGAUGUCGUUGUCCAUGCAUGAAGCUAAAAAGACUUUGAGUGCACUUUGUAUGGAAUAUCAAAAAUUUCAUGCAUGUCCUAAUGAUUGUAUUUUGUAUAGAAACCAGUACAAGGAUGCUAUUGUAGACCCAAUUAGUGGAAAGUCAAGGUGGAAGAUAAACAAUAAGGGGGGAAAGAUUAAGAAUGGGGUUCCUGUAAAGGUUUUGUUGUAUUUCCCACCAAUCCCUAGAUUCAAAAGAAUGUUCCAAUCCUCAAAAACUGCUAAAUGUCUUAUGUGGCAUGCCAAGGAUAAAGAAUAUGAUGGUAAACUACGCUACCCAUCAAACUCCUCAAUGUGGAAACUAGUUAAUCAUAUGUGACCUAAUUUUGCUUCUGAACCGAGAAACCUUAGACUAGCACUGUCAAUAGAUGGUAUAAAUCCUAAUAAGUCUAUGAGUAGUAGACAUAGUUCUUAGCCUAUUAUACUGAUCAUAUACAACCUUCCUCCUUGGUUGUGCAUGAAAAGGAAGUUUAUGAUGGUAUCAUUAUUGAUCUCAGGACCACGACAACCUGGUAAAAAUAUAGAUGUUUACUUGAGUCCAUUGGUGGAUGACCUUAAAACUUUAUGGGAAAAAGGACUUGAGACUUAUGAUGCACACUUGCGUGAAGUUUUUACUUUAAAGGCCAUCUUUUUAUGGACGAUCAAUGAUUUCCCUGCAUAUGGAAACUUGGUCGAUUGCACUGUGAAAGGAUAUUAUGCAUGUCCAAUAUGUGGAGAAGGAAUAUAUUCCAAAAGAUUAAAGCAUGGUAAGAAGAACUCGCAUAUGGGUCACCGACGAUUUCUUCCACGUAACCAUCAUCAGAGACAAAAUAAGGCAUUCAAUGGUGAACAAGAUUUUAAGAUUCCUCCUAAAAUUUUGAGUGGGGAAGAAAUACUUGAAAAAGUUGAUCUCAUUCCUAUUUCUUGGGGGAAAAUGAAGCUAAAAUCUCUUGAAUUUGAUGUGAACACAAAUUGUUGGAAAAAAAAAAGUCUAUAUUUUUUUAGUUAGAAUAUUGGAAAUAUCUUCAUGUCCAUCACAACUUGGAUGUUAUGCACAUUGAAAAGAAUGUCUAUGAGAGUAUUAUUGGUACUUGGUUUAACAUCCUAGGGAAAACAAAUGAUGGACUUAAUGCUCAACUUGACCUAGUUGAAAUGGGUUUAAGAUCUGAACUUUUCCCAAGAGUUGACUUGAAACGGACCUAUCUUCCCCCUACAUGUUAUUCACUAUCCAAAAGUGAGAAAAAAAAUAGUUUGUCAGACAUUGUCUAAUUUGAAGGUCCCUGAGGGUUAUUUCUCAAAUUUUAGAAAUCUUGUCUCCUUGGAGGAAUUGAAGUUAUUUGGUCUAAAAUCUCAUGACUACCAUGCACUUAUGCAACAAAUAUUGCCAAUGGCAUUACGUUCUAUUUUUCCAAAGCAUGUGAGAUAUAUUAUAUCAAGAUUGUGUAUAUUCUUCAAUCAAUUAUGUACAAAAGUGGUUGAUGUGCUAAAAUUGAAUGAAGUACAUAAUGAGUUAGUGGUCAUGCUAUGCUUACUUGAAAAGCAUUUUCCACCUUCAUUUUUUGAUAUUAUGCUUCAUCUACCAGUGCAUUUGAUAAGGGAGGUGCGACUAUGUGGUCUAGUUUACUUUAGGUGGAUGUACCCAUUUGAGAGGUAUAUGAAAGUUCUUAAAGGAUAUGUUUGCAAUCAUAAUCGGCUUGAAGAAUGCAUUGCUGAGUGCUAUUUAGUAGAGAAAGCUAUCAAAUUUUGUACUGAAUAUUUAUCAAGGACUCAUGCAAUUGGAAUUCGAAAAGGUAACAAUUAUGACAACAAAUUUGGUAGACCUAUAACUAGUGGUCGUUCUACCAACAUUGAUCAUAAAUCAUGGUUACAAGCACAUCAUUAUGUGUUAGAGAAUACAACUAUUGUCCAACCAUACAUUGAGUAAGAAAAACAUACCUUUAUCUUUUUAUAAUUUCAUAACAUAAUGAUGAAAUCCUAAGUUUGCAUUCAUUGUCUAUAACGUUAUAGGAAACACAUGAAUUGGUUGAAAUGUCAAUACCCUCUACAAUCUAAGUGACAAAUUUUGGUUGCAAGAAGAACAUAUGCGUUGUUUUACAUAUUGGCUUGAAGGAAAGGUAAUCUCUUAAUUUUCAUAAAUUAUUUUAAUAUGUUGAAAACAUCACAAGUUUCCAAUAUGUUUUGAUUACACACAGGUUGAAGAGGUUAUCCAUAAUGGGCAAGAUAUUCCCAACACGUUUAAGUGGUUAGCACCUGGCCCUACUCACCAAGUGGUCAAAUAUCCUGGAUAUAUCGUUAAUGAGUGUCGUUACCAUAUUAAGGAACGCAAUAUGACAUACGUCACCCAAAAUAGUGGUGUUAGCAUUUUAGCAGGGACUGUGCAAAUUGCCAGUUCUAAGGAUAAGAACCUAGUUUUUAGUGAACUUUGCUUUUAUGGGGUCAUUAAUGAGAUAUGGGAUCUUGAUUACAACAUGUUCACAAUUCCAAUUUUCAAGUGUGAUUGGGUUGACAACAAGAAUGGUAUAAAAGUUUAUGAACUCGAGUUUACAUUAGUUGACUUCUCCAAAAUAGGUGACAAUUUGGAUCCAUUUAUUUUAGCAUCACAAGCCAAGCAAGUCUUCUAUGUUGAAGACCAACUUGAUCCCAAAUGGUCAAUAGUUCUCUCAAUUCCUCUAAAAAAUUUCAACAACAUGGAAGGACUGGAUGACUUCACCGAUAAUUGCAUGGAACAUCACCCCUUUAUAAGUUCAAUGCCAGAAGUCGAAUAAGAGGCAAUAUACAUGAGAGAAGACUGUGAGGGAAUAUGGAUUGAAAAUAAUCAAAUAAUAUAUUACACCCUUGACAUGAGAUAUAAUAAGGCAUUUCACUUAUUAGUUUUCAUGAGUUGCACAUUAGCUUAGCUUCUAAAUAUUUCUCAUGAGAUAUAUAUUGAUCAUCCUAAAUUUCUUUCAUGCAUUAUAAACAUAUGUAAUUCAAAGGUACAACUUCAAUCUUCAUUUAACCAUCUUUUUGUUGUCCAUGGAACUAUAUUUAUAUUAUUUUUUAUUAUCAUGUUUUGAUUUUAUGCUCACAUAACUUGAAACUCUUAUUCCUAAAUUUCUUUUUCAUUAAAACUAGAAAUCAUAAUUGAAACUAUGCACUAAUUUAUUUUAUUAUUAUCCUCACAAAUAAAUUCUUCAUUAUUGAUAAGAAAUCAAAAAACAAGACAAACUUUGAAAGAAAAUUUCAAAAAAUAUAUUAGUGAAUGACCAAUUUAAUUAUAGGAAAUAUAUGCAGGGCUAUACAAAUCUUGCUUUUGAGUCAUUUUGUAGGUUUGUUGAUGAAGUACUAGUUUGCACAUUUACUUGAUAUCUUCCACACAAAUAUGGAUCUGGAAGAAGAGGAAAUGCAAAAAAUAAAGCAUAGAGGUAGUACAUUGAAAUCAGAGAUUGCAAAAAAUCGAAGUAAAGGGAUAAAGCUCAAGAUUGAAUACAAUAGUCUUGGUAGUCACAUUGGGAAAAAUUCAGUUGAACUAAGUAGUUACCUUAGUACAAUAACUAGAACCCAUGUGCCAGUAAUUAUUGAGAGUUGGAGGAAAGUCCCUAAAGAGACUAAGGAGAAGUUAUGGGAUUUGAUCACGGUAAGUCUAUCUAUAGCUUUAAUAUAUAAUUAUUGUAUACAUUCAUUAACAUGAGCUAACAUGGGUUGCUAUUUUGUAGACAAGCUUUAAUGUGAAUAAAAAAUCCAAGAGGAAUUGCUCAUACUAAUGGGCAUCAGGUUUUGAACCUUUAAGUACAAGUUGACAGAGAAAUAUAUAUAACCUUUCAAGAAUGACUCUGAAAAACUGAAAAACCCACCUUCUAUCCAUCCAUUCAUAUAAGAGGAUCAUUGGAGAUAGUUUGUUAAAGAUAGACUUUUUGAACAUUUUAAUGUUAAGCGUUAUUAACCACUAUAAGAAAAAAAAGGCUUUCCUUGAUGGUGUUUGAUUGUGAUGGUAAGGGUUAUAUGUCAUUAUAGCAUUCUGAUUCUAUAUGUCAUCUAUGUUAGUCUCAAGAUUAAGGGAUAAGCAAUCUUGAUAUAUGUGCACUAUAAGGUAGGUAUAUUUCACUACUUAUCAUAUGUUAUGAUCUCCUUAACAUAUGUUAAGAUUAAUAGGAACAUACGUCAAGGUUGCUCUAACAUAUGUCAAAGUUAUGAACCACAUAGGUCUUGGUGGGCACCAUAUAUGUUAAGGAUAGGUACCACAUAAGUAUAAUGUAUGUCAAGGUAGGGAAUAAGUACAACUGUCAAGGUUUCCCUCGAAAAAUUUUAAAAUUACUUUUUAACAUGAAAAAUUGAACCUGUUGUCAUGUAUAAUCAAUUUGAUAUUAUUUAAGAAUGAUAAUAACAAUCAAAUUAUCAUGAUUUUAUAUAUAAUAAAAACAUAUGUAAUAUACAUUUGAUUAUUAAUUAAAGCACAAAUCAAUGAACUUGUUUAAAGUUGUCCCCAAUUUCUCCAUGUAGAAGAAACUCAUAUAAUAUACAAGGAAAUUAAAAACACACUAUAAUACAAUAUACAUAAACUUAAAUUAAGUUGCUCAUGUAUAUAUCUACAACCAAGUCUCUUGACUCCAUCUUGAAGCAUUACUUUACAGGAAAGCCUUAAAUUUUCAACACCCAAACUUUGAAUUUGUAGCAAAAAAUAUAGAGCAUAUUAACAAAUUAAAAAGAAAAAUAUAUAAUGAGGAGUAAUAAAAUAUCAAGCUUUAUGAAGAAUUUUAAUAGCAAGCUAGCCACUACACCUUUAUUAAACAAUAAUAGAUUAUUUCUUAAUAACAUAGGUAAACAAACCAACUCUCAAAUAUUAAAAUAUUGAUAUAGCAAAAGCAUAUGGAGGCUAAACCUAGGAGCAAAACCUAAAACAUAAAUCAUUUUAACCCAAUGAAGUUAUUGUUUUGAUCCAACCUCAACUAAGAUAUUUAACUAUUUAGAUCAUUAUUAUGAUUUUUUAACCUAACACUUUCCCUGAAAUGUCCAAGGUUUCCAUCAAACUAUACAAGUCAAAGAUAGCUUACAAAUCAUGCACAAACGCUUCAUUUGGUUGCUUAGAAAGACCAAGAAAAAAAUGACAACACAACCAGUUAUAGUUUACCAAGCUCUACAGAAAGGUACAUGAAAAAAAUAAAUAUGACAUCAUAUUGAAUGAGGAUAGGAAAAAUAAAUGAAAAAAUUUAGCAAGAACUAAAACAACUUCAAAUUUAUGUAAAUGCAAACUAUACCUAGUUUCAUCUAAAACUGCUCAUUUAAGGGUUUUUUUUUUUAAUUAUUUUUCUAUACAAAAAGAACUUAUCCUUAUAAAAUCUGAGGAACCUCCAAGAACUUGUCUUUCCAAAUUUAGAGCUUGGAAUUUGAGGACAAUGAACUGUUGUUGAUCACCAAAAAGUUGUUUUGAACAACCCCACAAAAGCCAAAGAAUGUGGGGAGCAAAACAGCUUUAAAAACCAGAGCAACACAUUUGCAUGUCUAGAAUUCAAAUGGCAACCAAAGAAUCUCAAAUGCUUACAACUUGACAAGUCCAUUUGAGACUUAGAACCAAAAAACCCAGUAACUAAAUAUUUCAACCAUCAGACAAUCCACACUUUUUCUUCAAUAAAUCACAAAGCAAGCCAGAACGUACCCAGUAAUUAAAAUGGGGAAAAUUUGAGGUUUCUGAUCUCAAGUUUAAUGUAGGUGAAACCAAAAUCAACAUAAGCUUGAUUCAAUGAUGUUCUAUAUGACCAAAAGAGGAAAAUAGAUUAUUAGAAUUUAACUAACAAGAACAAAUAAAAAGAUGAAAUAUUACCAUUUCCACACCUUCAUUUAAUCAAUUGAAAGAGGCAAAGACCCAUUCAAAGCCACAAAAUUAAGUGCCUAUGAAGAAGAACCCAUUUGAUUUGAAACCCAAUAAGCAUGUAUUUAUCGGUAUUUUUACCGAUUUUUUGAGAAAUUUCACAAUAUUUCCUACCAGUCCAGCCCGCGCACAAGAUACAAAAUCUAUCCAUUUUUUUUCUUUUUUUUUUUUAAAAAAAAACAUAAGAUGUUAUUUGGUAAUCUGAUCAUGAUUUGCAAGCAAAGUUUGUGUUUUUCAACUUGGCUCAAAAAUUGUGGAUUUAGGGUUCAUGCAAUUUAAAUCCAAUGACACAAAAACAAAGAGACCCCUAGAACAGAUCCAUAAAACAUAGGGAGCAAGAAAAAAAAAAACAAAUUUUUUUGUUCUCCUUGGGGGUUUUGCAUGGAUUUUCUCGGAAAUCAAACGAGGAUGAAUUUUCCCAAAAAUCGAAUGGGGGAUGGAUUUUCUUGGGAAUCAAAUGGGGGUUUUGCAAAAGAGAAAACACAAGAAGCAAAAAAAAAAAAUCAAUUUUUUUUGGUUUUCCUUGGGGGGUUUUGCAUGGAUUUUUCUUUGGAAAUCAAAACGAAAAUGAAUUUUUCCCAAAAAAUCAAAAUGGGGGGAUGGAAUUUUCCUUGGGGAUUCAAACGAAGGGGUUUUGCCAAAGAGAAAAACCACAAGGAGUAAAAAAAAAAAAACCCCAUUUUUUUGGGUUUUCCUGUGGGGUUUUUGCNNNNNNNNNNNNNNNNNNNNNNNNNNNNNNNNNNNNNNNNNNNNNNNNNNNNNNNNNNNNNNNNNNNNNNNNNNNNNNNNNNNNNNNNNNNNNNNNNNNNAAAAAAAAAACCCACUUUUUUUGUUUUUCCUGGGGGUUUUUCAUUGGAUUUUUCUGAAAAAACAAAAGAGAGAGUAAUUUUCCCAAAAAUCGAAUGGAGAAUGGAUUUUUUUGGGAAUUAAAUGGGGGAUUUUGCAAAGAGAAAACACAGGGAGCAAAAAAAAAAUCAAUUUUUUUUUUUCCUUAGGGGUUUUGCAUGGAUUUUCUCAAAAAUCAAACAAGGAUGAAUUUUCCCGUAAAUCGAAUGGGGGGUGGAUUUUUUUAGGAAUCAAACCGGGGUUGCAAAAAAAAAAAAAAAAAAAAAAAAAAAAAAAAAAACAAUAAUAACAUGAUUAGAUUAGUACCUGCGAUGAUUGAGAGUUGCAAAGAAAAAUAGGGCAGAUUCUCUCGUCUGGAGGGCAACUUCAAAAAAGGGCUUCUUGAUGCCCAAGGCCCCGAGUGAGAGAAGGGGGUGGCCCUUUUGAUUUUUAGAAUUAGUAGAGAUAAAAAAAAUGAAAAAAAAAAAAGAAUAAAAAAGGAAACAAAUCAUGAGAAUAAUUUUCCUCUCUCUAUAUAAAUAAUUAUUAAUUAUCCAUCUUUAUUUUCAUUAAAUCACUUCAUUGGAUUGAAAUUUCGGUUUUUAUGGAUGAUAUUUUAUGAAUUAAAAUUAAUUUGACAAAAUAAAUUAUUAAUAAUUUUAAUUAUUUAAAUAAAUUAAUAUUAAUAGAAAAAGUUGUUACCACAUAUUUUUAAUAAACUUUUAGAAAUUAAAUCUCAAAUAAAAUAUUUUAUAUAAAUUAUUUUAAAAAUGUAAUAAAACGAGUUUUAAUAAAAAUAUUUAAAAAAUUUUAAAACAAAUAUUGUCUUCAACAAGAUGGGCUCUCUUCAUCUAACAAUAUGAUGGAACCACAUCAAUCUUCAUUUUGAUACUAAAACUAUUGCAAUGUCAUAUAUGUAUUAUAUUUAUGUAUAAAUUAUUUUUAUUCAAUAAAAUCAAAUAUUUCUUAACUCAAUUCUAACUUUAUACACUUCCAAAAUUCAUAUUUAUUAUUCUUAAAAUUCAAAUAUCAAAUCUAUCGAUAUAUCACUGUUUACCGAUGUUUUUAUUUUUUAUCAUAUUUAUGUCAAAUAUAUUUACAAAAUAACUUUAAAUUAUGAAUUCUUACUUAUUUUAUCAAUUUUUGGAGGUUUUCCAAGCAUUCCUAUAAAUUUUAAAUAAUUUUCGCUCCACUGAUAUUUGUGAAAAAAUAUCCACCAAUAUUUUUUCAAUAUUUCUAAUGUAUCCGUAAAAUCGAAAUACCGAUAUAUUCGUAAUUAUCGAUAUUUUCAUUCUUGGUUUAGAGAAAAAAGUUUCAAACCCUAAGCUCUCAAAUGAAUAUCAGGUUUUGAGAAAAUGAGGAGUGUUCUUUGUAAAUACCACAAGGAACCUUGAUAGGUAAUUAUAACAUGAUAUCUUGACUUAUAAUCCAUAGGUCAUUUAAGAUCAUUUUACUAUAAUUAAAAUGGCAUAUAUGUUUAAAAUCAUACUUUGAAUUUUGAUUUUAUGUCAAGCUAGCCACAUUAUAUUAGUACCUUAACAUAUGAACAUACUAACUAUACAUUGACUUAUAAAUUAUCUGUCAAGAUUCUAUUAUAUAAGUCAUGAAAGAAUUCAACAAAAUUUUAUAUAUGUCAUUAUUGGUUUAAACAAGUUGUAUAUGUCAUAGUUGUUCAUUUAAAUAGGCAAUAUUAACACAUAUCACCUUAAGUCAAGAUAAUAUAUGUCAACAAUGACCUUUUUUCUUGUAAUGAUUUUUAUUACAUCUUCAAUUUUUACAUUUACAUAGUUUCACCAUGUACUAAUUUUGUGUCUAUACUUUGUAGGAAUAUCGCAAGGUUCAGAAAUCAAGAAGAAAUAAACACAUUACAAUCAUUAUCUUGGAAAAAAAGGAUAUGCACGUUUUGAGCAGAAUAUAGUAAGUUAUCAAUAUCGGCAAAAAAAAUAGAGUAUAUAUUUUGUUUAUAGGAAAAUGAUUCCAAUUUUUAAAUAUCAUUUAUUAACUUGGUCAUAUUGAACCAGUGAGUUUUAUUAUUAAAAUUUUUAUAGGUACAAGCAAAAGAGGAUAUUGGUAGGGUUGAUAGAAGUGUUUUAUGGAAGAAAGCACAUGAGAAGAAAGGAAAGUUUAAUAAGAUUACAGAGCCAGUGAAUAACAUGAUAGUAAGUUGGCAUAUUUAUGCCUUUUAGAGCCUAUAGUGUUAUUAUGUCUAUGUGAUUAUGGUUUGUGAUGAUAUCGUUAGGUGUUAAUAAGCAAGAGGCUUAAUGCUAUCACUUUUAUGAGUAGUCAUGUUAUGCUAAUGCAAAUAUAGUAGCCUAAUUUCAAAAUUAAUUUUAAAGUAGUAUACAUCAAUUUGUCUAUUAUCCUUUAUAUUAUCAAUGAUGGGGAAGCUAUUGGCUUUGAGCUUGAUUGGCUAACAAGCCUUGUCAUACUUGAAACUAAACAUCCUCAGGUAUGUAAUUUUAUGCUUGUAGUAAAUUUGAUUAUAACUUGGUAUUUUAUUGUUUAGGAGUAUAUAUUACUAACAUUCCUUUCCUUUUCAUAGGUGUUGGAUAAAUGAAAGAAAAAGAUAGUGAAGACACCAAUUAUUUGAAAAUCUAAGCCUCAAAAUCAUUCGGUCAUUAAAAAUUUUAAGAAAUUUGCGGAUGAUUAUCUUAGUAAUGAGAAGACAUACCCAAUACAACUCCCCAUUUCACUAUUUGGUGUCAAAUUUCAAACAUAUAUAUCUAGAGAGGAUUGUGAAUACAUUAUUUCAUCUUUAGAGGUGUCAUCAAACUGGAUCUCCUUCUAUUUAUGGUGUGCACUUUUAUUUUCAUUUGUUUUUAUUUUUUUAAUAUGAGUUUCCCAUGUUGAACGAGAUUGGAUAUGACUAAUGAUAAUUUUUUUUUGAUGUUUUAUUAAAAAAAAAUAGGCACAUGCAUGAUCAACUACAUAUUUCCAAAAAGGAAUCACAAUUUAUAUUUGUUAAUCCUUUUACAAUAUCACGAGCAGGCUUUAGUACUCCUCAAACAGAGAAAAGAGCACAAUUGUUGUCAAAACGCUUAAUAGAAUGCCAAGAUGCUGAAUAUGUUUUCAUGCCCUACAACCCCAAGUAAGUGAUGAAUAUUAUACUUUAACUUGAGGUUUUAUGAUUAAUUUAUAUUUAUAAUUAGAUGCUACUUUUGUUUUUAAUGUUUUAGCUUUCAUUAGGUCUUAGAAGUGAUUGAGCCAAGGAAAAUGAUAGUCCACUAUCUUGACCCUAUGCAUCACAAACCAUGUUAGGACUUAAAGGAUAUCGUAAACAUGUAAGUUUUUCCUAUUAUUUUUCAUAGUAUUAUUUAAAAAAAAAAAUACAUUCACCUCAAACACAUUUUUUUUUUAUUUCUAUAUAUUAAAACAUAUAACAUUUACCUAUUUUAAAAAUGUACCCAUUGAACUUAUUUACAUAGGGUUCUUCAAAUAUCUGCAAAGAAAACAUCUAAGAGGAAGCCAUCUUGGCAACUAGUGUAGGUGACAUCCAUAAUUUUCUUUACACAUUUAGCUUAUGCAUUUGCACCAUUUAUAUAUAUGAGCACUAAUGUUAUUUUAUAAUUGAUUGAUUAAUGUCCAAGACAAGAAAGAGGGUUCGAAUGUGGCUACUUUGUUAUGGGAUUCAUUAAAGAGAUAAUUUUUUAUCCUAAAAUUAUUGCUUCAAAGGUAUUACUUAUUUAAUGAAUUGUAAAUAGUUUUAAUGUUAUGCAUUUUAAUGUUAUUUUCUUAUUUGAUUUCAGUUUGGUGAUAAAAAUAAAAAUAAAAAAUAAAAAAAAUAAAAAAAACAUAUUCUCAAGUAGAAUUCGAUGAAAUUAAAGGAGAAUAGGCUACUUUUGUGCUAUAACUAAUGAUGAAUCAUGUUGAUGCAUCAUGAUCACCAUGCAUGGUGAGUUCCUUAGUUACUACAUGAAUUUUUCCAUAGGUAUUGUACUUUGAACAAUGUGUGUAUUUGAAAAAAAAAAGAAAAAAAAAAUAGUUCUUAGAUUUGUUCAUUUAUGAUAACAUCGAUCCAUGUUUAUUUUCUUCAAUAAAAAUCUAUAAAACUCAUUAAACCAUGAAAUGCAGGUAUCCGCUCUUGGGAUGGUGGAAUGGAGAAUAAAAAGAAAGAAGAAGGCAACAAGAUUUUGGGUUUUUAAAUGCAACUCUUAUGUCAUACGUUGUAGGACAUAAACGCUACUUUAAUUGGUACUAAGAAUUUUAGAUUUUUAGAUGCGACUUUUAUGUCAUUUUAUAGUUAGUCAGUUUUAUGCUUAUGAAAUGGAGGUAUACAUGAAUCUUGGGAUCUUUAACAUUUCUAAAUCAUGUUUUGGUAUGUAUUCACUCUUCUUUUUUAGUUUUGAUGGGUUUGAUAUGUUGGAUGUACUAUCUUUUUGUGAACAUUUGAUAUAUUAAUAUUAUUAGAUGAUUAAUGUAUUACGAGUUAUUCCGUAAACAUUAUAGAAAAAUGAGUCAAAUGUAAUAUGAUUGUUAUAUUUAUGGACAAAAUAUACACAAGUUAAUCUUAUUAAUUCAUAAGCAUUACAAAAAUCUACAACUAAAAACAAUAAUAUCUUCCACAAUAAUUUACAAUGAUGUGACAUCAUAACUCAAAGGUGAUGCCUUUAAUGUGACAUCAUAACUCAAAGAUGAUGCAUUUAAUGCAACACCCUAUCAUCACUAGAAAUAUAUGGUGUUACUUCCGAAUUGUGUCACCAUUUAUCUACUUUGGUGUCACUUCUAAAUACGUCACCAAUUGGUAUCCUUUAUGGUGUCAGUGGAGAAGGUGACGCUAUGUUGUAGUGACACCCUAUGUUUAUGGUGGCUUGUUAUAAAUGUCACCAUACAUCUUUUUCCUUGUAGUGAGUUAAAAAGAGUGGAUAUAGGUGGAUUUUCAAACCACUAUAAAAAAGUUGGCAUAUAUCUUCUUUUUAUCUUUUAUGUAAUUAUUGCCUUAAUUAAUUUCUCUUAUUGUUUUUGUUAUUAAUUGGUUGUUUUUGAACAAAAAAUUUAACACCUAAUUCAUCCCUCCUCCCCUCCCUUUAGUGAUUUACUUAAUCAAAUUGGCCAUUUUCACAAUUAUUAUCAAGUACAUAUGUGUUAUGGAGAAUGGUGGGUAUGACUGGCAAUUGGAAAAUGACUUUUUAAGAAGGUAGAUGGGUUGGUGGUGAAGAUGGUGAAAGGUUGAAGGGGUUAUGGCAUUAGGUAUAGAUGUGGUAAGCCAUUGUUAGCGAUGGUCGUUUUCUCCCUUUUUAAAGAUAGGUUUUUUUUUUUUCAAAGUUGCAAUGGUGCUUGACUAGGUGAGGGUCUAAGAUUUUGUUUGUUUGUUUGUUUGUUUGUUUUGUUUUGUUUUGUUUUUUCUUUUUCAUCUUUUUUCCCAAACAACACUCCUCACAACUCCAUCUUUGUCAUCUUUGCUACAAAAACAAAACAUGCUACUACAACGCAUUUAAUGCGCUUCAUCAUGCCAUGAGUUUUAUAUUAUUUAAAAUUUAGAAAUUAAAAAAAAAUUAAAAUAGAAUUUAGAAAUUAAAAAAUAGAUUAAAAAUAAAAUUCAAAUUUUACAAUUUGUAUUAUUUAAAAUUUAGAAAUAAAAUAAUUAAAAAUAAAUAAAAAAUAGAAUUUACAUAUUAAAAAUUAGACUAAAAAAAAUUGAAAAUUCAAAGUAAGGAAUUUAAAACAUAAAUUAAAUAUUUUAUUAAAAAAUGUAUGCAAGUAAAAAAGAUCAUUAACAAAUUAGUACCUACAACAAUUACUACUUUUAUGACAUAAUUUAUGAUUUUAUUCUUAAUAACAAAUCACUUUUGAAAAAUUAGUAAUUAAUAAUUGAAAAUAAUAAAUACAUAGUCGGAUUAUUUAAAAAUAAAAUAAACAAUUAUUAAUUAAGAUGUGGUUGGAUCCUUUACAAAGAAACUUUUUAUGUAUAUAAUAUAUUACUAUUAUAUAGUGUAUUUUUUAUUUUGUAAAAUAGCAAUAUAGUAGUUAUGCAUAUAGUACAAUAUAUUAUAUGAUAUAAUAUUUAACUUAUAAUCAUAUAUUUAUAAAAAUAUAUAUAUAUAUGAUAUCUUUAUACACACAUUAUAUUUGGAAUUCUAGAUCAAUGUAAUGUCUUUAGAGAAACUAGACUAUUUAUUUGAUAAAUUCCAAUAUAUAAAAGUUUUUUAAAAACUAAGCAAUAAUUUAAAAAAUGUUCCUAUUGGGUUAAACUAAGCAAUUAAAUAUUAUUAUAAAUUUACUUUGUGAGCAAACAAGCUUAGGGGUAGCAAUUUGUGUUGGUGGGUCAUAUUUGUGUUGUGUCAAACCCGACAUGAAUAAUAAUAUGAUUAAAAACAUAUAACCAAAUACUACAUAAUUAUUAAACAAGUAACAUGUCGUGUAACUCAUUUAUCUUAUUUAAUAAUUAGGCUUUAUCUUUUAAUAAUUAGGUUGAGUUAGGUCUUGUGUUAAUUUAUAUAACCAAUAUAUGUUUAUAACUCAAUUAUCCUAUUUAUUUAAAAUAAAGUUUAAAAUGUACCAAAUAUUGGUUAAAUAUUUUAAAGUUAUAAUUAAACUAAUCAACACGAUUAUUAAAUGAAUCAAUUUAUGUCAAAUUUUGUUAUGCAUGCGGAUCCAAAGACUACCUAGUUAUUAAACGAGUUAUAUAGAACCACAUGAAUUUGACUCAAACUCAAUUAUACUCAACUCAACCACAUAAAAAGCAUGUUAGAUUCAAGUCUUGUUGAUUAAAUGUAUGAAAUUUUAUCACCCUUAAACAAGUCCGAUGUCAAAUGAUAACAAAUUAGAAGACUAUAGUUUAUCCAUAACUAACAUAAAUUUAAUUUGAGAUUUAUGUAUUAAAGUGAAAAAUUCAAAAUGGAACUAAAAUAAAAGUAUGAUUAAGAGAAAACAUUAGAAUAAUGUUGAAGUGUAAUACUUGAACCGACAUCAAUAAAAUAAUAAUCAAAAUGAGAUUAGAGUUCUACAUUCUUUUUUGUUUUCUUUCUCUUUCUCUUGUAUUUCAAAAAUAUCAAACACAAUAAAACACUAUAGAGGCAAAUCAUGCAUAUAAUAAUUUAUGAUAUAUUUCAAUUACUUUUAUAACUACUCUUUAUAUAUAUAUAUAUAUAAUGUAUGCAAGUAUAAAAACUCCUUUACAAGUUAGUAGCUACAAUAGUUAUUAUUUUAAGGUACAAUUUAUGAUUUUAUUCUUAAUAAUUAAUUACUUUUAGCAAAUUAGUAAUUAAUGAUUAAAAAUAAUAAAUGCAUAAUGAGAUCAUUAAAAAAUAAAAUAAUCAAUUACUAAUAAAGAUAUGGUUGGAUACUUUACGAAAAACCUUUAGACUUACAUUUUUUAUUUUGUAAAUAGUAAUAUAGUAGUUGGGCAUAUAGUGUCUUAUAUUGUAUCAUAUAAUAAUUAUCUUGCAAUCAUAUAUUUAUUAAUAAUAUAUAUCUUUAUACGCACAAGUCAUAUUUGGAAUUUUAUGUAAAUAGAAUGUCUUCAUGGAUGCUAGGCAAUUUAUUUGAUAAAUUCCAUUUUGAACAAUUAUUUAAAAAUCAAGUAAUAAUUAAAAAGAAUUUCUAUUAGUUUAAACCAAUGAUGAAAAUAUCGGUAAUUACGGAUAUAUCAGUACUUUCAUUUUAUGGAUAUAUUGGAUAUAUCGGAGAUAUAUCGACAAAUAUUUUGACAUAAAAUAUCGAUGAACCUAAAAUUGAUAAAAAAAAAAUUAUAGAAAUAUAAGAAAAUAACACUUAAAAAUAAAAUUAGAAAUAUAAUAGAUAUUUUAAAAUUGUUUUGUUUAAUAAAUUGAUAUAUGCAUAAUAUAAUUUAUCAUAUUUGAUGAUAAUAUUGUAUGUGCUAAUAAAAAAACUAUAAAUUUCAUAAGUAUAUAUUUAUUAUUAAAUUAUAUCAAAUAUUAUUCACAAUAACAUUGUGAUGUUUGAUUAUAAUAUGUCUAAUUUUAAAAUAUAUUUAAUGUUAAAAUUAUAAUUCAUUUAAUUAUAUUAAAUGAUAUAAAAUAAAUGAUGAUAUAUGUAUAAUUUUUAAUACUUAAUUAAUAUAUUAAUGAUAUUAAAAACACUAUGGUAUAUUUGGUAUAAUUCAUUUAAUUCAUAAUAAUUUUUAUUAAACACUAUGGUAUUCAAAUAGAAGAAAUUUUUUUAUUUAAUUAUAAAAUAAUUAUAAUUAAUUUGUUCUUUAAAACAUUUUUUUUAAAUUAUGUUUAUAUGAUGAAUUUGACUUUAUAUAUAUUUGGUGCAGGUUAUAUAGCAAGGGGCAAACUUUCCCUAGCAGUUGACUCACUUCUAGCCAAACCUUUUGGUGGGGUUUGAGCCCUCGAUGGAAAUCUUAAGGCAUUUUUAAAAGUUUAACCGCAUUGAUCCUCGUAUAACCACCCAAAAUAUCGCGAUAUAUUGGAGAUAAAAUAAUAAAAUGCUAAUAAAUCCGGAGAAAUAGGUGAACUUCACGAGAAAAUGAUAAAAUAUCGUGAAACUGAUAUUUCUCUUCCAUAUAUCGUGUCAUAAGACAUGAUUUUGUAUGAGAACAAAUUAGGGGACUAUAGCUUAUUCAUAGCUAACUUAAAUUCAAUACUAUUUUACAAUUAUAUAGAUAACUUUUACCUAAUAUAAUAAAAAUCAUUUAGUAUUAUUUAUGUUUGAGUAGCAUCAUAUAAUAAUAUUGAAAUUUAAAUAAAUUUAUAUUAUGGGAUAUAAUCUUACAUGUCUUGGAUUGUUUGUUAUUAUUUAUAUAAAAAAUAUAAAUAACAUUUUACAUUAUAAAAAUUAAUUGCUCAAAUAAUUUUCCUUUUUAUUAUUUCAUAAUAAUACUAUUAUUACGUUACAAAACAUUUAAAUUUAAAUAAAUCUAUAAUGUAGUAUUUCAUUUUUUGGAUCUUUAAUUAUUUUUAUUAUUAUUUUAUAGAAAUAAAAUAUUAUAGUAUAAAUAUUAAGUCUCAAAAAAUACAUAUGUCAUUUGACAAUAUAAAUCAUCUUGCUAUUUAUCAAUAUUAUUUAUUAAUAUCACAAUUUAAUAACAUCAUUUAGUAAUAAAAUCAUUCAAUUUGUCAAGAAAUAAUAUAAGCAAUUAAUGAAACCAUUUUGUAAGCAAAUAUAUAUAAAAAGUUGUAACUUUUAGUAAGAAAAUUAUUUUUGUCACCAAAAAUUGUAAUGAGACAAAUAUUUUUGUGGGAAAAUAGUUUUGUUCUAUCACAAAAGUGUUUGCCCCAAAAAAAUGACGAUGCCAAAAUUUUCCAUCAUGUAUUUUAGUGAUGAAAAUUUCAAAUUCAUCAGGAAAAGUUUUCAAAAAAUUGACACCAUUCACAACAUCUAAAAUUUCAUCAAUAAAAUUUACUUUUAAAGAUAAAAGUAUAAUUUACCCCUAAAGUUUCUUUUUUAUUUGCUUCAUUAUGAAAUUUAAGAUAAGUUCUUCAAGUAUGAUUUAUUUUUUAUAUUCUUUUCUCUUUCUUUAACCACGAGAUUAAUAGGAAGAAGAAUUGAGGAAAUGAGAAAAAUGGUUAUGGUAAAGAAAUAACAAAGUAAUAACAAGAUUUAGGCUGUGGGUAGGAGAUAAGUAAAACUAGUGGUUAAUUAAUAAAUAAUUAUCCUACUUCCUACCAUGAAAAAAAAAAAAGAAUACUAACAUUAUUAAUUCAACAAAACCCAUUAAUGUAAUUAUGGGAAGUGAAAAUGAUAAUAAUAAUAUGAUUAAUAAAAAAAUUAAUUAAAAAAAAUAGAUUUUUAGAAAAGGGUUUGGAAUUAAAAUAAGUUUUACAAAAAAAUUUGGAGGUCAUUAAUUUAGAUAAUUAGUCUUUAAUAAUUAUUUUUUAUUUAUAUUUAUAUUAGGUCUAGAUAAAGUCUUUCAGGAUUUUGAAUGAUUUCUUCAAGGUAAGGGUUAAUAGUAUAGUAAACUAUUUUAUAAUUCCUUAUUUGUUUUCAUUUGUUUUUAAACUAUCGAAAUGUUUAAAUUCCCUAAAGUGAAUCAAAUAAUAUUUUACUAAAAAUGUUAUGAUUUGUUCCUUAGUUUAUAAAAUAAAUUGGGAAUAUCAUAUGAUUUAUUUAUUGUUAUGCAAGUGAAUUUUGUUGUUUAAUUUAUUAUAUUGGUUUUGAAACUCUAGUUAUUAGUGGACUUGGUCAACAAGGGAGCAAUUGUUGACCUUUGUUACCUUUGGUAGGGUAGUGAUAUAAUGGAACCCUAACUAAUAAGGGUGUUAAAGGUAUACCAUUGAUUAUAAAUCAUUUCAUCCAUGUCUAUAAGGAACAAAGUGAGACUAGCCACCUAAUGUAAGUUCUACUAUUUGGACACAAUGUUAUUAUCAAUAAGUCAGAGUAAAAUGUUUAUUUAUAAUUUAAGUAUGCAAAGUAUAUUAAUUAUUUAGUUCUAUCUUUUAAUUGAAAGUGCAUACUUUUUUGAAGAAAGUGAAUUUAAUUAUUGAAUUAAAUGAAUCCCUACUAAUCAUUUUUUUUUUUUUUUAAUAAAGAUGUGAUAUCUCCUAGGAUUUAACUUUAUACUAUACUUGAUCCUCCUUAUUGAACUAUUUUUCCUCACUGAGUUUUAAGUUCACUCUUCUCUAUUAUUCCACUUUUUAGGUAUAAAUGAUAUUAAUGAGGGGAAAUCAAGAUAAGAAAGGUGUUUCUUUUGAAAAUAGCUUAACAAUUAAUUAUUUAGGAGUUUUAAAUUAAGAUUGAAUUUAAUAUUGAUUUCUAAAACUCUUUAAAGUGUUUUGGGAUGAUCUUUGAAUUUAUUAUUUAGAUAUUUUUAAUUAGUUUUGGGUUAGAAAUUUAUAAUCAUUGUUAAGAAUCAAUUUGAGGAAGUUGUCAACUAAUUACUUAUUGGAUUUGUUAGUUAAAGUCAUUCAUGUGUUGGACUCUUGGGUUUGACAAGUGAAAUAACCGUGGUGUCUUUGAUAUCCGGGUGUCACAAUUAAUAUAUCUAAAAAACUAUUUUCUAAAAUAUCUUUUAAAAAUGGCUCAUUGUUUUGAAAUCAAAAUAGUAUUUUUCAUAUUUAAAAAAUUAGAAACACAAUUUUGAAAAGAAAGCGAAAAUAAUCUUCAUUUUCAAAGAAAGAUUUCUUGUUAAGGUAAAAAUAGACAUUCAACAAUUUAACCAAUUAUUGCAUAAAUAUGUAUCAUAUGGAGAAAAAAAAAUUAUAUUAAAGCUCCACAAAUAGAAGGGAAUUUAUUCCAAAAGUUUAAAAGGAAAUGUGAGGAAAAAAAAUGGUGUGAAAAAAUAGGAGAAAGAAAGUGAAAAAAUAAAAAAGGUUUAAAUUAACUUGAUCAAUUUUUACGCGUCUUCAAAUUUAUUCAUCAUUUUUUCUGUUUCUAAACAAUUUCAAAAUAUAUAAAUCUUUGCAUAAUUUAUUUAUAAAGUAUAGAUUAUAUUUGUUUUGAAUUUUUUUUAAAUCUAUAAUUAUUUAUUAUUAUUAUUAUUAUUAUUAUUAAAUUGCUUUUUGUUGAGAAAAAAAGAUACUGUGAGUCUUAAUAGAUGUUUUAAGUGAUUCGUAACAUACAAUGGGUUGUUCGUAUUCUAUUUUCAACUUUAAAAAAAAAAAUUUUUUGUGUUUUUUUAUGGAAAAUUAGCUAAUCAUCUUUUCUUUUCUAAUCUUAAUUCUCAAGUUUUUAAAAAAUUGGGAAACAACUGUGAAUGAGCGAAAACAAUGUGAAUGUUUGAAAAUUUCUAACAGACCCAUUCCAUUCAGCAUUCAGACGACAAAACCACCCACCCCAGACCAGGGGCCAAAAACAAAUAAGUUACCUCAAGACACCACACCAAAAGAAGCGUUUGGCCAAAUAUUUUUAAAAUAAGAAUACUAAAAAAGGUAUACUAUUAAAUUUCAAAAAAAAAAAAAAAAACACUAGACUAGAUGUAUUUAAUCAAAACCCUAGGACAAAAGAAUGAAAUUAAUAGUAUAUGAAAAGUUAUUGUCAAUCUACCAUUUAUCAAUUAUUCUUGAAUGUCAUUCUCUUACCGUAUCUCUCGCAUUAUACCAUUUAUAUAUUUUUAAUACGGGUCCACCUAUAACAUCGUCCCAUUCGGUUAUUGUACUUUUCACAUGGUACCAUUUAUAUACUUUCAAAAUGGGUCUACCUAUAGCAUGUUGAAGUAUAGCUUCUACUAUAGUAUUAAAAAUAUGAUUUUUUUUUUUCGAUAGAUACUGAAAAUCAUGUAACAUUUAAUUAAGUACACUAUUAUUCUACAAAUAUAAAAAAAAUAAUAUUAUUAAUCAAAUGGUGUCAUUUCCUUCAAGUUUAUUCACACCAUUUUUGACUCAUUCGUUGGACAUUAUAGUGCUACAAAUGGAUGAAGACAACAAGUAAAAUAAAAAUAUCAACAAUAGAAAUAGAAUGUAAAACUUAAAUUGGACAUUAUUUGCUGGUGCAUGGAAUUUAUCUGUGCACUGUCUUAUCGAGGUUAUGGCAGGUAGACCCAGUAGCUUCUUACAUCCAUGCUCAUUUCUUUAAUCGUUCAUUGAAUGUUGUGAGGUGCUCACCAAAUUUUACAAAUCCAUAGGAACGGACCCAGAACAAGGACUAGGUUUGAUUCAACUGGAAAUGGAGAAUACAGAUACACUUUGGUUCCUUGCAUGAUAAAAAAUAUUAUGAGAAAUGUUUAAACUUAAAGUUUAUUUUAUGGAUUUGCAAAUGUGAAUGCUUUUUUGGUCUGGAUUUGCGAGAGCGUGAUAUGGGUAUUCAAUUCAGCUGUUAUAUUUCAUUUUUCUAUUAAUGGGAUAAGGAUUGAAGAGUUCAACAAACAUCCGUAUAAAAAAUAAAGAUAAUUUCAUUCAAAUUCUAGUAAUCAAUUGCCUCAUUUUAUGCCCUUACUCACACUUUGUGAACCAAUCUUUCAAUUAGAAAUUAAUUUAUGGCAUAUAUAUAUAUAUACUUGUUGUAAUGCAUAUAAUAAGACCAUAUAAAAACUAAAAAGAAAAAAGGAAUGAAUGAUGCCAUAACACUAACACGUGCAGGAGUUUAUUUAAAUAUGGUUUCUAAUUUAACUAAAGUCACAUCUUCAAAAUGACAUUUUAAAAUUUGAACAGAGAUAUUUAUUUAUUUUAUUGGAGUUGGAUUUGAAUGUUUGGAUUGACCAAUUUCAUAAAUAAUUAUUUAUUUCAUUUAUUGGAGUUUAAUUUGAAUGUCUGGAUUGACCUGAUUUAAUAAAUAAUUAUUUAUUGGGUUUGCGUUUGAGUAUCCAAGUGACCUAAGCCAACCUAAUAAAUAAAAAUAAGGGAGAAGUUUUUGAAAGCUUUAAAACUACUAAAAAACUAUUAUUAAAAAAAUAAAUAGUGUGAAUGUUAGACUUCUGGGGAUGAGAAAAUAAAAAAGAAAAUAAUUCUUCUUUAUAGGACAAAGUCCCCUCUUGAAUUUUUUCCUAUUUUCUUUAUAAAAAUGAGGGUCAAAAUUUUUAUGCCGUCAAAAUAGAGUGAUUCUUAUAAGCUUUAGAUGUGAUGUUGGUUGACUAUUAUGAUAGUAAAUUGGGGAGGAUGCUUGCAUAUAGUGUGUAUCUUUGAUGGACAUGCAUUUGUAUAAUUUUUUUUUAUGAUUUAUGAACAUUUUGCAAUCAUCAUGUAGAUUUGAUUUGGUUUGAUUUGAAUUUUUGGACGUGCAACAUAAGAAAUAGGUUUUCUAUUAAGAUAUUUGAAUGGGUAUAGGUUUGUACUUUAGAAAUGAACAUAUGAUUAAAAUAAACCUGUUUCUAACCUUCUAACACACAAAUUUGGAAAUCUAAACAUAUGGAUUGUUUCUGAAAGCAGCGCUGACUUUUCCCUUCCUACCAAAUACAAACAUCAUGGCUGGAGAGUUAAUGAAGAUUUUUACCACUACCAUGGAUUCUGGUGCUAUUCCUUCUUCCUAGAAGGAACCAUGAAAUCUCAAGAACACUUCCAGGUCCAAUCUUGAUAAAUUAUUUAAUUUUGAUUUUUUUUUUCAAAUCUAUAAUUAUUUAUUAUUAUUAUUGUUAAAUUGCUUUUUGUUAAAUUUAAAUCUCUAAAUUAUUAUGCGAGGUCAAAGUUUCAAAAGUAUUCUACAUAUAUUUUAAAUUUAUUUCUUGGUCAAUUCUCAUAAUUAUAGUGGUCCUGCUCAUUGAACUGGUCCUGGAAGAACAUUCAAAUUACUUUAUCUUAUAUUGAUACGUGGCGAGAAAUUGUUGAACCCCAGAAGAAUCGUCUUGAAUAUAUUAUGAAUUAUAUAUUAAAGAAAUACAGAAAAAGUUUGGGAGAAACCGGCUGUUGGCCGCCCACAGAAGGUGACAGCAGCCAUAAAAGUUGCAGUUCAGCUUUCACCAAUUCUAGUUUUGGUUCUCUCCAGCCUCUAUAAAUACCUUUAAGAAUUCAUCUAUUCAUGUCAAAGAGCAGAUAAGUCGUGCUGUUAGAAAUAGUAAGGAAAUUGAAGGAGUUGUGUUUAGGACAAGAGAAGCUUUUCUUCCAAAGAAGAUGUGGCUGAUCAUGAAGGUUUUCCUCUUGCAAAUUUUAGCGUUUCUACUUUUUGGUGGUGGCAUCUAUUGCCAAGCUUCAACCCGUCGGCUUACUUUUGUGGUAAAUACUAUAUAUGAUUCUAUCCUUAACGCCACCUUAUGAUCGUAAUAUUUAGGGAGUAGUAUUACUCUCAUUUUCCACCGUAUGACCCCCAUGGGGUCUCGGGUACCCUGUGUCAUUGAGUCAUUCAUGCAUGCUAUCAAUUUCUAAUUGGUUAUUAACUUGCAUGAAUGGAUCGAUGCAACUAUUCAUGCAUGUAAUAUGUCUUUGGGGAUGAGGUUGCAUGGUUUCUUCCUAGAAGGAACCAUGAAAUCUCAAGAACACUUCCAGGUCGAAUCUUGAUAAAUUAUUUAAUUUUGAUUUUUUUUUUAAAUCUAUAAUUAUUUAUUAUUAUUUUUAUUAUUGUUAAAUUGCUUUUUUGUUAAAUUUAAAUCUAUCAAUUAUUAUGCGAGGUCAAAGUUUUAAAAGUAUUCUACAUAUAUUUUAAAUUUAUUUCUUGGUCAAUUCUCAAAGUCAAACUUGUAUUCCACGAUACACAGCCUGAUUGAAGCUGAGUUGUAAGAAAUUAAUUUUCAGGCAUUUGGUUUAUUUAAAAUUUGGUAAGUGAUCAAAUAUCAUAAUUAUAGUGGUCCUGCUCAUUGAACUGGUCCUGGAAGAACAUUCAAAUUACUUUAUCUUAUAUUGAUACGUGACGAGAAAUUGUUGAACCCCAGGAGAAUCGUCUUGAAUAUAUUAUGAAUUAUAUAUUAAAGAAAUACAGCAAAAUUUCGGGAGAAACCGGCUGUUGGGUGCCCACAGAAGGUGACAGCAGCCAUAAAAGUUGCUGUCCAGGUUUCACCAAUUCUAGUUUUGGUUCUCUCCAGCCUCUAUAAAUACCUUUAAGAAUUCAUCUAUUCAUGUCAAAGAGCAGAUAAGUCGUGCUAUUAGAAAUAGUAAGAAAAUUGAAGUUGUGUUUAGGACAAGAGAAGCUUUUCUUCCAAAGAAGAUGUGGCUGAUCAUGAAGGUUUUCCUCUUGCAAAUUUUAGUGUUUCUACUUUUUGGUGGUGGCAUCUAUUGCCAAGCUUCAACCCGUCGACUUACUUUUGUGGUAAAUACUAUAUAUGAUUCUAGACUUAACACCACCUUAUGAUCGUAAUAUUCAGGGAGUAGUAUUACUCUCAUUUUCCACCGUAUGACCCCAAUGGGGUCUCGGGUACCCUAUGUCAUUGAGUCAUUCAUGCAUGCUAUCAAUUUCUAAUUGGUUAUACACUUGCAUGAAUGGAUCAAUGCAACUAUUCAUGCAUGUAAUAUGUCUUUAGGGAUGAGGUUGCAUGGUUAACUUUUAAUUGGUUGCAGGUGAAGGAAGCUUCAUAUACAAGGCUUUGUAGCUCCAAGAACAUCUUAACAGUAAAUGGACAAUUUCCAGGACCAACUAUAUAUGCUAAGAAAGGAGAGACGAUCAUUGUUGACGUUUAUAACAAAGGAAAAGAAAACAUCACCAUUCACUGGUAGGUCUUGUGGGUAUCUUAAAAAACAAUAGCAAUUGACAGCAUGCCUACGUGACAUAUAUUGCUUUGCUAAGAGGGGGCUACAAUAUAUUGCUUUGCUAAUAAAGUCAAAUUUAAACAAUACUUUAUGGUUAUUUGUUUCAAUUCCAUUGAAAUAUGUACAGUUGAUGCCUCUUGUUACCAUGACAAUAUAUUGUUGCAUGCCAUCUUUUGUUAGUCCAAAAAUUAGUACUAGUUUUAACAUGUAGUUAUUGUUUGGCAGGCAUGGGGUGAGCAUGCCUAGAUAUCCAUGGACAGAUGGUCCCGAGUAUAUCACACAAUGCCCAAUUCAACCAGGGUCAAAAUUUAGCCAAAAGAUCAUUCUUUCCUUUGAGGAAGGCACUCUAUGGUGGCAUGCUCACAGUGAUUGGACCCGAGCCACCGUUCAUGGAGCUAUAAUCAUCUAUCCCAAGAAUGGAACCAAGUAUCCUUUUCCCAAACCUGAUGCAGAAGUUCCCAUCAUAUUAGGUACAAGUCUCGUUACUAUUAAAGGUUAAUUUACAUAUUAUGGAUUAACUAGCAAAGCGAAAUCUAAAAUUAUUGAAGUUGUUGAAAUGCAGGAGAAUGGUGGAAGAGUGAUGUGAAUGCGGUUCGAGAUGAAGGGCUUGCAACUGGAGCUGACCCCAAUGUCUCUGAUUCUUUUUUGAUAAAUGGACAACCUGGUGAUCUACUUCCAUGUUCAAAAUCAAGUACAAACUAAGUUUAACUUCCCACUUUAAAAUUGUACACGAUUUCAUUUUCUUGUUUGUUGACCAUAUUACUUUUUCUUAUUAACAUCAACAUAUUUAAAGCUUAAUGUUAAAAAAGAGGAAUAUAGCUAUGAGGAUGGUAGAGCCAUGAUUUAACACAUAAGAAAAGGCUAGUCCAAAUAUAAUUUUGAACUAUGGAGCCAAAUUUACACCACUAAUCACUUCAUAAUUGGUGGAUCCUCAUGGAAAAUUUUUCUUUUUCUUUUCGCUAGUCAUAAGUAUUAAACUUUCUCUUUCUAAUUGCAGGCACAUUCAAGCUAACGGUGGAUCAUGGAAAGACCUAUCUACUUCGCAUAAUCUGUGCUGCCUUACAUGAGCCUCUCUUCUUCUCCAUUGCCAAGCAUAAAAUGACAGUGGUUGGAACAGACGGUAGCUACACGAAACCAUUGACACGAGAUUAUAUCACAAUAUAUCCUGGCCAAACCUACGAUGUCUUACUAGAAGCUAACCAACACCCAGAUCACUAUUACAUGGCAGCUAAAACUUAUUCCAGUGCUCCCGGUAGUCCUAAUGCUUUUGAUAAUACAACCACCACAGCUAUUGUACAGUACAGGGGAUACUACACUCCAUCUUCACCUCCCUCCUUGCCUCAUUUUCCUGCAUACAAUGACACAAAUGCAUCGGUUCAGGUCAUGGCCGGCCUCCGAAGCUUAGCAGAUGCGGAACAUCCUUGCAAUGUCCCAUUGAGCCCAAGCACUAAACUGAUUUACACUGUUUCUAUGAACUCGUUCCUAUGCCCCAAUAAUUCAUGUGGAGGGCCCAAUGGGACGCGGUUCGCCGCAAGUAUAAACAACAUAAGCUUCCAAUCCCCUACAAUUGACAUACUGCAAGCUUACUAUUAUAACAUCAGUGGUGUAUAUGGAGAUAAAUUUCCAAGCGUUCCACCACUGGUGUUCGAUUUUACCAAUGAUAUUCUUCCCUUAGAGUAUCAGAUUCCGAAAAACAGAACAGAAGUAAGGGUGCUCGAGUAUAACUCCACAGUGGAGAUUGUUUUUCAAGGGACAAGCUUGAUUUCAGGGACAACCCACCCCAUGCAUCUCCAUGGAUAUAGUUUCUAUGUUGUUGGAUGGGGAUUUGGGAAUUUCGAUAAAAAUAAGGACCCAUUGCACUACAAUCUAGUGGAUCCUCCCCUUCAAAGUACCAUCUCUGUUCCUACGAAAGGUUGGGCUGCAAUCAGAUUCGAGGCAUCCAACCCUGGUAUGUUGCAAGCACUCAUGUGAAUUUAGAAAAAAAAACCCUUGAAACUGCCAACCUACAUACCAAGGAAAUAAUUUUUCUUAACAUUGCAAUAAGUUAGGUGUAAUGUUGGUAUAUUUUCUCUAUUGCAGGAGUGUGGUUCAUGCAUUGCCAUGUCGAACGCCAUCUGACUUGGGGCAUGGAAACUGCGUUCAUAGUGAAAAAUGGUAAACACCUAGAAGCUGAAAUGUUGCCUCCGCCAUCUGACAUGCCACCAUGUUGAAGCUGCAAAGAAUUAACAUGGUAUAUUUUCAUUGAAUGUUUGCAUUAUUCAACUUUUUGUUUGACUAAGUAUUCCUCUUGUAUUAAAAUAACAAGCAUAAUGUAAAGUUGUAGAAUAUUGUCUGGGAUUAUUAUAUAAUUUGUCAAUUUCUUGGAUUGUUAAAAGUCUAUAAAGAUAAUAUUGUAGAAUAAUCUUUGAGAUAUGCUAUGGUGGAAUUUGCCAUGGAAGUCUUUGAUUAUAAAAAGAGAAAUUUACGCUAUGUUCCUAUUUCAACGUUAAUUAAUUUCAAUAUGAGUAACUCAUUAAAUAGACCAUUACAAUGCUAAUAAUCCUCCCAAUGCCAUAUUCACAAUAGAUAUAAAAGAGUAAUUGAAUUAUUCAAAUAUUUUAAAAUUAGACUAUGAUCUAAAAAGGUCAUGAAAUGGUUUGUUUAAUUUUUAAUUUUACAUCUCAAAAUAUUUUGCAAAUAAUAAAAAUUUUAUGAAGUCUUACACAAUGGAGAUAAAAUCAAUUCUUUUCUAUUUAUUUAUUUCAAAUUAAAAUAAUCACUUUUUCCUAAAUUUAAAAUAAUUGAUAUAUAAUUUAUAUUUUUACCUCCUAUUUUAGUAACAAUAUCACAAGAUCUACACCAAGAUAAAGGAGAAGGAAAAAAAAGUGAAAAAAAAAAAAUCAUCCAUUUCCAUUGCAUGGGGACAAAUUGAGUUUAACCUGACACCGAAGGAACUCCAAGUCUAUUUUUAGUUAUUUAACUUUUCAACCCUCAUUUUUUAUUUUUUAUUUUUUAUUUUACAUCAUAGUAAACCCUUUCCUACUUUCUUAAAUUUAAAUAACAAGUAAAAAAUUGAUUCAAACGAUUGAUCAUUUGAAUUUAUGAUUUAGAGAAAAGAAACUUAACAAUUAACUAAGCUACUACAAUUGACUGAACUCUCCAAGUCCAAGUCAAUGAAGUUAGAAAUUAUGUUUAAGUGAUUUUUGGGAUUUUUAAAAGUGAUUUUCAUAUAUAUAUAUAUAUGUGUGUGUGUAUUUAAAUUUUAUUUGGAUUGACUUUUAAGAGUUAAAUAAAAGUUUUUAUACCUAUUUAAUUAUUUAAAAAAAAACUUAUAACUUUAAAAAAAGGUUUCACAUAGAAGUCAUAAAAAUGUUAUUUCUUAUAAGAAUUUUAUGAUUCUAUUUUUGUUUAUUAUAGAAGUUCUUUCAUGUUGAACAAAACUUUUACAAUAUCAAUAUUACCCCUUAAAGAUUAUUACUUUAAUUUUGAUUUUAAUUUUCAUUUAAAGGAAAAAAUAUGAAGCUAUCCCGAAUUUGACCUUACUAUCCACCUAAUUAAUUUUUAUAAGAAAGUGUUAUUUUUUAAUAUUUAGAAGGGUUUUUAUUUAUUUAUUUUUAAAUAAUUCCCAAUUGAAAUUUAUAAGAAAGAAAGAAAAAGUUUUCUCUAAUAUUAGAAAGAAAUACAAAAUUUAAAACAUGGAUUGAAGUGAUUAUAGAACUUUGUUACAUAUUUAAAAUUAGUAUCUCUUAAUUUCUUACAACUCCAAUCUCCAAUAUUUGUUCUUUAUCUAAAAUUUGACAUAAGGAAUGGUUAUCCACUCAUAAGACAAGACAUGAAAUAUAAUUUUGUUUUAGGUAACAUCAAAUUCAAUGCAUUAAAAUCAAAGAGCAAGUGAGGAUCCAGAUUACUCCCUGUGCAUGGUCUUUGACAGUGGUUCAUAUGAAAUUUAUUUCUAGUCAAAUUAUUUUUAUUAUCUAAUUUUAGAUGGUGUUUGUUUUUGUAUUGAAUAGAAAAUGUUAAAAUAUUUAAUUUUUUCUAUUUAGUUAAAAAUAACCUGUUGAUAUCAACCUAACAUAACUAAACUAAACCUAUUAAUAAUAAGUUCACUUUAGUUAUGUUGAUUGAUAUCAAUAAGUUACUUUUAGUUGAAUAAAAAAAAAUCAGAUAUUUUAAUUUUUUCUAUUCAGUCAAAAAAAUAAAUAUUAUCUUAGUGUUAGAAAUACCCAUGUAUUUCAAAUCAAAAUUAGAGGACAACAACCUUUUAAUUUCAAUAAUACAAUUAUUAUUAUUAUGGCUAAAAAUCAGCCUAUCAUUCGAGUAAGCGCGCACACACACACACACACAUGUAUAUAUAAUGCCAAUAUCAUUAUUUUAAGCUAUGGCAUAAAUCUUUCAUGCAAUCAUUUCAAUGAUUCCUUUAAAUAAUAGAAAGAGAUAUUNNNNNNNNNNNNNNNNNNNNNNNNNNNNNNNNNNNNNNNNNNNNNNNNNNNNNNNNNNNNNNNNNNNNNNNNNNNNNNNNNNNNNNNNNNNNNNNNNNNNAAUCAUAUUAAUCCUAAAAAUAGGGACUUAGUAAUAAAAUCAAGCAAAAGGGUACAAUUAAACUCACACAUUUAAUUUGAAUGCCGUUUACGUAUUUCUAAUAUUAGGCUUAAGGUUCACACGCAAGGUUUCCUAGGGAUGCUUUAAAUAAUAGAAAGAGAUAUUUAAUUUACAAACUUUGUGCAGAGAUAGGAUAAUUUUUUUUUUUUAGAUUAAAAUUAUCCUAUCUCUACACAAAGUUUGUAAAUUAAAUAUCUCUUUCUAUUAUUUAAAUCUUCCCUAGGAAACCCAAUGAUUGAACCUAAAUAAUAAUAUUUGUAAUACUUAAACUAUAUUCAUAUUUAAUAUUUGAUUUUAAUUUUACCUUUUUGCUUUAUUUUAUUACUAAGUCCCUAUUUUUAGGUUUAAUAUGAUUUUUUUUUUAUAAAAAAAAUAUAUUUUUCCUCUUAUUUUUUUAUAGAUUUCUAUCAAAUGUUGGAAGAUGUCUUUCUAUAUAAUUGGAUACCAAUUAUUAUUUGUUUAUUUAUUUUGAAUAAUUACUAUAUAUUCCCCACCCUAUGAUUGUCGUAUGGUUGACACAUCAUCUAAUAAGAGAGCUUAACAUAUUCUAGCCAUUUUCAUGCUAAAGAGGGGUCCACAAGUUGCUGCCUAUGCCAAAAAAGAUAAGCAAAAGUUGACUUCUAUCCUUGACUAGUUGCCAUCAAUUGUCCAACCUUGCCAUAAGGUUCAUUCAUCUUUCUUAUCUUAUGAAUUGGUGUAAAGAUAACUAAAUAAAGGGAGAAAUGUUGAUUGAAGAAUGUAGUUAAAAUAUGAUGUAAAAUAGAGUAGUAGUGUAGAAAUGCAAGAAUAAAGAGGAAGAAUAUACUAUCUUGUUGUAGUUAUUAAUUUUUAUUUAUAAAGGUUGUGUUUGGUUUUUCAGAAAAUGCAAGGGAAAGGAAAAAAAAUACUAUGAAAAGUUAUUUUCCUUAGUUUGGAUGACAUGAAAAAUAUGAUGGAAAAAAAUAUAAAGGAAAAUACUAAAGAAAAUAUUGUAAUAUUUUCCCUCUUACUUUCCUUAAAAAUUAGUGAGGAAAAUAAGAGAUAAAGAUAAGGCAAAAGUUGGAGGAAAUUUUGUCAAGCUCACAUUAUCUUCUUCACCGAGUCUCCAAUUCACCUAACUUCAUCUUCACUAGUGGCUAUGGUUUGCCACUACCAUCGACCCUUUCAACAGCUACCACCAUUACUCCAAGCACCUUCCAGUGCCCCCAAAAUCCAACCCUCUUCUAGUACACAAGUUCCUAUGGAUGCAUUGCAUUCUUCAAAUCUAGUCAAUGUGUUCAAAUCCAUAUCUUCAUAUUAGGUAUGGAUUGAAUUCCUCUCUCUUAACAUCACACCUUGAUUUUUUUAGAUGUAGAUCUUCUCUCAAUGAACCAAAAUAUGCCAAAACUCAAAAUAAUAUAUAUAUAUAUAUAUAUAUAUAUAUAUAUAUAUAUAUAUAUAUAUAUAUAUAUAUAUAUAUUCAUAUUUAGAAAUCUAAACACCCAAAUUUUGUAGAUAUGAAAAAUCUGAUGCUACUCUUUGUAAUUGGACUUUGAUGUUUCUCGUGUUUGCAUUUUUUAAUUCCUGUGCUUCCAUUUGAUUUUCAAUAUAAGAAUUUUAAUUUUUUGUUUCAUACUACAAGACUUAAUAGCAAUAAUGAAGACAUUACAUGUUUGAGGAAUUACCUAUAAGAGAAUCUAACACACCAAUGAAACUAUUGCUAUAACCAAAGAAAAAUUAUCUUAGAAAGCUAUAAAAAAAAAAACAAAAAAAGUGUGUUGAACAGCUAUAAUAAUAGUAUUGUGGAUUGGGUAUGAGAAAAUUACAGAAGAUGGAGCAUUCUUGAUGUGGUAAAUUUGCAAUUGAAUGGAAUUUUCAAUAAGGAGCAAGAUGUCCCUUUUGUGUAGCCUUUGAUGUUAGCUUGGGCAGUGAAAACUUCAUGAACUAAAACUAUCAACUUGUCCUUUGGCACUAGAUAGUUUCUUUCUUAAUAUAAAUGUAGUAAGUAUUCUUAGCAAAUACAACUUAGUUUUGGUGAUAUAGUUUUUCCUUAAUACUUUAUCAUCAUGAUAGAACUUGGUAAACAUCUCUUAGGUCAAUUAUGUGAUAUUUAAAAAUUCCCUCUUAAAAAUUCUAAACAACUUAUCUAACUUUAGAAGCCUUCUUACUUAAUUAAUGCACAAUUAAUUACAUAUGUUUAUAAGACCACUCUCUUUUGUAGUAGCUCUCUAGAUUAUUCUUGCAAAAUUUCCUUUGUUGUGGAAGUCUUAGUUCAUGCAUGUAGUUAAUCCACUUGAAGCAUUGUAGUGAGAAGGUGCUUGAGACAAACCUUUGUAUUGAGCUAAUAAGCAAUUCCAUCAACUUCAAAUUUGGUUACUUUCAUUUGGCCCCCAAAUCUUCAUUUUGCAUGAUUUGAUAGACAAGCCUAACUAGCCUUAGAUAAUAGUUUAUAGGCAACUCCAAUAGCAGUUGUCUCAAAUUUUAUUAGAAAAAGACUAUUUGGAAACCUCCCCAAUAGCAAAACUUGACAUGCACACACCAUUGGUUCUUUCUACUUGAAUUACUCUAUUUCAAUAGCGUAGUGAAACUAGAGAUCAAACUAGUUUGUAUUUGGCCUAUGAAAGCUUCAAUCUAGAUCACUUACUAAAAGUGGACUGGCAAACAAACCUAAGUAGUAAGGGAGUGGGACAGAUAUAAUUGCUUAGAUUUUGGAGUGUUGUGGAGAAUCUUGAGACUUUGUGAGUUAAACCAUGCUCAUCCAAAGCCAACUUAGUUGGGCUACAGUUUGGUGUUAGAGGCUUGGAGCCUAACUUCCAUGGCUUUAUUACAAAUUAAAAUUUUCUUAUGGCAUAAGUAUGAUCUAAAAUUUAAAAUCCUUGUACCUGAGGACUUAAUAAUGAUGAUCUAAUAUAAUUUCAAGUCACAAGCACCCAAUGUGUCAAUAAUAAUACUCAUUAACUUACUCCUAAUAAGAAAAUAACCCACCAGUCUACUCCUAUACAUUAUUUUUUAAAAAUUUAAUUGUAAUAUUUGUAGCAUUUUUUAUUUUUGUCUAAAACAAUUUGAUAAUUUUGGUUGUGUGGGCAAUGUGGAGAAAAAAACAUAUAAACUCACUAUUUUGGUCUAAAUUGAGUUAACUAAAUUGAAUCAAACUAAUAUUAAGUUGGAUUAGUUUAAGUCGAUAAAAAAUUUGUUAUACUUUAGUUAAAACCAAGGAUAAAAAUAUCAGUAAUCAUGGAUAUAUCAAUACUUCAAUUUUAUGGAUAUAUCGAAGAUAUAUCAACAAAUAUUUUGGGAAAAAAAUUCAGUAGGCCUAAAAUUAUUAAAAACUCAUGAAAAUACAUGAAAAACCUCAUAACAAUAUAAUUAGAAGUAUAAUAGACAUUUUAAAGUUGUUUUAUUAAAAAAUUUGAUAUAUGUAUGAUAUAAUUUAUGAUAUUAGAUGUAAUUAUAUCAUGUCAAUUUAUAAGAAAUGUUAAUUUUGUAAUUGUACACUCAUUAUGAAGUUACAUAAAAUACUUCAUUUCAUUAAAUAUCUAUAAUUUGUACACAUUGCAUUGCAAUGUCCCUUUAGUACCAAAAUGAGGAUCGAUUUUGUUCAAUGGAAUAGGUAGAUGAAGGAACCCUGUCUUGCUAUUGGAGACAAUAUUGGUACCAACUCAAUGAGCCUUGAUAAUAUUGGUUAAAAAUUAUAACAUGCCAUGCAUAUAUCUCUUGAGUCCUACCCACUACCUCUACAUGGAUACGAUACUCAAGGUUCACGCAUGUGUUAAUGUCAAAUCCUCAUUCCAUGUGAUAUGAAACUUGGUAUGACAUUCUUGUGGAAGGGGAGUAACUCGGCAUACCAUACUCUUCAUUGGUUGAACUUGAAGGUUGAACAUAACUCAUCACAUGAGGAGGGUAGAUGUUAGCCUCAUUUGAGGAGUCACUAAAUUGAGUCCCUAUACUCAUAAAUUCAAAACUCCUUAAAAGUAACUUCUCGUCAUAUGGUCCAUUGUUCGUUAUCUUCCUCUAUAGGGUUUCUCAAUAUCUCUUAUGCCUGGACCAGCUCUUCUAGAGCCAUGGUCUUCAUCUUGUGUGCAGUGUGUGAAAUCAUUUUCACAGGUAAAUUAGCUCAUUGGAUAUUGACUCUGUUGACAUUCCUAAAUAUCUGCUCCCGCAUUAUUACCUCCAUCAUCAGUUCCACCUCUUAAACCAUCGUAACCAGAAGCAAAAGUACCUACAACACUAGGUCUACUAUUGUGGCUAGCACUUCUAGAGUCAACCUUUUGGUGGGAAUUCAAUGUCGUAUGAAAUGAAUCCUCGGUAUCUUUUCUAAAACUUUCAGAGUGAACUUCUUUAGACAACACACGUUCAACAUUAACUCCAAAUUCUUGAGCAUGAGCAACAAAUCGUGGAUCAGGAUUUCCAAUUUCAUCAUCCAAGUGUAUAGGCCUAACCCAUUAAAACAACUGAUUAUCUUCUUCUUCUUCGCCCAUCUUGGUUGAAAUGUCAAGAAGAUCAAGAUAAUAUUUUUCACUAACUUGAUCAUUUUCUGUCUUCAUAUCAAGUAACUUUAGCCUCAUAUUAUAGUAACAAAAAACUAAUUGCUCCAGUCCAGGGUAAGGUGAUUACUACCAAAAAGUGUUAUUUUUUAGACCUAAUUAUAAUGGUUUUAAGCACCUUUGAGUAGUAAUCAUAUUCAUUUAACCCAAUUAAUUCAUUAAGGUCCUUAGUAAUUGGUUUUAACCAUUUUGUGGCAAGUUUACAUGUUUUUAUCAGCUUAUGAAUCAAUUCAAGCAUGCCAAAUGAUGGAGGAGCUACUUGGACAAGUUAUGGCAAAGCUUUUGGAAGCUCAAAUUCAUGAAGAACCAAGCUUUGGAGCUCCAUAGGCCUUUGUCAAAGUCGUUCAAAGUAUGCAAGGAAAGAACAAUGGAGAAGAGGAAAACAGAGUGAAGAAAAUAGAGGACAGCAGCUGCAGUCUUCUUUCGCACUUUUGGAGCACUUCCCGAAGUCAAUUUUCUACAUGAUAUAUACCAUUUCAAAGCUCAGGAAGUCAAGAAUCCAAUGCUUCAAACUGUGUACGAUUUGGAGCUGAAAUGAGGAAGAUAUGGCCUUUGGAAGACAACUGCUCCAGGCUUGUGCGAAAAUUUCGCACAACACCUUCCAAAUUCGCACAGCCCAUNNNNNNNNNNNNNNNNNNNNNNNNNNNNNNNNNNNNNNNNNNNNNNNNNNNNNNNNNNNNNNNNNNNNNNNNNNNNNNNNNNNNNNNNNNNNNNNNNNNNUUGAGUAGUAAUCAUAUUCAUUUAACCAAUUAAUUCAUUAAGGUCCUUAGUAAUUGGUUUUAACCAUUUUGUGGCAAGUUUACAUGUUUUUAUCAGCUUAUGAAUCAAUUCAAGCAUGCCAAAUGAUGGAGGAGCUACUUGGACAAGUUAUGGCAAAGCUUUUGGAAGCUCAAAUUCAUGAAGAACCAAGCUUUGGAGCUCCAUAGGCCUUUGUCAAAGUCGUUCAAAGUAUGCAAGGAAAGAACAAUGGAGAAGAGGAAAACAGAGUGAAGAAAAUAGAGGACAGCAGCUGCAGUCUUCUUUCGCACUUUUGGAGCACUUCCCGAAGUCAAUUUUCUACAUGAUAUAUACCAUUUCAAAGCUCAGGAAGUCAAGAAUCCAAUGCUUCAAACUGUGUACGAUUUGGAGCUGAAAUGAGGAAGAUAUGGCCUUUGGAAGACAACUGCUCCAGGCUUGUGCGAAAAUUUCGCACAACACCUUCCAAAUUCGCACAGCCCAUGCGUGGUGCGAAUUUUCCUCUGUUUUUGCCGACUCCACUUUAGAUAUUUUCCUAUGUAUUUUUUGAUGUAAUUUCCUUUCUUAUCCUUGUAACUAACCAAUCACAAACUUUUGCUUUUGUAAAGACUAUAUAAGGGGUGGAAAUCACCUCUUGGAAUAUAUAGAACAUGCGUGUUACGUUUUACACGGAGUGAUAUACAGAGCUCUCUCGUUUCUCUUUUCUCUUUACUAUUUUAUUUUCUUGGAAGCCAAACAGCCUCUGAGGGCUUUUCCUCAGAGGAUGAUUGGCUAAAACUUUUAGUUUCUCAAAGUAUGGAUGUUAUGUGAUGACUUGGAUGCAAUCCCAUGGAAAUUUCUCGCACCUGGAAGGUAAGGUAGUCGUUUUUCAUUAAAGGUUCAUUAAUGCAAAGUUUGGUUUUUAUUUCCUUUGCACAACUUCCAACGGCCAAUACUUGAUAAGCUUUUGGAUUUCUAUCCAUUAGUUAUCUCCUACGAGCUAUUGGAAGGUGAGGUUUUCAAUUCCAAGUUUUGCAUUAAUCCAUUAGAACCAAUUUCAAUGGCCAUUGAAAGGUGAGUUUAUCACCUGGAAUGACUUUGAGUUGCCAAUAUUUGGUAAGCUUUUGGCUUUAGACCAUUAGUUAUCUCUUACGAGCCAUUCAAAGGAAGUCUAAGGUGAAUAACCAUUGAUGAAAUUCACUACCAUCUGUUUUGCCAUUUUAAAGGAUUAAAACUUGAUUUGCUAAAUCCAUACCGGUUCGGGAAGCAAGCAUCACCAUAGUUGCAACCCCAACGCGAGGAGCCUAUCCUGAGAUUUCCAAUUUGCAUAAGAGCUAGAGCAUAGCUAUCCUAUCUUUGAGAAACUUGUUUUUACACCCUUUCAUUUUAGUCUUUAAUGUUAGCUUAGAUUAGUUUAAAUCUUUCUAAAACAUUUACAUCUUCUUUUAAAGCUAACAUCCAUAAGAAAAUCACCUAUAUUCCUAAUUUGAAUAUCACUAGUGUUUGCGAAAACCCUUCCCAGUGAACGAUCCUAGAACCACUAUGCUUAGUAGCUUGGCUACUUUAGUAAUAGUAUUUAAGGUAUAAAUUUUGUUGAUACGCCUUUAAAGCUAAGCUACCAUGAGUCGAAUCAUAAGGCAAAUGAUUUCACUGCUUUGUGUGGAUGAGAGCGAACGUGCUCCAAUUUCUUUCACAAGCAAAAGAUGACGCAGUUUGUGAGAGAACUUUGACGGCUAACUUCCUCAAUGUAGGUGUUAGAUUCCCAUACAUGAACCAUCAUUCAGUUACAACCAAUUUCAUAAUUAUAUAGAUACUUAUAUGGUGAAUUUACAAUAAUGAUAAUCAAUUUUUUUCCUAUAAAUACUCACCGAGCACCAUGGUUGACCUUGCUGCAAUCGCCACUCAAUCAUCGAAUCCUCUUUUUGCAUCUCGAAAAAGCACAAGCUGUAUAUUCAACACUUAAUUUGUUAAUAUCAUAUUUGUUAGUAAACGUUCAAAUAAAUUGACGAAUGAAAUUAUUGUUUUAUUAACAAAAAUAAUGGUUUUUUAUUUACCUCAUUUUGAAAUUGACCAAGUGAUUCAGUAGUUGGGUCCAAUUUUGCAAAAAUGUCAUGGACCGCUUGAAGUAGUUCUAGAUCACUACCAACUCCAUGCCUACAUCGAAAUCCUGGAUUCAAGAAGUAUGCUACAAUAAAAUUAAGUAGAUUUAGUACUUUGUUAGAGAAAAUUAAAUACAGAGUAAAAACUUAUAAAGAUAGAUAGUACUUAAGUACCUACUGCAUGAAGUGGAUGUUUUAGUGUUUUCUCUCAAUGAUCUUUUAUUAUUUUGAAGAUCCAAUCUCCAACUCCUUGACGACACUACAAGAAAAAUAGCCUUCGUUGACAAUUUUUCACUGUCAAUGUAAGGUACAUCUGUGAAGGUAGGUUAUUGUUCAUAUAUGUUAUCUAUGCCAGUGACAAGAAAAGUUUAAAGGUAACUUGACAUAUAUAUAUGUUAAGAUUUUCUCUAUUUUUACAAAUGAUGAAAUCUUAUUAGUAUAUGAUAUGUCAAUGUUUCUUUCAUAUAUGUUAAGGUUGGAUUCAACUUAUAUCAACAUUACUUAAUCUUAUGUCAAUGUUAACUCACUCUUUUGUUAAGAUUAGUCCAACAAAUGUCAAGGUUAGGUAUCAUAUAUGUCAUGAUUAACUCCACAUAUAUCAAGGCUUUUAGAUACAUAUGUCAAGGUUAGAUUUUAUAUAUAUCAUAAUUGGCUUAUAUAUGUCAAUGUAGGGAAUAAAGGCAACUGUGAAGGUUCCCCUCGAAAAAUUUUAAAAUUAUUUUUUAAUAUGAAAAAUUGAACCUGUUGUCAUGUAUAAUCAAUUUGAUAUUAUUUAAGAAUGAUAAUGACAAUCAAAUUAUCAUGAUUUUAUAUAUAAUCAAAGCAUAUUUAAUAUACAUUUAAUUAUUAAUUAAAGCACAAAUCAAUGAACUUGUUUAAAGUUGUACCCAAUUUCUCUAUAUAGAAGAAACUCAUAUAAUAUACAACGAAAUUAAAAACACACUAUAAGACAAUAUAUAUAAACUUAAAUUAAGUUGCUCAUGUAUAUAUCUACAACCAAGUCUCUUGCCUCCAUCUUGAAGCAUUACUUUAUAGGAAAGCCUUAAAUUUCCAACACCCAAACUUCGAAUCUGUAGCAAAAAAUAAAGAGCAUAUUAACAAAUUAAAAAGAAAAAUGUAUAAUGAGGAGCAAUCAAAUAUCAAGCCUUAUGAAGAAUUUUAAUAGCAAGCUAGCCACUACACCUUUAUUAGACAAUAAUAGAUUAUUUCUUAAUAACACAAGUAAACAAACCAACUCUCAAAGAUAGCCUACAAAUCAUGCACAAAUGCUUCAUUUGGCGGCUUAUAAAGAUGAGGAAAAAAAUGACAACACAACCUGUUAUAGUUUACCAAGCUUUACAAAAAGGUACAUGAAAAAAAAUAAAUAUGACAUCAUAUUGAAUGAGGAUAGGAAAAAUAAAUGAACAAAUUUAGCAAGAACUAAACUUUAAUUUUCAUGCAGGAUCAACUAGUUUAUCAUAAUAAAAUUUAUCAAUAUAGCUGAGCAGAGAUUUGAUGUAAUAAUACCAUACAGAAUUCAAGUAAAAUUAAAUUAAUCAAAUAGGACACUACGGUUAUAUUUGGAUACAUAUUCUAUUUUUUAUUUUUAAAAUUAAAAUUUUGAUAUAAAAUAUGACAACCCUUUGUAUAAAAAAUAAAAAUUUAUCAUAUAAUCUUAAAAAUACUUUUCAAUAUUAAACAAAAAAAUGAGGAUGUGUCCUAAAAUUUUAAACAAAUUUAAAAAUAUUUUUAAAUACCCAAGGUAUCCAUUUUUUUCCUUUUUAAUAAAAAUUCCUAUAUUUUAUAUAAAACUCUAUUUUAAAAAAUGUAUCCAAACAUAAGCUAAAUUGUUAGAUUUUAUUGUGAGAUUUCUUGGAUUCUACAAUUCAUAGUGAAAUGAAGAUGAGAGAUAACUGACUGAACUAUGAAAAAAAAAAUUUAACAUUUAUGAGAUUCAAAAAUGCUAGUUAAUGAAAGAGGUUCUUCGCCAGGAUGACUAAGAAAAAUGCUGAAAAAUGUGUCAUGCCCAAAGCAAUAUUACAAUGAAGAAUAGAAUGAGAGCUAGCCUGAAAUAAAAUCCGACAAUCGCCAUGAAAGCCUGGAUGCAGAGGAAAUGUAACUAGAGACAUGUAAGGAAUCAUUAAACAAGUGAGAACAAUAUCAGAAUCUCAUGUAUGACUUACUUACCUUUCCCUGAGAUUCAAACCUGAAUUUUACUGUAAACCAUGACAAUCCUCUAUCUACAAUAGGUGCAAGUGCAAGGGCCCUGCAUAAGAAGCACCUCUACAAAAAUCAUAGAAAACCCAAGAGAAAAAAAAGAGAGUAAAUAAUUAGAAACUAGUCUACCAAAAACUAGGAGGCUGCAGCAAAUAAUCUCCAAAUGUCAGAUUUAAUAAUUUUUUAUGAAUGCCACUAAAAGGCCUUUUCAUCAUAGAAAUCUAGAAUAAAAAAGGAUAAGAAGCCAUUUGGAUUACAGAGGUCAAAGAUUGGGUUGGAUAGGAGCAAGUUUAACCUCCUUAGUAAAAAUGAAAAUGCAAGGCCCAUCAUCAACACUAGGUUCAAAAAUUGACACCAUUUCUUGAAGACUUUCUUUUUUUCAUUCUUCAAUUGUCAUUUUGAUUCAAAGAAGCAGCAACAUGAUAGACUAAAUAAUCAUCAUAAACCCAGUUUCAAGUUACAAGGAUAAGAAAGAAAAUGAACAGAAAACAUAUAUGAGAGAACUGAUAGGCCAAAAAAAUCAUUGUUGAAGGAAUCAAGCAUAAAUCUUUGAACUAGGGAAAUUCACUGAUUUUGGGUUAUUUUGUGAUAAGAGCAUUGGAAUAUCCCAAUAAACUAUUAUGCUAAUUAAAGAUUUAAAACAGAAUUUAGGUGCUUACCCUCUAGCUCUGACAAGUUUAGUGACCUGGCUGCCUGCCCACACCAUAGCCAUGAUUUUGACAAAUCUACCAAUUGGAUUCCAUAUGUCAAGAUAUUUUGAAAAACUUGUGCAAAAAGAAACUUUUUGGAAUAAGUUUUUACCUUUCAACUGCCACCAAAUAACCCAUCCUUCUUGGUUCUAGAGCAAUAUAAAACCUAGAAGCAGCAUAGUGAAUUAAGAGUUAUACUGGUUAUUUGAAAUCUACUCUGAACACCUAUGAUAGAGACUGCAGGAUAUGGUAAAACACUAAGGCAUAUUUCAAACUACAUUAUAAGGUAUUUGAUUAGAAAAUUAAAUAAAUAAAACAACAUAACAUAAAAUACAAAAAAGAAAAAAAAAACAAACUGAAUUUGUCCAUAUGCAACAAUAUGCAAUUGUUAGCCAUGAAUCCCAGUUUUGUCAGUUUCCAGUAUUAAUAAUUAAGCAUGAUUUUAUGAACUAGACCAGCAUUCUAAUAAUUCUAGAUUGAGGGGCAUGGAUGUCACAUUUGUAUUCCAUCAUGUGCAACUAACAUCACAUUGAAAUAAUAUCCACUAAAGCAAGUUAAGACCCAGUAUAUCAUAUUAAAUUUUUUCUACCAUGAAUAUAAGAUUAAUAAAAAUGCAGAUGGAAAUGCAAUACUUCUUUAUAUGACAUAAUGAAGGGAACCAAAUACAAGGACUCCCCAUUCCAGAUGCAAAAAGCCAAGUUACAACCUUUACCAAAUAAAGAGAUCCACCAUAAGUUCAUUUUUAGACAUGCUAUAGUUGAAUAUUCUAUCCAUAAGUGAUCAAAAGUCAAUUCAGAUGGGAAUAACAGCCACAAUGCUGGGAAGGUCAAUAACAAAAGCAUUGACUUGAAUGUUGGCAGUGUCAUUUACACUGGCCAUAAGAACCAAAGGUACAAAAUGCUGGGAAGGUCAAGAAAUUUCCUAAUAUUUCUUACUAGUCCAGCCCGUGCACAGGAUACAAAAUCUGUUUUUUUUUUCUAAAAAAAUAAAAUAAAAUAAGAUGCUAUUUGGUAGUUUGAUCAUGAUUUGCAGGCAAAGGUUGUGUUUUUCAACCUGGCUCAAAAAUCAUGGAUUUAGGGUUCGUGAAAUUUAAAUCCAAUAGCACAAAAGCAAAAAGACCCCUAUAACAGAUCCAGAAAACACAGGUAGCAAAAAAAAAAACAAGUUUUUGGUUUUCCUUGGGGAUUUUGCAUGGAUUUUCUCGGCAAUCAAACGAGGAUGAAUUUUCCCGGAAAUCGAAUGGGGGAUGGAUUUUCUUGGGAAUCAAACACGGGUUUUGCAAAGAGAAAACACAGGGAACAAAAAAAAAAAAAGCAAAUUUUUUUUUCCUUGGGGGUUUUGCAUGGAUUUUCUCGGAAAUCAAAUGAGGAUGAAUUUUCUUGAAAAUCAAAUAGGGGAUAGAUUUUCUUGGGAAUCAAACGGGGGUUUUGCAAAAAGAAAACAUAGGGAGCAAAAAAAAAGCAAUUUUUUUGGUUUUUCUUGGGGGUUUUGCAUGGAUUUUCUUAGAAAUCAAACGAGGAUGAAUUUUCUUGGGAAUCAAACGAGGGUUUUGCAAAGAGAAAAUACAGGGAGCAAAAAAAAAGGCAAUUUUUUUGGUUUUCCUUAGGGGUUUUGCAUGGAUUUUCUCGGAAAUCAAAUGGGGGAUGGAUUUUCUUGGGAAUCAAACGGGGUUUUGCGAAAAGAAAACACAGGGAACAAAAACAAAAGCAAUUUUUUUUUUUGUUUUCCUUGGGGUUUUGCAUGGAUUUUCUCGGAAAUCAAACAAGAAUGAGUUUUCCUAAAAAUCGAAUGGGGGAUGGAUUUUCUUGGGAAUCAAACGGGGAUUGCAAAAAAAAAAAAAAAACCAAUAAUAAUAUGACCAGAUUAGUACCUGCGAGGAUUGAGAGUGGUAGAGAAAAAUAGGGCGGAUUCUCUCGUCUGGAGGGCAACUUCAGAAAAGGGCUUCUUGAUGCCCGAGGCUUGUGAGAGAAGCGGGUAGCCAAUUUUAGAUUUAGUAGAGAUAAAAAAAAAAUAAAAAAUAAUAAAAAUGAAAGAAAUUAUGAGAACAAUUUUCCUCCCUCUAUAUAAAUAAUUAUUAAUUAUCCAUCUUUAUUUAAUCAUAUGGACGAUAUUUUAUGAAUUAAAAUUAAUUUGAUAAAAUAAAUUAUUAAUAAUUUUAAUUAUUUAAAUAAAUUAAUGUUAAUAGAAAAAGUUGUUACCACAUAUUUUUAAUAAAAUUUUAGAAAUUAAAUCUUAAAUAAAAUAUUUUAUAUAAAUUAAUUUAAUUUUUCAUUUAAAAUGUAAUAAAACUUGUUUUAAUAAAAAAAUUUUAAAAUAAAUAUUAUCUUCAACAAGAUGGGCUCCUUUCAUCUAACAAUAUGAUGAAACCACAUCAAUCUUCAUUUUGAUACUAAAACUAUUGCAAUGUCAUAUGUAUUACAUUUAUGUAUAAAUUAUUUUUAUGCAAUAAAAUCACAUAUUUCUUAACUUAAUUCUAACUUUAUACACUUUCAAAAUUCAUAUUUAUUAUUCUUAAAAUUCAAAUAUUGAAUCUAUCGAUAUAUCUCUAUCUGUCAAUAUUUUUAUUUUUUAUCAUAUUUAUGUCAAUUAUAUUUAUAAAAUAACUUUAAAAUAUGAAUUCUUGCUUAUUUUAUCAUUUUUUGGAGUUUUUUCAAGCAUUCCUCCUAAAAAUUUUAAAUAAUUUUCGCUCUACCGAUAUUUAUGAAAAAAUAUCUACCAAUAUUUUUUAUAUAUCCGUAAAAUCGAAGUACCGAUAUUUUCAUAACUAUCAAUAUUUUCAUCCUUGAUUUAGAGAAAAAAGUUUCAAACCCUAAGCUCUCAAAAUGAAUAUCGGGUUUUGAGAAAAUGAGGAGUGUUCUUUGUAAAUACCACGGGAAACCUUGAUAGGUAAUUAUAACAUGAUAUCUUGACUUAUAAUCCAUAGGUCAUUUAAGAUCAUUUUACUAGAAUUAAAAUGGUAUAUAUGUUUAAAAUCAUACCUUGACUUUUGAUUUUAUGUCAAGCUAGCCACAUUAUAUAAGUACAUUGACGUAUGAACAUAUUAACUAUAUAUUGACUUAUAAAUUAUCUGUCAAUCUUCUAUUAUAUAAGUCAUGAAAGAAUUCAACAAAAUUUUAUAUAUGUCAUUAUUGGUUUAAACAAGUUGUAUAUGUCAUAGUUAUUCAUUUAAAUAGGCAAUAUUGACACAUAUCACCUUAAGUCAAGAUAAUAUAUGUCAACAAUGACCUUUUUUCUUGUAGUGCGAGUAAGGUUCUAUUUCAUCAAGUGCAUAAACUCGUACACAAACAGCAUUGUGGAAACAACUUCAGAAUCUAUAAGUUGAAGUACCAAGUAUAAUGGCUCAUACAAUGAAACUAUAUUUGCCACUUUAUCCCAAUACGCAUGGUCAAACAAUAAUUGCUUCAAAUUUCAUCCAAUUUUUGUCCAACUAAGCUUAUUUUGUGCCCAUUCUUCACUCAUAAACAAUUUUUUUUUUUAAAUCAACCUUUUUUUUAAAAGAAGACUAUCAAGAGCAAUAUAAUUGGUAGCAAACCUUGUAGCUCUUGGUCGAACAAUGUCUCCACCACAAUACUUUCUCAUUUGUGCAAGUAACCAACCAUGGUUGUAAAUGAAGUUGGUUAUCUUGCGAGCAUUAUUUAUCACAUCUAUAACACUGGGUCUUUUAUCAAUAUCUUCAAAGAUUAAGUCAAUGCAGUGUUCCACACACAAAGUAUAAUAUAAGUUAAACUUCUUCAUCAAUAGUUUCCCUGCUUUCAUGGAUGCCGACCCAUUAUCUGUGACAAUUUGGACCACAUUUUCUCGAUCGACUUCUUUGAUAACAGUCUUUAAUAACUCGUAUAUAUACUUAUGGUCUUUGAUAUUAUUCGAUACAUCGACUGACUUAAGGAACACCAUGGUCCCUUUUGAAUAAACCAUGAAAUUAAUAAUACUUAAUUUCAUGGGCCCUGUCCAUCCAUCUGAUAUUAUUAUGCACCUAUAUGUCUUCCAUUUUUCUCUUUGUUGGUUCACAUAAACUUCCAUUUCUUUGUACUCCAUUUCCAAGUACUAGUUCUUUAUUUCAUAUGGAGAUGGAGGUUCGAUUCCCAUUCCUACAAUUCAUAUAUAAUAAAUAUGUAAAACAUGUCGCAAAAGACUAUACUUACUAAAAGUCUAAAACAAUAUAACAAUUCAAAAAUUAGUAAUUACCUGCUUGUUGUGCACUAAUAAUCAUAUUCUUAAAGUGAUGAGACUUUGCUUUUAGGGGUGCGACACUCUCAUAAAUGAAGAAUUUUCUGAUUAAGCGUCCCAUCAUUUCUUUAAUUGAACCACCUUUCAACAUAUUUUUGAUAUUUUUUGUCUUGCUGCAGAAGACUUGUAGAGCAAAAGGCAAUAGGGGGUGAUUGGUUCUAAUGUUGCAUACUUUGUGAUUUCCGCAUCAUUGUCAGUGUACCACUAGGUUGUGAAGACUCCCAUUUUAUGAUUACUUCCUACAAUAUUCUCAUAUUGUUGAUGCUCCCAUUCAAUUGCUUUUGAGGCAUGAACUGUAGAUCGAUUUGCAUCCCGCUCAUCUGGGUGCAUAUCCGUUGGAUACAUAUACACAUCUUCAUCCUCAACAUAUUCAUCAUCAUCAUCAUCUUUGUCUAUCAAAUGUGUAUCAUUGGCCCCCAUUGUACCACAUAAUUGAGCACAAAUCUCUUGAAUAUCUACAACUUUCUUUGCUUUUGCUUUAUAUUUGUUAUGCACCAUCAAUCGUAUCUUUUCUUUCACUUUGGGAGGCACUCUCGGACACUUUUUAGUGUUGUUAUGCAGGUCGUUAUGUGUUAAAUGGAACUUAAAUCGUAUGAUGCCUCCACUUUUCAUCAACAACCCAUAGAAAUUACAAAUUGUCUCAUUUAUGUUCCCCUAUACUAGUGAACAAUACUUCCAAGCUGGAUCUUACCUUGGCAUGGGAGAACGACCUCUACUAGCCAUGCUAAAUCUAUUGCAAAAAAAAAAAAAAAAAACCACCUGAAUGUGAUUUCAAUGUAAACAAAAAGUUAAGUAAACAUUUAAAUUUAACAUGUAGCAAUGGAAUGUCAAAAGAAAUUUAAAUAAUCAUGUAAAAUGAGCAUAUUCCAAAUAUACUAAUUUAUGUCAAUAGCUAAAUUAAUUAAAUAAUUUAGCUAAGUUAGUUUACUUAAUCUAAAUCUAUGAGAAAUUUACAAAAUAUACUAAUUAAUUAUAAUUGAAUGUGAAAAUAAAAUAAAAUAAUCAUUUAAUAUGGAAUUUUUUUUUAAUCUAAAUCUAAUUCUAUGAAAAAUUUACUAAAUAUAAAAAUUAACUAUAAUUGAAUGUGAAAACAAAUCACAGUAAUCAUAAAAAAUGAACAUAUUUGAUAUUUCAAAUAUACUAGUUCAUGUUAAUUAAAUAAUUUAGCUAAGUUAAUUUUUUGAAUCUAAAUCUAAGUCUAUGAAAAAUUUACUAAAUAUAAAAAUUAACUAUAAUUGAAUUUUAAAAUAAAUCACAAUAAUCAUAAAAAAAAUAAACAUAUUUGAUAUUCCAAAUAUACUAGUUCAUGUUAAUUAAAUUAAUUAAAUAAUUUAAUUAAGUUAACUAGUUGAAUCUAAUUCUAACUAUAUUGAAUGUGAAAAUAAAAUUAAAUAAUAAUCUAAAAUAAACAAAUCCAUCUAUAAUUAAAUAAUCAAAUUAACCUAAGUUAACUCAAUAAAAAUAUACAAAUUAAUUACAAUUUAAAACAAACAUACCUUAAAAUAAUUGAAUAAUUGAACAGCCUUAGAAAAAUUUGGAGUAAUGAGAGAGCAAAUGAAAAAUGAAAUCAAAGGUGGAUGAAAUAGAAGCAAAAUGGGCUAUCUAUAGGAAAAUUUUGGGCCAAAAUAGCCGUUGAAAGAUGAUUUUAUUUUUGAAAAACAAUUUUGGCCGUUGGAUCAAAAUAUGGGUAAAAUCUUACCAUUGGAUCUUGAUUUUAUUGUUGGAAUCUCAUCCCAACCGUUGGAUCAAACCUAAAUUCAAUUCAGGGGGUUGGAUGGAUGACAGUUGGAGGCAAGCAUGGCGAAUGUGAUAUGGGCCGUUAGAUCAAGCUUGAGAGGGGUUAUUUAUUGCCAAAAAAUCGGUGAUUUAUUGCCUUUUGUCGAUAAAUUGAUGAUAUUUUGUCGAUUUUUCUCCCCAUCGAUAAAUCUCCACAAAAUAUUGUGUUGUCAACCAUUGAUACACGUUAUAUCAGUAAUAUAUCGCUGAUAUAUCCCAACAUUUUCUUCCAUGGUUAAAACCAAUAAACUCUUAUUUGAUUCUUGGAUUGGUUAUAAACCAACCUAGCUAAAUGUAUCUAUCCCUAAUUAACUUUGUGUUCUUGUCCUAGAAUAAUAAAUCCUUUAGGUUGCCCCAUAUACUCUUAAUUUAAAUAACCAUUCAAGGAAAGAUAAUCUUAACAUCCAUUUGAUAGAUUUCUAGACUCCAUAUUGAAGCUAGUAAUAUCAAAUUUCUAUCUAAUGUUAUCUAACUAAAGCAUAAAUAUCAAAUUACUUAAACCCCUUUUAUCUACUUAAUCCAUUAAUGUAUGCAAUAUUUCUUUUGAACUUUUUUCUACUAAAUAAACUAUAAAUUCAUGGAUAAAAUAUUUCUCUAUUUAACUCCUACCAUAUCACCUUGUUUCAUUGCCUUUUAUUGUUAGAUUUUCCAUUUGAAACAUUUUUUUUCUUUUGAAAACUAUUUGCUCCAUUGUACUUUGAAUCUUUUAUGAUAAAAGAUUUAAAAACUUACAACUUUCGUUGAUUUAGUAAUUGUAUUAUAUUUCAAGUCCAAGAAAUAUAAUUGUGAACUCGCAUUUUUCAUGGAUGUCUCACUUGUUGGUGAGAUUUGCUUUUAUUGUUUUUUUUUUUUUUUUUUGAAAAGUUGGAGUCGUCACUUAUUUUUAAAAGAAAACAAAAUAAUAAAUAAAGCCCUAGUAUUACUCAUUUUUUAAAGAAAAGAUGUGUUAGCAACUGAGUUCCAAUCUAGAGGUUAGGUUACCUAUUGGAAAGAUACCAUAGGGUAACACCCCUUUAAGUCUUAAAAAGGUUUCUACUAAGCACAUAAAAAAGAAUUAUGACAAUUAAUUAAUUAACCAUGAAUACAAAAAAAUAAAAAAGAAUAAUACAAGUACAUGGAAUAAUGCAAAAGCAAAUUAUAAGGAUAUGCAUAAAUGAUACAUGAGAAAAGCACAAAAUAAUUUAUUAGAAAGAUUUUAUUACUUCAAAUAUCAUAAUACAAUUUCCAAAAAUUUUCAAAGAAUUCAUUUAUUUUAACAACAAUUUCAAAUUAGUUAUUUGAAUUUAUUUCUUCACAAGGUUCAAUUUGUUACAAAAGAUUUGAUUUGAUUUACAAGAAAUGAUUUGUGUUUACCUUAUUUGGAAGAGGGGUGAAUCUUACUAAUUUAUUUUAAAAAGUAUUUUGAUUCAAUUUUUAUUUGUUUUUUAUUUAAAAAAAAAAAUCUACGAACUUAAAGAGAGAUAUUUACAAGUUUAUAAGAAGGAAUUCAACCCAAUUUUAUUAAUUUUUUUUCCUAGAAAAAGAUUCUUUAUUACUAAUUUAUAUAGACAAAGAAUUUCACAAAUUUGUUCCCAAGGAUUCCAAUUUUAUUAAGAAAGAAUUUUGGAUUUCAUCUAGUAAGAGAUUAGUUUACCAAUUUAUUAAGAAAAGGUCUUUCAGUUCGAUUAAAAGGUUUACUCAUUCUAUUCUUAUUAAAAAAGAAAAAAAAUCUUUAAAACUUCUAUUUAUAAAAAUUACUUUAAAUCUCAUUCUUAUCAAGAAAAUAGAGUUAUAUUUAAAAGUCAAUUUUGGAUGAUUUUAUUGAAGUUAACUUUUUGGACAAUUUUAUUUAAAAAUCAAUUUUCUAGAAAAUUUUGUUAAACAAAUGAAUUUCUAGAGAGAUUGUUAUUAAAAACCAUUGUUUGAAUUUUUACUAAAAUUUUUUUCUAGAUUCCUCUAAAAACAUCUAAUGGAACUUUCUAUUAAGAAAACUCUAUUUUAUUAAAAAUAAUAUUUUUUGAACUGUUAUUUCAUUAAAACAAGAUUCCUAGACUAUUUCAUUUUAAUUUUUAUUUUAUUUUAUUUGAAAAAAGAUUUCUGAACCUUUUAUUUAAUUUAAAAUUCUGAACUGUUUCAUUUAUUAAAACAAAAUUUUUGGACUAUUUUAUCUAAAAAAGAUGUCUAAAACCUAUUUUUAUUAAAAGAAAAUUUUGGGUCCCUUUUUCUUAUUUAAUAAAAAUAUUUUAUUGGACCUAUUUUAUUUUAUUUUUGAGAAAAAGUUCUUUCGGUAACUUAAUUUAUUAAAAUCUAAAAUUUUGGACAGCCUUAUUAAAUAAAUAAACAACGUAAAUAUAUGCAUAACCAAAUUAACAAAAAAUGUGAAAUGAGGUAUGAAAAAUAUAAACAAACAUAAACAUGUACAAAUAUUAACACGAACAAAUAACUUAAAAAAAAUAAUAUAUGUAUGGAAUAUUUACAAAGAAUAGAAAACCUAAACAAAUAUAAAUAUUUAUAGUGAACAAAAAACUCUAAACAAACCCAUAUGGACAAAGAAAUUAUGAAUAGAAAACUACAAAUAAAUGAUAUAUGAACAUAAUAUGUACAAAACUAAAAGGAAAUGGAAAAUAAAUCAAAUAUUCAACUCUGUAUACAACUAAUAAAUAUAUACAAAAUGGUAUUUACAAAAGCUAAUAGAAAUUAAACUAAAUGGAAGUGGGGAAAGAAAAUGUGUACCCAAACAAGCCUACAACCAGUUCAAUACUCUCAUUCUGCCUAAGGUUUCAUGCCUUAUUUAUAGCCUUCUUGAACCUUUUUUUUUUCCCAUGAAAUUCAGCUCUCCACUCGUCAAAAAUCCAUGUAGCCAAAAGUCUCAAAAAAUGGCCCCAUGCAUAACUAUUAAUAAAGCCCAAAGUAAAUAUCCAAAAAUGUGUAAAGCCAAAAACAAAUAUUCAAGCCCAAAGAUGAAAUAAUGAUCCCAAACCCAAAUAAAAAAUCCUAACAAAAAUAUCAACAAUCUAAAACCAUAAGGCCCAAACUUAAUUAAAAUCAAACCCAAAACAAAACAUCCAAGAACCAACAUGCCCAAGUCUAAAGUCCACAAACAAAAUCCAAAAUCCAAAUAUCAAUAAAUCUAAGUUAAACAAAUCAAAACCAAAAUUAUAAAGCAAACUUAAGAUCAACAUCUAAUAUGCAAAUUCCAAGCGAAACAAAUAUCUAAAGCCCAAACAAGCAAACUCAACAAUGAAGAACAAUAACUGUAGGAAUAAAAAAAAAAAAUGAUCAAAGAAAUAAAAAAUGAAAAAAAGCAUCUAACCCGUUUCUUAAAUGUAAUGUGGAAUGAGGGACAAGGGGAAAGAAUGAGAUAAUAAUAAUAAUAAUAAUAAUAAUAAUAAUAAUAAAUAAAUAAAUAAAUAGACAAAUAAAAGAAAGUAAAGAAAAUAGAGAAGUAAAGAGAGAAAAGAGAACUCCAACCAACAAUGGCUUGUCGAUGGUGACUAUCUAGUGGUAAGAAUGGUGAGUAUGGGGCAGCCAUGGUUAUGGACCUUCAAGAUGAGACAGAGAAAAAAUGGUAAGAAGAAGAAAAAUGAAAGGAAAAGAAAAAAGAAAAGGGAAAAAUGAGGGAGGUAGGUGAUAGCUAGAGAUGGGUUUGGGUGAGGAGGUAGGUAAAGAUAAGAGAGAAAAAGAAAGAAAACCAAAAAUGAAGGAAAAAGAAAUAAACAAAGAAAAUGGAAGGAAAAGGGAAAAAAAAAAAAAAAAAAAAGGAAAGGAGGCUCUAUAAUUGCAUGUGAGUGGAAGAAAAAAAAUUGGGUGAAAACCAAGAAAGGAGAAAAAAAGUAAAAAUCAAAUCAAAUAAAUAAAUAAUAAUAAUUAAUAAAAUAAUAAAAUAAAAUAAAAUAAAAAGUGAGAAUGGGCUUAGGGCAAAAUUUAGGAUUUACAAAUAUGCCCCUCUUUAAAAGAGUUCACAAGUGAAGUGUAUAAACCAACUAAACGAAAUGGGCUCUACUAAAGUACUAAAAAGAUCACCAAAUUUUUCCUUGUAAUUAAGACACAGGCUCUCUAAGGUUAUGAAAUGUGCUCAUUGAUCUACUAGUAGAGAAAUAUGCAAUAUCUAUGUGGAUCUUAAGGAAGACUCUUUUGAAUAGGGUAGUGCCAAUAUCUAUGUGAAACACUAAUGACCUUGUUGUCCAAAGGGGGAAUGAACGAGUGAACAAGAGAAGGAAGAAGAAAAGAUAGGAAACUAAUGAUUAAAGAAAAUACUCAAGACUAAUAAAAUGAAAAUGAAAAGAGGUCGAGUAGUCAAGGCAUGGACACUAGAGGAAACAAAAAGAAGAUUGAACAUUUGGGGUAAGACUUUAAAAAAAAAGUUGGAUAAUUAAGACCCGACUCUAGGAAAACAUGAAAAUGUAGGACAAUCAAGGUAGCUCUAGGAAAACAUGAAAAGGUUGGAUAGUCAAAGCAUGACACUAAUAAAGACAAAAAGAGACCGAAUAGUUAGGGCAUGAUACUAAGAAAGCAUAAAAGAUGUUGGAUAGUUAGGGCAUGACAUUAACAGAAAAACAUAAAAAAAGUCGAAUAAUUAGGGUGUGACACUAGCAAAAACAUAAAAAAGUUAGACAAUUUGGGUGUGACAGUAAGAAAACAUAAGGAGGUUAGAAAGUUAGUGUGUGAUACUAAAUAGAAACACAAAGAAGUUAGAUAAUCAAGAAACAACACUAAAAGAAACCUAAAAAGGUUGGACAAUCAGGGCACAACACUAAAAAAAUAUAGAGAAAGAUCAGACAAUCGAAGUACAACAAUGAGAGAAGCAUAAGAAGGCCUGACAAUUUAGGCACAACGCUAAAAAAGAAACAUAAAGAAGCUGGACAGUUAGAGUGCAACACUAAGAGGAACAUAAAAAGGAGGUCAAACAGUCAAGGUACAAUACUAAAAAAAAAAAUACAUGAAAGCCAGACAGCUAGGGUGCAACAAUGGGAAAAACAUAAGAAGGUUGGACAGUUAGGGCUUCACACUAACAAUGACACAGAAAGGCUAGCCAAUUGGGGCACGACAAUGGGAGAAACAUAAAAAGGUCAAAUAGUCUAAGUGUGACACAAAAGAGACAUAGAAAGGUUCACUAGUCAGGGUGUGACACUAAAAAAAGACAUGAAAGGCUAGACAGUUGGUGAGUAACAUUAAAAAAAAAAAGGCAUAAAAAUGUUGGAUAGCUUGGAUGUGACACUAAAAAAAGACAUAAGAGAGUGGGCAAUUGAAACAUGAUAAUGGACGAAAUAUAAGAAGGUCAGACAAUUAGUGCAUGACAUUUUAAAAAAGACAGAAAAGUUAGACAUUUCAAGCAUAAUGCUAAAAAAACAUGAAAGGUCAAACAAUCAAGGUACAACUAUAAUAAGAGACAUAAAAAGGUCAGAUAGUCGUAGGAUGACACUAACAAGAGACAUAAAAAGGUUAGACAACCAUGAGGCAACUCUAGGAAAACAUAAAAGAGGUCAAACAGUUAAAAUGCAACACUAGAAAAAAAAUAUAAAAAGGUUGAAUAGUUAGAGUAUGAUUUUAACAGGAGACAUAAAAAGAGGUUGGACAGUUAGGGUGUAGUAUUAAGAAAACAUAAAAGAUGUUGGACAAUUAGGGCAUGACAUUAAUAUAAAAACAUAAAAAGCUUGGACAAUUAGGGUGUAGUACUAAUAAAGACAUAAAAUGAUAAAGAGUGGGGUGCAACACUAAUAGAAACUUAAAAAUGGGUUAGACUUUGAUAGUAAGGCAUAGUUAUGGUGACUGAAAAGUGACUAAGAUAAUACUCAAAUGUGGCUCUUAGCCAAAUGAUGAUCCAAAGGCGUAGCUCGAGGCUAGAGAGUGACCAAGAAGAGAAUUUAAUUGUAAAGUUCAAGGCUCAUAUAAAAUGAUAAAAAGAUAAUCUAAGAGUAAUGCUCAGGCUAAUCAAUGAGCAAGAUAGAUAACAGAAGAAGAGAAAACCUAAAGAUACAUGAAGAUUCGAUUGAGAGUCGAAUGAUGACCUAAAAAUGUGGCUUGAGGUUAAUUGAGUGUGAGAUAAAGAUGACUUAAUAGUGCAACUCAAGGUUUGAAUGAUGAUUAAGAAAAUACCAAAGAUGUGGUCACAAAGACUAAAAGACAACUAACAUAAGAUUAAAAAGGGAAAAGAUAAAAUAUACAAAAUGUUAUAUAUCAACGGCAUACUCCAACAUACACGUGUCGACAAUAAGAUGAAAAUGUCUAAUCCUUAAUUAGAAAAGCUAAAUAGGACUAUUUGUCUUAAGACCAUGCUAUCAAAAUAGAACCAAAUGAUGGACAAAAACAAAGCUAACCAAAGCUCUGAAUCUAAAUAUGCACCAAGUCAUGUCAUGAAAUGUAGACUAUCAAAUGAAAAAUGCCACAAACAAUCGACAGUCUUUUGAGUCUUGCCAUCAUGGAAGAUGUUAAAUUCAGUAUCCAAAAGGCAUAUGAAAGUUCAACUAGAAAACUCAUUAUUCUUCUACAUCCUUCUAUGAUUUGGAGAGCAAAAUAAGUUUAUAUAUCAUGAUGGAAUGAGAUGGGUGGAUUGAAUACAAGAUAUAAGUGUGAAAAUAGUAAAAGAGAAGUGUUUGGGUAUGAAAUAAAUAUAAGAGAGUAUCUAAAUCAGACCUGGUAUGGUGAGAAGACAAAAUCUAAGGCAUCAUCAUCUUUAUAACCCAUUAAAAACCUCAAUCUAGUGGUCAAAUUCCAAUGGCCUAAAAAAUCAAUAAGAUUGUCACGCCCUAAUAUAAAUAUUUCCUUAAAUGGCUAUGCCCCAACAUAAAAGACAUCAAAUCGAUAUCUCUCAACUUGAUCACCUUUAUGAGAAUGAUUAUGACAUAAUGUAUGGAGUUAAAUAGAGUAGUUAUGCUUAGUAUAAAAUAUUAUUUUUUUAAAAAAAAUCAAUCACAAACUAAAUGGGUUAUGCCCCAACAUGAAUAUAUCAAGUUAAAAUGGGUAAGGCCCAAACAAAUUAAUCAUCUUCAAAAUGAAACACUAAUAAGAGAAGUAUGGUCCAGUAUAUAAGGUAAUAUUUAAAAUGUUCAAACCUUAGUGCAAUGUAAUCUUUAGAAUGGUUAUGUCAUAACAUACACGAUCUCAUCAAGAUAGACCUCUACUCCCUAAAUUAUUUUCAUACUAUAAUGUGAAGAGAGUAUUGAAUCUCCUUUAGAAGACGAAUAUGCCCAGUGUAGGGAAUCAAGCAUAGCGGUUAUGCCUUACUAUAAAUUGUCAAAUCAAAAUCAAACUCUACCAUAUAUCUCAAAAUGGAUAUAUGUUGAUUUGAAGCCAAGUGACUUCUAAUCCAUCAUGCUCCAUGAGAAGGAAUAAAGUGGCUAUGCCUUAGUAUAAGAUAUCAUCUCAAAAAUCAAUAAUUGAUGAGAGGGCUACGCCUUAGUAUAAACUCUCUAAGGUGUUUAUGCCCUAGAAUAAAUCGUUAAAUGAAAAAUAAAACUAUAUCCUAGAUCUAAAAAAAGGAUAUAUAUCAAUAUAAAUCCAAGCGAUAACUAAUCCAUCAUGCUUCAUGAGAAAGAAUAAAGUGGUUAUGCCCUAGUAUAAGUUAUCAUCUCGAAAAUCAACCAUCAAUGAGAGGGCUAUACACCAAUAUAAACUCUCUAAGGUGGCUAUGCCUUAGUGUAAAUUGUCAAAUCAAAAUCAAACUCUAUCCUAAAUCUAAAAAAUGGAUAUAUGUUGAUAUGAAUCUAGGUGACUCUUUAUCUAUCAUGCUCCAUGAGAAGGAAUGAAGUGACUAUGCCCUAAUAUAAGCUAUCAUCUAAAAAAUUAAUCAGCAAUAGGAGGGCUACACCCUAGUAUGAACUCCCUAAGAUGGCUAUGCCCCAACGUAAAUUGUUAAAUCAAAAUCAAACUUUAUCCCAUAUCUCAAAAAAGGAUAUAUAUCGAUAUGAAUCCGAGUGACUCUUGAUCUAUCAUGCUCCAUGAGAGAGAUUGAAAUGGCUAUACCCUAGUAUAAGCCAUCAUAUAAAAAAUCAAUCAUCGAUGAGAGGGUUAUGCGCUAGUGUAAACCUUCUCACAGUUUCUCAUCAAUCAUGCUCCAAGUAAUUUCCAACCAAUCUCAAAUGCUACCCAUGUGUGAGUUAUCAAGUAUAAUACAUGAGUCAUGGCCGUCAAGGUGGUCUUACGACCUAGGAUAGGAUGUAAUGUAGGCUAAGGCAAUAGCGUAAAAGAAACGAAGGGAAACUAAACUCAAUAAUCCUAAUGAUAUGAUCCCAAUGCCUUUGGCAUACACAAUGUAAUAGAUAAAGAAACUCAAAGAUUGUUGAGCUCAUAGAUGCUCUAUGAUAUAAAUAACUGAAUGAAUGAAAAUAUGAAAUUAUUGAAAAGAAAAACAAACCCAAGAUAAAAACUACACAAAAACCAACCAUCCACAUGAAUGAGUUAGAGAAAUGGAAAGGACGAGUGUGAGACUCUAAAUUAGGCUCAAAUGAAUCAAAACAAUAGUACAAUGGCUAGAGAUAAAGUAGGCAAUGUCAACAAAUGAUAACUCAAUAUACAAGUAAAAAAAGAACAUAAGCAAGAUGAAUGAGAAUAAAACUCCAAAUAAAAAGUGUAAUUGAGUACAAGAGAAUAAAAAUGUCAUAGUUAGGGAUAAAACCCACAACUCAAUCAUAAUUCAAUGUAUAAAUGAGAUAGAUAUAUAUAAUAAGAUGAUCAAAACUAUCACACAAGCCGUUAACAAAGACUAACAUUAUAUUUUUUUUUCUUUUUCUUUUUAAUAAUAAUUGAACCAAUGAAUUAAAACAAUCAUGUACAAGAAUCCCAAGGCAACCUAUACAAAUCUUGAUAUAUAUAUAUAUAUAUAUAAGAAGACUAACCCGUAUGUACAUAUAUGAACUCAUAAUGACAGAAUAAUGAACAAUAACUCAAAUGGGUAAGUAUUAAGAAGAGGUAUGGAUGAAAGAAUGCAAAUGAUCAAGACGAAAAUAAUGAAUACAAAGAUGAAUCACUUGAGGAGCUCACAACCUAUGUGAUUACUACUCAAAAAGUGCUAUUUUGUAGCUUGUAAUUAAACUCUUUUAAACACUCUUGAGUAGUAAUUAUUACCUUUUAACUCAAUUGACAUGUUAAGGACCCUUGGAAUCAUUUCUAAUCAAAUUGUGUUAAGUUUUGGUGUUUUUGAUAGCUUUUUGCUCACCAAAGCAAUCCAAGAAUGAGGGAGAGCUGUAUAUAGUUCAUGGCAAAGCUUUUGGAAGCUCAAAUUCAUGACGAACCAAGCUUUGGAGCUCCAUAGCCCUUUGCCAAAGUCGUUCAAAGUAUGCAAGGAAAGAACAAUGGAGAGAGGAAAAACAGAGUGAAGAAAACAGAGGACAGCAGCUUCAGUAUUCUUUCACACUUUUGGAGCACUUCCCGAAGUCCAUUUUCUACAUGAUAUAUACCAUUUCAAAGCUCAUGAAGUAAAGAAUUCAACGCUUCAAACUGUGUAUGAUUUGGAGCUGAAAUGAGGAAGAUAUGGCCUUCGCAAGACAACUGCAUCCAGCUGAAGGACAAAUUCGCAUCUUGCGAAUUUGGAACUCCAACGUGCGAAAGUGAUUUUGCAACUUGCGAACUUGGAGCUCAACGUGCGAAAAUGGAUUCUAAGUUGCGAAAUCAACUUGUGAAAUUUUCGCAAGUCACCAUACAACGUGCGAAAAUGGGAUAUUUGUGCACCGACUCUUUUAGAUCUUUUCUUCAGAUAUUUUUGUAUAAAUUUCCAUUCUUCUCCUUGUAAUCCACGAACCAUAAGAUUUCUUAGCUAGGAAGGUUGGAAAAAAUUCUCUAUAUAUAUUCCCUUGCAUCCAUUGUAAUAAAUAUCGAUCAAUAUAUAGAAGUAUGUAGAAUCGAUCAAUAUAUAGAAGUAUGUAGAAUCGAUCAAUAUAUAGAUAUUUAAAUAUAUAGACUAUACAGAGCUUUGCUCUGUUUUUCUCUCUUCUCCUGUUCUUCCCCAUUUCUAUUUUCUUAGUAGCCAAACAGCCUUUAAGGGCUUUUCCUUAGAGGAUGAUUGGCUAAAACUUUUAGUUUCUCAAAGUAUGGAUGUUAUGUGAUGACUUGGAUGCAAUCCCAUGGAAAUUUCUCGCACCUGGAAGGUAAGGUAGUCGUUUUUCAUUAAAGGUUCAUUAAUGCAAAGUUUGGUUUUUAUUUCCUUUGGACAACUUCCAACGGCCAAUACUUGAUAAGCUUUUGGAUUUCUAUCCAUUAGUUAUCUCCUACGAGCUAUUGGAAGGUGAGGUUUUCAAUUCCAAGUUUUGCAUUAAUCCGUUAGAACCAAUUUCAAUGGCCAUUGAAAGGUGAGUUUAUCACCUGGAAUGACUUUGAGUUGCCAAUAUUUGGUAAGCUUUUGGCUUUAGACCAUUAGUUAUCUCUUACGAGCCAUUCAAAGGAAGUCUAAGGUGAAUAACCAUUGAUGAAAUUCACUACCAUCUGUUUUGCCAUUUUAAAGGAUUAAAACUUGAUUUGCUAAAUCCAUACCGGUUCGGGAAGCAAGCAUCACCAUAGUUGCAACCCCAACGCGAGGAGCCUAUCCUGAGAUUUCCAAUUUGCAUAAGAGCCAGAGCAUACCUAUCUUAUAUUUGAGAAACUUGUUUUUACACCCUUUCAUUUUAGUCUUUAAUGUUAGCUUAGAUUAGUUUAAAUCUUUCUAAAACAUUUACAUCUUCUUUUAAAGCUAACAUCCAUAAGAUAAUCACCUAUUUUCCUAAUUUGAAUAUCACUAGUGUUUGCGAAAACCCAUCCCAAUGAACGAUCCUAGAACCACUAUGCUAUAGUAGCUUGGCUACUUUAGUAAUAGUAUUUAAGGUAUAAAUUUUGUUGAUACGCCUUUAAAGCUAAGCUACCAUGAGUCGAAUCACUAGGCGAUCUUAUCUAUGAGCAAAGAUGUGCCAAGAGACCCUAACCCUAGGUAUGAGAAACGAGGUAAGUGGGGUGAAAAAUUAAAAGGCUAAAUGUGCAUGACUUAAUUGGCUAGCAAAGGGUAACUUUAUACACAAAGGUGAUUAGAUAAAUAUGCUCAUGAAAUUAUGGCCACCCAUCCUUUGAUCACAACCUUAAACAUCAUGUUCUUAAACUCUCACAUGGUCAACACUAAAGAUUGGUGUCCAUUAAAAUGUAGGCAUUCCAUCAUUCUAAAAUCAUGCAUAAAUAUCCCAUUUUGGAGGCUCUAUGACAACCUCAAGAUGCUCAUCUCUACCAUAGAAUAGUCAAUGAUCUCGUGCAAUUAAUCACCCUGCUCAUCAUAAGUCACCCUUCUCACCUCAUAAAAUCAACCUCAAGUACAAAGAACAAAUAAAUAGAUUAGAACAAUGUCCAUGUAGAUGACGUUGCAUUAGCUAUGAUAAGAAGGGAUGUAAAAGUCAUGUUAUGGUGUCAAGGGGUUAAUAUUGUACAAGGAUCAAGAUAGACAGGACGUAAAGGUUAAGAUGUGAAUGAAAGUGAAUAAGGUACAACUCUUAUCACAAGACAAAUGAGCCACAGUCUUAAGCUCCCUAAGUCAGUCCUUUAGUCCUAGCUUAAGGGGCUUAAUAUCAUCUAUGAUGGGUCAGGCCUAAUGAUCAUGAUAAGUAAGUGAAUAAUGUGUCAUAUCGAAAGUUAACACGUGCACCAUAAGACACAAACAUAUAUUCAAUGAAAAAGGUCAAGUCUAAUGAUCAAUGUACAUUCAUAGUAGAAGCAAAUACUAACAGGUCAAAACACUUUAUAAGGAAUACAAACUCUAACUACACCUCAAGACUAACACAAACUCAAUAACCAAAAGGACUAGCUUUGAUGCAACAGAAAUAAAUAGUCUUACCAACUAUGACACCAUUUCACCUAGAAAACACCGACUAGGUUCCCAAAACUCUAACUAACAUGACUCAUCUAAGGAACCUAUCAAUGACCCAUAGAAUAGAAAACCUUAGACUUAGGUCUAAAAAUUUCAAAUAAACAUAUCCUAUAAUGCUACACCUGACACACAACCUAAAUGACUGACAAUACAUUUAAAAAGGUAAAUCCUCUUUAUAUACAACAUCUUAAGGUUGACAAAAUUCUAAGGAGAAGAAAACUAUACAAGAUCGACGAAUGUAUAACCUAGAAGAUUGAUUAACUGAAUCCAACUAAUGAAGUGUGAAGAGAAUGAUAAUACAACUAAUCUAUGUUGAUGGAACUCUAAUGUUGAUGCAAAAUUGUUGUUAUCAAAUUCCUAUACAUGAAUGCACCUAAGUGUGGGUAGGUGUCCUAGGUCCAAGGAUCUAAUUCUCCUUUUACAAAGUAAAAGUGGCUUUAAAAGGUAGGAUCAAAGGUACUGAGUAGGAGAAAUUGUACUCAUUACCAGUACGUAACCUUCUACAAGCCUCCAAAGAGACUAGAAGUUUCCAUGUAAGGUGGUCAUCACCUCUACACAUGCACUUCCUUAACAUCCUAGGGUGGUUUCUUAAUGAUUAAGGUUUUCUACUAGUUAGCGCAUGUUACCUUUCUCAACACACAUAUAAGAUGAUCUAAACUGUGUAGUGUGGCAUAAGUGCAUCCAAACAAUAUCUUAAACUAAAGCAAAAAAGUAAACACAUUGGUCACACAUAUAUCUUGAAUCUAGUUAUGGGUUAUACAAGUCUUCAAUGAUCAAACUCCAAAUGGCGAUGAUGUGGUGACCUCCAUUGACAUGACGUUGAUGAUGUCAUGAUGCUCUCUAAGGCAUCACAAAGGUGCAACAAGAUAAGAUGAUGACAUGAAAAAAGAAAUGUGGAAUGAAAUGUUAAGGUAUGAUGAUGAGGCAAAGUGAGGUUGACAGUAAGAGUGAGAUAAUAAGUUAGGAUGCUGAUAGGAUAAGAAUAAAGUGGAAAUGAUGAUAUGGCAAUGUAGGAUGAUGUUAAGGCACUAGGGAUGUGGCAAAGUGAUGACAUGGUGAAGUAGGAUGAUGUGGCAAAGUGGGGUGAUAGUAGGGAUUAGGUGACUAAGUGGGAUGUUGAUAAAAUAAAAAUGAUGUGGCAAGGCUGAUAAUGUGGUAACCAACUCUAAGGCAAUUUCAUGGCAUUGAUGAUGUCAUGACAAUGCUCUGGGUGUUCCCAAACAUACAUUUAACCCAUAACUAGACCAUACUCCUAAUCACUAGCUUAGUUAGGAAACAAACAAGACACCAAGUCUCAUACACCAAAUAUGAGAUCAAAAGAAGAAAAUCAACCAAGGUUAGAGAGUUUGAGAUAAAGAGAUAAACAUGUGUUCUACACAAAGAAGCAAAACAUGCAUUAUGUAGAAGAAGGGUAGUCAUGCAGCAUACAAUUAUGCAAAAUAGAUAUAUACAAAUAUGAGUAGAUAUAUACAAACACAUAUAAUGACAAAAAUCAAUAUAUAGUAAGGCACGUGCAAUAUAUACAAAGUAAUCAUCAACUCAACCUCUCAUAUGCCCUAAAAUGUGUAAGCAUACAACAGAGGUACAAUGUGAGGGUAUCCACUAAUCGAUUAAUUCAACAUCACAUUUCCCCUCAACUUGAGUUCAAGCUUAACCUUCUAAACAUCCCUAGUGGAGUCACCAUUUUAUGGGCCUACAUUUUUCAUGUGCGUCCCCACUUGACGAUGAGAUACGUUUCUAUUAUGAAAAACUAUAUAUAUAUUUUUUUUAUAAAAAAAGUUGGGGUUGGAAUUGCCACUUAUUUUUGUUUAUUUUUAAAAUAGAAAACAAAAUAAGAAAUGAAGCUAUGAUGUGACUCAUUUUUUAAGGGAAAGACAUCUGGACUUGCAUUUUUCAUGUGCAUCCCUACUCGAUAGUGAGACUCGUUUUCUUAGUGAAAAUUUGAUUUUUAUAAAAUUGAGUCAUCACUUAUUUUUAUUUAUUUUUAGAAGGAAAAAUAAUAUAAGAAAUAAAACUCUAAAAAAUGACUCAUUAAUUUUGAAAAGGCGCAUCUUUGAAACAUUGAGUCUAAGUAUGAAUCAAGGUCAGGUUACCUAUUGGGAAAGUAUUACAAAGGUAGCACCCCUUUAAAGCCCUAAAAAGAAGUCUCUUCUGACUAGGUUGAGGUAAGUAUGACAAUUAAUUGAUAAAUUGUGGAUCCUAAAAAUAACAAAGGUGAUUAUAUCUAAGGCUAAACAAAAUUUUAUUCACAUUGAAACAAUCAAACCACAAAAAUCAAUCAUAUGAGAAAGGAAGACAAGCAUACCUGAACUACAACCUAAAACACUUUCAUAAAAACAUCAAAGUUAGUUUGACAAACAAUACAACAUACAACACAUGUUCCAUCUCAUUCAAGGAAUCACACACCAAUCAUAGCAUAACGAAGCAAUAUCAAAUAAGAAGAUGUUGACAUACAAAACAUAUCUAUUUACAAAACUAAGGGAUAAAAGUGUGUGCAAUGUACCUAGAUUGCAUAAAUAACUUACAAGGACUUUCCAUAAAGCUAGAGGGUGGUUAGAACAAUUAUAAUAAUAAAGAAUUGUGAUAGUGAAUACACAUGGUAUAUGUAUAGCUUAAAUGAAAUGACAAGAAUCCAAAUAAUUAUAAACUAUCACCUAGGACAUCCAUACACCUCAUUGUUAAGGCUAAACUAUGUACAAGAUAGCUUAAAAAACACCAAAAAUUAGAGAAUAGGACAAAGCACAUAGGAAAGGGUAGAAUAGUUGCAUUUACUUGAAAAACUCUAAACAAAUAUCCAGAAGUAUUACUUCAUCAUAGGAAAAAAAAAAUCAUACAACAUCCUCAUUAUGUCUAUAAUACAAUACCAAAGCCAAGAGCAAGAGAUGAAUAGUCAAUUAACUCUAGAUUAAAUAAUAAAUAAAACAUUAUAUAAAAAUUUCAUCAUGCAAACAAAUCAUAAUAUAUAUAUAUAUCUAGAAUGUGAAUUUAAUUACAAAAAUUUUCAAAGAACAUCUCCUAUAUGUCCAGCUUAUCAUCCAACUAGCCAAACAAUAUAUUGAGGCAUUGAUUAAUUCCAAUUUACAAAAGUAUAUCAAAAGGUUCAGAAUAUGAUAGAAUUUAAUAUCAUCCAUAAACUAAUUUUUUUAACCAAACUAGAAGUGCUAUAAAAUCAUACAAAAAAUCAUGCGAUAUAUUCAAAAUGUCUAAUUUACAAGAAAAAUAAUAGCAAGGCAAGAAAGUAUAUGGAUCAAUUCGAAAAACAAUCAAAGAGGCUCUCUAUUAUAAAUUAGGAUAGUGUAGUGGGUACAAUAAAGGAAAAUUAUUUUUCUUUAUUAGAAAAACGUUUUUAAAUAUUUAGUGCAUAUAAAAUAAAUUUCAAGAAGUCUAGAAUCUAGGAAAAAAGGUUAAUUUUUUUUUUCAAAGUCAUCUAGUAAUUCAAAAAUACAAAAAACAAUGAAGGUAUUUAAAAGUGGGCAAAAAUUGAACCUACCAAAAGAUUAAUUGAUAAUUUCCAUUUGAAAUAUGAUUUUUGAUCAAACAUCUAAAAUCAAGUUCAUGAAGUUCACAAUUUCAUAUAACCAUAGGAAAAAUCUUAGGAGUAUUAUAAAUUAGCCAAAUCAAAAUUUUAUUCUAGAGACGCAACAAAUCCAAAACGAUGACAAUAAAAGGUUUUUAAAAAAUAAUUUUAUGUAGAGUUUCACCAAAUCCUCAUUUGAUAUACACAAAUCUAGACUACGGAUUCCCAACCUUGCAUAAGUAUUGACAAACUCAUCAAAACUGAGAAUUAUCCUAUUUAUUUAGAAACACAAGCUUGGAUUCAUAUUCCACUCAAAAUCAAAAUUUUUUAUUGAAAAUAAAAGAAAUGUGUUAACCAAUUAAAAAAUGAUUGCAUAUUUUUAAGAAAAAGUUUUUUUUUUUUUUUCCUUUUUGACCCUAAGAAUUAUAGAAGGAGUUUUUGAAAUACAUUUCAAUAAAGAACAUUUUGAGAAAAGACUUUUUUUUUUUUAAUAGAGAAAAGUUGCAUUUUAAAACCAUAAAAUAUAAGGAUAAAAAACCAAACAAAACAAGAGAAAAUAAAAUCACAAGGUGAUAUUUUCUAGCAACCAAGCAAAGUAAGUGAGAGUAGAGGCCAAUCUUCAUGUGUUUCCAAGGGCAUAAAAAAAUCGAAUUAAAUGAAAGUUCACUAAAGCAACAAGCAAAGUAUUUUAGAUUAGAUAGACUAACAAGAUAUCGAUUCAGGAACUAAUCACUAGGAUUUUAAAAGCAUAUAAAUUAAGAUAAGGAUGAUCAAGAACUUACAUUAAUGAUUUUAAAACAAAUAUUAAAAAAACAUGGGAUCAAUUUAGCUAAGGAACUAAAAUUAUAGAAGUACCUAAACUAAUUAAAAUGACUUUGACUAAAUUAAAGUGUAUACUCUCCAUUUUGUCCUCCUAGCACAUGUCUUAUUAGGUAUUUGUCCUGUAUUUUACAACAAUUCCUUGGUGGCCUAUUACUACUCCUGUAGCCUAUCUUUUAUAAGCCACCUUGGGGACUUUGGUUGAGGGAUUUAUUUAUCCCCAUUGUGACUCUUGGCAGCCCUAAUUUAGACUCGGGUUCACUUAGACACCUUAGGAUCACUUAGGCACCUUAGGUCCACUUAGGCACCUUAGGUUCACUUAGACACCUCAGGCCCACUUAGGCACCUUAGGAUCACUUAGACACCUCAGACCCAUUAGGCACUUUAGGCUCACUUAGACACCUCAGGCCCAUUAAGCACGACCUUAGGCCCAUUUAGGUACACUUGGCCCAUUAGGAUGCACUUGGGCUCAUUUAGGCACAUUUCAACUUUUUCUAGGCCCAUUUAGGCAUGACUAGCCCAAUUAGUUUUACCAGUCUUGCUUAGGUCACCUUUCAAGUAGGGUUUCAUGGCUUGUAUGACUAGCAUGUGCUUUAUUUUCUUAUUUUAUUUUAUUUAUUUAUUUAUUAGUUUUAUUCAUUUACUUAUUCACUUUUUCGAAAAAUUGCAUGAGAAUUUAGAUUUUAGUUUUUUCUAAUUGCAUGAAUUGAUAUCUCAUAUAUAUUCAUAUAUUUACUUUACUUUAUUCAUCUAUUCAUUUUUGUAGGAAAUUGCUUGAGCUUCAUAUUUUAAUUCUAUUAACGUGUUUGAUAUCUUAGUUUUAAUUGCAUAAUUUUAAUUUUAAAUUUUAAAUUUUCAACUACAUGAUUUUUUUUAUUUUACCAUUUACUUUCUAUUUCAAAGGGGAUGAGGAAAUAAUUUCUCCUAAUGGCGUCGUUGAAGGUAUUUUCAUCAUUUGGGACGACAUAAAGCAGAGUCGUGGUUGUGGAUUUUUUAAGCUUCCUAAUAGAAAUAUGGCAGUGGUAGCAAUCAACAAUCAAUGUAUUAAGUGGAAAUUACAUGAUGAAGGGUUAUGAUUUCUGAUUUUUUAGAAAGUGGAGAAUCAGUCCAGAGGAUAGUGGCAUUUUAUUCUGAAAUAAAAUUUCCAUAGUUGGUUGUUGUAAGUGAAAAGAGUUGGAUGUAGUGUGUAUGUAGACAGAAAGUGAGGCCAAGUUCAAGCAAGAUGGGUCUGAAAAAGUUACAGGUACAAAGGAAAAAAAAUAGGCAAAGGAAGAAGAAAGGAUGGCAAACAAGUGGAUCAGUGAAAUGAGUCUCCCAACAUCAAUAGCCAAUAUCUUCGUUGCUCGCAACAUCACUACUGCCAAGGAAGCAUUAUCUCUAACUGAAUUUGAAUUGAUGGAGUUAUUGGAUGUGGGUAUGGCAUGAGUGACAUUUGCAGUGGCACACAUUAGCGAAAUUGUUUCUUCACUGAUGUAAAUUGCCCUGUUACUGAUGGAACAAAAGGUUUAGAAUGAGUGUAUGGUUGGCCAUCUUCCCACAUGCCUCAAAGGGUUGGAUGAGGCUUUAGGGGAUGGAAUCCUAUUUGGUGUUCUCAUUGAGUUGGUUGGCCCUCUCUUGGAAUUGGCAAAACCCAAUUUUGCCUUAAACUCUCACUAUUGGCUUCUCUACUGGCAAGUUAUGGAGGCUUAGAUGGUCGUGUAAUAUAUAUUGAUGUCGAUUCCAAGUUUAGUUCAAGAAAUAUGAUAGAAAUUGGGUUAAAGAGUUCCCAAGAAAUAUUACAUAUGGAAGGAAUGGCAAAGUAGAGGAUGCUGAUGGAAAAUCCAGAGUAUCCAAUGAGGACCGGCCAUUAUCAUUUUGCACGACAACUAUGAAGUCAGUAUAUCUAUGGAUUGUCAUGCCCCAAAAUGUUGCCAAGUCAAACUCUCGGUUCCUUUUAUUAAUGCAUGGAAUUAUUAUAUUUAUUAUAAAUAUCAUGUCUUUAACCUGUCACCCUCUUAUCUCAUGUUUAAAUUGGAACUAGUUAUAAACCGAAAAUAAUCUGGAUAUAAUAUUAAUUGCAUAGAAGCUAAUUUAGGUAGAAUUUUUUUAUUUCCUUUGAAUAAACCUAUCAUAAAGUAAGAAAAACACAUCAAAGGUAGCAUAAGACGGAUCAAAAGACUAUGUGUCUCAUACUUGCGUCUUUAGAUAAUAUGUUGCAAAAGCAACACAUUUCUAUUGCCAUGGUCUAUGAUAUUCUCUUUAAAGUUGCAAGGGCUAUUUUGUGAUAAAGGUAAGUCAACUAGACAAGUUGCCCUUAGGACUAUUAUGAACAUUAGGAUUCAUGUUGUCUUAGAGAUCUUACUAGAUUCCUUUAGGAUAGGUAAGAAGAUUCUUAAAGAGUAAAAUGGUGUUCAUAUGGAAGUCAAGGUUCUUUAGGUUCUUCUACUAAGAAGAAGAAGAAGAACACCAAAUAAGGAAAGUUCAAGAAAAGAAAUGAGGGAGCAAACUCAUGGAUGGUAAUUCCUUUAUGAUCAAUUAGAACACUAGAAAAGGAAUUCUUGGAGUGCCUAAGGAUAGGCAAGUACACAACAUGUUCUCGUUGUUGAACUCAUAGUGGUGGAUUUCACCAAUUGUGGUGGAUAGAGUCCGGGCCCAUUAUAAAAAAAUGAGAAGAUCACAUUGAAUUUAAGGCGGAAUCGAAUAACCUAUUGGGUAAACACAUCAAGGCACUUCGAUUAGAUUAAGGUGGUGUGUCUAGUAGGUUCAAUUCUUUCCAUAUGGAGCAUGCGAUGAUAUCCCAAUUGUGUGCACCAAGGACUCCAUUGUAAAAUGGAGUAAUGGAAAGAAGAUAUUGAACUUUGAUAGAUAUAGUGAGAUUGGUGAUUGGUUUCUCAUUACUUCCCAUAUUCUUUGAGGAUAUAUCUUAGAGACUGUGUAAUACCUCUUUUUCUAAAGAGGUGCAUUGGUUUAUAGGAUAUCUAAGAGGACUUCAAGAUUAUUACUUUAUAGUUAGGAUAAUUAAAAGGUGUUUGUUGCUACAAGCACUAGAUUUUGUUGAACAGUAUAUGAUAUGUAAUAAGGCAAACAUUGAUAUAGAUUGGAGAAUACUAUAAGAUAGUCCCACUAUAUGGAAGAUACUAUGGAUCCACUACCAACCAUUCCUACUUCUAGUACAUUGAUGCCUCAUCGUAGUGGGAGUGUUGCUAAACAACUAAACCAAUUCAUGUAUUUGGAAGAGUCGACUUUCGAGGCCAUUCUAAAGGAACAUGAGAUCGAUCCCAUAGAGUGAGAUGAAGCAAUGAGCGAAGUGGAUGCACAUCUUUGGCAAAAGGCUAUGGAGGCAGAGUUAGAAUCCUUAUGAUUAUAAUGUAGUCUAGGUUCUUGUAGAAGCACUUGAAGGGAUAAAACCCAUGGGUAUAAGUUGGUUUACUAAAUGAAUAAAGGAGUAGAUGGAAAAGUUGAGAUUUAUGUGGCUAGGUUGUAUCUAAAGGUUAUACUUUGAAGCAUUAUUUCAACUAUAGGAAACCUUUCUCCAAUAGCCAUACUCAAAUCCAUUAGAGUACUCCUAUCCAUUGCGGAGUAUCUCAUUUAUGAGAUAUUUCAAUAGGGUGUCAAGAUAGUGUUCUUAAAUGAUUAUCUUGAUAUUAGCAUCUAUAUGAUGUAACCAGAUAUUUUCAUAGCAAAGGGCCUUAUGUGUACAAGAAACUGCAGGAAAGCAUAGUGGUGUUCUAGGAUCUUGUAGGUAGAUCACAAUCUACUCAUUCAGAAUGAUGUAGGGAUAUUGUCAUCAGUCAAGAUUUGGUUGUCUACUUGGUUAUAGAUGGAAAUCUAGAAGGGGCACAAUAUAUUCUUGGGUUUAAAGUCCUCAAGGAUAACAAGAAUAGGAAAAUUGUGCUAUGUCAAGCAUAUACUCAAGUAUCUUUUUAGAAUAAAGGAUCAUGUGCUUUUGCUCCAAAUUGUUGAAAUAGUUUAGAGGGUGACGUGAUGGUUGACAAUAUACCAUUUAUGGAGAACUUGGUGGAUCCAUUCACUAAGACAUUGACAGGGAGAGUCUAUGUUGGUGAUAGGGAUAACAUAGGUUUAAUAUGAGUAUCUAGAAUGCUUUAUAGGUACGAUGCUUUGAGGGUUAGUGGAAGAAUGUUAGAAUAGAGCCCUUAAAAGCAUAACAUGAUGUAAUAAAUUUGGAAUUUUUUAUUUAUUUAAUGAUGUUCCAAUUUCACUUUUAUUUAUCCUUAUUCCAUGUAUUAUACUUUAUGAACAUUCUUGUCUACAUCUUUUGCAUUGCACAUGACUUAGGCGCAUUAGGAGUUGCAUAGAAGAUCUAAGUCAUGGAUUCCUUGUAAAUAGAUGACUUAUUCACAAUCGGAUCACGGGUCUAGGCAACCUAUUAGAGGUUGUAGUGUACCACCUCCUAAGUGGAAGGAUGGUUGAUCUUGGCUAUCAAGAUGGGUUUCCCAUGGUGAGUGCACUAGUGUACGUGCUUACACAUUGAAUAGAAUCUAUGGUGAGUCAUGACUGAAGGUUGUCAAGUAGUCAUGACCUUACCAAGCUACUUUAUUGUGUUGUCUCUCAACCUUGAGAGAAUAUUAAGCUUGUGCUAAAGUUGGCAAUGGCUUUGACCCUACGGGUGAGAUUGUAAGUUGAUCAUAUAUUUUAUAUGGAUUGGGUCACUAUUGAUAGAAGUUAGUAGCAAUAGGUAUUCUCAAUAGAGGCACCAUGUUAUCUCAUGGGAUUGAGAUAGUGUAUCCUCUCGGGUGAUCCUAAGGAGGUGUGUUCAUGGAAAUUAUGGUCAUAGUAGUAGUUCCUUAAGUAGAACAUGACAUAGGCUCUUUGAGAGCUGAGACAUGUCAGUUGAAUACAUAAUAAGAGGACCUGUAAUUCAAGGAUAGUAGAGUUAGUCUUGAAAGGUUGAUAGCUUUCACCUUGUUAGACUAUGGACACCAGUUCAUGGGAAGACUAAACACAAUGGAUAGUAGGUCACGAACCCGAGCACGUAGUGUCUCAUUGUUAUUUACAUAGGAUACUAAAGUUCAAUUGAUUCUCUAUAGUGGGAUGUUGAAUCAACUUCCAAAUUGGAUUGUGAGGGAGCCAGUACACCUAUAGAUCAUAGUGGUCCCUGUUUUGAGCUCAUAUACCUUGUUGGUGUGGAUUAUGAGGGUCGGAUUAAGUCUAGGUUCACUUUUGUGUAUAAGGGCAUUUUGGUAAUUAUGCAAGAUUGAACAAGGAUAAGUGAACAAAGUCUCUAGAUUAGGCUAAUUGAUUAAUUAGUAGGCUCUAUUGAGUUAAUUAAUCAAUUAGGACCCAUUUUAGGCUAGAUUAAGUGACCCAAGCCCAUUUGAGCUUAAGUCACUAAAGCCCAAUUAGGACCCUAUAAAUAUCCCAUAGGGGUUAGAGUUUCCAUAAUUUUUGUCUUCCACCAUCUAGAGAGAAAGGGAGCCAUAGCCUUCACCCUCUUUUCCUCCCCACCAAAAGUGUACCAAGAACAAGGUUGAGUCAUCGGGCGGAAGAUCAUGGGUUUACAAGACGUCCAACAACUUGAAGGCUGUUUCAACACUCGGAUUUUAAGGUUUGGGAACAUUCAAACCUAAAGGUUAGUUCUUUAACCCUAAAAGAUCAAUUUAAAAAAAAAUUGCUAUUGCUUUCGUUACUUAGAUCUAAGAUGCCAACACUUUCAUAGUAUCAUCCAGUGAGGAUCAACUUCUUUUAAUUGAAGAAGACUCUUCCAAUGAGUCAAAUGAGUCUUCCUCACAAUUAUCUUGUGAUUGUGUGGAAAAUUGUCUUUGUAAUAUUAAAAGAAUAAAUGUUAUAACAAGUGAACAAAACUUCUUACUAGAAUUAAUAGAUAACAUUCCAGAUCCAAACAUCCAAAGGAAAUACUUCAAAAAAAUACCUAGAAUUUCAAAAACUAGACAAAUAACACAAAUCAGAAAAUACGAAUCAAUGCAAUUUAAAAAUUGUAUUAGAACAAUUUUCUAAAACUAAACCAAUAGGCAUUCAAGACCUUCAAAAUGAAAUAAGUUCGAUAAAACUUCAAAUCAAUACUAUGAUAAGUCAAAAUCAAGAAAUAGAAAACAAACUUCAAAUCUUAUAAAAUAAUAAGUCAGAAAACACCAAAGAUAAACAAGUGAAAGGUAGAGAAUCUUUUGAAUUGUUUAUAAAAACUAUAACUAGGAUGAAAUCUCAAAAAUGGUAUGUCAAAGUAAAACUCUUUAUCAAACUUGACUUUUCAAAAGAAUUUUUAGCAUUAGUUAAAGUGCAACCAGUUAUGGGAGCUUACAACCAAUUACACCAAUUAGAAAUAGGCUCAACCGAUUGGGAACCAACUCACCUCUCUUAGGCAUCUCAAUAAUUGCACACACUUUAACUAGGCAAAGAAAAAAACCCACCUCAAUACCUCAACUUGCACAAAUGCUCCCAAAACCAACAACAUGGGCAAAUGGCAUAGUUGAGUAGGAAUAGCUUUGAAGCAAUGAAGUGGGAGGGUGUGGAAGAUUUUUUUUGCUUAUAUAUACAAGAAUCGUAAAUAGAAAAAAAUAUUCUCAGAAUGAUAGAUGAUCACUAGGUAAAUAAGUUAUAGUUUGUGUGUGUGUGUUUGUAAUCUUUUAUUUUUAAGUGUUUUAAUGAAGUUGUUUUCUUUUUAGUCCUUGUGUUUUGUGUUUUUCUUUUUGUGCCUUUCUUAGGCCAAGGGGUGAAAGGACUUAGUUCACCUUUAGUUUGGUUGUUUGUGCUUGAAAAAAACUAUAACUUAGGUCAAUGGUUAUAAGGACCAAAAAUAGUCUCCAUUGGCUUAGGUCUGUAGUUACAAGGACCAAAAGGAGUCUUUACAAAGAGCAAAGGCUAUGGUUGUAAGGCUUGAAAUUCAAGCAACCUUGGCCUUAGUUCCUACAAUCUCAUACAUAUACAUAAACUCAUCCAAAUCAUUUGGCUAUGAUGACUCACCAAGAGCAAUCUAACCAAAAUUUUCUUUCAUUGAAGCGGGUGAUGCUUAUUUCAAUGGGAGCCUUAUGGUUGGUGUAAACCCAAGUCCUAGUCCUAAAGCCCAUAGCACAAGGCUAGUGUCUUGUUAAAGGUUCUGAGUUCGAGAGAAGGAAUCCAAAUGACUUUCCACUCUUGGAUAUUGUUGUUGUUGUAGUUUUUGUUGUUUCAUUUUUAAAUUUUAGUUUCUAAGGUCCUUUCCUCUCUCUUGAAAUUAAAAUUUUAUUGUUUUAUUUCUUUAACUAGCACUCACACCUCCAAAACUCCUACCAGUACUAUUAUUGAUUAAAGGUUCUCUAUGGAGACGACCUAAUUGCUAUACAAUUGUUAGUUUUUUUUUUCUAUAUAUAUUUUUGGUUUCAAAGUUAAGUGUUUCAACAACUUCUCUAGUUUAAAAUUAUGUUUUUGUAAAACUUUAUUGAAAAAAUAUUUACAUAUUUAGUUUUAAAUUAGAAAAACACAACUAAAUCACUCAAUUAGUUAGGCUCGACUAGUCAAGGAUUGGUUGAGGUUACUAAGAAUUCUUUCUUUCUUCUAAUAGUUAGGGUGUAGCCAGUUUAUGCAUAGUCUUAAUCGAUCAAGGGGCAUUUUAGUGGCAAUCAAGGAUUAAAUACACCUUCAGUUGAGGUUAGAAACCCCAAUAGUUACUUGUAGAGCAUUUAAUUCCUUAUGACUAGUUAAUCAAUCAAAUCGGUGUUGAACUGGUCAAGGGUUGACAUUUAUGACUUUUUAGGUUCUUGAGCUUGAAACAUAUAAAUUGAAGAUUUUAGAGCAUUUAUUGACUUGAGAAAAAUUACAUUCAAUUAAAAAAAUAUUAUUUCCCUUGUUUAAAGCUCUUCAUCCAAGUGCAUUGAUUUAUCACUUGCGAAUUUUAUUAGUGCACCUUUCAUAUCCAUCCUUGUUUCCUUUGUAUGAGACAAACUUGUAUCUAGGAUUGGAAGUGAAAAAUAGGUAUUGCUUUAAUACCACUUGAAUAACAACUGAAAGUCCAAUAGCGAACACCCAAAGGGGGGGGGGGGGGGGGGGGGGGGGGAAUGGUUGAUUUAAAAUUUUAAAUAAAGAUUUAUAUGCUAUAUCAAAUUCUUUUACCUUAAGAAUUUUUCAGGGUUAUACUGGAUAUUCGAAAAGGAGUUCACCCUAAAUCUAGAAUGAUAAAACUUAAUUUUUAUGAUUAAUUGACAUCCAACGAUUAUUUGGGGAUAAAAUUAAUUAAUUAAUAAUAUCUUGAGAGAUGUUAAGGAUAACAAUAAUUAGUUAUAGGGAUAACAACCAUAACCACAAAGCUAACCACCCUAACAACCUUAAUAGCAAUCCUAACAAAUCAAUCAAACUUAAUAAAAUAAAAUCUAAGAAGGAAUAUAUAGAUAUGCACUGUGGACCCGCAUUUUUCACAUGCGUCCCCACUCGAUCGGCGAGACUCUCCUUUUAUUUGUGAAAUUUUGAUUUUUGAAAAAAGUUGGAGUCGCCACUUAUUUUAUUUUUAUUUUUGAAGGGAAAAUAAAACAAGAAAUAAAACCCUAAAAAAAUGACUCCAUAAUUUUUGGAAAAACGUGUCUUUGAAAAACCCGAGUCUAAGUCCGGGGAUCAGGUUACUUAUUGGGAAGGUACCUUUAAAAGGUAGCACCCCUCUAAGCCCUAUAAAGGUCUCUACUGACAAAGUUAAGGGAAGUGUGGUCGUUAAUUAGUUAAUUAUGGAUACCUAAGUAGGUUAGGUGAUUUCAAAUAUUGCAUGCCUAACAAGAAAACAAACCAUGAGAGAGAAUCGAAGUGCGUACCUAAACGGCUUUUCAAGCGCUAUCACAAGACAUCAAAGUUAGUAUAGAGAUAUAGCACACAACAUGCAUUUUAUCCAAGCAAGUCAAACAUACAUCUAAGCACCCAAGGAUUAAAUCAAAGCAUGGAUAUAGCUCAUGAUAGCAUGCAUUUUCAUAAAAUUUUGGAAUUAGAGGAUAGAGAAUGUACCUGGAUAGCAAGUAGAUUUUAUAAGAUUCCUCGAAAAAUGCUAGAUUGGUUAGGGCAAGCAUAAAUUAUAUGAAAUAUCCAUUAUGUCUAAUAUACAGUUUCAAAGCCAAAAUUGAGCUAAGACAAAUUAAAUGACUCCAAAAAUAAUAACAAUUUCAAGUAAGGUAUAAAACCAUCAGCAUGCAGUUAGAAAAUGAAGCAUCAUAAAACAAUUUCUAAAAAAAUGGCUUAGAGUGGAAUUUGAUUACAAAAAAUUUCAGGAAACAACUCCUACACACCUAGAUUAACAUACCAAAAGCCAAACACUCAUUCAAAAGACAGAUUAUCGCAAAGGCACCUAAAGGUUCUACAAAGUCCAGAUUAGAUAAGGAAAAGUGACGUGCAUAAAUGAAUUUUUUUAAAAAUAAUAAAUGAUCAUAUAAAAUUAUAAAAAAAAUCACGCACAUAUUUCAAAAUGUCUAUAUCGCAUAAAAAAUAAAUUCGGGGUCGAAUAGUACUCAAAAAUAUUUUUAAAACUAUAAAUCUAAUCAUAUGUACAAACUUCAGCAUGCGCAGUAGGCACAACUUUGAAAAAUCAUAUCUCCCUCAAAAAUGCGUAUUUUCUAAUAUUUUAUGUGUCUAAAAUCAAUUUCAAGAGGCUUAUAAUUGAGAAAAAAUUGAAUCAAUUUUAAAAAGUCCUCUAGUAUUUUAUUUUUUCCAAAAGAUCUUGGGUGUUCAGAACUAUGUGAAAACGGAGUCCCCCUAAAGACUCAUUUAUAUCUUCUAUAUCGGAAUGACUUUCUAACUCAAACAAAACCUAAAAUUCAAGAUCAAGAAGUGAGGAAAGUCAUAAAAUUUCUGGAAAUUUUUUACAGAUAUCCUAAAGUUGUCAAAAUGAAUUUUUGAAGUUGAAGGGUCAGUGGUUUGAUGAAAACUGGCAGCAAAGAUUAAAUCAUUUAACACCUAAGAUGGGUAGUUCUUUUCUUUUUAACAAACCGAUUUUAGAUCAAGAAAUCUCAGUAGGAAGGGGUCUCAACAGGUAUACUGAUGUUAUAGCUGCACCUGAGAUGACAAAGUCUUGUGUAUUUUGUAGGAAGAUAAUCAUAAACAGGGUGCACAAUGGGGAAUUCAUGUCAGAAUGGUGGCUACUCCCUUACGUGCUGAAGCUGAUGUAUAAUAUAAUUUCCCCACUAGCUGCCACCAUCCCUACAUAUCUAUCACUAUCAUCCAGCCCUGAUCCCAAGGGGCCCACCAUUUGAAGUCUCAUUUUAAAAAUAAAUAAAUUUUAUGCUGCAAUCUGGACCUAAUUCCACUACCCUUUUGACCACUGAAGUUGUGCAAUGUACGAAUGUUUUGUCCACCAAUCUGCUGCUCUCUCUUUUAAGUGUACACCACUCUUAUAAAUCUCAUGCACAACUUCCUCUUUGAGUGUAUACACCCUCUCUCUCAAGCACAAAUUAGAACAUGAAACCAAUUAUAGAACAAAGUGAUAAUAACACUGAGUAAGGAGUUCUCAACAAACAUACCGAGGAACGCUCUUUUCUGGCAAGGAGGUCCCACUGGUAUGUCCUCUGAGAUUUCUUCAACCGCCCUCUCCUUCUUCUCCACCAACAGCUUCUCACUAGAAAGUCUUCUCUGAAACUCCAAUUUUUCCACUUCUCUCUCUUUGUUUUUUUUUUUUUUUUCUUCUAUGUGCUGAAAGUCCUCUCUCCUCGAAACCUAUCUGUUAGAGCUUUUUAUAGCAAAUAACAGUCCUUCUACGUGAGGAGUCUUCCUCUCUCCAAAUUUUAUCUUAUGCACCGGAAAAACUCCCUUUUUUUUAAUUUUCAAACAAUACCAAUCCACGCAUAUCACCUACAAUCCAUGCAUAUCAUUUAAAGAGUUUUACCAUUUUCAAAAACUUCUCCAAUGGUAGACUUCUUCCAUAAAAAUUUCAAAUUAUUAAAUUAAAUAAAUAAAUAAAUAAUAAAAUAAAUAAUAAAUAAUAAAAUAAAUAAAUAACUAAAUAAAUAAAUCGGAGAAUAUAAAAUGAUAAUAAUAGAUAAGUGAAUAAAUAACAAGAUAAUAAACAAAUAAGUAAGAAUACUAAAUAACUAAAUAACUAAAAAUGAUUGAUAAUAAUGAAAAUAAAUUAAAAUAAAUGAAUAAAUAAAACCAUAAUAAAUGAUCAAAUAAAAGUGGUUAAUAAUAAUAAUAAAAAUAAAAAUAAAUAAAUAAGUAAAUGAGAUAAAUGGGUCAUACAACCAUACAAGUCACACUAAAAAAAAAAGACUAAUGGGCCAAGUGGGCCUGAGUGAACUUAGACGGGCCUUGGGUGUCUAAAUGGACCAAGUGUAUCUAAAUAGGCUUAGGGUGCCUAAAUGGGUCAAGGGUGCCUAAGUGAAGUUUAGUCUAAAUCAAGACUACCGAGGAUCACAAUAAAGGGGCGGAUAAUCCCUUAACCAAAGUCUCCGAGGUGACUCAGAAAAAGGUAAGUCGUACGAGUAGUAAUGGGCCACCAAGGAACUACCGUGGAGCACUGGAAGUGAAUUUAAAGACAUGUGCUAAAAGGACAAAAUUGAUGGUCUACAUGCACCUUUUAUGAAAACCUUGAAAGAUAUUAGGGAUAAUCAAUUUAAUCUAUUAUAGGUAAUUCAAACAAACUAUCAAAUGUAAAAGAUAUAGAUAAUGAGGCACAAGAUUUUUAUGUGAAAAUCCCCCACAAACUAUGGAGAUAAAAAACCACGAGGUCUAAGACCUACCAAUCUAAAACAUUUUAAGUCCAAAAAUAAUGUUGAACCUUUUAUACCUCAAAGAAGCCUUAUAUGUCAUAAGCCAAACCUUUUUAAGUGUGCUUGUGACUUCCUAGUUGGAAAAAUAGAAACCCUUGGACUUCAAUGGAGAGCAAGUCACUAUAUAAAUGGAAUUUUAUUGCCAAACACAAAAUGGAACAAAAUUUACAACAUAUAAACAAGACUCAAUGCUCUAACAAUCUCCCCUUUUGGCAAUUUUGUGACAAAACAUUAUUACAUAAACCUACCCAAACUCUCAUAAAGGAGUUUACAUAACACACAUUAUCACUCAAUUUAAAAUUAAACCAAGGGAAUGCUUUGCAUCACUUUGUAGUUCUUAUCUUCCAAUGUUGUAACCUGCACACAUAUGGAAAAUAAUACCAAAGGUAAAGUAGUGUGAAAGAUAAAAUAAUAUCAUAAAAGAAAAAAGGAUAGUUAGAGACUUUGCUUGAUGCAUUGUGAAAGCAUAAAAAAGAAAUAGAUUCUUAUAAUAACGUCAAGGUGCAAAGCAAAGCUCAAAAGGAAUUUGAAUGUAUGCCAAUCAAGUCAACAUAAUAAAAACUAGAUAUUUCACAAUAAUUUAAUAGUAAAGUGACAAGAGCUUUUCACAACCAAAAUAUACAGAAGGAAAAACAUGGGAAAAAUGUUUUUUGAUUAAGAUUAGUUCUAGAGAUAUACACAAUUCAAACAAUAAUAUUUUACAAAAAAAAAAAAUUGCGUCAAGUAUCUCUAUUGAACUUUAAUGUCAAGCUUUCUAAGGUUGAUUUGGUUUACUUCAAUGUCUCAUAUUCAAUUUCCACCAAUAUUUCAAUUCAAUUCCCUUAAUGAAUAAUUAAAGAAUAAAAAAUAACUAACUCCGACCCCUUAAAUUAAGGAGUUUCUAUGAUUACCCUGUCUCCCCUUAUUUAUAACUCUCUCUUUUAAAAUGAAUUAAAUAUUUAAUAUAUGAUCUCCCCCUUUUUCUUUAUUUAAGCGAUUCAAUAUUCUCCAUCUGUUUUCUUUAUUUAAGAGGGUUGUUAAAUAUUCAAUGUUCUCACCCUUUUGUCACAAAAGUGGGAAAGUAACAGAAAUAUAAACACAAGAAAGCACAUAAGAGAUAAAUAGAAGAGUGAAAAACACAUAGAUAUGUAUAUAUCAAUAACAUGAUUUUGGAUACAUAAGAUAAGCAAUGAAUAAACAUACAGAUAAACAAACAUACAUACAAGGAAAAAUAAAAUAACUAAGCACUAGGAGGAGGUGGAGGAAAGAAGGAGCUUAAAUCGCUUUGAGUAUGGAUCCAAGCAAUUAUAUAGGUCAACUGACCCUACAACUCAUGGAAUUGAACAUCCUAUGAGUCUAACCUUUGAAGCAUUGAGGUCAUGGGAUCCAUCUCCUAAGUAGUUCAGUUUAUGGAAGUUGAUGUUCCAUGAGAAACUCUAAAUGAUCUAGCAUGACCCCGACUAGAGCGAGUCCUCAGAGCAACCUUAGGAAUGGGUGCAUCCUACUUCAUGGCUCAGAUCUCAUCUUCCUUAGUAAGUGCCUCCUGAGCAGCUUAUUAUGCCAGUGUAGCAUUCUCAGGGUCUUUGGGAACUGGAGGAACCAUGGGACCAUACAUGUGGUUGUAGUGUUUAGCCUAAGAGCUCUCAUCUAACAAGACAUAACCAACCUAGACCCUUUAUUCAAUAGUAAUUUCAAAGCCAAUGUGCCAUAAUAGUUUAGAGGUGAGGAGUUUGAAAGGAAGUGCACCACAAUAGAAGGAAAAAUCUCAAUAGGAGGUGGUGAUAUUGAGAUAACCUACCCAAUGUCGAACUAUUAUCCCGAGAGGAUGGAAUGUAUGAAAAAAGUAGUUGAUCGACAAAUCUCAAUAUGAUGGGACAAGGAAUAGAAAGAGUAAGGAAAGUAGCAAGAAUCCAAGUUGGCUUGGAGAAGCUAGCCAAUGGAAUAUACAUGGGAAGCUUUCAAGAAGCACCAUAAAAAGAAACUAGAAUAAAAACAAGCUCUCCAAGAGUGAAGCCUAAACCUCUAAAAGGAAGAGAGGAAGACAUGCAUCAAGUCGAGGCAUGUUGAGUACAUGCUUGGUUGACAAAGAAGUGAUUUAAAAGGACUGACCAAACAUGAUCACCUAGAAGGAGCAACCAGGAGAAAUGAUAUGCAUUCACAUAGAACAUGUGGACUAGAAGAAGAUUAUAUGAUUCUUAUAAAGUAAACAAGAACUCCCACCCUCCCCCGUUGAAAAUGGUAGGAAAAGGAGUAUCCUGAAAGGCACAAAGGUUAAUAGAACACUCGAUCUCAAUAUGAUGGCUAUGAAAAAAAGCAUAAAAAUGAUCACAAGACUCCCGAGACUAGAAACACUCAAUAGGAAGAUCAAAGUGGUCAAAAGGUCCCUAAAAAGCAAUGCCUUAAAUGGGGUCAGGUGAUCAAGGAGGAGUUGACUCUCAUUGAUGCCUACAUCUAGACAUAACUAAGGGAAUGCUAAAGGACACAAAAAUAGAGAAAAAUAUGGAGAAAAUAAAAACCAUUAGAAAUGUCCUAAAAGAGGUAUCGAACAAUACUUUAAAGUCAAAAACUCAAAAAUAAUGAAAACUAACCCCAAAUGUCAAAGAGAUGGAAUCUUAGAGCGCUUUAGAGAUUAGAAAAACAUUUGAAAUACAAAAAGGCAUGUUGGAUAGGUUUUUAUACCCAGACAUACCGUUAGAUACAGAUUAGUGCUCGAGUAGGAUGCUCGUUGGAUGUAACUUAGAGGGCUUAAGAGGUAAAGCUUAGAAAGCUUAAGCGGUAGAGCCGCUGGAUGAGACUUGAGCAUUGGAUGCAGCGCUCGAGCAAGAAUAACCUAAUUUCAAUUCUAAUAAAUGAUAGAAUACUCAACUAACUAACUUAAAGGGAAGGAUUAACACAAAAUGAAUGAACUUUUAAUAUAUUAAUCAAAGUAAACAGAUAAUUAAGUCCGUAUGCUUUUAAUAUUAGCUCAAUCAGUAAUAAAUUAAGUUACUUAAGACAGUACAUAAAAAUUCAUCAAGAAUCAAGUUUCAAGUUCAUAGGUUAGAGUUAAUCAUAAUCUUAAAUUCGAAAACCCAAUGCAUAAACCAUCAAUGUAGAAGAGAGUCAACAUAGAAACAUAAGCAUUGAUGUUCAAGGGAAUACGAUUACUGUCUAGUUCUAUAUUUUGAAAUUGAUUGCUUAGAAGAAAUCCAGUCAUGUCUUUAGUCAAAUUAAAAAACACAUCAAGUCAAUUUGAACUAAGAUCAUCGAAUUUGUAUUUAACACAACCUCGUUGAUCUACAUUAAACAUAACUUGACUCUCCCUUAAUUUGAUAUCGGUUUUUUUUUUCUUGAAAGUGAAGGCAUUGCAUACCAUGAUUAAUAUUGAUUUUUCUUUUUCUUUUCAUUCAUGGUUGCCUUUGUAUCCACUUUAGGGAUGUUUCCAAAUGUUGCAAAUGAAUAGUUUCCAUUUAAGAGCAUGAAUCUUAGAGAAGGUAUAUGAGAGUUAGGCUUAACCAAUGAUUCAAUAUUUUGCAUUGACUCACUUUGGGAAACAAAUAUAAUGAUCACAUCCAAACAAGGUAUGUGGAUAAUAAGAUUUGAGCAUGACAAUGGAUCCUUCCAAAGCAAUCAAAGUGUACUUUAUGAGUUCAACUUAAGAAGUCUCCCUUUUGAUCAAGUACAAGAUGUAACUAAUAUUGAAUUUUCUACAUACAAAGACAUUUAAUAAUCAUAAAUCAAAUACAUCAAUAGUGAUUAACAAAUAUCUAUGAUUUUUAGCCACAUCAAAUCUUGUAGAUAUAGUAUAUUUCUCUAAAUCACAAAAUCAAGGUAUUACAAAUCAUGCUAAUAUAUCAAGUAAAUAAACAAAAAAAUCAUAUUCCCAAAGUAAAAUAAGGUUAAAGGAAACAAAAAAGAUAUAAACACUAAGCUCAAAACCAUUGAGGCUUAUUUCUAAGAUAAUCAAUCGAUUAAGCAUAUGCCUAGGGAUUUCCUAAGGUACUCAAACAUAAGAGAAUCCAAGGGUUUGGUAAGACUAUCUGCUAAUGGCUUUCAAUGUGGUAAUAUGAGAAUGAAGAAAAAGAUUCUUUUUGAGAUAUUUAUUGCACUAGAAUUGUAUUAGGACAUCGAGUAUUGUUUAUAUGUUGGCAAUUUUAUUCUAAUUUUAUAUUUGGCCAUAUAAAUCUUUUUAGAUAGUGACUUGCUCUCCAUAGAAGAUCAAGGGUUGUUGUUCGUCCAACUGAAAGUCAUAGGUACAUCUGAGAAGGUUUGGCUUGUUGCAUAUAAAAAGCUUAUUUGAGGUAUAAAAGGUUUGAUAUCAUUUUUGAGAUUAAAAUGUUUUUUAAAUGAUUUCUCAAAAAGAAGGGGACGCUUAAGUGGUUAGAGCGCUCAAGAAAUUAAUCACGUUCAAGUGGUCUAAGUCCACACAAGUGGUAAUGACAGUCCUGUCGAGUUUAAAAACAUAUUUUGAAUGAAUUUCAAUCUAACUCUAAUUUGGAAACUUGUGAUACCAAAAUCCUUAUGGUUUUUGCCUAUAAAUACCUCCCUUGUAACCCUUUAAGGCUAAGAGAUUGAAGAUUAGAAAGAUCAUAGAGAUCUUAGAGUUGUUGGAGACCUCUUAUUAUUUAGAAGUACUCUUGAGGGGAUAGCCUAAUUUGCCACACCAUUCUCAUUCUCUCAUUCAAGCAUUUGAUUAUUUGAAUUGUUGGUUGAACGUCGUAAUCUCUUCAGUAGGACCAAAUGAUAUACUAGGGAGCAAUAAGUAGUUUUUGUGUCACGCAUGUGGAUCAAGUUGAGGUGUUGGAGAGUAAGCAUUUAAGGUAAAGUGACUAGGUAAAUCUAUGUGACUUGAUUUCAAAUAGUGGAUUUCGAUUGAUAGGUUUUAGACCUCGUGGUUUUUUUAUCUCCAUAAUUUGUGGGGGUUUUCCACGCAAAAAUAUAGUGCGUCAUUAUCUAUCUAUUUAUAUUUGAUAUAAUGUUUGAAUUUCCUAGAAUAGGUUAAUUUGUUUAACCUAAUAUCUUACAGGGCUAUUCUAAUAUAUAUAUAUAUAUAUAUAUAUUCAUUCCUCCAUAUAUUCUAGUUGAAGAUAUUGAAUAAAUUAGACUGAUUGGUUAAUUGGUUAUUGAGUUUGUUGAAUUGGUUCUCUUGUUGUGGUUAUACCUAUAAUCAAUUAUUGAUUCGUUGAUAUUAUUGUUGAGUUUGUUAGGUUGGUUAUUCUUAUUGUUAUUGUUAUCCCUAACAUUCUUCAACAUAUAUUGUUAAUCUUUGGAUAUCAAUUAACCAUAAAAAUCAGACUUUCAUUGUGGUGAAAUCCUUUUUGAAUAUCCGAAUUAUCCCUAUGAUAUUGAUUCAUAUCUUAUUGAUUAAAAAUUCAUUUUUCUUAUUUAUAUUGUUUAAAAAUCAAAUUUUUAUUAAUCAUAUAGGAUAAAAAUCAAAUUUUUAUUGAUCCUGUAAGUCUUAUAUGGAGCAAUCUAAAAGUGGUGCUAUUUUCAAUAGUCUACACUAUUUUGAUUGGAAUAAUUACUCCCAUUAGAAAGUACAAAUGAUGUUUUUCCUUCAAAAUGCACAGCGGAAGGGUAUGAAACUUAGUUGAAUAUGGUUGGAGACCACCAUUAAUCCUUGAUACUCAAGGAAGAUCAACAAGAGUGUUGGGAACCUUACUUCGUUCUCAUGCCCUAGAUCUCAUAGGAUGCAUGCAUCCAUCCUUAGGGCUCUCUAGAUCGAACACAAUGGAAAAUAAUGGUUUAUACAUAGAUCUAUAUGUUCCCAGAUCAAUUCCUUAUAGUGAAGAACAUGCUUAGAAAAACUAAAGAAUCUCUCCUAAUACUGCUACCCACGUGCACGUCCUAUGUGAUUCUCGUGAACGUGGCCCGUGCGUAUUCCAUGCAGUUCUCGUGCAUACGACCUAUGUGAUUAUAGUGGAUUUCUCGUACACCCAAGAUUUUUCGCUCGAUGACUCUUCCUUAUGUUUAGGCACUGAGAUGGUGGAGAUCUCGAAGGUGAAAGUUAUGGUUUUCUCUUUGGACUGAAAAAGGAGAAUGACAAGACAUAGAAACCUUAACCUCUAAAGGGAUAUUUAUGGGCUUCCUACAUGGCUUAAGUGACUUAAGCCCACCAUAGGCUUGGGUCACUUAAUCUAACCCAAAAAAGUUGUUAAUUGAUUAAUUAACCAUAUGAGACAGUAAUUAAUCAAUUAGCCUAGUCCAAAGAUACAAUUCACUUAUCCUUGUGCAACCUUGCGUCAUUACCAAAACACCCUUCUACACAAAAGUGAACUACAAACCCAUCCAAUUAUCAUAAACCAUGUCAUCAAGGAAUAUGAGCUCAGAAUGGGGACCAUUGGGACCUAUAAGAGUACUAACUUCUUCAAGAUCAAAUUCUAAAAUUGACACAAUAUUCCACUAUAAAGAGUCAAUUGCACUCUAGUACCCUAUGUUAUAAUGAGACACCAAGUGCUUGAGUCCGUGACCUUACUAUCCAUUGCAUGAAGACUCCCCAUGAACUACUGUUUGUAAUCUAACAAGGUAGUGCUAUCACCUAUCAAAAUUACCUCUCAAAUACUUGAGUUACAAAUCUUACUUAUUAUGUGGUCAACUGACAUACUCUAACUCCAAGGAGUAUAUGUCAAAUUCCACAAAAUGAAUUACUAGGGUCAUAGAUUUCAUGAUCACAUGUCCUUUGGAUCACCCAAGGACACUAUCUAGAUCCCAUGAGAUAUCAUGGUACUUCUAUUGAGAAUACCUAUUGCUACUAGCCUUCAUCAACAAUGACCUAAUCCAUAGGGAUAUAUGACCAGUUUAGGGUUUCACCCACAGGUUAAAGCCUCCUAUUGAUUUUAGUACAGACUCAAUAUCCUCUCAAGGUUGAGAGUCUAUGCAGUAUAGUAGCUUAGUGAAUCGUGACACUUGAUAGCCUUGUGUUAUGAUUCACCAUAAGUCCUAUACAGUGUGCAUCACAUACACUAGUGCACUCACCAUGGAAUACCCAUCCCUACAACCAAGACAAGUCAUCUCUCAAAUUAGGAGGUGGUGCACUACAAUCUCUAUUGGAUUGCCCAAAUCCAUGAACCGAUUGUGGACAACUUAUCUACUUAUAAGGAACCCAUGACUUCUAUAUUCUAUGCAACUCCUAAUGCACCUAAGCCAUAUGCAAAUGUAAGAGACAUAGGUUAAAUGCUUAAAUCAAUUUUAACACACCAAAAGGAUAACAAGAGGAUAGUUAAGUUUAACUUUGUUACAUCAUGUCUUAAUUUUAGGCACUCAAUCCCAAAAAACUCACACUAGCCCCAAAGGCAGACCAGGUACUUCAGAAAGAAUAUACUCUAUAAUUACAUCACCUUUCUAUCAUAUUUCAUAACAAGGUAUCACUUACUCUCAAUGUGUUUUCUCUUCUAGUGGUACUUUAGUUCUUUAGACCAUGCCAUCGUCCCAUUAUUAUUACAUAAUAGGAUCUUAGACAAUAUAGCCAGAGGAACUACCUAUAAGCCAAAAGGCAUCCUUUGUUUCUAUAGAAACAAUAAAAAACCACUUAGAGUGUACACAUACUAAAAGGUAGACCUACGAGAGUCCUUAUCAAACUAAGUCCAAUUUUCCUGUAUGAAAUGAGUACCAAAUCAUCACAAAAACUCACAAACAUAUAAUCCCCCACUUCCCAAAGAUACUAGAGUAUAUGCUUAACAUCCGCUUAAAGCUCUAAUGAAGAAAUGGACUAAUAUCCACUCAUUAUUUCUAGAACAAAGCAAAUAUCUGGUCUAGUACAUAGCGUUGCAUACUUAAGGCUAUCCAUUAUAAAGGCAUUGGAUAUCACCUUAAUGUGGUCUCUCUCCAUAGAUGUCUAAGGACAUUUAUUCUAAGAAAGACAACUCCAAAUCCAAAGAGUAAUAAAGUUUUCUUGAAGUUUUGCAUCAUAUACUUGACCAAAUGCUUAUCUAUGUAGAUGAUAUGGCACAAUUUUCCUAUUUUUGUAGUCCUAAAGGACCUUAAUCUUGAGAAUAUAUUGCAUCUUCCUCUAAUUUUUCAUCUAGAACUGAGUAGAUUGCUAGAUCUUGAUUGAUGACAGUAUCCCUACAUCAUAUCGAUUGAGUAAAUUGUCAUCUACCUACAAGAUCUUAGAGCAUCACCACACUUCCCUGUGCUUUUUUGUUCACACAAGACCCUUUGCUAUGAAAAUAUUUGGUUGCAAUGGAUACGAGUAAUAUGAUGGAUUUUAGUAUGACCACUAUUAAAAAGGUUUUUCACAGUUGAAACAAAGUUUCAAACUAUAACCUUUAGCUACAGUCUUAGCCACAUAAAACUUAAGCUUUCCAUCUACUCCUGUGUUCCUCUUGUAUACCAACUUACACCUAUGGGUUUUAUCCCUUUAGGUACUUCUACAAGACUUCAAACUAUGUUAGAAUACAAAGAUUUUAACUACCUCUUUAUAGCUCCUUUUCUUAAGUGAGCACAAACACUACUCACUGUUUCAUCAUAAUUUGUGGGACAUAAACCUCCUACUACGAUGAGGCAUUGGUGUACUAGAAAUCAUAGGAAUGUUAUGUCUUUAACUCUUUGGAUCCAUAGUAUACUAUGUAAUGUGAGACUAUCUUCUAAUAUAUCCUCCAAUUUAUAUCACUUUUUUCCUUAUUCCUUAUCAUAUAAUAUUUGUAAAAAAUAUGACAUUUGUGUGAACAAAUAUCUUCUAAUGAUGUUGACUAUAAGGGUAAUAACCCAAAAAUCCUUUUAAAUAUCCUAUAAACUGAUAUACCUCUUAAGAAAGAGAGUUAUUAGACAAUCUAUAAGACAUAUCCCCAAAAAAAUCUGGAAAACGAUGAGAAAUCUAUCCACGAUCUCACUAUGUCCAUCCAAGUUUGAUAUCUUUUUUCCACCUCUCUAUUUUGCAAUAGAGACCUUGGUGCACAUAACUAGGAAAUAAUCUUGUGAUCUAAGGGAAAAAAUCAAACUUACUAGACAUUUCACCUUGAUCUAAUCAAAGUGACUUGGUAUGUAUACCCAAUAGGUUAUUUGAUCCCGCCUUAAAUUUAAUGAAUGUAUCCAAGACAUCAUAUCUCUUAUGUACAUAUCCAAACCUAGAGUAAUCAUCACUAAAAUUAAUGCAAUAACCAUUGCUAGGAACCCAGGAUUUCUCCAUUCCCUUAUCCUGGAUCAAAUAGGUGCAUGCAAAACUACCUUAGGCCUCUAGAUCCUAUGCAACAUAACAUAUUUUUAUAAUUUUAGGAUCAAGAGGAAAGACAUUAGAGAACUUUACCUUUGAUUUGGAUGUUCCUAAAUCAACUAUGAUAAGAGAAGAUGAAAAUCAAUGAAUCUAGAAGUCUUGUACACCUAAGAUCCUCCGCUUGAUGACUCGAACCAUGAUCUUGACACUCCAAAGUGUGGAGUUUGGAAAGGAUGAUCUCUUUGAUCUUACUAUCUCUCUUUCUCUGGAGAUGGAAGACAAAGUCUCUCUUAAGGUUAUGGAAACCCUAGCCCCUAUAGGGUAUUUAUAGGGUUCCCCUACUGGGCUUAAGUGACUACAGCCUACCAAGGCUUAGGUCACUUAAUCUAGUCUAAAAUGGGUCUUAAUUGCUUAAUUAAUGAUUCGUGCCCAAUUGGUGUCUCAGCUGAUUCGUGUCCAGCUGGCGCUCCUUGAUUGAGGGAGUAAUUAACAAAAUUUAUAACCUAUUACACCAUAUACUAGGGUAGCAAAGACAAAGCUACUAUAGUAUAGUGGCUCUAGGAUCGUUCACUGGGAUGGGUUUUCACUUUGCAAAUGAUAUUAAUUCAAAGCUGAAUUGGUGUCUUUUCAUUUCAAGGUUAGCUUUAAAAGAAAACAUAAAGAUGUUUGAAUGAAAAAGGUUUGGUUUUAAACUAACCACAAAUAGUAACUGAUUUUAACUACAAAGAAAAGUGUUUCUUGGAGUUCAGAUCACUAGGCUCGUUCCUCAUACAAAAAGGAGAGUUCCGGUCACUUGUUUCUUUUCCUCGCAUUAGAGAAUUAACAUAUAGUUAAUUCUCUAACCGGUGUUGUACAGAUGCUUCCCAUUAAUGGGUUCAAACACUAAAUCCCUCUCACUGAUGCACUUUGCAAUGGCUCAUACCUCUCACCUAGCACUUGCCAUUCAAGGUGAUCUUUAACCUUGGACUUCCCUUCAAAAGCUCGCAAGAGAUAACUAAUGGAUGUCUCCUUGGAGUCCAAAAGCUUACCAAGUGUUGGCUAUUCUAGAAAAUCCUACCUUCAAGUCACCUCCCAAAGGCUCGCAAGGGGUAAACUAGUGCAUUUCCAUGGUUGGAAAUCACUUGCCUUACCAAGUGUUGGCCCAGGUGACUCUAAGGUGUUUUAAGUUAGCUAAAAACAUAGAAAUCACUAACGGGUUACACUUUCUCUUCAUUAAAAACUAAAACAACAAAACUUCCAAAUUAUGCAUGUGGAAACUUACCCGGCUUUCCUCACUCCAAGAGACAAAAAACUUAGCCUCUCAUCCUCUGUGGAAAAAUCCUCAGAGUUUGGUUGGCUAGAAAAUGAAAAUGAAAGAGAAGACAAGAAUAUAUAUGAAAAACAGAGCAAGUGCUCUGUUCCUUGAUUCUAUAUAUGAUAUAUCUAUAUAUUACAUACUUCCCCCAGCGUCUCCUUUUUAGUGUUUACAAAAGAGCUUAUAUAGGAAGGUAAUUUACCCUUCCUUGGAUACUUCCUAGCUAAGGAAUUACAUGAGUGGUUGAAUACAAGGAGAAAAUGGAAAUUUAUACAAAAAUAUCUGAAGAAAAAUAUCCAAAAGAGUCGGUGCACAAAUAUUAGGAAGCACUAAGGACAUUUCGCAGGUGAAAACAAGGUCUGCGAGAUUUCGCAGACACUCAAGAGGGCUGCGAAAUAUUUUCGCAACAACAAGUUAAACUCGCAGGGCUGCGAAAUUGGCUUCCACCUUGAGGUUCUCAGCGUUCCAGCUUGCGGUAUGUAUCGGGUAGCUUCAGGAGGAAUUCCAUAGCACUGUAUAAAAAGGCUGCGAAAUUCUCGCAACAAAAGGCUGAUUUCGCAACACUUUGGAGUGAUCUUCUUGAAAUGGCUGUAACUCCUUAAUUUCAACUCCAAAUCAUGCACCGUUUGAAGCAUUGGAUUCUUGACUUUCUGAGCUUUGAAAUGGUAUAUAGCAUGUAGAAAAUGGACUUCAGGAAGUGCUCCAAAAGUGUGCAAGAAGACUGCAGCUGCUGUCCUCUGUUUUCUUCACUCUGUUUUUCCUCUCUCCUUGCAUACUUUGAACGACUAAGGCAAUGGGCUAUGGAGCUCCAAAGCUUGGUUCUUCCUGAAUUUGAGCUCUUCAUUUCUUUGCCAUGGAUUCCAAAUAACUCUCCUCAAUCUUGGAUUGUUUUGGUGAUCAAAUUACUAACAAAAACACCAAAACUUACACAAUUUGAUUAGAAAUGAUUGCAAGGGUCCUUAACAUGUUAAUUGGGUUAAAAGGCAAUAACUACUACUCAAAAGUGUUUAAAAGGAUUAAUUACAAGCUACAAAAUAGCACUUUUUGAGUAGUAAUCACUCCCCCCAACCGACAUAUUGCUAGUCCCUUAGCAAUGAAGGAGAGAAAAAUAAAAAUAAACAUUACUAUAAUUUACAACAUCAUGCUGAUAAAAAAAACAAUUCUCAAGUGGCAUGAUGAUCUAACUCUCACAUGGAACAUUAAAGAAAUAAAACUCAAACUUCAACAAGAGUUAUCAAAUAACUUGUCUAAUCACAAUUCUUAAAGAGAAGGCAUUAUGCAAAUUUAAACUUUAAAAUCAUUUCCACUUCCAAAGGAUCAAGCCUUACUCUUCCACAAAAAUCUAAGUGUUAUUUAUUAGCUUCCGAAUAUAGUAUGUUGAACUAAUCUCUCCCCCCAACCUAGUUCUUUUUCAAAGCUUAGCAAACUAAUCAACCUCCAAUAGGCUAAGAACGCACCUCUUUUUUCACAAUUUUUUUCAUUGUAGGAGUACAAGGCUUAAAGGUAUUCUUUUCUAAAUUGUCCAUGUAACGGGGGUCCAUUGAUGACUCCCAACCAAUUAAGGUUUAGGGCAUCAAGUUUUAAGGAUCUUUCAACCACUAACUCCUCGGAUUUUACCCCGGACUUUUGAGAAUGAAUUUUAAUACCCAAGCACCUACAGUAUGUUAAACUCCACCUAUCCACCCUUGUAACGAGCAUUGAGGUCGGUGACUCCCAACCAAUGAAGGCUUAGGGCACCAGGUUUUAAAGAUUUUCACCAUAUACCCCUCAGACCUUGCUCGGGUUUCAAGGCAAGCAAACAACUUUCUUUAUUUCAAAGGCUCAUUGGCCUUCUGCAGGGUGUUUCAAUUUUUAUCAAAUGAGGUCAAAUAUACCAAGUCUCAAAAUUAUCCUAAGUCAAGAGGGAAAUAGCUUUUCAUCUUAUAAUCGGAAUCUAAUGUGCACAGUGUGUGAAUAGCUUAAAGUGGAAGAACUCAAUUUAAUUUCAGUAGAAGUUUCAACAAUUCAUCAACUUUAAUAAACAUAAUACAAACUCUAAGUCAAGUAAAAAAGACAAAAAUUCAAUUUCUCCCAUUUCAUUUUUGAGAAUUUUUCCUUAAUAACCAUGGAGAGUAGAGAAAAAAACUUAAAAAAAUUUAAAAACUUAGCAUUAUUAACAAUACUUACUUCCUCAACUCUCCCCCCAACCAAGUUGAACAUUGUCCUCAAUGUGACAAAAGCGAUUGAAAAAUAGGGAGGAAGUGGUACCUCUUGAGUAACAUGGAGUCUGAGUCGUAUAGGAGAAACCACAUGUUUCAAAGAAAGCAUAAGAGUUAGUGAGUAGAGGAAAUAGAAAAAUGCCAAGUUUAAACAAAAAUGAUGUCUAUAUAUGAUGUAUCAUCAGUAAUACAUCCAAUCCCAGAAUAUAAGACAUCAAAAUAUGAAAUUAUUUAUACUAAUAUAAUAUGUAAAGACCAAAAAGUAAAGAGAUGAUCAAGUAAUGGUAAGGUCUUGUGGAGCUUAUGCAUCUGUAGUGGCCUCUUGAAUAGGUUGGAUUAGGACUUUGGCCUCUGUUCUGGUAGUCUCCUUUGGUGGCAUAGUCUCCUCAACUAGAGCUCUCAGUUGGUAGCUAUGGGAUUUGAUGGUUUAAGGAGGUCAGUAAUGGAGCGAGAGGCUUAGUGUGUGUGAUCCCAGGGUGUGCGGGGCUCUCCUCUUCAUAUGCAUGGUUGCAGGGCUCUAUUGGCAUUUUAGCAACCUCCCUUGGCUUUGCAAAGUGUUUUUGCAAAUCACCCUCCAUUUCAUAAGUCAAUUUCGCAAUUUGAAGGCCAUUUCUAAGCUUGGAGGUGAUUUUGCAGGAAAUGGGCAAUUUCGCAGCCCAUUUCUGAAGCUUGGAGCAUUUUCGCAGCAGGGGGUGGAUUUCGUAGAGGAAGGGAAUUCUCGCAGCCCAUUUCGUAGCUUAAAAGUGAUUUCGCAGCUCAAAGGUGAUUUCGCAGCCAUAUCGCAGCUUCAAAAUGAGGGAACUGUGCUGCAAAUGGCACUCGUGUGCCAAAAAGUGGUUUCGCAGCUGCGAAACACCCUUCCAAAUGGUGUCUCGGCUGCGAAAUUCUCGCUCAGCUUUGUGCGCUUGUCUUCAAAUGACCAUAACUUCUUCAUUUCACCUCUAAAUCACAUACUGUUUGAAGCUCUGGACUCCUGACUUCCCAAGCUUUGAAACGAGAUAUCAUAUGCAUAAUUUGAGCUCCAGGAAGUGCUUCAAAAAUGUGUCCAACAGUAGCAAAAUGGGGGUGCGACAUUUCCGUUUGCACAGUCAUCUUCAAACAGCCAUAACUUUUUCGUUUCAAAUCCAAAUCGAGCACCGUUUGAAGCUAUGGACUCGUGACUUCCCAAGCUUUCAAAUGAGAUAUUGAAUGCAUAAUUUUAACUUCGGGAAGUGAUCGAGAUGUGUCCAAAAAUUGCCAAAAUGGGGGUGCGGCUGUGAAAUUGGGAUUUUUCACGUUUUGGAACUUCGCAACCGUUUCGCAGCUGCGAAAUGAGGGUCACUGUGCUGCGAAAUGGCACUCGUGUGCCAAAACUGGCUUUGCAAUUGCGAAAUACCCUGCGGAAUGGGACUUUUGGUGCGAAAUCAGGCUUUACCACUUCGCAAUGCGUUUCGCAGCUGCGAAACAGAUGCUCUUGUGCUGCGAAGUGGCACUCGUGUGCCAAAAAUGGUUUCACAGCUGUGAAAUCCUCUUCCAAAUGGAGCUUUCCCUGCGAAAUGGAGGAUUUCAUGCUUUGGUGGUUCGCAGCCGCUUUCGCAGCUGCGAAAUGGGGGCCACUGUGCUGCGAAGUGGCACUCGUGUGCCAAACUUGGUUUCGCAGCUGCGAAAAUUUUCGCAGAGAGGGGCCUGAGGCUGCGAACUGGUUUUGCAGCAAAGUGCCGAUUUCGCAGAGGCUGCGAAAUCUCGCAGACCCCUGUUUUUCCCCUGUUUUCGCUCCGUUUGACUCUGAUUUUGCUCCGAAAGACUUCCUUCAAUUUCUUUUCAAUUCCUCUUGAUUUUGAUCAUCCAAAAACCUAUAUUACAUCAAAUCAAAUUAGAAUUAAAGCAUUGAAAUCAAAAUUAAAGCAUUGAAAUCAAAAUUAAAACAUUGAAAUCAAAAUUAAAACAAGUAAAAAAUAAAACAAAAAGAUAUGGACUAGCUAGUCUUUAAAAAGACUAAGUCCAUAAAAAAAUUUGAUCCUGAUUUAGCUUGCCCGGAUCCCAUAUGAAGUUUGCAUCCUUCAAUUGAGACUUGGUUUGUAUGAUUUUCCCAUACAAAGCUUGGAGAAAAGGUGGAGGCAUGUGUUUCUUCAUCAAUUCUUCCUUGAUGACUAUCCUCUGUGAUUUUUCAUCUAUACUUAGAUCAUAGUCAUCUUUCUCUAUGCUUUUCCCCUUUUUCUUUCCUUUGAUUUCCUCCCUCUUUUCUUUCUCUGUUUCACUGUCUACCUUAUGCUCUAGCUUGCAUGUGGGCAGAUCAACCUCUUUACCACUCAAAGUGAUAACCGUUGUAACUUCCUUCUCCAUUAAAGAUUCUCCCUCUUGAGCCUCCACUUCAUGGAUGCCCUUGGAAUUUUGAUAAGGUUGAGAAGGAGAGUUUUCUUUCUCUUGCAUUGUGUUCAAAUUUAUGAGCCUGGAGAUUGAAUACUGGAUGUUAUCAAAUUUUUGAUUCAUAUCAUUUUGCAUUCCAUCCAUCCUUUGAUCAAGUCGAGCAUUGGUGGCUUCUUGCUUUCCAAUAAAAUCUCCCAUUACCUUGCAAAGAUUCACCAUAGCUUGUUCAAGGUUUGAGGCUUGCUGUGGUGCUUGAGCAGGUUGCUGAUACUGAGGUGGCUGUGGUUUCCAAGAGAAAUUUGGAUGGUCCCUCCAAUUGGAAUUGUAGGUGUUGCAAUCACCUAACAUUUCCCUCUCGGCUGGAAUGGUAGGACACUCAUCCACCAAGUGCUCAUAUGAUAGACAAAUGGCACAAGGCAUAGCUUGCAAUGGUAUUUGAGAGAUGGCUUGCACUGGUUGCAUAUUCGUCAUUUCUAGCUUUUCCAAUCUCCUUUCCAUAGCUGCAAUCUCUGCCUUCAUGUUCAUACCAUCAUUCAAAAUAUACAUCUCACCCUUAGCAUUAGGUUGAGACAUCAUUCUUCCCAUAUCUCGAGCAUUUGGUUCAUCCCAUUCUCUUGAGACUUCAGCCACAUAACUUAUGAAGUUCAUGGCUUCUUCUGCUAUCUCGUAAUCAAUAUAGCAUGCACAACUAGCAAUUUGUGAAUUAAAAACAGGGAAUACAAAAGAAAACAAAAGAAAAACAAUUCAAAGAAAGAAAAUUAAGGUAAACUAAAAACUAAAUAAAAGGUAUACUAAAACAUGAACAAUAAAGAAAUAAAAAGAGUUAGUAAAAGGAAAAGAAAAGUCACCAAACUUGUGAUGAAGAUCACAAGUACUCUCAAAAGGUGAUAUCACUGUAAAGUGGCACCAUCCCCGGCAACGGCGCCAUUUGAUUCGUGCCCAAUUGGUGUCUCAACUGAUUCGUGUCUAGCUGGUGCUCCUUGAUUGAGGGAGUAAUCAACAAAAUUUAUAACCUAUUACACCAUAUACUAGGGUAGCAAAGACAAAGCUACUAUAGUAUAGUGGCUCUAGGAUCGUUCACUGGGAUGGGUUUUCACUUUGCAAAUGAUAUUAGUUCAAAGCUGAAUUGGUGUCUUUUCAUUUCAAGGUUAGCUUUAAAAGAAAACAUAAAGAUGUUUGAAUGAAAAAGGUUUGGUUUUAAACUAACCACAAAUAGUAACUGAUUUUAACUACAAAGAAAAGUGUUUCUUGGAGUUCAGAUCACUAGGCUUAUUCCUCAUACAAAAAGGAGAGUUCCGGUCACUUGUUUCUUUUCCUCGCAUUAGAGAAUUAACAUAUAGUUAAUUCUCUAACCGGUGUUGUACAGAUGCUUCCCAUUAAUGGGUUCAAACACUAAAUCCCUCUCACUGAUGCACUUUGCAAUGGCUCAUACCUCUCACCUAGCACUUGCCAUUCAAGGUGAUCUUUAACCUUGGACUUCCCUUCAAAAGCUCGCAAGAGAUAACUAAUGGAUGUCUCCUUGGAGUCCAAAAGCUUACCAAGUGUUGGCUAUUCUAGAAAAUCCUACCUUCAAGUCACCUCCCAAAGGCUCGUAAGGGGUAAACUAGUGCAUUUCCAUGGUUGGAAAUCACUUGCCUUACUAAGUGUUGGCCCAAGUGACUCUAAGGUGUUUUAAGUUAACUAAAAACAUAGAAAUCACUAACGGGUUACACUUUCUCUUCAUUAAAAACUAAAACAACAAAACUUCCAAAUUAUGCAUGUGGAAACUUACCCGGCUUUCCUCACUCCAAGAGACAAAAAACUUAGCCUCUCAUCCUCUGUGGAAAAAUCCUCAGAGUUUGGUUGGCUAGAAAAUGAAAAUGAAAGAGAAGACAAGAAUAUAUAUGAAAAACAGAGCAAGUGCUCUGUUCCUUGAUUCUAUAUAUGAUAUAUCUAUAUAUUACAUACUUCCCCCAGCGUCUCCUUUUUAGUGUUUACAAAAGAGCUUAUAUAGGAAGGUAAUUUACCCUUCCUUGGAUAUUUCCUAGCUAAGGAAUUACAUGAGUGGCUGAAUACAAGGAGAAAAUGGAAAUUUAUACAAAAAUAUCUGAAGAAAAAUAUCCAAAAGAGUCGGUGCACAAAUAUUAGGAAGCACUAAGGACAUUUCGCAGGUGAAAACGAGGUCUGCGAGAUUUCGCAGACACUCAAGAGGGCUGCGAAAUAUUUUCGCAACAACAAGUUAAACUCGUAGGGCUGCGAAAUUGGCUUCCACCUUGAGGUUCUCAGCGUUCCAGCUUGCGGCAUGUAUCGGGUAGCUUCAGGAGGAAUUCCAUAUCACUGUACAAAAAGGCUGCGAAAUUCUCGCAACAAAAGGCUGAUUUCGCAACACUUUGGAGUGAUCUUCUUGAAAUGGCUGUAACUCCUUCAUUUCAACUCCAAAUCACGCACCGUUUGAAGAAUUGGAUUCUUGACUUCCUGAGCUUUGAAAUGGUAUAUAUCAUGUAGAAAAUGGACUUCGGGAAGUGCUCCAAAAGUGUGCAAGAAGACUGCAGCUGCUGUCCUUUGUUUUCUUCACUUUGUUUUUCCUCUCUCCUUGCUUCUCUCCUUGCAUACUUUGAACGACUAAGGCAAUGGGCUAUGGAGAUCCAAAGCUUGGUUCUUCAUGAAUUUGAGCUCUUCAUUUCUUUGCCAUGGAUUCCAAAUAACUCUCCUCAAUCUUGGAUUGUUUUGGUGAUCAAAUUACUAACAAAAACACCAAAACUUACACAAUUUGAUUAGAAAUGAUUGCAAGGGUCCUUAACAUGUUAAUUGGGUUAAAAGGCAAUAACUACUACUCAAAAGUGUUUAAAAGGAUUAAUUACAAGCUACAAAAUAGCACUUUUUGAGUAGUAAUCAAUUAACUGCACAGGGUCGUCUAAUUAAUCAAUUAGCCCAAUUUAGAGUACUUGUUCACUAUUCCUUGUGUAACCUUGUGUAAUUACCAAGACACCCUUAUUCACAAAAAUUAACUAAGAGUCGAUUCAUCUCUCAUAAAAUGUGUCAUCAUGGCAUAUGAGCUCAGAAUAUGGACCAUUGGGACCCAUAGGAGUACUGGCUCCCUCAUACUCUAAUUUUGAAGUUGAUUCAACAUUCCAUUAAAGAGAAUCAAAUACACUUCAAUAUCCUAUGUAGAUAACAACGAGAUGAAGCUUAGAAUCUAUGACCUACUAUCCACUACAUGCAGACUCCCUAUGAACCGGUGUCCGUAAUACAACAAGGUUGUGCUAUAACCUAUCAAGAUUACCUCUGCAAUUCUUGAGUUAUAGAUCCCACUUAUUAUGUGAUCAAUUGACAUACUCUAGCUUUAAGGAGCAUAUGUCAAAUUUCCAUUAAAGGAAAUGCAGUGGCCAUAGUCUUCUAGAUCACAUGUCCUUUGGAUCACCCAAGGGGACACAUUGUUUCAAUCCAUGAGAUAUCAUGGUGCCUUUAUUGAGAAUAUCUAUUGUCACCAACAGUGACCUAAUCCAUAGGGAUAUAUGACCACUUUAGGGUCUCACCCAUAAUUCAAAGCCUCCUGUUAACUUUAACACAAGCUCAAUAUCCUCUCAAGGUUGAGAUUCCAUGUAGUAUAGUAGCUUGGUGAAUCAUGACAAUUGAUAGUUUUAUGUCAUGAUUCACUGUAGUUCUUAUCCAAUGUGCAUCAUAUACAUUAGUACACUUACCAUGGGAAAACCAUCCCAACAGCCAAGACAAGUCAUCUCUCCAAGUAGGAUGUAGAACACUACAAUCUCAAAUGGAUAACCCAAAUUCCUGAACCAACUAUGGAAAGCUCAUCACUCUACAGGGAACCCAUGACAUGGAUCUUAUGUACAACACCUAAUAUGCCCAAGUCACGUACAAUGUAAGUAACGUGGGGAGUGUAUGCUCAAAUAAACAAUUAAUACAAAUGAGAUAUUUAAGGGAACCAAGAAACAUAAAUAAAUUUAUAAAUGAAUCUCAAUCUAUUACAUCAUGUCAUGUUUUCCAAGGCUCAAUCCCAAAACUAAUUUCUAAGAUCUCUACAAUCUUUAAUCUUUAACCCUCAAGGGGUUAUUAGGGAGGUAUUUAUAGGAAAUGACCCAAAGAGUUUUAGUAUUUUAAGUUUCCAAAUUAGAGUUUGAGUGAAAUUCAUUCAAAAGUUGUUUCUAAACUUGGUAGGAUUGUCAUGAUCGCUUGAGUAAACUAAGGCCACUUGAAUGUUUCACUUGAGCAGUCCUUACCGCUUGAGCAGGCUAACUGCUUAAACGAUCUUUUCCACUUAAGUGACCCCUACUUCUUUUGAAAAAUCAUUUUAAGUCAAAAAAUAAUACUAAACCUUUUAUACAUCAAAGAAGCCUUAUAUGCCAUAAGUCAAACCUUUUUAAAUGUACCUAUGACUUCCUGGUUGGAUGAAUAGCAACCCUUAAUCUUCAAUGGAGAGCAAGUCAUUAUCUAAAAAGACUUCUAUGAUCAAACAUAAAAUGAAACAAAAUUGUCAACAUAUAAAGAAGACUUAAUGUCCUAAUAGGAAACAUUAGAACUUUCCUUAUCUACUCAGUUUGAGUGAAAAGACUUCAAGUAGGUGAAGUACUUCAAGGGAUUGUGAGUGCCCAUUGGAGACCAUGAAUCCAAAUAUAAAGCUUCAAGGCUUAGGUUGAAGGCCUUUGAUAGUAGAACCCUCACUUGGUUAGGAGUUUAAAAAGAGUGGAUAUAGGCGGAUUUUCAAACCACUAUAAAAGAGUUUGCAUAUAUUUUCUUUUUAUCUUUUGCUUAAUUAUUGCCUUAAUUAAUUUCUCUUAUUAUUUUUGUUAUUAAUUGGUUGUUUCUGAACAAAAAUUUUGACACCUAAUUCAUCCCCCCUCCCAUCCCUUUAGUAGUUUACUUAAUCAAAUUGGCCAUUUUUCACAAUUAUUAUCAGGUACAUAUAUGUUAUGGAGAAUGGUGGGUAUGAUUGGCAACUGGAAAAUGACUUUUCAAGAAGGUAGAUGGGUUGGUGGUGAAAAUGGUGAAAGGUUGAAGGGGUUAUGGCAUUGGGUACAGAUGUGGUAAGCCAUUAUUUGCAAUGGUGGUUUUUUUUUAUUUACUUUUUCAUCUUUUUCCCCAAACAACACUCCACACAACUCCAUUUAUUUCAUCUUUGCUAUAAAAACAAAACAUGCUACUACAACACAUUUAAUGUGCUUCAUUAUGCCAUGAGUUUUAUAUUAUUUAAAAUUUAGAAAUUAAAAAAAUUAAAAAAAUUAAAAUUUAAAAAAAAAAUUAAAAAACAGAAUUUAUAAAUUAAAAAAAAUAGAUUAAAAAUAAAAUUCAAAAUUUACAAUUUUGCAUUAUUUAAAAUUUAGAAAUAAAAUAAUUUAAAAAUAUUAUGUUUUAUAUACACAUGAUGAUAGGCUGGUACUACUGAUCCAUCGGGUUGAAAUAAAGGUGGAAUGGUUUCAAAAAAGCUCCAUCAUCUUCAGCCUUGUAAAUUCAUCAGCAAUCAAUAAGAAAGUAAGAAUUUUAUGUUAAAUUUUUUGCCUUCAUUUAAAUUUCUGUAUUAUGUAUUUUUCUUACCCUUAGGGGGUAAAAAGGGGUAAAAAGGUAAAAUAGGGAAAUGAAAAUUAUUUGAAUUAUUUUUAAGUUUUCUUUACUAGUUAAUAUAUGCAAUAUACAUGGAUCCUUUUUAUAUAAUGUUCUCAUCAACAUAAAAAAAAAUAAAAUUAAAAAUAAAAAAAAUAAAAAAAAAUAAAAAAUAUCGGUUUAUUUAGAAAAUUUUGGGUGUAAAAUCAUGUUUUAAAACUAGAGUCUUUAGUCUUAACCCUUGACCUCAAACCCGUUUUUGCCGGAAAAUUGGCGUUUUAGGGAGACUAUGUCUGGUCAGAAGGGGGGUAUUACCUUGACACGAAGUGAUGUUUUAAAAUUUUUGAAUUUUAUUACCAGAAUUUUUGAGAUAUCCGAUUUCAAAAGAUUUCAAAACUUAAUUUUAUACGUUCAAAAAACUUUCACUAUAAGUUUAAAAAUUUUAUGUUAUUUUAAUAAGUCUUUGUAAAAUUUUAUAUUAUUUUAUUAGGUGUUUGAAAAUUUUAUGUUAUUAUAAUAAGUCUUUGUAAAAUUCUAUAUUAUUUUAAUACUAGUAAUAAAUGUGUUCACACUUAAAUUCAAUAAAAAACUCUAAUCAAACCCUCAUUGCUAACGGAGAUUUAAAGAAACUUUACUAACAAACUGUUGUUGAAACUGGUGAUGGGAAAAGUUGAAAUUACCUCAAAUAAAUAAACCAAUAAUAAGAUAUCCAACAUCUAGUAGCAAUAAAAACUGCAGAUAUAGCAUGCAAUCUUAUAGAUACAAAGGAAUUCAAAAUUGAACCACUCAUCCCUCAACAAGAACCAGAAUGGGAAAUGACCCGUUCAAAUGAAUUAAACGAAGUAUUACAAGAACAAAUUCAGAAAGAAAACCAAAACAAUAUAGAUAUUGUAACACCUUACAAAAAAAAAUUAGUUCAAAAUUAUAAAAUAAUCAUAAUCUAUAUUUAUAAAAAAAAUAUAUGAUAUCUUUAUACACACAAAUUAUAUUUGGAAUUCUAGAUGAAUGGAAUGUUUUUAGAGAAGCUAGACUAUUUAUUUGAUAAAUUCCAAUAUUAACAAUUUUUUAAAAACUAAACAAUAAUUAAUAAAUGUUUCUAUUGGGUUAAACUAGGCAAUUAAAUAUUAGUAUAAAUUUACUUUGUGAGUAAACAAGCUUAGGGGUAGCAAUUUGUGUUGGUGGGUCAUAUUUGUGUUGUGUCAAACCCGACAUGAAUAAUAAUAUGGUUAAAAACAUACACCCAAAUACUACAUAAUUAUUAAACAAGUAACAUGUCAUGUAACUCACUUAUCUUAUUAAAUAAUUAGGCCUUAUCUUUUAAUAAUCAGGUUGAGUUAGGUCUUGUGUUAAUUUAUAUGACUAAUAAAUGUUUAUGACUCAAUUGCCCUAUUUAUUUAAAAUCAAGUUUAAAAUGUGCUAAAUAUGGGUUAAAUAUUUUAAAGUUAUAAUUAAACUAAUCAACACAAUAUGCAUGUUGACCCAAAGACUACCCAGUUAUUAAACGAGUUAUAUAGGUCCACAUGAAUUUGGCUCAAACUCAAUCAUACUCAACUCAAACACAUAAAAAGCAUGUUAGAUUCAAGUCUUCUUGAUGAAUUGUAUCAAAUUUUAUCACCCUUAAACAAGUUCGAUGUCAAAUGAUAACAAAUUAGAAGACUAUAGUUUAUCCAUAACUGACAUAUAUUUAAUUCGAGAUUUAUGUAUUAAAGUGAAAAAUUCGAAAUGGAACUAAAAUAAAAGUAUGAUUAAGAGAAAAUAUUGGAAUAAUGUUGAAGUGUAAUACUUGAACCAACAUCAAGAAAAUAAUGAUCAAAAUGAGAUUAGAGUUCUACAUUCUUUUUUGUUUUCUUUCUCUUUUUCUUGCAUUUCAAAAAUAUCAAACACGAUAAAACACUAUAGAGGUAAAUCAUAUAAUAAUUUAUGAUAAAUUUCAAUUACUUUCAUAACUACUCUUUUAUAUAUAUAUAUAUGUAUUAAAAAAUGUAUGCAAGUAUAAAAACUCCUUUACAAGUUAGUAACUAUAAUAGUUAUUAUCUUAAGGUAUAAUUUAUGAUUUUAUUCUUAAUAAUUAAUUUCUUUUAGCAAAUUAGCAAUUAAUGAUUAAAAAUAAUAAAUGCAUAAUGAGAUCAUUAAAAAAAUCAAAUAGCCAAUUACUAAUAAAGAUAUGGUUGGAUACUUUACAAAAAACCUUUACACAUACAUUUUUUAUUUUGUAAAUAGUAAUAUAGUAGUUGGGCAUAUAGUGUCAUAUAUUGUAUCAUAUAAUAAUUAUCUUGCAAUCAUAUAUUUAUUAAUAAUAUAUAUCUUUAUAUGCACAAGUCAUAUUUGGAAUUUUAUGUAAAUAGAAUGUCUUCAUAGAUGCCAGGCAAUUUAUUUGAUAAAUUCCAUUUUGAACAAUUAUUUAAAAAUCAAGUAAUAAUUAAAAAGAAUUUCUAUUAGUUUAAAGUAGGUAAUUAAAUGUUAGUAUAAAUUUACUUUUUAAGUAGAUAAGACAUGAUUUUGCAUGAGAACAAAUUAGUGGACUAUAGCUUAUUCAUAGCUAACUUAAAUUCAAUACUAUUUUAGAGUUGUAUGAUAACUUUUACCCAAUAUAAUAAAAAUCAUUUAGUAUUAUUUAUGUUUGAGUAGCAUCAUGUAAUAAUAUUGAAAUUUAAAUAAAUUUAUAUUAUAGGAUAUAAUCUAACAUGUCUUGGAUUAUUUGUUAUUAUUUAUAUAAAAAAUAUAAAUAACAUAUUACACUAUAAAAAUUAAUUGCUCAAAUAGUUUACCUUUUUAUUAUUUCAUAACAAAACUAUUAUUACAUUAUAGAACAUUUCAUUUUAAAUAAAUCUAUAAUAUAGUAUUUCAUUUUGUGGAUCUUUAAUUAUAUUUAUUAUUAUUUAUAGAAAUAAAAUAUUAAGUCUCAAAAAAUACAUAUGUCGUUUCACAAUAUAAAUCAUCUUGCUAUUUAUCAAUAUUAUUUAUUAAUAUCACAGUUUAAUAACUUCAUUUAGUGAUAAAAUUAUUCAAUUUGUCAAGAAAUAAUAUAAUCAUUUAAUGAAACCAUUUUGUAAGCAAAUAUAUAUAAAAAGUUGUAACUUUUAGUAAGAAAAUUAUUUUUGUCACCAAAAAUUGUAAUUAGUGACAAAUAUUUUUGUGGGAAAAUAGUUUUUUUCUAUCACAAAAGUGUUUGCACAAAAAAAUGACGACGCCAAAAUUUUCCAUCAUGUCUUUUAGUGAUGAAAAUUUCAAAUUUGUCAUGAAAAGCUUUCAAAAAAUUGGCACCAUUGAUAACAUCUAAAAUUUCAUCAAUAAAAUUUACUUUUAGUGACGAAAGUAUAAUUCACCCCUAAAGUUUCUUUUUUAUUUGCUUCAUUAUGAAAUUUAAGAUAAGUUCUUCAUGUAUGAUUUAUUUUUUAGAUUCUUUUCUCUUUCUUUAACCACGAGAUUAAUAGGAAGAAGAAUUGAGGAAAUGAGAAAAGUGGUUAUGGUAAAGAAAUAAUAAAGUAAUAAUAAUAUUUGGGUUGUGGGUAGGAGAUAAGUAAAAAUAGUAGUAAAUUAAUAUAUAAUUAUCAUACUUCCUACCAUGAAAAAAAAGAAAAGAAUAUUAACAUUAAUAAUUCAACAAAAUCCAUUAAUGUAAUUAUGGGAAGUGAAAAUGAUAAUAAUAAUAUGGUUAAUAAAAAAUUUAAUUAAAAAAAUAGAUUUUUAGAAAAGGGUUUGGAAUUAAAAUAAGUUUUACAAAAAAAAUUAGGAAGCCAUUGAUUUAGAUAAUUAGUCUUUAGGAAUUAAUUUUUAUUUAUAUUUGUAUUAGGUUUAGAUAAAGUCUUUCAAGAUUUUGAAUGAUUUCUUCAAGGUUAGGGUUAAUAGUAUAGUAAACUAUUUUAUAAUUCCUUAUUUAUUUUCAUCUAUUUUUAAACUAUCAAAAUGUUUAAAUUCCUUAAAGCGGAUCAAAUAAUAUUUUACUAAAAAUGUUAUGAUUUGUUCCUUAAUUUAUAAAAUGAAUUAGGAAUAUCAUAUGAUUUAUUUAUUGUUAUGCAAGUGAAUUUUAUUGUUUAAUUUAUCAUAUUGGUUUUGAAACUCUAGUUAUUAGUGGACCUGGUCAAGGGUGCAAUUGUUGACCUUUGUUACCUUUGGUGAGGGUAGUGAUAUAAUGGAACUCUAGCUAAUAAGGGUGCUAUUAUCCUUUGGUAUACCAUUGAUUAUAAAUCAUUUAAUCCAUGUGUAAGAGGAACAAAGUGAGACUAGCCACCUAAUGUAAGUUAUACUAUUUGGACACGAUGUUAUUAUCAAUAAGUUAGAGUAAAAUGUUAUUAUCAAGAACACUUCUAGGUCCAAUCUUGAUAAAUUAUUUAAUUUUGAUUUUUUUUAAAUCUAUAAAUUAUGAUUUUUACCACUAUAAUUUCUUGGUCAAUUCUCAAAGUCAAACUUGUAUUCCAUGAUACACAACCUGAUUGAAGCUGAGUUGUAAGAAAUUAAUUUUCAAGCAUUUGGUUUAUUUAAAAUUUGGUAAGUGAUCAAAUAUCAUAAUUAUAGUGGUCCUACUCAUUUAACUGGUCCUGGAAGAACAUUCAAAACCAAUACGCAUUCAAAUUACUUUAUCUUAUAUUGAUACGUGACGAGAAAUUUUUGAACCCCAAGAGAAUCGUCUUGGGUGCCCAUAGAAGGUGACAACAGCCAUAAAAGUUGUUGUUCAGCUUUCACCAAUUCUAGUUUUGGUUUUCUCCAGCCUCUAUAAAUACCUCUAAGAAUUCAUCUAUUCAUGUCAAAGAGCAGAUAAGUCGUGCUAUUAGAAAUAGUAAGAAAAUUGAAGGAGUUGUGUUUAAGACAAGAGAAGCUUUUCUUCCAAAGAAGAUGUGGCAGAUCAUGAAGGUUUUCCUCUUGCAAAUUUUACCAUUUCUACUUUUUGGUGGUGGCAUCUAUUGCCAAGCUUCAACCCGUCGGUUUACUUUUGUGGUAAAUACUAUAUAUGAUUCUAGCCUUAACGCCACCUUAUGAUCGUAAUAUUCAGGGAGUAGUAUUACUCUCAUUUUCCACCGUAUAACCCCCAUGGGGUCUUGGGUACCCUAUGUCAUUGAGUCAUUCAUGCAUGCUAUCAAUUUCUAAUUGGUUAUACACUUGCAUGAAUGGAUUGAUGCAACUAUUCAUGCAUGUAAUAUGUCUUUAGGGAUGAGGUUGCAUGGUUAACUUUUAAUUGGUUGCAGGUGAAGGAAGCUUCAUAUACAAGGCUUUGUAGCACCAAGAACAUCAUAACAGUAAAUGGACAAUUUCCGAGACCAACUAUAUAUGCUAAGAAAGGAGAGACGAUCAUUGUCGACGUUUAUAACAAAGGAAAAGAAAACAUCACCAUUCAUUGGUAGGUCUUGUGCAUAUCUAAAAAAUGAUAGCAAUCGGCAACAUGCUUACAUGACAUACAUUCUUUUAUUUCUAAGAGGGGGUUGCAAUCUAUUGCUUUGCAAAUAAAGUCAAAUUUAAACAAUACUUUGUGGUUAUUUGCUUCAAUUCCAUUGAAAUACAGUCGAUGCCUCUUGUUACUAUGACAAUAUGUUGUUGCAUGCCAUCUUUUGUUAGUCCAAAAAUUAGUACUAGUUUUAAUGUAUAGUUAUUGUUUUCAGGCAUGGGGUGAGCAUGCCUAUAUAUCCAUGGAUAGAUGGUCCUAAGUAUAUCACACAAUGCCCAAUUCAACCAAGGUCAAAGUUUAGCCAAAAGAUCAUCCUUUCCUUUGAGGAAGGCACUCUAUGGUGGCAUGCUCACGGUGAUUGGACCCAAGCCACCAUUCAUGGAGCUAUAAUCGUCUAUCCUAAGAACGGAACCAAAUAUCCUUUUCCCAAACCUAAUGUAGAAGUUCCCAUCAUAUUAGGUAUAAGUGUUGUUACUUUUAAAGCUUAAUUUACAUAUCAUGAAUUAACCAACAAAUCAAAGUCUAAAAUUAUUGGAGCUGUUGAAAUGCAGGACAAUGGUGGAAGAGUGAUGUGAAUGUGGUUCGAGAUGAAGCGCUUGCAACUGGAGCUAACCCCAAUGCCUCUGAUUCUUUAUUGAUAAAUGGACAACCUGGUGAUCUAUUUCCAUGCUCAAAAUUAGGUACAAAUUAAGUUUAACUUCCCAUUUUAAAAUUGUAUACAAUUUCAUUUUCUUGUAUUUUGACCAUAUUACUUUUUCUUAUUAACAUCAACAUAUUUAAAGCUUAAUGCUAAAAAAGAGGAAUAUAGCUAUGAGGAUGGUAGAGUCAUGAUUUAACACAUAAGAAAAGGCUCGUCCAAAUAUAAUUUUAAACUAUGGAGCCAAAUUUACACCCUUAAUCACUUCAUAAUUGGUGGAUCCUCAUGGAAACUUUUUCUUUAUCUUUUCACUAGUCAUAAGCAUAAAACUUUCCCUUUCUAAUUGUAGGCACAUUCAAGCUAACGGUGGAUCAUGGAAAGACCUAUCUACUUCGCAUAAUCAAUGCUGCCUUUCACGAGGCUCUCUUCUUCUCCAUUACCAAGCAUAAAAUGAUAGUGGUUGGAACAGAUGGUAGCUACACAAAACCAUUGACACGAGAUUAUAU